AACAAUCUCCUUAAUGACCAUACCAUAUUUCCCAUCCGAACCUUUCUCUAUCUCAUCCACCAGUGUUUUACAGUCACAUGCGAUAGCAACUCGAUCCAAAGAUAAAUCGAGUGCAAGAGACAAAUCUUCUCUACAAGCAAGCGCUUCCAGCGUAGGAGGGUCCGUAAUUAGAUCGAAGACCAUAGCCAACGAACCAAGGUAUUUGCCAGUAUGAUCCCGACAAAUCGAGGCUGCCGCCCCCCGUCUCCCAUUCCUUGCGAGUCCUCUGUUCACAUGGAUCUUUGCGAUGCCUUCGGCUGGCGCGUUCCAUCCUCUCCUGCCUCCCGUUCUUGUGACAGUUUCUUCCCGAUGCCUGUCGCCGGAUGGCACAGGCGCCCUCAAAAUUUCAAGCUCCGAGAUGAAGCUCUUAACAAAAGAGAAAAUGGCAUGUGGGCUCUGAAAGAUUGCUUCAUGGAUAGCCUUCCGACGUGCUGUCCAAAUUGCCCAUAAAGUAACAACACAGUUUAUUAUCUGGGCAUGUGGCAGAUUAUCAAACAAAGUGAAUAACCAUUGCUUCGCACUCGGCUCGCUUGUUGCAUGUAGAUGAUCAGCGAGAUCGCCAUCAACGAGGGCCCAAACGCAACGAGCCAUUGAACAAUCCAGGAGGGAAUGCCUCCAUGAAUCUUGUGCUCCGCACAGCUGACUACAAUCAACAUCAGACAUAUUUCUUACAUGGCGCACAUCCUCAGUCGGGAGAGAAUGUUUGGCAAGUCGCCAUAGAAAGUUUUUUACCUUGCCCGGGACCUAAACCGACCAUAGAGAAGUCCAAGAUUUCCCUUCGGCUGCCAAGUCAGAUGAUCCUGCAAUUCCUUCGAGCCAAUCCUCUCUUCGUCUUUUUGUAUCUAUCAGCAUCCUGUACGCCGAUCGUACUGUAAAAAUCCCAUUCUUCUAAUGAGACCAAGCCCAUUGAUCGUUCAUAUGCCGUGUGCAGAGUGGGAUACCAUAGAUCACAUUCGAGUCUGCUGCUACAAAGACUUGCUCAACAUUUUUUUUCGCCAGGUUGCGGAUGUAUGAUCAAUUAACUCACUCACAAACUCUGGCGGAUUGGAUGACAAACAUGCAAUAGGUCUCAUAGUAGCACUCCUAGGAAUCCAAUUAUGUUCCCAGAUUUUGGUUGAAGACCCGUCUCCAAUUCUUCUUAUCAAGCCUUGACAAAGUACAUCACGUCCCUCCAAAAUAGGAGGUUGCAUGUUUGAUUCUACGCUCAAGCACUUUUUGCUUGGGUUUGGCUCGUCAGGAUAAGUGGGCCCGAUUCCUUGGGCCAUCGGCCGCAUCACACGGGCGGGUUAAUUUGGCCUGCUCGUGUGGAUGUUGGGUCUCGUUUUUCUCUCAGACCAGAGUAGACGCACGUAGUUUUUUAGAGACCUCGAGGAAGAAUUGUUGAGAGGUAAGGGAAACGGACGUACGACGGUUUUUGAGACGGACGGUUUUGAGACAGACGAAAUUAUGAUGGUAAGAAGUAAUAUAUAUAUAGGGCUCCUGUCUGAUAUAAAUCAAAUCCUAUGUAUGCAACGCACGUCCCUGCUGCCUUGUACUCUUGUAAGCAGAUUUGUUGAAGAGGAAAAACGACCCAUAGGCCACGUACAACCGAUUUGACAGUUUCUUUCCUUGUCCACGCCUUAAUUAAAAUCGAGGGACUGUAGGUCACCAGAAGUUCCAAAACCAACACAAAUCCAAUCCUAGUUGGAGCCGAAUUCAACUACUCCUAUAUAUGAGCGCCUAUAAAAAUACAAGAGCAAGCACGUCCAUCCAUAGGAAAACCAUCGAGUCCUCCCGGCCACAUCGACAUCCGCAGAAACUUCCACGCCCUAGUUGGACCGCUGUCUCAUCGUGAUGGCGAGCGCAGCAACACCUUCGGCCGUCGCCAUGGAGGAUAGCCAGAGCAUCGAGACGUCGUCGGAGAUAUCCGUGGCCGACGUCAUGACGUCGUUGGAAAAACUAUCGGCCGGCCUGGAGAGAGCUACAAGGUACUUCUGCGUGCUCAACAAGGUCGACACAUGGGCCGCUGCGUGCUUGGGACCGGAGCCGGUGGACGCCACGGCAUGCACCACAGCGCAGGCGGCACUGCUCAAGUGCAUAACAGAUCCAUCCACCUGCGACUCGGAGGAACCGCAGACGAACGAGAACUCCAGCUGAUUGAUUCAUCCACGCCGCCCGACCUCAUUAUAUAGCUUCCUUAAUUAGUGCGCUUUGUCUAGUUUCAGUAUGGAUAUUAUCUUAGGUAGAUUAGUUUCGAGCUUUCAUGAUGUACUACGUGUAACUACUUUCGGAUUCGUGUUAUUUGUAUCGGUACUGUUGUAAGCAGUUUCACAGUACAAUAAAUGUUCAGACUCUUUAUAUCAAAUUUUCAAAAAUAUAAUUGGAAUAUCUUCCCACGGUGUAUAUUUUAAAUAGCGAGUGGAGUAGAGUUAGCAGUGAAAUUCCUGUUGCCUCAGGUAUUCAGAAGACUUUGUACUUGAUUGGUGAAAAAACCCUUUGCCCCGUGUCGCUCCCUCCGGGGCGACUUGCAGAGUUCAACCUAGCGUAGACGCCCGCGCCUCCAAUCCAGACCACCCGAGAGGCCGGCGGUGCACUACAUGGUAGCCGAUGAAGUUGGCGGUGAGGAUCUGGUUGCCUCGUGCUUGGACGGGGCCCUUGAUCCGUGGUGGUAACCUUGGCUGGUGGAUCGACGUCGGCUCUGCAGCGGUCGGCGCUUGUUUGGUGCUGGCGGUCCUCCUCGGCCAGGAGCGGCGAGGUGGUGAUAGGUGCCUCCUUUGCAGCGGGUCUCCUCAGUGGAGUAGUUUCGCUAUGGAUAGUUUCUAUGAUGUACUAUGCAGCAACUAUUUUCAUAUUAGUGUUAUUUGUUCCGAACAUUUGCCUUGCACUUGUAAGCAGUUGCAGUAACUAAACCAUACAAUAAUUGUUCAGACUUUUCUUAUGAAAUUUUCUAAAAUAUACUUGGAAUUUCUUCCUGCAGUGUAUUUUUAAAUAGUGAGUGGAGUAGAGUUAGCAGUUAAAUUCCUGUUGCUUCGCCUAAGAAAAGUCCACAUGAAUUCAAAAGAUUUUGUAGGUGUUUGGUGAGAACCCUAGCGCUGCCCCCUGUGCCCCCAAUCCCGGCUCUCCUCCCUAUUGCUACCCAAGGGACUACCAGUGCACCGCAUGGUAGCCGAGGAAGUUGGAUGUGAGGAUCUGGCAGCCUUGUUUUUCGACGCCCCUGGAUCCGUGGCGGCGGCCUCGGCUGAUGGAUCGACCAGAAGGCACUAGUAGAAAAAAGGGCUUCCGUUCGGGCCUGGCCAGCCCAUUAGUCCCGGUUCUGCCAUGAACCGGGACCAAUGGAGGCAUUUGUCCCGGUUCGUGAGCCCAGGGGGCCGGCCCGAGCCUCGUGGGCAUUGGUCCCGGUUCGUCUGGGCCCAUUUGUCCCGGCUCUUGGCACGGACCGGGACCAAUGGGCCUCGCUCCUGGCCCACAACCAUUGGUCCCACUUCAUGGCAGGAACUGGGACAGAAGGAUGGCCUUUAGUCCCGGUUCCAGCCACGAACCGGGAGAAAUGAGUUGCCUAUAUAUACCCCAUCGCCGGCGAGCAGAGCACUCCACAGUGCUCUAUUUUUUGCUGGCCGCCGAGGAAGGGCAUUUGGGUUCUCUAGCUCACCUUUUAUGCAUGUGAGGUGUUCGAUGAAAUGCCCGAGCCACACUAGUUAAGCUUUCUCCUCUCGAAGCUCGACCUCCGAGCUCCAUUUUUUCCGAGAUUUGUCUAGGUUUAGCGGUCCGUCACGCCCCGUCCUCGUCUUCACCACCGUCGAUCGCCCGCGCCGAUCUCGUCGUCGGCACCACCGUGGUGAGCCUCUUGUUCUUAUCUUCUUUCUGAAAGAAAAAAAAUCUUACUUUAGAUAGAUACUUGUCUAGUUUUCUUACUUUUGACACACAUAAUUAUAAAAAUGCACGCAGAUGAACCGACAAUGAAUGUACGGUGACAGACACACCUCACAGUACAUUAAGGGCGUGCAUAAUUUUCUUGAAGUGGCUGAGGCAAACAAGCAGAAUGGUUUUAUGUGUUGUCCAUGCCCUAAUUAUGGGAAUACGAGGUCUUACUCUGACAAGAAAAUCCUUCACACCCACCUGCUUUAUAAGGGUUUGAUGCCACACUAUAAUGUUUGGACGAAGCACGGAGAAAUAGGGGUUAUGAUGGAAGACAGCUAAGAAGAAAAGGACGGUGACAACUAUGUGCCCCCUGAAUACGGUGAUGCUGCGACGGAGGAAGCUGAAGAUCAAGAGGAAGCUGAAGAUCCAGAGGAAACAGACGAUGUGCCCGAUGAUGAUCUCCGCCGGGUCAUUGUUGAUGCAAGGGAAAAGUGCGAAAGUGAAAAGGAGAAGUUGAAUAUCAAUCGCAUGUUAGAGGAUCACAAAAAAGGUUGUACCCCCAUUGCGAAGAUGGCAAGACAAAGUUCGGUACCGUACUAGAAUUGCUGCAGUGGAAGACAGACAAUGCUGUGCCUGACAAAGGAUUUGAGAAGCUACUAAAAAUAUUGAACACUUUAUAUAGGUAACUAAUUAGCGCACUAUGUCUAGUUUCAUUAUGGAUAUCUUGAUAGAUUAAUUUCUAGUGCUUAUCAUUUACGUAGUUUAAUUGUUCAGACUACUUUCAGAUUCGUGUUAUUUGUUUUCGGUACGCUUAUUUUUUACUAUUGUAAGCAGUUUAAUUGUUCAGACUUUUUAUAUGAAUUUUUCAAUAAUAUAUUAGUACGUAUUCUUCGCACGGUGUAUUUUUUUAAUAGUGAGUGGAGUGAGUUAGCAGUUAAAUUUCUGCUGCUGCGCCUAAAAAAAGUGUACAUGUAUUCAAAGGACUUUGCAGGUGAAUACAGAAAUUCCUUCCGCCACCCGCGUCGCUGCCUCCGGGACGACUCGCGCAGCUCAACCCUAGCGCCACCGCCUGCGCUCCCAAUCCUGACUCUCCCCAUUGUCGCCACAUUACGGAUCGCGGUGCAUCACAAGCUAGCCGAGGAGGCUGGUGGUGAGGAUCUGGCUGCCUUGUGCUUGGACGGGGUCUAGAUUCGUGGCGGCGGUCUCAGCUAGUGGAUCAGCACUACUAGGGAAAAGCCUAUACACAGAAUCUUACUAGAAGCGCGCUUUAAAAUAAGGCGCUGCUGCUAGCUAGCAGUAGCGCGCACGCACAAAACUCGCUGCUGAUAUAAAUGUAUCAGUAGCGUGCCCUCUCUAAGAUGCGCUACUGCUAUAAUUGCCACGACGCCGCCGCGAGGCUAGUUCUAGCAGCAGCGCACUAAUACGAAGAGCGCUACUGCUACGGACCAUAGCAGUAGCGCAUUUACACAAUAACCGCUGCUGCUAAGUUUACUAAAAAAAAUUGUCCCACCUCGCUCCGUGAAGAGAGUUUGUACCACCUUAAAUAUGUUACUUCUCAAACUUUCACAACCACUUGGUCUUCAUUGAACUCUAUGUGUAGAAUUUGUGGCCGUAAUAUGAGUCUUCACCAGUUACUAAACUGGUGAGGACUCAUAUUGACAAAUCAGAUUAUACACAAAAAGAUCAUUGAUGAUCAAUGUAUUUUUGAUGUCUAUUUUUACAUGCUGGCACAUAGCAGUAGCGCGCUCUUUGUGAAAGGCGCUACUGCUAGGUCGUUUAGCAGUAGCGCCUUCUGCUAUAGCGCGCUACUGCUAAGCCAUUCCAUCUCCCCCUCCGAUCUAUCCGAUCCACUCACACUCACACUCACUCUAUCUCCCCCUCAACCCCCACGCCGUUCCUCCCCCGUCGCCCCUCCUUCGAUCUACGCCGCCGCCACCUCCUCCUCCUCGCUGGACUCAGUACCGGCCUCCUCCUCCGUCCUCCCUCUAGUCGCCGCUGGCCGGCCCCUCCUCGCUCCGCCUUCCUCCUCCGUCCUCCCUCCACUCGCCGCCGGCUGGCCCCUCCUCACUCCGUCUUCCUCCUCCGUCCUACUCUCUUCUCCAUCCUCGAUUCGCCCCUCCUUCUCCCUCCUCCCUCCUCCAUCCACAACCCCUCCUCCCUGCUACAUUUUGAUUUAGUAGGCUAGUUGAUUUAGUAGGCUAGUUGAUUUAGUUGAUUUAGAACAUUUUGAUUUAGUUGAUUUAGUAUGCUAGUUGAUUUAGUUGAUUUAGAACAUUUUGAUUUAGUUGAUUUAGUAGGCUAGUUGAUUUCGUUGAUUUAGUAGGCUAGUUGAUUUAGUUGAUUUAGAACAUUUUGAUUUACUUGAUUUAGUAUGCUAGUGGAUUUAGUAGGCUAGUUGAUUUACUUGAUUUAGUAUGCACCAUUUUAUUGUUAUUUGUUCUCUACAUGGAUAGGUAUAUGCUUUUGUUUUUUUGUAAUAAGUUAUUUUUUGGCAAAAUGUAGGUGCCAAUUUAGUUAAAUUUGCCACUUGUUUUUUAAAUCAAUUAUCUUAGGCCAUAGGGGCCAAAUGAGAUGAAAUGUCUUGGUAGGUGGUACCCUUAUUUGGUAGAUAUUUGUGAAAAGUUUUUUCGGCAACAGGUGCCACCGAAAUGCUUUGUCCAUAAAAUUGCUUCUCGCGGAAGAACCAAAAAUAUCACAUGCUACUGUUUUUCUUUCCUGUGAAGUGAAUCGUUAAUCCUUUGCUCAUAUUGCUUUAGGAAAAUGGCGCCACUGAAGGAAAUAUGCCCUAGAGGCAAUAAUAAAGUUAUUAUUUAUUUCCUUAUAUCAUGAUAAAUGUUUAUUAUUCAUGCUAGAAUUGUAUUAACAGGAAACAUAAUACAUGUGUGAAUACAUAGACAAACAUAGUGUCACUAGUAUGCCUCUACUUGACUAGCUCGUUGAUCAAAGAUGGUUAUGUUUCCUAGCCAUAGACAUGAGUUGUCAUUUGAUUAACGGGAUCACAUCAUUAGGAGAAUGAUGUGAUUGACUUGACCCAUUUUGUUAGCUUAGCACACGAUCGUUUAGUAUUCUGCUAUUGAUUUCUUCAUGACUUAUACAUGUUCCUAUGACUAUGAGAAUAUGCAACUCCCGUUUACCAGAGGAAUACUUUGUGUGCUACCAAACAUCACAACGUAACUGGGUGAUUAUAAAGGUGCUCUACAGGUGUCUCCGAAGGUACUUAUUGGGUUGGCGUAUUUCGAGAUUAGGAUUUGUCACUCCGAUUGUCGGAGAGGUAUCUAUGGGCCCACUCGGUAAUGCACAUCACUUAAGCCUUGCAAGCAUUGCAACUAAUGAGGUAGUUGUGGGAUGAUGUAUUACGGAACGAGUAAAGAGACUUGCCGAUAACGAGAUUGAACUAGGUAUUGAGAUACUGAUGAUCGAAUCUCGGGCAAGUAACAUACCGAUGACAAAGCGAACAACGUAUGUUGUUAUGCGGUCUGACCGAUAAAGAUCUUCGUAGAAUAUGUGGGAGCCAAUAUGAGCAUUCAGGUUCCGCUAUUGGUUAUUGACCGGAGACGUGUCUCGGUCAUGUCUACAUAGUUCUCGAACCCGUAGGGUCCGCACGCUUAAAGUUCGAUGACGGUUAUAUUAUGAGUUUAUGUGUUUUGAUGUACCGAAGGUAUUUCGGAGUCCCGGAUGAGAUCUGGGACAUGACGAGGAGUCUCGAAAUGGUCGAGACGUAAAGAUCGAUAUAUUGGACGACUAUAUUCGGACAUCGGAAAGGUUCCGAGUGAUUCGGGUAUUUUUCGGAGUACCGGAGAGUUACGGGAAUUCGCCGGGGAGUAUAUGGGCCUUAUUGGGCUUUAGGGGAAAGGGAGAGGAGAGGCUGGGCGCCCCCCAAGGCCAGUCCGAAUUGGACUAGGGGGAGGGGCUGCGCCCCCUCCUUCCUUCUCUUCUCUCUCCCCUUUCCUUGACUCCUACUCCUACUACUUGGAAGGGAUGGAAUCCUACUCCCGUUGGGAGUAGGACUCCUCCUGGCGCGCCUCCACCUGGUCGUCCGCACCUCCCCCUCCUUGAUCCUUUAUAUACGGAGGCAGAGGGGCAUCCCAAAGACACAACAAUUGAUCGUUUGAUCUUUUAGCCGUGUGCGGUGCCCCCGUCCACCAUAGUCCACCUCGAUAAUACUGUAGCAGUGGUUAGGCAAAGCCCUGCGGUAGAACAUCAUCAUCGUCACCACGCUGUCGUGCUGACGAAACUCUCCCUCAACACUCGGCUGGAUCGGACUUCGAGGGACGUCAUCGGGCUGAACGUGUGCUGAACUCGGAGGUGCCGUGCGUUCGGUACUUGAUCGGUCGGAUCGUGAAGACGUACGACUACAUCAACCGCGUUGUGCUAAUGCUUCCGCUUUCGGUCUACGAGGGUACGUGGACAACACUCUCCCCUCUCGUUGCUAUGCAUCGCCAUGAUCUUGCGUGUGCGUAGGAAAAUUUUGAAAUUACUACGUUCCCCAACAGUGGCAUCUGAGCCAGGUUUUAUGCGUAGAUGUCAUAUGCACGAGUAGAACACAAGUGAGUUGUGGGCGAUACAAGUCAUACUGCUUAACAGCAUGUCACACUUUCGUUCGGCGGUAUUGUUGGAUGAAGCGGCCCGGACCGACAUUACGUGUACGCUUACGCGAGACUGGUUUACCGCCGUGGUUUGCACACAGGUGACUAGCGGGUGUCAGUUUCUCCAACUUUAGUUGAACCGAGUGUGGCUACGCCCGGUCCUUGAGAAGGUUAAAACAGCACUAACUUGACGAACUAUCGUUGUGGUUUUGAUGCGUAGGUAAGAACGGUUCUUGCUCAGCCCGUAGCAGCCACGUAAAACUUGCAACAACAAAGUAGAUGACAUCUAACUUGUUUUUGCAGGGCAUGUUGUGAUGUGAUAUGGUCAAGACGUGAUGAGAUAUAAGUUGUUGUAUGAGUUGAUCAUGUUUUGUUGAAUUUAUCGGCAACUGGCAAAAGUUUUAUGGUUGUCUCUUUAUUGCAUAAGAUGCAAGCGCCAAAUAAUUGCUUUACUUUAUCGCUAUGCGAUAGCAAUAGUUGCAAGAGCAAUAGUUGGCGAGACGACCAUGUGACGACACAUUGAUAUAGAUCAAGAUGAUGGAGAUCAUGGUGUCAUGCCGGUGACGAUGGAGAUCAUGACGAUGCUUUGGAGAUGGAGAUCAAAGGCACAAGAUGAUGAUGGCAAUAUCAUGUCACAUAUUAUGAUUGCAUGUGAUGUUUAUCUUUUAUACAUCUUAUCUUGCUUUGAUUGACGGUAGCAUUAUAAGAUGAUCUCUCACGAAAUUAUCAAGGUAUAAGUGUUCUCCCUGAGUAUGCACCGUUGCGAAAGUUCUUCGUGCUGAGACACCACGUGAUGAUCGGGUGUGAAGGAAAUAUUCCCUAGAGGCAAUAAUAAAGUAUUAUAUAUUUCCUUAUAUCAUGAUAAAUGUUUAUUAUUCAUGCUAGAAUUGUAUUAACCGGAAACAUAAUACAUGUGUGAAUACAUAGACAAACAGAGUGUCACUAGUAUGCCUCUACUUGACUAGCUCGUUAAUCAAAGAUGGUUAUGUUUCCUAGCCAUAGACAUGAGUUGUCAUUUGAUUAACGGGAUCACCUCAUUAGGAGAAUGACGUGAUUGACUUGACCCAUUCCGUUAGCUUAGCACCCGAUCGUUUAGUAUGUUGCUAUUGCUUUCUUCAUGACUUAUACAUGUUCCUAUGACUAUGAGAUUAUGCAACUCCCGUUUAUCGCAGGAGCACUUUGUGUGCUACCAAACGUCACAACGUAAAAGGGUGAUUAUAAAGGUGCUCUACAGGUGUCUCCAAAGGUACUUGUUGGGUUGGCGUAUUUCGAGAUUAGGAUUUGUCACUCCGAUUGUCGGAGAGGUAUCUCUGGGCCCACUCGGUAAUGCACAUCACUAUAAGCCUUGCAAGCAUUGUGACUAAUGAGUUAGUUGCAGGAUGAUGUAUUACGGAACGAGUAAAGAGACUUGCCAGUAACGAGAUUGAACUAGGUAUCGAGAUACCGACGAUCGAAUCUCGGGCAAGUAACAUACCGAUGACAAAGGGAACAACGUAUGUUGUUAUGCGGUCUGACCGAUAAAGAUCUUCGUAGAAUAUGUGGGAGCCAAUAUGGGCAUCCAGGUCCCGCUAUUGGUUAUUGACCGGAGAGGUGUCUCGGUCAUGUCUACAUAGUUCUCGAACCCGAAGGGUCCACACUCUUAAAGUUACGAUGACAGUUAUAUCUAGAGUUUAUAUGUUUUGAUGUACCGAAGGUUGUUUGGAGUCCCAGAUGAGAUCACGGACAUGACGAGGAGUCUCGAAAUGGUCGAGACAUAAAGAUUGAUAUAUUGGACGACUAUAUUCGGACACCGGAAGUGUUCCGGAGAAGUUUCGGAUUAAACCAGAGUGCCGGAGGGUUACCGGAACCCCCCGGGGAAGUAUUGGGCCUUAGUGGGCCUUGAGGGGAGAGAGAGGGUAGCAGCCAGGAGGUGGCGCGCCCCCUCCCAGGAGGAGUCCUAGUUGGACUAGGAGAGGGGGGCGCAGCCCCCUUUCCCUCUCCCUCUCCCUCUCUUUCCUUCCCCCCCUCUUUUCCUAGUAGGACUAGGAAAGGGGAGUCCUACUCCUACUAGCAGGAGGACUCCCCCUAUCCUUGGCGCGCCUAGGGAAGCCGGCCUCCCCCUUGCUCCUUUAUAUACGGGGGUAGGGGGCACCUCUAUACACACUUGAAAUACGAUAUAGUAGCCGUGUGCGGUGCCCCCCUCCAACAUAUUACACCUCGAUAAUACCGUUGCGGAGCUUUGGCGAAGCCCUGCGUCGGUGGAACAUCAUCAUCGUCACCACGCCGUCGUGCUGACGAAACUCUCCCUCAACACUCGACUGGAUCGGAGUUCGAGGGACGUCAUCGAGCUGAACGUGUGUAGAACUCGGAGGUGCCGUGUGUUCGGUACUUGAUCGGCCGGAUCGUGAAGACGUACAACUACAUCAACCGCGUUGUGAUAACGCUUCCGCUGUCGGUCUAUGAGGGUACGUGGACAACACUCUCCCUCUCGUUGCUAUGCAUCACCAUGAUCUUGCGUGUGCAUAGGAAUUUUUUUGAAAUUACUACGUUCCCCAACAGAGGCAUCCGAGCCAGGUUUUAUGCGUUGAUGCAAUGCACGAGUAGAACACAAGUGAGUUGUGGGCGAUAUAAGUCAUACUGCUUACCAGCAUGUCAUACUUUGGUUCAUUGGUAUUGUGAGAUGAAGCGGCCCGGACCGACAUUACGCGUACGCUUACGCGAGACUGGUUUCACCGUUGCGAGCACUCGUUGCUUAAAGGUGACCGGCGGAUGUCUGUCUUUCUCACUUUAGUUGAACCGAGUGUGGCUACGCCCGGUCCUUGCGAAGGUUAAAAAAGCACCAACUUGACAAACUAUCGUUGUGGUUUUGAUGCGUAGGUAAGAACGGUUCUUGCUAAGCCCGUAGCAGCCACGUAAAACUUGCAACAACAAAGUAGAGGACGUCUAACUUGUUUUUGCAGGGCAUGUUGUGAUGUGAUAUGGUCAAGAAAUGAUGUGAUAUAUUUUGUUGUAUGAGAUGAUCAUGUUUUGUAACCGAGUUAUCGGCAAUUGGCAGGAGACAUAUGGUUGUCGCUUUAUUGUAUGAGAUGCAUGUUGGGGAACGUAGUAAUUUCAAAAAAAUUCCUACGCACACGCAAGAUCAUGGUGAUGCAUAGCAACGAGAGGGGAGAGUGUUGUCCACGUACCCUCGUAGGCCGACAACGGAAGCGUUAUCACAACGCGGUUGAUGUAGUCGUACGUCUUCACGAUCCGACCGAUCAAGUACCGAACGUACGGCACCUCCGAGUUCUACACACGUUCAGCUCGAUGACGUCCCUCGAACUCCGAUCCAGCCGAGUGUUGAGGGAGAGUUUCGUCAGCACGACGGCGUGGUGACGAUGAUGAUAUUCCACCGACGCAGGGCUUCACCUAAGCUCCGCAACAGUAUUAUUGAGGUGUAAUAUGGUGGAGGGGGGCACCGCACACGGCUAAGAGAUCUCAAGGAUCAAUUGUUGUGUCUCUCGGGUGCCCCCUGCCCCCGUAUAUAAAGGAGCAAGGGGGAGGCAGCCGGCCAAGGGGAGAGGCGCGCCAUAGGGGGGAGUCCUACUCCCACUGGGAGUAGGACUCCUCCUUUCCUUGUGGGAGUAGGAGAAGGGAAGGGGGAAGGAGAAAGAAGGAAGGGUGCGCCCCCCUUCCCUAGUCUAAUUCGGACCAGACCAUGGGGAGGGGUGCGGCCACCUUUUGAGGCCUUUCUCUCCUUUGCCGUAUGGCCCAUUAAGGCCCAAUACGAAUUCCCGUAACUCUCUGGUACUCCGAAAAAUACCCGAAUCACUCGGAACCUUUCCGAAGUCCGAAUAUAGUCGUCCAAUAUAUCGAUCUUUACAUCUCGGCCAUUUCGAGACUCCUCGUCAUGUCCCCGAGCUCAUCCGGGACUCCGAACUCCUUCGGUACAUCAAAACUCAAUAAAACUGUCAUCGUAACGUUAAGCGUGCGGACCCUACGGGUUCGAGAACUAUGUAGACAUGACCGAGACACGUCUCGGGUAAAUAACCAAUAGCGGGACCUGGAUGCCCAUAUUGGCUCCCACAUAUUCUACGAAGAUCUUUAUCGGUCAGACCGCAUAACAACAUACGUUGUUCCCUUUGUCACCGGUAUGUUACUUGCCCGAGAUUUGAUCGUCGGUAUCUCGAUACCUAGUUCAAUCUUGUUACCGGCAAGUCUCUUUACUCGUUCCGUAACACAUCAUCCCGCAACUAACUCAUUAGUCACAAUGCUUGUAAGGCUUAUAGUGAUGUGCAUUACCGAGUGGGCCCAGAAAUACCUCUCCGACAAUUGGAGUGACAAAUCCUAAUCUCGAAAUACGCCAACCCAACAAGUACCUUUGGAGACACCUGUAGAGCACCUUUAUAAUCACCCAUUUACGUUGUGACGUUUGGUAGCACACAAAGUGUUCCUCCGGUAAACGGGAGUUGCAUAAUCUCAUAGUCAUAGGAACAUGUAUAAGUCAUGAAGAAAGCAAUAGCAACAUAUUAAACGAUCGGAUGCUAAGCUAACGGAAUGGGUCAAGUCAAUCACGUCAUUCUCCUAAUGAGGUGAUCUCGUUAAUCAAAUGACAACUUAUGUCUAUGGAUAGGAAACAUAACCAUCUUUGAUUAACGAGCUAGUCAAGUAGAGGCAUACUAGUGACACUCUGUUUGUCUAUAUAUUCACACAUGUAUUAUGUUUCCGGUUAAUACAAUUCUAGCAUGAAUAAUAAACAUUUAUCAUGAUAUAAGGAAAUAAAUAAUACUUUAUUAUUGCCUCUAGGGCAUAUUUCCUUCAGUCUCCCACUUGCACUAGAGUCAAUAAUCUAGAUUACACAGUAAUGAUUCUUACACCCAUGGAGCCUUGGUGCUGAUCAUGUUUUGCUCGUGGAAGAGGCUUAGUCAACGGGUCUGCAACAUUCAGAUCCGUAUGUAUCUUGCAAAUUUCUAUGUCUCCCACCUGGACUAAAUCCCGGAUGGAAUUGAAGCGUCUUUUGAUGUGCUUGGUUCUCUUGUGAAAUCUGGAUUCCUUUGCCAAGGAAAUUGCACAAGUAUUGUCACAAAAGAUUUUCAUAGGACCCGAUGCACUAGGUAUGACACCUAGAUCGGAUAUGAACUCCUUCAUCCAGACUCCUUCAUUUGCUGCUUCUGAAGCAGCUAUGUACUCUGCUUCACAUGUAGAUCCCGCCACGACGCUUUGCUUAGAACUGCACCAACUGACAGCUCCACCGUUCAAUGUAAAUACGUAUCCGGUUUGCGAUUUAGAAUCGUCCGGAUCAGUGUCAAAGCUUGCAUCAACGUAACCAUUUACGAUGAGCUCUUUGUCACCUCCAUAUACGAGAAACAUAUCCUUAGUCGUUUUCAGGUAUUUCAGGAUGUUCUUGACCGCUGUCCAGUGAUCCACUCCUGGAUUACUUUGGUACCUUCCUGCUAGACUUAUAGCAAGGCAUACAUCAGGUCUGGUACACAGCAUUGCAUACAUGAUAGAGCCUAUGGCUGAAGCAUAGGGGACAUCUUUCAUCUUCUCUCUAUCUUCUGCAGUGGUCGGGCAUUGAGUCUUACUGAACUUCACACCUUGCAACACAGGCAAGAAUCCUUUCUUUGCUUGAUCCAUUUUGAACUUCUUCAAAACUUUGUCAAGGUAUGUGCUUUGUGAAAGUCCAAUUAAGCGUCUUGAUCUAUCUCUAUAGAUCUUGAUGCCCAAUAUAUACGCAGCUUCACCGAGGUCUUUCAUUGAAAAACUCUUAUUCAAGUAUCCCUUUAUGCUAUCCAGAAAUUCUAUAUCAUUUCCAAUCAGUAAUAUGUCAUCCACAUAUAAUAUCAGAAAUGCUACAGAGCUCCCACUCACUUUCUUGUAAAUACAGGCUUCUCCAAAAGUCUGUAUAAAACCAAAUGCUUUGAUCACACUAUCAAAGCGUUUAUUCCAACUCCGAGAGGCUUGCACCAGUCCAUAAAUGGAUCGCUGGAGCUUGCACACUUUGUUAGCUCCCUUUGGAUCGACAAAACCUUCUGGUUGCAUCAUAUACAACUCUUAUUCCAGAAAUCCAUUCAGGAAUGCAGUUUUGACAUCCAUUUGCCAAAUUUCAUAAUCAUAAAAUGCGGCAAUUGCUAACAUGAUUCGGACAGACUUAAGCAUAGCUACAGGUGAGAAGGUCUCAUCGUAGUCAAUUCCUUGAACUUGUCGAAAACCUUUCGCAACAAGUCGAGCUUUAUAGACAGUAACAUUACCAUCAGCGUCAGUCUUCUUCUUGAAGAUCCAUUUAUUUUCAAUGGCUUGCCGAUCAUUGGGAAAGUCAACCAAAGUCCAUACUUUGUUCUCAUACAUGAAUCCCAUCUCAGAUUUCAUGGCCUCAAGCCAUUUUGCGGAAUCUGGGCUCACCAUCGCUUCUUCAUACUUCGUAGGUUCGUCAUGGUCUAGUAACAUAACCUCCAGAACAGGAUUACCGUACCACUCUGGUGCGGAUCUUACUCUGGUUGACCUACGAGGUUCAGUAUUAACUGUUGGGAAUCGUAGCAUAAUUUUAAAAUUUUCCUACGCUCACCAAGAUGCAUCUAUGGAGUAUACUAGCAACGAGGGGAAAGGAGUGCAUCUACAUACCCUUGUAGAUCGCGAGCGGAAGCGUUCCAAUGAACGUGGAUGACGGAGUCGUACUUGCCGUGAUCCAAAUCACUGAUGACUGAGUGCCGAACGGACGGCACCUCCGCGUUCAACACACGUACGGUGCAGCGACAUCUCCUCCUUCUUGAUCCAGCAAGGGGGAAGGAGAGGUUGAUGGAGAUCCAGCAGCACGACGGCGUGGUGGUGGAUGUAGCGGGAUGCCGGCAGGGCUUCGCCGGGCUUAUACAAGAGAGAGAGGUGUUGCAGGGGAGGAGGGAGGCGCCCAAGGCUGUGUAUUGCUGCCCUCCCUACCUCACCCUUUAUAUAGGCCCCCUGGGAGGCCGAAACUUGACUUCCUAUAUAUAAUUCUUCACCUCCGGACCAUUCCGGAACCUCUCGUGACGUCCGGGAUCUCAUCCGGGACUCCGAACAACUUUCGAGUGGCCGAAACUUGACUUCCUAUAUAUAAUUAUUCACCUCCGGACCAUUCCAGAACCUCUCGUGACGUCCGGGGUCUCAUCCGGGACUCCGAACAACUUUUGGGUUUCCGCAUACACAUAUCUCUACAACCCUAGCAUCACCGAACCUUAAGUGUGUAGACCCUACGGGUUCGGGAGACAUGCAGACAUGACUGAGACGCCUCUCCGGUCAAUAACCAACAGCGGGAUAUGGAUACCCAUGUUGGCUCCCACAUGUUCCACGAUGAUCUCAUCAGAUGAACCACGGUGUCGAGGAUUCAAUCAAUCCUGUAUGCAAUUGCCUUUGUCAAUCGGUAUGUUACUUGCCCGAGAUUCGAUCGUCGGUAUUCCAAUACCAUGUUCAAUCUCGUUACCGGCAAGUCUCUUUACUCGUACCGUAAUGCAUGAUCCCGUGACUAACGCCUUAGUCACCUAGAGCUCAUUAUGAUGAUGCAUUACCGAGUGGGCCCAGAGAUACCUCUCCGUCACACGGAGUGACAAAUCCCAGUCUCGAUCCGUGCCAACCCAACAGACACUUUCGGAGAUACCCGUAGUGCACCUUUAUAGUCACCCAGUUACAUUGUGACGUUUGGCACACCCAAAGCACUCCUACGGUAUCCGGGAGUUGCACGAUCUCAUGGUCUAAGGAAAAGAUACUUGACAUUGGAAAAGCUCUAGCAAACGAAACUACACGAUCUUUUAUGCUAUGCUUAGGAUUGGGUCUUGUCCAUCACAUCAUUCUCCUAAUGAUGUGAUCCCGUUAUCAACGACAUCCAAUGUCCAUAGUCAGGAAACCAUGACUAUCUGUUGAUCAACGAGCUAGUCAACUAGAGGCUCACUAGGGACACGUUGUGGUCUAUGUAUUCACACAUGUAUUACGAUUUCCGGACAAUACAAUUAUAGCAUGAAUAAUAGACAAUUACCAUGAACAAAGAAAUAUAAUAAUAACCAUUUAUUAUUGCCUCUAGGGCAUAUUUCCAACAAUAACUUGAUCUGAAGUUUCAUGAUCAUCAUCAUUAAUUUCCUCAGUAAUUGGUGUAGGUGUCUCAGAAACUGGUUUCUGUGAUGAACUACUUUCCAAUAAGGGAGCAUGUAUAGUUACCUCAUCAAGUUCUACUUUCCUCCCACUCACUUCUUUCGAGAGAAACUCCUUCUCUAGAAAAUUUCCGAAUUUAGCAACAAAAGUUUUGCCUGCGGAUCUGUGAUAGAAGGUAUACCCAACAGUCUCCUUUGGGUAUCCUUUGAAGACACAUUUCUCCGGUUUGGGUUCGAGCUUAUCAGGUUGAUGUUUCUUCACAUAAGCAUCGCAGCCCCAAACUUUAAGAAGCGACAACUUUGGUUUCUUGCCAAACCACAGUUCAUAAGGCGUCGUCUCAACGGAUUUUGAUGGUGCCCUAUUUAACGUGAAUGCAGCCGUCUCUAAAGCAUAACCCCAAAACGAUAGCGGUAAAUCAGUAAGAGACAUCAUAGAUCGCACCAUAUCUAGUAAAGUGCGAUUAUGACGUUCGGACACACCAUUACGCUGUGGUGUUCCGGGUGGCGUGAGUUGCGAAACUAUUCCGCAUUGUUUCAAAUGUAGACCAAACUCGUAACUCAAAUAUUCUCCUCCAUGAUCUGAUCGUAGAAACUUUAUUUUCUUGUUACGAUGAUUUUCAACUUCACUCUGAAAUUCUUUGAACUUUUCAAAUGUUUCAGACUUAUGUUUCAUUAAGUAGAUAUACCCAUAUCUGCUUAAAUCAUCUGUGAAGGUGAGAAAAUAACGAUAUCCGCCACGAGUAUCAACAUUCAUCAGACCACAUACAUCUGUAUGUAUGAUUUCCAUCAAAUCUGUUGCUCUCUCCAUAGUUCUGGAGAACGGUGUUUUAGUCAUCUUGCCCAUGAGGCACGGUUCGCAAGUACCAAGUGAUUCAUAAUCAAGUGGUUCCAAAAGUCCAUCAGUAUGGAGUUUCUUCAUGCGCUUUACACCGAUAUGACCUAAACGGCAGUGCCACAAAUAAGUUGCACUAUCAUUAUCAACUCUGUAGCUUUUGGUUUCAAAAUUAUGAAUAUGUGUAUCACUACUAUCGAGAUUCAACAAAAAUAGACCACUCUUCAAGGGUGCAUGACCAUAAAAGAUAUUACUCAUAUAAAUAGAACAACCAUUAUUCUCUGAUUUAAAUGAAUAACCGUCUCGCAUCAAACAAGAUCCAGAUAUAAUGUUCAUGCUUAACGCUGGCACCAAAUAGCAAUUAUUUAGGUCUAAAACUAAUCCCGAAGGUAGAUGUAGAGGUAGCGUGCCGACCGCGAUCACAUCGACUUUGGAACCAUUUCCCACACGCAUCGUCACCUCGUCCUUAGCCAAUCUUCGCUUAAUCCGUAGCCCCUGUUUCGAGUUGCAAAUAUUAGCAACAGAACCAGUAUCAAAUACCCAGGUGCUACUGCGAGUAUUAGUAAGGUACACAUCAAUAACAUGUAUAUCACAUAUACCUUUGUUCACCUUGCCAUCCUUCUUAUCCGCCAAAUACUUUGGGCAGUUCCGCUUCCAGUGACCAGUUUGCUUGCAGUAAAAGCACUCAGUUUCAGGCUUAGGUCCAGACUUGGGUUUCUUCUCUUGAGCAGCGACUUGUUUGCUGUUCUUCUUGAAGUUCCCUUUCUUCUUCCCUUUACCCUUUUUCUUGAAACUGGUGGUCUUAUUGACCAUCAACACUUGAUGCUCCUUUUUGAUUUCUACCUCCGCAGCCUUUAGCAUUGCGAAGAGCUCGGGAAUUGUCUUACUCAUCCCUUGCAUAUUAUAGUUCAUCACGAAGCUCGUGUAGCUUGGUGGCAGUGAUUGAAGAAUUCUGUCAAUAACGCUAUCAUCCGGAAGAUUAACUCCCAGUUGAAUCAAGUGAUUGUUAUACCCAGACAUUUUGAGUAUAUGCUCACUGACAGAACUAUUCUCUUCCAUCUUGCAGCUGAAGAACCUAUUGGAGACUUCAUAUCUCUCAAUUCAUGCAUUUGCUUGAAAUAUUAACUUCAACUCCUGGAACAUCUCAUAUGCUCCAUGACGUUCAAAACAUCGUUGAAGACCAGGUUCUAAGGCGUAAAGCAUGGCACACUGAACUAUCGAGUAGUCAUCAGCUUUGCUCUGCCAGACGUUCAUAACAUCUGGUGUUGCUCCUGCAGCAGGCCUGGCACCCAGCGCUGCUUCCAGGACGUAAUUCUUCUGUGCAGCAAUGAGGAUAAUCAUCAAGUUACGGACCCAGUCCGUGUAAUUGCUACCAUCAUCUUUCAACUUUGCUUUCUCAAGAAACGCAUUAAAAUUCAACGGAACAACAGCACGGGCCAUCUAUCUACAAUUUACAUAGACAAGUAAAAGACUAUCAGGUACUAAGUUCAUGAUAAAUUCAAGUUCAAUUAAUCAUAUUACUUAAGAACUCCCACUUAGAUAGACAUCCCUCCAAUCCUCUAAGUGAUGACGUGAUCCAUAUCAACUAAACCAUGUCCGAUCAUCACGUGAGAUGGAGUAGUUUCAACGGUGAACAUCACUAUGUUGAUCAUAUCUACUAUAUGAUUCACGCUCGACCUUUCGGUCUCCGUGUUCCGAGGCCAUAUCUGUUAUAUGCUAGGCUCGUCAAGUUUAACCUGAGUAUUCCGCGUGUGCAACUGUUUUGCACCCGUUGUAUUUGAACGUAGAGCCUAUCACACCCGAUCAUCACGUGGUGUCUCAGCACGAAGAACUUUCGCAACGAUGCAUACUCAGGGAGAACACUUAUACUUUGAUAAUUUAGUGAAGGAUCAUCUUAUAAUGCUACCGUCAAACAAAGCAAGAUAAGAUGCAUAAAGGAUUAACAUCACAUGCAAUCAAUAUAAGUGAUAUGAUAUGGCCAUCAUCAUCUUGUGCUUGUGAUCUCCAUCUCCGAAACACCGUGCUUGUGAUCUCCAUCUCCGAAGCACCGUCAUGAACACCAACGUCACCGGCGCGACACCUUGAUCUCCAUCGUAGUAUCGUUGUCGUCUCGCCAACUAAUUGCUUUUACGACUAUCGCUACCGCUUAGUGAUAAAGUAAAACUAUUACAUGGCGAUUGCAUUUCAUACAAUAAAACGACAACCAUAUGGCUCCUGCCAGUUGCCGAUAACUCGGUUACAAAACAUGAUCAUCUCAUACAACAAAUUAUAUUACAUCAUGUCUUGACCAUAUCACAUCACAACAUGCCCUGCAAAAACAAGUUAGACGUCCUCUACUUUGUUGUUGCAAGUUUUACGUGGCUGCUACGGGCUUAGCAAGAACCGUUCUUACCUACGCAUCAAAACCACAACGAUAGUUUGUCAAGUUGGUGCUGUUUUAACCUUCGCAAGGACCGGGCGUAGCCACACUCGGUUCAACUAAAGUGAGAGAGACAGACACCCGCUAGUCACCUUUAAGCAACGAGUGCUCGCAACGGUGAAACCAGUCUCGCGUAAGCGUACGCGUAAUGUCGGUCCGGGCCGCUUCAUCUCACAAUACCGCUGAACCAAAGUAUGACAUGCUGGUAAGCAGUAUGACUUAUAUCGCCCACAACUCACUUGUGUUCUACUCGUGCAUAGCAUCGACGCAUAAAACCAGGCUCGGAUGCCACUAUUGGGGAACGUAGUAAUUUCAAAAAAUUUCCUACGCACAUGCAAGAUCAUGGUGAUGCAUAGCAACGACAGGGGAGAGUGUUGUCCACGUACCCUCGUAGACCGAGAGCGAAAGCGUUAUCACAACGCGGUUGAUGUAGUCGUAUGUCUUCACGAUCCGACCGAUCAAGUACCGAACGUACGGCACCUUCGAGUUCUACACACGUUCAGCUCGAUGACGUCCCUCGAACUCCAAUCCAGCCGAGUGUUGAGGGAGAGUUUCGUCAGCAUGACGGCGUGGUGACGAUGAUGAUAUUCCACCGACGCAGGGCUUCGCCUAAGCUCCGCAACAGUAUUAUCGAGGUGUAAUAUGGUGGAGGGGGCACCGCACACGGCUAAGAGAUCUCAAGGAUCAAUUGUUGUGUCUCUGGGGUGCCCCCCUGCCCCCGUAUAUAAAGGAGCAAGGGGGAGGCAGCCGGCCAAGGGGAGAGGCGCGCCAUAGGGGGGAGUCCUACUCCCACCGGGAGUAGGACUCCUCCUUUCCUUGUGGGAGUAGGAGAAGGGAAGGGGGAAGGAGAAAGAAGGAAGGGUGCGCCCCCCUUCCCUAGUCUAAUUCGGACCAGACCAUGGGGAGGGGUGCGGCCAACUUUUGAGGCCUUUCUCUCCUUUCCCGUAUGGCCCAUUAAGGCCGAAUACGAAUUCCCGUAACUCUCCGGUACUCCGAAAAAUACCCGAAUCACUCGGAACCUUUCCGAAGUCCGAAUAUAGUCGUCCAAUAUAUCGAUCUUUACGUCUCGGCCAUUUCAAGACUCCUCGUCAUGUCCCCGAUCUCAUCCGGGACUCCGAACUCCUUCGGUACAUCAAAACUCAAUAAAACUGUCAUCGUAACGUUAAGCGUGCGGACCCUACGGGUUCGAGAACUAUGUAGACAUGACCGAGACAUGUCUCCGGUCAAUAACCAAUAGCGGGACCUGGAUGCCCAUAUUGUCUCCCACAUAUUCUACGAAGAUCUUUAUCGGUCAGACCGCAUAACAACAUGCGUUGUUCCCUUUGUCACCGGUAUGUUACUUGCCCGAGAUUUGAUCGUCGGUAUCUCGAUACCUAGUUCAAUCUCGUUACCGGCAAGUCUCUUUACUCGUUCCGUAACACAUCAUCCCGCAACUAACUCAUUAGUCACAAUGCUUGCAAGUCUUAUAGUGAUGUGCAUUACCGAGUGGGCCCAGAGAUACCUCUCCGACAAUUGGAGUGACAAAUCCUAAUCUCGAAAUACGCCAACCCAACAAGUACCUUUGGAGACACUUGUAGAGCACCUUUAUAAUCACCCAUUUACGUUGUGACGUUUGGUAGCACACAAAGUGUUCCUCCGGUAAACGGGAGUUGCAUAAUCUCAUAGUCAUAGGAACAUGUAUAAGUCAUGAAGAAAGCAAUAGCAACAUACUAAACGAUCGGAUGCUAAGCUAACGGAAUGGGCCAAGUCAAUCACGUCAUUCUCCUAAUGAGGUGAUCUCGUUAAUCAAAUGACAACUUAUGUCUAUGGAUAGGAAACAUAACCAUCUUUGAUUAACGAGCUAGUCAAGUAGAGGCAUACUAGUGACACUCUGUUUGUCUAUAUAUUCACACAUGUAUUAUGUUUCCGGUUAAUACAAUUCUAGCAUGAAUAAUAAACAUUUAUCAUGAUAUAAGGAAAUAAAUAAUACUUUAUUAUUGCCUCUAGGGCAUAUUUUCUUCAAUGCAAUCACCAUGUAAUAGUUUUACUUUAUCACUAAGCGGUAGCGAUAGUCGUAAAAGCAAUUAUUUGGCGAGACGACAACGAUACUACGAUGGAGAUCAAGGUGUCGCGCCGGUGACGAUGGUGAUCAUGACGGUGCUUCGGAGAUGGAGAUCACAAGCAUGGUGCUUCGGAGAUGGAGAUCACAAGCACAAGAUGAUGAUGGCCAUAUCAUAUCACUUAUAUUGAUUGCAUGUGAUGUUAAUCCUUUAUGCAUCUUAUCUUGCUUUGAUUGACGGUAGCAUUAUAAGAUGAUCUCUCACUAAAAUUUCAAGAUAAAAGUGUUCUCCCUGAGUAUGCACUGUUGCGAAAGUUCUUCGUGCUGAGACACCACGUGUUAAUCGGGUGUGAUAGGCUCUACGUUCAAAUACAACUGUUGCAAAACAGUUGCACACGCAGAAUACUCAGGUUAAACUUGACGAGCCUACAUAUACAGAUAUGGCCUCGGAACACAGAGACCGAAAGGUCGAGCGUGAAUCAUAUAGUAGAUAUGAUCAACAUAGUGAUGUUCACCAUUGAAACUACUCCAUCUCACGUGUUAAUCGGACAUGGUUUAGUUGCUUUGGAUCACGUAAUCACUUAGAUGAUUAGAGGGAUGUCUAUCUAAGUGGGAGUUCUUAAGUAAUAUGAUUAAUUGAACUUAAAUUUAUCAUGAACUUAGUACCUGAUAGUAUCUUGCUUGUCUAUGUUAAUUGUAGAUAAAUGGCCCGUGCUGUUGUUCCGUUGAAUUUUAAUGCGUUCCUUGAGAAAGCUAAGUUGAAAGAUGAUGGUAGCAAUUACACGGACUGGGUCCGUAACUUGAGGAUUAUCCUCAUUGCUGCACAGAAGAAUUACGUCCUAGAAGCACCGCUAGGUGCCAGGCCUCCUGCAAGAGCGACGCCAGAAGUUAUGAACGUCUGGCAGAGCAAAGCUGAUGACUACUCAAUAGUUCAGUGUGCCAUGCUUUACGGCUUAGAACCGGGUCUUCAACGACAUUUUGAACGUCAUGGAGCAUAUGAGAUGUUCCAGGAGUUGAAGUUAAUAUUUCAAGCAAAUGCCCGGAUUGAGAGAUAUGAAGUCUCCAAUAAGUUCUAUAGCUGCAAGAUGGAAGAGAAUAGUUCUGUCAGUGAGCAUAUACUCAGAAUGUCUGGGUGUAAUAAUCACUUGAUUCAACUGGGAGUUCAACUUCCGAAUGAUUGCGUCAUUGACAGAAUUCUUCAAUCACUGCCACCAAGCUACAAGAGCUUCGUGGUGAACUAUAACAUGCAAGGGAUGGAUAAGACAAUUCCCGAGCUCUUCGCAAUGCUAAAGGCAGCGGAGGUAGAAAUCAAAAAGGAGCAUCAAGUGCUGAUGGUCAGUAAAACCACUAGUUUCAAGAAAAAGGGCAAAGGGAAGAAGAAAAGGAACUUCAAGAAGAACAGCAAGCAAGUUGUUAUUCAGGACAAGAAAUCCAAGUCUGGACCUAAGCCUGAAACUGAGUGCUUCUACUGUAAGCAGACUGGUCACUGGAAGCGGAACUGCCCCAAGUAUUUGGCGGAUAAGAAGGAUGGCAAGGUUAACAAAGGUAUAUGUGAUAUACAUGUUAUUGAUGUGUACCUUAGUAAUACUCGCAGUAGCACCUGGGUAUUUGAUACUAGUUCUGUUGCUAAUAUUUGCAACUCGAAACAGGGGCUACGGAUUAAGCGAAGAUUGGCUAAGGACGAGGUGACGAUGCGCGUGGGAAAUGGUUCCAAAGUCGAUGUGAUCGCCGUCGGCACGCUACCUCUACAUCUACCUUCGGGAUUAGUUUUAGACCUAAAUAAUUGUUAUUUGGUGCCAGCGUUGAGCAUGAACAUUAUAUCUGGAUCUUGUUUAAUGCGAGAUGGUUAUUCAUUUAAAUCAGAGAAUAAUGGUUGUUCUAUUUAUAUGAAUAACAUCUUUUAUGGUCAUGCACCCUUGAAGAGUGGUCUAUUUUUAAUGAAUCUCGAUAGUAGUGAUACACAUAUUCAUAAUGUCGAAGCCAAAAGAUGCAGAGUUAAUAACGACAGUGCAACUUAUUUGUGGCACUGCCGUUUGGGUCAUAUCGGUGUAAAGCGCAUGAAGAAACUCCAUACUGAUGGAAUUUUGGAAUCACUUGAUUUUGAAUCACUUGGUACUUGCGAACUGUGCCUCAUGGGCAAGAUGACCAAAACACCGUUCUCCGGAACUAUGGAGAGAGCAACAGAUUUGUUGGAAAUCAUACAUACAGAUGUAUGUGGUCCGAUGAAUAUUGAGGAUCGUGGCGUAUAUCGUUAUUUUCUCACCUUCACAGAUGAUUUGAGCAGAUAUGGGUAUAUCUACUUAAUGAAACAUAAGUCGGAAACAUUUGAAAAGUUCAAAGAAUUUCAGAGUGAAGUUGAAAAUCAUCGUAACAAGAAAAUAAAGUUCCUACGAUCUGAUCGUGGAGGAGAAUAUAUGAGUUACGAGUUUGGUCUACAUUGAAACAAUGUGGAAUAGUUUCGCAACUCACGCCACCCGGAACACCACAGCGUAAUGGUGUGUCCGAACGUCGUAAUCGUACUUUAUUAGAUAUAGUGCGAUCUAUGAUGUCUCUUACUGAUUUACCGCUAUCAUUUUGGGGUUAUGCUUUAGAGACGGCUGCAUUCACUCUAAAUAGGACACCAUCGAAAUCCGUUGAGACGACGCCUUAUGAACUAUGGUUCGGCAAGAAACCAAAGUUGUCGUAUCUUAAAGUUUGGGGUUCCGAUGCUUAUGUGAAGAAACUUCAACCUGAUAAGCUCGAACCUAAAUCGGAGAAAUGUGUCUUCAUAGGAUACCCAAAAGAGACUGCUGGGUAUACCUUCUAUCACAGAUCCGAAGGCAAGAUAUUCGUUGCUAGGAAUGGAUCCUUUCUAGAGAAGGAGUUUCUCUCGAAAGAUGUGAGUGGGAGGAAAGUAGAACUUGAUGAGGUAACUGUACCUGCUCCCUUAUUGGAAAGUAGAUCAUCGCAGAAAUCAGUUUCUGCGACACCUACACCAAGUAGUGAGGAAGUUAAUGAUAAUGAUCAUUAAAGUUCAGAUCAAGUUAUUACUGAACCUCGUAGGUCAACUAGAUCAAGAUCCGCACCAGAGUGGUACGGUAAUCCUGUUCUGGAGGUCAUGUUACUAGACCAUGACGAACCUACGAACUAUGAAGAAGCGAUGGUGAGCCCAGAUUCCGCAAAAUGGCUUGAAGCCAUGAAAUCCGAGAUGGGAUCCAUGUAUGAGAACAAAGUAUGGACUUUGGUUGACUUGCCUGAUGGUCGGCAAGCCAUUGAAAACAAAUGGAUCUUCAAGAAGAAGACUGACGCUGAUGGUAAUGUUACUGUCUAUAAAGCUCGACUUGUUUCGAAAGGUUUUCGACAAGUUCAAGGGAUUGACUACGAUGAGACCUUCUCACCCGUAGCGAUGCUUAAGACUAUCCGAAUCAUGUUAGCAAUUGCCGCAUUUUAUGAUUAUGAAAUUUGGCAAAUGGAUGUCAAAACUGCAUUCCUGAAUGGAUUUCUGGAAGAAGAGUUGUAUAUGAUGCAACCGGAAGGUUUUGUCGAUCCAAAGGGAGCUAACAAAGUGUGCAAGCUCCAGCGAUCCAUUUAUGGACUGGUGCAAGCCUCUCGGAGUUGGAAUAAACGCUUUGAUAGUGUGAUCAAAGCAUUUGGAUUUAUACAGACUUUUGGAGAAGCCUGUAUUUACAAGAAAGUGAGUGGGAGCUCGAUAGCAUUUCUGAUAUUAUAUGUGGAUGACAUAUUACUGAUUGGAAAUGAUAUAGAAUUUCUGGAUAGCAUAAAGGGAUACUUGAAUAAAAGUUUUUCAAUGAAAGGCCGUGGUAAAGCUUCAUAUAUAUUAGGCAUUAAGAUCUAUAGAGAUAGAUCACGAUGCUUAAUUGGACUUUCACAAAGCACAUACCUUGUCAAAGUUUUGAAGAAGUUCAAAAUGGAUCAAGCAAAGAAAGGGUUCUUGCCUGUACUACAAGGUGUGAGAUUGAGUAAGACUCAAUGCCCGACCACUGCAGAAGAUAGAGAGAAGAUGAAAGAUGUUCCCUAUGCUUCAGCCAUAGGCUCUAUCAUGUAUGCAAUGCUGUGUACCAGACCUGAUGUGUCCCUUGCUAUAAGUUUAGCAGGGAGGUACCAAAGUAAUCCAGGAGUGGAUCACUGGACAUCGUUCAAGAACAUCCUGAAAUACCAGAAAAGGACUAAGGAUAUGUUUCUCGUUUAUGGAGGUGACAAAGAGCUCAUCGUAAGUGGUUACGUUGAUGCAAGCUUUGACACUGAUCCGGACGAUUCGAAAUCGCAAACCGGAUACGUAUUUACAUUGAACGGUGGAGCUGUCAGUUGGUGCAGUUCUAAGCAAAGUGUCGUGGCGGGAUCUACGUGUGAAGCGGAAUACAUAGCUGCUUCGGAAGCAGCAAAUGAAGGAGUCUGGAUGAAGGAGUUCGUAUCCGAUCUAGGUGUCAUACCUAGUACAUCGGGACCAAUGAAAAUCUUCUGUGACAAUACUGGUGCAAUUGCCUUAGCAAAGGAAUCCAUAUUUCACAAGAGAACCAAGCACAUCAGAAGACUCUUCAAUUCCAUCCGGGAUUUAGUCCAAGUGGGAGACAUAGAAAUUUGCAAGAUACAUACGGAUCUGAAUGUUGCAGACCCGUUGACUAAGCCUCUUCCACGAGCAAAACAUGAUUAGCACCAAGACUCCAUGGGUGUAAGAACCAUUACUAUGUAAUCUAGAUUAUUGACUCUAGUGCAAGUGGGAGACUGAAGGAAAUAUGGCCUAGAGGCAAUAAUAAAGUAAUAUAUAUUUCCUUAUAUCAUGAUAAAUGUUCAUUAUUCAUGCUAGAAUUGUAUUAACCGGAAACAUAAUACAUGUGUGAAUACAUAGACAAACAUAGUGUCACUAGUAUGCCUCUACUUGACUAGCUCAUUGAUCAAAGAUGGUUAUGUUUCCUAGCCAUAGACAUGAGUUGUCAUUCGAUUAACGGGAUCACAUCAUUAGGAGAAUGAUGUGAUUGACUUGACCCAUUCCGUUAGCUUAGCACACGAUCGUUUAGUAUUCUGCUAUUGCUUUCUUCAUGACUUAUACAUGUUCCUAUGACUAUGAGAUUAUGCAACUCCCGUUUACCAGAGGAACAAUUUGUGUGCUACCAAACGUCACAACGUAACUGGGUGAUUAUAAAGGUGCUUUACAGGUGUCUCCGAAGGUACUUGUUGGGUUGGCGUAUUUCGAGAUUAGGAUUUGUCACUCCGAUUGUCGUAGAGGUAUCUCUGGGCCCACUUGGUAAUGCACAUCACUUAAGCCUUGCAAGCAUUGCAACUAAUGAGUUAGUUGCGGGAUGAUGUAUUACGGAACGAGUAAAGAGACUUGCCGGUAACGAGAUUGAACUAGGUAUUGAGAUACCGACGAUCGAAUCUCGGGAAUGUAACAUACCGAUGACAAAGGGAACAGCGUAUGUUGUUAUGCGGUCUGACUGAUAAAGAUCUUCGUAGAAUAUGAGGGAGCCAACAUGAGCAUCCAGGUUCCGCUAUUGGUUAUUGAUCGGAGACGUGUCUCGGUCAUGUCUGCAUAGUUCUCGAACCCGUAGGGUCCGCACGCUUAAAGUUCGAUGACGGUUAUAUUACGAGUUUAUGUGUUUUGAUGUACCGAAGGUAGUUCGGAGUCCCGGAUGAGAUCGGGGACAUGACGAGGAGUCUCGAAAUGGUCGAGACGUAAAGCUCGAUAUAUUGGAAGACUAUAUUCGGUCAUCGGAAAGGUUCCGAGUGAUUCGAGUAUUUUUCGGAGUACCGGAGAGUUACGGGAAUUCGCCGGGGAGUAUAUGGGCCUUAUUGGCUUUAGGGGAAAGAGAGAGGAGAGGCUGAGCGCCCCCCCCCCCUGGCCUAGUCCGAAUUGGACUAGGGGGAGGGGCUGCGCCCCCUCCUUUCUUCGCUUCUCUCUCCCCUUUCCUUGACUCCUACUCCUACUACUUGGAAGGGCGGGGAAUCCUACUCCCGGUGGGAGUAGGACUCCUCCUGGCGCGCCUCCUCCUGGCCGACCGCACCACCCCCCUGUUUCCUUUAUAUACGGGGGCAGAGGGGCACCCCCAAAGACACAACAAUUGAUCGUUUGAUCUUUUAGUCGUGUGCGGUGCCCCCCUCCGCCAUAGUCCACCUUGAUAAUACUGUAGCGGUGCUUAGGCGAAGCCCUGCGUCGGUAGAACAUCAUCAUCGUCACCACGCCAUUGUGCUGACGAAAAUCUCCCUCAACACUCGGCUGGAUCGGACUUCGAGGGACGUCAUCGGGCUGAACGUGUGCUGAACUCGGAGGUGCCGUGCGUUCGGUACUUGAUCGGUCGGAUCGUGAAGACGUACGACUACAUCAACCGCGUUGUGCUAACGCUUCCGCUUUCGGUCUACGUGGGUACGUGGACAACACUCUCCCCUCUCGUUGUUAUGCAUCACCAUGAUCUUGCGUGUGCGUAGGAAAAUUUUGAAAUUACUACGUUCCCCAACAGCCACCACCACCACCACUAUGUCGACUGUGCUAGUCAAGGUGCGCCAGCAGCCUUGCAACUAGCAAGCUGUUCGGCAUCUACUUCCAGCCGAGUUUUCGUCAUGCGGCGGUAAGAAAUUAGAUGAAAUGUAACAACUAUUUUAUUUUUAGUGUUGGCAUUACUGCAUUGUGUCAUUGUGCUUUUUUUACACAGAUCGUCCCAUGCAAUGUGAGGUUGAAAUUCAACAAGCUGACAGGAGACACUGUGACAUUUCAGGCUCCUGGGGGGCCGUACACUAUGGAGGUCGAGAAAGGACGCAAUAUGUCUUUGAUUGGUGGAGAUGGAUGGGCCUUUUUCCACGCCCACAUGCGUCUUACUGGUGGUGAGUUGAUCAGCUUCUCCUUCAGAGAAGAAAGACCCAAGCUGGUUGUCAUUUAUCUCAACCUGGUGGAAGAUGAUGAAGAUGAUGAAGAUGAUGAAGAUGACGAAGAUGAUGAAGAUGACGAAGAUGAUGAAGAUAAUGAGGACCCACUCGAUGAAGAUGAUGAGAACCCACUUCAUGAAGCCAUCGUAGCUCAAAGAAUGCUUUAUUGUUAUACUUACAAAUGCAAAUUAUUCGAUGAUAUGCUUAGUGUAGAGUCCAAUGAUAUGCUUUGUGGAAUCUAGUCGAUGAUAUGCUUUAGUGUAGAGUCUGAUCACAUGCUCUUAUUAGUGUAGAAUCCAAGGAACUAUUAAUAGUGUAGAUAAUCCAUAUAUAUACAUAUUACUGAAUUCAUGAUUAGUUAGUAUAAAUGCGUAGUAGUGUGUCUUUUGAUAGUGUAGAAAUCUAGAUUUAAUAGAAAUAUAUUUGCAAGGGUAUGUGCGAGGCUAUUUAUUAAUUGAUACGUUUUUCUUAUUCAGAAAUUACCAAAGAACCUAUUUGUGAGUUGUGAUAUCGAGCCUGAUGAAGAAGGCUCAGCUGGACUACGCCUUACCGCAAGGGGCUCCGUCACCACCUGUACUUACCGCAUGGACACAGACGGUCGCACACACUUAAACUCGGUUGGGUGGAAGAGAUUCCUCGUUGACAAGAAUCUUCCUGUUGGACAGGCCGUCCUAAUUACUAUCAGGAACACCCACCGCCCAGGCUUGAGGAUGAUGAUCGUCAUCGAUAUCAUCUAGAACUACAUAUGUGUGUGUGUGGCUAUAUCAUCUAGAACUACAUAUGAUGAUUCGAUAUCAUGUAGAACUACAAAUGAUGAUCGUCGUUGAUAUCAUCUAGAACUACAUAUGAUGAUUCGAUAUCAUGUAGAACUACAAAUGAUGAUCGUCGUUGAUAUCAUCUAGAACUACAUAUGAUGAUCGUCGUCGAUAUCAUCUAGAACUACAUAUGAUAAUCAUCGUCGAUAUCACCUUGUACUGUUGAGGAUGCAUGUUGAGUAUAUAUGAAAUUGUUAUCUAGUACUCCCUCCGUUCCAAAUUACUCGUCAUGGUUUUAGUUCAAAUUUGAACUAAAACUACGACGAGUAAUUUGGAACCGAGGGAGUACUAUCUAGUACCUAUAAUGCUUUAUGAAACUGAUAUCUAGUAGUACCUAGUAUCUGGAAAUUGCAGUUUAUGGAAGCUGAAAUGGGGUAGGAAGCCGGGGGGAAAUGAUGAAAGAUAUAGCAGUAGCGCGGGGCCAGGAAAUCGCUACAGCUAAUUAAUAGUAGCGCGUUCCGGAAACGCGCUGCUGAAAUAGUCCAUAGUAGUAGCGCGGUCUAGUCCAUAGUAGUAGCGCGGGUACAGACCGUGCUACUACUAACAGUUAGCUGUAGCGCUUUAUUGGUAGCGCAGUUGCCCGCGCUGCUGAUAGCCUCAAAACCCGCGCUACUACUAGGUUUUCCCUAGUAGUGCAGUGCUGGCUUUGCACAGACCGGUGCUCGUCGAUGCUAGCCUCCCUCCUUAGCCGCGGGGUCGGUGAGGUGGCACCUGUGUCGCGGGUCUCCUCGGUGGAGGCCGAAGCCAUCGAUCUUCUUUAAUCUUGGCAGCCUCCGUCAGAUCUUGCCCUUAGUAGCCUUUUGUCACCAAAGCUGGUCCUUUAUGCACCAGGAGAAAUCUAAGAAAAGCUGUGCCGAUCACGACGGCCGCCACACCCAUUGGUGUCGGCCCGCUUCUUGUAGCUGUCAUCUAGGCUAUCCCCUUCCUCCUCCUCAUCCGCUCUUCUUGUGUACCAGGUGAAAACCUAGAUCCUCUCCGAAUUGGGGGGCAACGGUGCUACGGGCAUCGUCAUCCCCCAUGGGUUCCAUCAGAGGAAGGUGGAUGUGUGUUUUUUGUAUGUAUGGAGGUGGAUGGUGUGGCUUGGUUGGAGCCCACGUACCAGUGUCUCUAUGUGCAAGGUCGCUACUGUUCGACCUUUUUUGGUGCUCCUUGGCCAUUUGUGGAUGGCAAAGCUCUAUGCUUUCCUGGCAGACUAGAUAUUGCCUCUGAGCUCCGUCUCGACAUCCUCCCUUUCUUUGAUGAUGUGUCUUUAGUCACCCCAUCGUGCUUUGCCUUCUUCUCAUGUGUUGACCUAUAUGAGUGCCUAAGUCCCUUUUGUUGUGCUCGUUGUGGCAUGGUGUUGGUGCUCCAAUUUGUUCUUCAGGAUGGCAAUGGCGUUGGUGCAAUCUUUAUCUCCCGGGGGAGCGUCUCCAUCUUCCGAGGGAGCAGCAGCUUUUGUGCUAGCGAUAGGGGCAGGGACCCCCUCGCCCCCCUCUCUCUCAGUGAUGGAGGAGGAUGCCACCGUGUUGUCCAGAUACCAUGGAGAUUACGUGAGCGCCUUUCCACCUCUUGCUUCUUUCCAUCAAGGGCGUGAUGUCUCAGUUGGCUAAUUGUUCACACUUGAGGGCUUCAUCGUCCAAGCUAUUGCGUGCCAUAGUUUUCCCAUAUUUGCUUGUAGAUUGGGUGGAGCCUAUUAGUACUGCUUAGGAUCUUGUAUCUUUUCGCCCUUUUUUGUUUCUUUUUCUUUGUAAGCCGUAGGUGGUAAUCUCCUGGCUGAUUGAUGGCUUUGUUAACAAUAGAUAUGUAGUUGAAACAUGCAAUGAGCUAUAUAAUCAUCAUAUAUACAAUCAGGGAAUGCUAUGAGGUACAAAGUAUGCUUGAGCAGACGCACAAGCCAGCGAGCAUCUCCUAUCCACACACACAAUACCAAACCAAAGUAACUGUCCAGAUCAUGUUCAUUCUAGCUGUACGGCACAAACAAAACAUCGGGCUGCAUAUACUCCCUCCAUUCCAAAAUAUAGUGCGCCCGCGCUUCCCGAGGUCCAACUUUGACCAUAAAUUUAAACAACGAGACCGACUGUGGAGGGAGAAAAAAUUAGAUAAUUGAAAACUUCUUUUGAAACAAAUUCACUGGUAUAACUUUUGCUCCCGCCGCAGUCGGUCUCGUUGGUUAAAUUUAUGAUCAAAGAUGAAGCACGUGAAUAGAGGAAACACUAUAUUUUAAAACGGAGGAAGCAUAAAAGAAAUAAAAACCCACGAAGAUUCCAUGGACCAACAAAAUAACUCUCUAUGGUUAAACACUUGUAGGAGAGGGGCUUGUUCCAGCGGAGUCCGAAACAAACUAAAGCCUACUUUUUAGCACUACUAACAGUAGAAGAUCGACCCCCACGGUCGUGGUCAUUGAGCCGAUGGCCACGAGCUCAAAGGUAGCAAGGAACCAGAGGCGGGAACUCACCAUGGGCAUUGUGUACUCGAUGCCGAGCAGUCAGCGGGUGCGUCCAACGGAAGAGGCUAGUGCCACAGACCUCCUGGAUGAACCCCUUGUCCUCUAUUAGAAUCUUGAAUACCAUAGCAGAACAACCUCAUUAGAUAGCAGGCGACCAUGAGGAACUACACACACAUCAUGCAGCAGGAGUAAAUACAAGCUUAGGAAGCACAUGAGCUUUUAUGUAGGGACAAAUGUUUUGAUUUCUUGCAAAAUUUCGUCAUGGAAAGACAUUCGUGGACGACAUGUCAAAAAACAAUGCUUCAAAAACCGCUGUCAUCCGUCGUUGUGGCCGUCGGCUGCCGUCCUUUGCCAUCGCCAUAUACCGCCGUCGCCAUCCUCCGGGCUAAUGACGUUGCAUGGCGAGAGUCGAGACCCGAUGCUGGAGUCUCAUGACGUUGUCCUGUACGUCGGACUCGUCUUUUCUAAAACAUGUUUUUAGGAAUAACGUCUCAAGACCUGGUUUUUCCAAAAACGCCUUUUUCAAGGAUUAGGAGAACCAAGUUUUAAUUAUCCAUAAAUUAGUUAUAGGCUUGCCAGUAAUGUUUUAGUUUAAUUUGUUAGACCCUGAAAAGAGUUUGUACAUAUAUAACGAGUUCUCUAGAAAAUAGCGAUCGAAACAAUAACUCAAGUCUAUCUAGAUAUACAAAGCAAAUCCUAUCUAUACAAUGCGCGUCCCUGCCUUGUGUACUCUUGUAAGUGCCUUCAUCAAAAUCGAGGGACCGUAGGUCGCGAGAAAGAGAUUCCAAAACCAACACAAAUCCUUAGUUGGAGCCGAAUUCAACCAGGUACUCCUAUCAGCACGUAGUCCGCGUACGUAUGCGCGCCUAUAAAAAUAAAUACGAGAGCAAGCACGUCCCUCCACAGGAAAACCAUCGAGCCCGGCCACGGCGAGAUCGACAUCUCAUCGGCAGGUUCGGUCGCCGUCUCGUCGUCAGGGAGAGCGCAGCAACACCGUCGACCAUCGCGCGCCAUGGAGAGGCAGAGCACAGCAACAACAUCACCCACGCUGUCCUUGGAAGAAUCCGUUGCCGAUAUCGAGAUGUUGGAGGCCGUGGCCCAUAUCGAGAGGUUGGUGACAAAAUUAUUUGCCUACGCUGAGAGGGCCAUGAAGGCCUUCUGUGUGCAGGAGGGCAAAGGCGAAUGCCUGGACAAGGUCGGCGCCUGGGCUGCUGCGUGCUCGGGGCCGGACAUGAUGGCGUGCACUAGCGCGGAGGCGGCGCUGGACAAGUGCAUGCAGGGCAACUCCAGCUGAUUGAUUCAUCCACGCCUGCAGGCCACGUUACCUAAUUAAUUAGCCAUGUCUAGUUUCACUAUGGAUAUCUUAGGUAGAUUAAUUUCGAUUUUUUAUGAGUAACUACUUUCAGAUUCGUGUUAGUUGUUUCGGUACUGUCAUCUUGCACUCUUGUAAGCACUUUCGCAGUUACUAAACUAUAUGAUAUUUGUUCAGAAUUUUUAUUUGAAAUUUUCAAAAAUAUAAUAGUAGGAAUUUCUUCAUGCAGUGUAAUUUUUUUUAAAUAGUGAGGGGAGUAGCUAGAGUUAGCAGUUAAAUUCCUGCUUCCUGGCGUAAAAAAGGUCUACAGAAAUUCAAAAGACUCCCCUACGUCCCCCCUCCGGGAUGACUCAACAAACUCAACCCUAGUGCCGGCUACUGCGACAACAAUCCCGACUCACCUCCUUGUCUCCACUCGAGGGAUCGUGCUGGUGCAUCUCUCUGUUAGAAUAAAUCUGAGGCGCUCCGUCGACCUAACGAGGACCAAGCAAUCACACGAACCACGACACCGGAAUUUGUUAAUGAGGUUCGCCAAUAUCCUACAUCCCCAGGGCCGACUAUGGGCGCUCCUCCCUGUGACACCAUCACAGUACCGCACACCAGUCACCCGGGCGCCGGCACACGCCGCCGGCCCCCGUGCGUACUUGUGCUAUUAUGUUGGCAUAGGUUAUAUCGUGUGUCUACCCUCACUAUAUAUGAGAGACCUGUGAUAGAAGUGUCCUACCAGGACAUGACUUCAUACCUUGUCUACACACCGUACGACUCCAAGUCCAACUAUAACCUAACUGGUACAAUAAUAUUCGACACAACUCUAACAAACUCCACCAUGGUGAAUAUUCUCCACCAUUUUGGAUUCAUCCAUGCGUCGAACCUCCAUGUACAUUGGACUUGAGUUACGUCAUGAGCACCGCUGCUACUCCCAGACUCCACGUAACUCCACCUGCAACUGUAGUCCCUUCUCGUCUUCUUCAUAGUCAACGCUCGAGCAAAAUUAAGUUCAUCAUUACUCUACUUUGUGAUCCCAACUUCCGGAGAAUCGGUUCAAUGUCAUCACACACUGAUAACUUAUCUGCGUGAAAAUGAACAACUCACAUAUUGGACAUCACAUAUAAGAGUUACCUGGACUCAACAUCAUUGCUCUUUCUUGACCGUCUGUCUGAAAUUUGAAGGAAUUUCACUAUCGCCCUGUGUCACCCCGAGUCAAAUUUGCAGUUGUCUCACCCUUCUUCCGGUUAGUCUCUGGCAUUUCCCACAGCUAUAGCACUCUGCCUCCUUCUGUGUUCUUCCGAUCGGGCCGAUCCGAUCCGCCAUCUGCUUGUGCCUUGCGCGCGCCUGCACACGCGAGACCUACCGAGACCAUCCGCAGCCUCCUCGUAACCUUGCUCAUGAUAUCACUUGUUAGAAUAAAUUCGAGGCGCUCCGUCGAUCUACCAAGGACCAAGCAAUCACACUAGGCACGACACCGAGAUUUGUUAACGAGGUUCAUCGAUAUGGCUACAACCCCGGGGCCUGACUACGGGCGCUCCUCCCCGUGACACCGUCACAAUACCGCACAUCGGCCACCCAGGCGCCGGCACACCCCGCCGCCUCCCCUGCGUACCUGUGCUAUUAUGUUGGCAUAGGUUACAUCGUGUGUCUAUCCUUGUUAUAUAUGAGAGACCUAGGAUAGAAGUGUCCUACUAGGACACGACUCCAUACCUCGUCUACACACCGUAUGACUCGAAGUCCAACUGUAACCUAACUUGUACAAUAAUAUUCGACACAACUCUAACACUCACGGUAGCUCAGGAAGGUAGCAUUGAGGAUCUAGCUGCUUUGUACUUGGACGGGGCACCAAUAAAUCCAUGGCGGCAGCCUCGGCUGGUGGAUCAACGCUUUCUCUACAGUGACCGGUACUCGUCGAUUCCGCCGUCCUCCUCGGACGUGGGUGCGGCGAAGUGGUCAUGGUUUGUGCUUGUGCUGUGGGUCUCCUUGGGGGAGGCCGAACCCGAUCUAGAGCCGUCCAUCUUCUUCAACCUUGGCAGCCUCCACCCAAUCUUACCUUUGGUGGCCUGCGGUCACCGAAGCCGGUCAUUUAUGCACCAGAGAAAUCCAAGGCCAGUUGUGCUGACCACGACGACCCUGCUUCAUGUAGGCGUCGUCCAGGUUGUCCCCUUACCCCCUCCUCAUUCCCACUUCUCGUGUAGAAGGUGAAAACCUAGAUCUUGUCCAAAUUGGGCGGCAACAGAGCUCCGAGUGGCGUCACCCUGAUGGGGGUGCCAUCAUUGGUGCGCAUGGGGUGGAUGUGUACUUUUCUUGUUGUAUGGAGGUGGAUGGUGGCUUGGUCUUAGCUCUGUGUAAGCUCGCUCUUGUUCGUCUUCUUUUGGUGCUCUGUCCCCCUCCCCGCUCAUCCGUUUGUGUUAGGAUCUACGGUUGUUGUGGCUUCUGAUCCGGCGUGCAUCGUUCGCUAGGUUUCUGUGGGUGCAACCCAGCCAGCCCUACUUUGCAUGGACCUGCUCCUCGUGGGCGAUGUGCCCUGUUCGGUUGGGUCGGUAUCCCGGCCUCUCGGUUGAUUAAGUCAUUCCGGAAGCACUUUUUGUGUUUUGCAGAUACCAACUGAUUCUAGUUAACAAUGUAACAUGCAAAUUGAACUAUUUUCAAUCAUGUGGCUAUUCUACUGGUGUUUAGUUUUGAUUGCUUGUUAAUGUACGUUGUAGUCAUGCGUACCAUCACCCCACUACAAAGUAAGAGCAGAGAGUAGUCAAAGUUCAGUAGAGUAGCAUGUCGUUUCCUUCCCUGUUCAGUCUUAUUUAGCCUAACUUGCUUGUUUUUUUUUCUUUUUGCUGAGCUCCUCUAUACUGGUGCAUGUUCGAUGAAAAGAAUGUGUGAAGUGAGAAUCAAAUAACUUUAGCUAAGUUAACUCCGCUUUUCAGGUUAGCAUAUCAUAGCAAAGAAACCUAGACAAGAAAAAUUGAGAAAAUAGAAGUUUGUAUAGGUAAAUUACUACUCCCUCCUAUCUGUAUUAAUUGUUGCAGAUUUACUACAGAUAGGAGGGAGUAAUAGCUAAUGAUUUUCACUGUAGAAAUUCAAACCAUUUGUCAUUGUGAAGCAAACGAGUAGUUUGAGGAAGGCUCUAAAGCAAGUCUCUUGACCAAACAAGUCUCCACUGCACGAAACUGUAAUAAUCUAUGUGUCACGGGAGUGCUACUAUUCUGAAACAGAACAAUGUGGUGUGGUAAUAUCUUGUGAAGUACUCCCUCCGUACCAAAAUAUAUGAUAAUUUCCGGUUUAAAUGGAACUGCAAAACCGUCUUAUAUUUUGAUACAGAGGUAGUACUACUUUUCAAUCGUGAGGGAGGCUGGAAGUAAACAUGGUGUGGUAACAUCUUGUGAAGCACAUUUAUCUAUUUCCCUGAAUUCAAAUGUUGGUGAGGCACAAUCCUACUAGAGCAUGUACAAUGCACAUGUUUUUUCUACUGUGAGUGCUAGAGAGAAUCUUUUUUUCUUUGUUGUAUCAGAAUUUCUCGGUACUGAUUUCCUUCAUCUUUUUGCCUUCCCAUUAUACCCAACUAGUAUUACCGCCUUUUGCAUUUGAGAACAAAAAUGGUCACAUGAGUGCCUAUUGUGCAGCUAAUUUUCCAUGAAGCAUAUGUAAAGGGAUUUUCCAUUUGAGAGAAUGAGUUGUAAAAAAAUCCUCAUCGCUAGCUCUGCUCUAUUUUGAGACUCACUUGAAUGCACUUUGCUUCGCGUGUGUGUGCCCUUACAAGUUCAAAGCGCAGUGCUUGUGUAACUGCAAGUCAGGAAAGAAGGAGCAUUACAGGCUUAAUUUUGUGGCAAACAUUGAGAGUAUCAUGGCCCAUGCUUUGUCACCCAAAUAAUGUUGGAGAGUUUCUAGUCCUGCAAAAUAUCGUGCAACCUUUAAAUAUGAUGGCAAAACAUGAAACUGUAAGUAGACAUCGGGAAAGGAAACUGUUAACCUUUGGAACUAUCCACUCUCGAGAUUGGCCAGGACACCGCAUCGGCAAUGGGAUCUGGAAUUAAGAAAAGCUUUUGGACGUGAGUAUCUAAGAAAAUAGUAGUUGGAAACAACACUCUAUUUUCAGUGUCACGAGCCAAAAUAGAUUUACAGUCAGUAAAUGUUACCAUGGUAUUUUUGUUUUCCUCCAAUAUUGUGGACGAUUUGAAGUUGGAUAAAGAGAUAAACAAAUUAGUAUUCAUAUCCCACUCACUUAAUUGGGUAUCCUAAGGCAGAAGGUAUAUAUAGGACUCCCAUACAGAAUCAUGUGGUAGGUGUGAGCUAACCAUCCAGGAAACAUUGUUCACAUCAUUUGCUACACGAGAGUGCGCUACAAAAUCAUGCAUGUGGCCAUUUAACUUGUAUGUUUAGUUAUCGAUCCAUUUCCUAGGAAGUAUGGCUAUGAACAGAGUGAGUAGAAACAUUGUGUUUGAUUGGAGGAUAAUGCAACACAUGUUCACGAGAUAUAUACCUGUUGCAUCAACUGAGGAAAACAGGAUUGAGAUUAGCCUAAACUGCGGAGGAGAACCAUCAACUGAGGCCGGAAUUAUGAAUGGUAGAACAGAUUUGCCGAAACAUCCACUGCAUGUAACUGACUUUUGAAAAAAGGAAACUGCUAUAAUGUCUUCGUCUAGCGAUUCACGAAGCAAUGUUGCGCGAUCGAGGUUCAAAUUUACACAUAUGUUGAAUGUGAAAAUUGACACACAUCAUUGCUCCAAAGUUUAGACAACUGGAGAUAAGAAUGCAUCUCUCACAGAUGGUUAACUAAUUACCUACCAUGGCACCGUUUUCCUUAGCAUCUUUUGCCAUAGACAGAGUAUCCCAACUUGUACAAAAUUUGGGGGAAUGGUGAAGGAGAUAAUACACCCACAUUACAACAUAUCUGAACAAGAAAAAAACGUGAAGUUCACCAAAGCCGAUAAUAAUCAUGACACAGCCUAGUGCAUUAUUUAAAGCAAACACAUUUUUUUCCAUUUCCAUGCGGUAUUCGUCCUAUUUUCCUCCUAUAAAAAUAAUCUGAACAAGAUUAUUUGAAGCAAAACACAAUUCCCCUUUCCUGCAUCAUAAGGAGAAACAUUUCAGACACCCCAAACGGAUCAAGUGUAUUUCAGACAUCGAUGACAUACUUUUAACUAAUAACAUGAAGAUAAGAAUGCAUGCACUGUGUUCUACUCUACAGAAGACAACCCGAUAAAGUCUGUCAUGCUAGUUAGUUAAACAGUAUCCAAAUGCAUGCAAUGUGUUCUACUCUACAGAUGAUGAUACCUAAACAUACUAGAAAAAAUGGUUAAACAGGAGCUGACACCGCUGGUGCUUCACGACAAUUAAUUGAACAAACAGGUCACGGCCUGACGUUAAGUAGCUGCCAGUACAGGCAUAUAAAGCAGAGGAACAUGGCUCUCCUCUCGGGUGGCCGUCUUUGGCGGCAGCUUGCCACAGCUACGGCUAUGGCUACUUUGUGGAGCAUUACAAACAAGACAAUACUAUAAAGCCAGAAGUAAUCAUACUAUAAAUCUCAAUCACGCCUAGUCUGAUGUAACUUAAACGCUGGUUCAGGAAUAGCAGGGCACAUCACUGACCGACCCACUGACUACUGGAGGCUGUUCUGUAAAGAAACGGGGCUAUAGAAGCAUGUUAGCUAAUCUAGUCGCUGUAGUUUUUCUUCAGUUAGUUUGCUUUCGUCAGACAUAACGUAGCCAGGCGCAUGAGCUCGCGAGUCGUUGUGCGAGCCACGCGCGUAGGCGAUCUGGGUACGAUCGAUGCCCGAUCGAUCGGGGUGGUCAGCCACGAAACCCACUCGUGGGAUGGCACGAGAAUUCGGGAUCAUGGCGCUAGGACCGGGCCACUCUUUCUCUCUGUAACAGAAUAAGUAGAGGAGAUCAAAAACAGAAAAGUCACAAGGUUGUCCGUGACGCAAAAACUCCUGUCUCUCCUCUCAGUGAUCGCAAGCUGUGAGAGAUCGAGCAACCCUGACAAUUGGCAUCAAAGCCGGUUUAAGGUGAUCCCGACGCCCAUGGCUGACACCGGAGCUCAGCCGGACCAGGCGGCGGCGGCACCCCGCAACGGUGGCGGGGGUGGGAGCCGCUCGCGCACUCCACCACAGGAGCGCAGCCGCGGACGGAGCCACGUGAGAAGGGAGUGGCGGGUGGUGAUCCACCAGGCGGUGGCCAUGGAGCGCGCGCCGCUUGUGCCAAGCGCGGGCACCAUGUUCCCGACGCUCACAUCCACGAACUACAUCGAGUGGUCUCUCGUGAUGAAGGUGCACCUGGAGUCUUGGGGGCUCUGGGACGCGAUCGAGGGUAACGCACUGCAUGUGCGUGACGACAAGACGGCGCUCGGCGUCCUGUUCCGAGUCGUCCCCCUAGAGAUGCUUGGCGUCCUCGUCGUCAACGAGACGGCGAAGGAGGCCUGGGACACGAUCAAGGUCAUGCGCAUGGGGAUGCACCGUGUGCGCGAGGCCACCACGCAACGCCUGCGCGCGGAGUUCGAGCAGAUCACCUUCCGCGACGGCGAAACUCUCGACUCCUUCGGCAUGAGGAUCACCGCCCUCGUCAACCAGCUGCGCACGCUGGAGGACAACGUCGAAGAGGUACGCAUGAUCCCGAAGAUGCUCCGUGUCGUCCCCGCCCGCUAUGCCCAGAUCGCAGUCGCGAUAGAGCCCCUCCUUGAUCUGACCACGAUCUCGGUCGAGGAGCUGAUCGGUUGACUGCGCACCGCUGAGGAGCGCUGCGGUGGCGGGGCGGCUCAAGCCAGCGGCGGCGGUCGGCUGCUCAUGUCGGAGCAGCAGUGGGAUGCCUGGCGCCGCGAGCGCGAGCAGGGCCAGGGGUCCAGCUCAAACGGCGCCGGCAACGGGAACCGCAACGGGGGCGGCGGCAAUCUCCGCCGUGGCAAGCCGCAGAACCAGAAGUGCGGCAACGACACUCAAAGCCAAGGCGGCGGCAACGGCCGCGACAGCGCCGGCAACGGUGGGCGCGACAUGUCUAAGGUGAAGUGCUACAAUUUUCUCAGCGCUGGACACUGGUGUGCGCGGCGCCGUGAAACUCGGCGACGGCUCGGUGGUUCAGAUCGAGGGGAGAGGAACGAUCCUCUUCCAAUGCGGCAACUGUGAGCUCAUGGUCCUGUCUGAUGUGUAUUACAUCCCAAAACUUUGCAGCAACAUCGUCAGCAUCGGACAGUUGGACGAAAUCGCCUACGAGACCAAUAUUAGUCACGGGGUGCUCCAGCUCCGUGAUCCCAGUGGGCAGACUCCUCGCGCGAGUGCAACGUAACCAGGGGAGGCUGUACGUGCUGCAGCUCACGCCGGCCCAGCCAGUGUGCUUCGCGGCGCAUGCUGGCGAGGAUGCAUGGUGCUGGCAUGCGUGCUACGGCCACGUGGACUUCCGGGCUUUACGUCAACUCGCCCGGGACGAACUGGUGCACGACCUCCCGCUAUUUGACGAGGCGGAUCGUGUCUGCGAGGCGUGCCUCGCCGGCAAGCAGCGUCGAGCACCCUUUCCUUAGCAGGCUCUCAGCAGAGCCGACGAGGUGCUGGAGCUCGUGCACACGGACCUCUGUGGUCCAAUCUCCCCUCCAACGCCAGGAGGGAAGCGUUACUUCCUGUUGCUGGUUGAUGACAAGAGCAGGCACAUGUUGGUGUACCUGCUCGCGACAAGGACGAGGCGCAGCCCGCUCUGAAGCGCUUCCAGGCGAUGGCGGAUCUCGAUUUCGGGCGGCAGCUCAAGUUGCUGCGCACGGACCGCGGCGGGGAAUUCACCUCUGCCAGCCUCGGCGAGUACUACGCCGACAAGGAGGUCAAGCGCCAGCUCACGACGCCCUACACGCCCCAGCAGAACGGCGUGGUCGAGUGCCGAAAUUAGACGAUCGUGGGCAUGGCGCGCAGCCUGUAGAAGACAAAGGGUGUGCCGGCGCAGUUCUGGGGGGAGGCCGUGAUGACGGCGGUCUACCUCCUGAACAGGUCUACGACCAAGAGCGUGGCGGGGUCGAUUCCGCACGAGGCCUGGUGCAGGCGGCGCCCAAACGUUGAACACCCGCGCGUGUUCGGAGCGUCGCGCAUGUCAAAGUGACGCGUCCGAAUCUGUCGAAACUCGACGACGGGAGCACGCCCAUGGUAUCCUGGGCUACGAGCCAGGAUCGGCGGCUUACCGCGUCUACCACCCGCCGUCGAACCGUGUUCUGGCCUCCAGGGAUGUCGUGUUCGACGACGAAGCAGCGUGGGACUGGUCUCAGGUCGCGGCGACAAACAAGGAGCCGUGCUACCUCUUGAGCAUGCAUUGGUUUUCCCUUAAAGAGGAAAGGGUGAUGUAGCAAAGUAGCGUAAGUAUUUCCCUCAGUUUUUGAGAACCAAGGUAUCAAUCCUGUAGGAGACUACAUGCAAAUCGCCUAGUACCUGCACGAACAAUCAAGAACCUUGCAACCAGCACGAUAAAGGGGUUGUCAAUCCCUUCACGGUCACUUGCAAAAGUGAGAUCUGAUAAAGAUAAUAAGAUAAUAUUUUUGGUAUUUUUGUUGUAUAGAUUGGAAAAGUAAAGAUUGCAAAAUAAACGGCGACAGAAAUUGGCAAGUUGACGGGAGAUUAAUAUGAUGUAAAAUAGACCCGGGGGCCAUAGGUUUCACUAGAGGCUUCUCACAUGAUAGCAUAUCUUACGGUGGGUGAACAAAUUACUGUCGAGCAAUUGAUAGAAAAGCGUAUAGUUAUGAGAAUAUCUAGGGAUGAUCAUGAACGUAGGCAUCACGUCUGUGUCAAGUAGACCGAAACGAUUCUACAUCUACUACUAUUACUCCACACAUCGACCGCUAUCCAGCAUGCAUCUAGAGUAUUAAGUUCAUAAGAACACAGUAACGCAUUAGGCAAGAUGAUAUGAUGUAGAGGGAUAAACUCAAGCAAUAUGAUAUAAACCCCAUCUUUUUAUCCUUGAUGGCAAUAAUACAAUACGUGUCGGUUCCCUUUCUGUCACUGGGAUCGAGCACCGCAAGAUUGAACCCAAAGCUAAGCACUUCUCCCAUUGCAAGAAAGAUCAAUCUAGUAGGCCAAACCAAACUGAUAAUUCGAAGAGACUUGCAAAGAUAUUAAAUCAUGCAUAUAAGAACUCAGACAAGAAUCAAAUAUUGUUCAUAGACAAACUUGAUCAUAAACCCACAAUUCAUCGGAUCUCGACAAACACACCGCAAAAUGUAUUACAUCGAAUAGGUCUCCAAGAGAAUCGAGGAGAACUUUGUAUUGAGAUCCAAAGAGAGAGAAGAAGCCAUGUAGCUAAUAACUAUAGACCCGUAGGUCUGUGGUAAACUACUCACACAUUAUCGGAGAGGCUACGGUGUUGAUGUAGAAGCCCUCCAUGAUCGAUUCCCCCUCCGGCAGAGCGCCGGAAAAGGCCCCAAGAUGGGAUCUCACGGGUACAGAAGGUUGCGGCAGUGGAAAAAGUGUUUCGUGGCUCCCCUGGAUGUUUUCAGGGUAUAAGAGUAUAUAUAGGCGAAAGAAGUAGGUCGGUGGAGCUGCGACGGGCCCACGAGGGUGGGGGCGCGCCUCCCUGCCUCGUGGCUUCCUCGCUGCUUCCUUGACUUCCACUCCAAGUCUCCUGGAUUGCGUUUGUUCCAAAAAUGAUCCUCGCGAAGGUUUCAUUCCGUUUGAUAUUCCUUUUCUGCGAAACACUGAAAUAGGCAAAAAAAUAUCAAUUUGCACUGGGCCUUCGGUUAAUAGGUUAGUCUCGAAAAUAAUAUAAAAGAGCAUAUUAAAGCCCAUUAAACAUCCAAAACAGAUAAUAUAAUAGCAUAGAACAAUCAAAAAUUAUAGAUACGUUGGAGAUGUAUCAAGCAUCCCCAAGCUUAAUUCCUGCUCGUCCUCGAGUAGGUAAAUGAUAAAAACAGAAUUUUUGAUGUGGAAUGCUACCCAACAUAAUUUUCAAUGUAAUUUUCUUUAUUGUGGCAUGAAUGUUCAGAUCCGAAAGAUUCAAGAUAAAAGUUUAAUAUUGACAUAAAAAUAAUAAUACUUCAAGCAUACUAUUUAAGCAAUUAUGUCUUUUCAAAAUAACGUGGCCAAAGAAAGCUCAUCCCUACAAAAUCAUAUAGUUUGGCUAUGCUCCAUUUUCGUCACACAAGAAUGCUCUCAUCAUGCACAACCCCGAUGACAAGCCAAGUAAUUGUUUCAUACUUUAGUAUUCUCAAACUUUUUCAACUUUCAUGCAAUACAUGAGCGUGAGCCAUGGACAUUGCACUAUGGGUGGAAUGGAAUAUGAUAAUGGGGGUUGUGUGGAGAAGACAAAAAAGGAGAAAGUCUCACAUUGACGCGGCUAACCAACGGGCUAUGGAGAUGCCCAUCAAUUGAUGUCAAUGCAAGGAGUAGGGAUUGCCAUGCAAUGGAUGCACUAGAGCUAUAAAUGUAUGAAAGCUCAACAAAAUAAACUAAGUGGGUGUGCAUCCAACUUGCUUGCUCACGAAGACCUAGGGCAUUUGAGGAAGCCCAUCGUUGGAAUAUACAAGCCAAGUUCUAUAAUGAAAAAUUCCCACUAGUAUAUGAAAGUGACAAAAUAAGAGACUCUCUAUCAUGAAGAUCAUGGUGCUACUUUGAAGCACAAGUGUGGAAAAAGCAUAGUUGCAUUGUCCCUUCUUUUAUUUUCUUUUUUAUAUAUUUUUUUGGGCCUUCCUUUUUUUAUCUGGCCUUUCCCUUUUUUUAUUUGGCCUUUUUUUUCAUGGGACAAUGCUCUAUAAAUGAUGAUCAUCACACUUCUAUUUAUUUACAACUCACUGAUUACAACUCGAUACUAGAACAAAAUAUGACUCUAUAUGAAUGCCUCCGCCGGUGUACCGGGAUGGGCAAUGCAUCAAGAGUGACAUGUAUAAAAAAUUAUGCAAGGUGGAUUUGCCACAAAUACGAUGUCAACUACAUGAUCAUGCAAGGCAGUAUGACAAUGAUGAAGCGUGUCAUAAUAAACGGAACGGUGAAAAGUUGCAUGGCAAUAUAUCUCGAAAUGGCUAUGGAAAUGCCAUAAUAGGUAGGUAUGGUGGCUGAUUUGAGGAAGAUAUAAGGGGGGUUUAUGUGUGAUAGAGCGUAUCAUAUCACGGGGUUUGGAUGCACCGGCGAAGUUUGGACCAACUCUCGAGGUGAGAAAGGGCAAUGCACGGUACCGAAGAGGCUAGCAAUGAUGGAAAGGUGAGAGUGCUUAUAAUCCAUGGACUCAACAUUAGUCAUAAAGAACUCACAUACUUAUUGCAAAAAUCUACAAGUCAUCAGAAAACAAAGCACUACGCGCAUGCUCCUAGGGGGAUAGAUUGUUAGGAAAAGACCAUCGCUCGUCCCCGACCGCCACUCAUAAGGAUGACAAUCAAAGAACACCUCAUGUUUCAAAUUUGUUACACAACGGUUACAAUACGUGCAUGCUACGGGACUUGCAAACUUCAACACAAGUAUUUCUCAAAUUCACAAUUACUCAACUAGCAAGAAAGAUGAAUCUAGUAGGCCAAAGCAAACUGAUAAUUCGAAGAGACUUGCAAAGAUAUUAAAUCAUGUAUAUAAGAAUUCAGAGAAGAAUAAAAUAUUGUUCAUAGAUAAUCUUGAUCAUAAACCCACAAUUCAUCGGAUCUCGACAAACACACCGCAAAAAGUAUUACAUCGAAUAGAUCUCCAAGAGAAUCGAGGAGAACUUUGUAUUGAGAUCCAAAGAGAGAGAAGAAGCCAUCUAGACAAUAACUAUGGACCCGAAGGUCUGUGGUAAACUACUCACACAUCAUCGGAGAGGCUAUGGUGUUGAUGUAGAAGCCAUCCGUGAUCGAUUCCCCCUCCGACGGAGCGCCGAAAAGGCCCCAAGAUGGGAUCUCACGGGUACAGAAGGUUGCGGCGGUGGAAAAAGUGUUUCAUGGCUCCCUUGGAUGUUUUCAGGGUAUAAGAGUUUAUAUAGGUGAAAGAAGUAGGUCGGUGGAGCUGCGAGGGGCGUGCCUACCCCCUGGGGCGCGCCUCCCUGCCUCGUGGCUUCCUCGUUGCUUCCUUGACUUCCACUCCAAGUCUCCUGGAUUGUGUUUGUUCCAAAAACGAUCCUCGCGAAGGUUUCAUUCCGUUUGAUAUUCCUUUUCUGCGAAACACUGAAAUAGGCAAAAAAAAUAGCAAUUUGCACUGGGCCUUCGGUUAAUAGGUUAGUCCAAAAAUAAUAUAAAAGACCAUAUUAAAGCCCAUUCAACAUCCAAAACAGAUAAUAUAAUAGCAUGGAAGAAUCAAAAAAUUAUAGAUACGUUGGAGACGUAUCAAGCCGCAGUGGGACACCUUCUCCAUCGAUCUCGAACCGGUGCCCGCCAAGGUGGUCGGCGGCACCCCAUGCAGCGCAACAUCCCCUGAGGCGUCGAGCUCUCCUACCAUGCCGACAUCGACGCACACGAGUGCGGCCAGGACACGGCCCGCGAUGCUGAUCUGUGCCACACCAAGCCCAGACCGCUCUGGCAUGCAAUUCAUGUCUCCACUGCCGGGGGCGUCAGUGCCGCCGCCCGACAAGGAGGCUCCGCGGCGGUACCGCACCUUGGAGAAUCUGUGAGACACCACUGAAGAAGGGACAAGUGAUAACAGUCAGUACAGUUACCUGUGUCUCUUCGCAGGGGAGGAGCCGACCUCCUUCAAUGAGGCGCAGAAGGAGGGAGGAUGGAGAAACGCCAUGAACGAGGAGAUGCAGAGCAUCAUCGACAACGACACGUGGGAGCUGUGCGAGCUCCCUCCCGGGCACCGAGCGAUAGGCCUCAAGUGGGUCUACAAGCUCAAGAAGGACGCCCACGGCACGAUGGUGAAGCACAAGGCGCGGCUGGUGGCAAAAGGCUACGUCCAAGUCCAAGGAGUGGACUUCAAGGACGUGUUCGCUCCGGUGGCACGCAUGGAAUCGGUGCGCGUGCUGGUCGCGCUCGCCGCGCACCACGUGUGGCCAAUUCAUCACAUGGACGUCAAGUCCGCCUUCUUGAACGGGGACCGGCAGGAGGAGGUCUACGUUGUUCAGCCACCCGGGUACGUUGAGCUCGGCGACGAGGGGAAGGUGCUGCGUUUAUGCAAGGCACUGUAUGGGCUACGCCAAGCCCUGAGAGCUUGGAACGCCAAGCUGGACGAAAGCUUGCGUUCUCUGGGCUUUGAGCGUUGCCCCUCGGAGCACGCAGUCUACCGACGCGGGGAGGGCGACAAGCUCCGGCUCAUCGGUGUGUACGUCGACGACCUUGUCAUUACAGGGGCGGACAAGACGGAGAUCGACGCAUUCAAGUGUCAGAUGACCACGCUCUUCCGCAUGAGCGACCUCGCCGAGCUCAGCUACUACCUGGGCAUUGAGGUGCGCCAGGAGCGCGACCGCAUCACACUCUACCAAGCGGCCUACGCAAAAAGCUGCUGGAGCGUGCUGGGCUCAAAGAGUGCAACACCGGCAACGUGCCGAUAGAAGCUCGACUGAAAUUGAGCAGGGACAGCAAGGAGAGGCCGGUGGACAGCACUGAGUACCGCAGCAUCAUUGGAGGGUCGCGCUACCUCGUGCACAUGAGGCCGGACAUCUCCUUCACCGUCGGCUACCUGAGCCGUUUCAUGGAGGCACCGACUUCAGAUCACUACGCGGCUGUGAAGCGUCUGCUAAGGUAUGUAGCAGGCACUCUGGACCACGGUUGUGCCUAUGUCCGGGGGAAGGGCACGCCGGAGCUGGUGGGGUACAGCGACGCGGAUCACGCCGGUGACAUCAACGACAGGCGGAGCACGACGGGAGUGCUCUACUUCCUCGGCACGGCGGCAGCCCAGUGAGUUGGCAGUCGCAGAAGCAAAGGGUGGUGGCACUCUCCUCAUGUGAGGCGGAGUACGUGGCUGCCACCACCACCGCUUGCCAAGGGAUUUGGCUGGCUGGGCUGAUCGGAGAGAUGCUGAACAUCGACGUCUGGCCACCACGACUUCUGGUCGAUAACAAGUCAGCAAUGUGUCUCCAAGAACCCCAUCUUCCAUGAUCGAAGCAAGCACAUUGAGAUACGAUACCACUUCAUUCGUGAUUGUGUGGAAGAAGGGCGGAUCGACAUCGACUACAUCUGCACCAACGAUCAUCUUGCUGACGUCCUCACCAAGGCACUUGGACGACUCAAGUUUCUGGAGCUUAGGGGGAGGAUCGGCAUGACAGAAAUAAUUCGGCGGCGAUGAGCUUAGAGGGAGAUUUGUUAGCUAAUCUAGUUGAUGUAGUUUUCCUUCAGUUAGUUUGCUUUCGUCAGACAUAACGUAGUCAGGCGCAUGAGCUCGCGAGUCAUGCGAGCUGCGCGCGUAGGCGAUCUGGGCAUGAUCGAUGCCCGAUCGAUCAGGGUGGUCAGCCACGAAACCCACUUGUGGGAUGGCACGAGAAUUCGGGAUCAUGGCGCUAGGACCGGGGCACUCUUUCUCUCUGUAACAGAAUAAGUAGAGGAGAUCAAAAACAGAAAAGUCGCAAGGUUGUAGGUGACGCAAAAACUCAUGUCUCUCCUCUUUGUGAUCGCGAGCUGUGAGAGAUCGAGCAACCCUGACAAAGCACAUGACGCCUAUAGUCCAUUGUUAAUUCCUCUCUGUACCUAAUCUUGUUAAUUUCCCACACCAAAGAUGCUAAUCAACUGGCAUUCUAAAACUCUCCUAACAAGUAACAACAGCCGCGCCUAUGGACGAUCGAUCCCACCAGUGGCAACCAAUGGAGGUGCCAACGGUGGUGAUGCAACUUGUUUCCAUGUACAACAACUACGGCAAUCCGUCCUCUCCUACCUGCAUUGUCCUCGAAGGAAUGGAAGCGGACGAGAGAGAGCGUCGACCUGACUUAUAACAUUUUUCUUUCAGCAAUCUCUACAAAAAAUCAUGCCUCUCUUGACUUGGGGUCAAUAGCUCCUGUGCGACAUCUUUCGUGGGAAUUGGACAGAGUGCGACAUUGUUGACGAAAAUGGCUUUGGGGCGACACUUUUGAGCGACAAAAUAGCCCAGACACGACAUGGCCCUUAAACUGAUCUGAUGCCCUCAUUAGCUGUUAUGGGCUGGACCCACAACUUAUCCACGUAAGCGCGGGACCCACCAUUUGUCCAGUAAGCGCGGGACCCACAACUUAUCCACGUCAGCAUGGGACCCACCACUUGUCCAGUAUGCGCGGGACCCACCUCUUUGCAGCUAGAAGAGAUGACUGAUGACCCACAAGUGUAGGAGAUCUAUCGUAGUCCUUUCGAUAAGUAAGAGUGUCGAACCCAACGAGGAGCAGAAGGAAAUGACAAGCGGUUUUCAAUAAGGUAUUCUCUGCAAGCACUGAAAUUAUAGGUAACAGAUAGUUUUGUGAUAAGAUAAUUUGUAACGGGUAACAAGUAAUGAAAGUAAAUAAGGUGCAGCAAUGUGGCCCAAUCCUUUUUGUAGCAAAGAACAAGCCUGGACAAACUCUUAUAUAGAUAAAAGCGCUCCCGAGGACACAUGAGAAUUAUUGUCAAGCUAGUUUUCAUCACGUUCAUAUGAUUCGCGUUCGGUACUUUGAUAAUUUGAUAUGUGGGUGGACCGGUGCUUGGGUGCUGUCCUUACUUGGACAAGCAUCCCACUUAUGAUUAACUCCCAUUGCAAGCAUCCGCAACUACAAAAGAAGUAUUAAGGUAAACCUAACCAUAGCAUGAAACAUAUGGAUCCAAAUCAGCCCCUUACGAAGCAACGCAUAAACUAGGGUUUAAGAUUCUGUCACUCUAGCAACCCAUCAUCUACCUAUUACUUCCCAAUGCCUUCCUCUAGGCCCAAACAAUGGUGAAGUGUCAUGUAGUCGACGUUCACAUGACACCACUAGAGGUGAGACAACAUACAUCUCAUCAAUAUAUCGAACGAAUACCAAAUUCACAUGACUACUAAUAGCAAGACUUCUCCCAUGUCCUCAGGAACAAACGUAACUACUCACAAAGCAUAUUCAUGUUCAUAAUCAGAGGGGUAUUAAUAUGCAUAAUGGAUCUGAACAUAUGAUCUUCCACCAAGUAAACCAACUAGCAUCAACUACAAGGAGUAAUCAACACUACUAGCAACCUACAGGUACCAAUCCCAGGCUAUGAGACAAAGAUUGGAUACAAGAGAUAAACUAGGGUUUGAGAGGAGAUGGUGCUGGUGAAGAUGUUGAUGGAGAUUGGGCCCCUCCCGAUGAGAGGAGUGUUGGUGAUGACGAUGGCGAUGAUUUCCCCCUCCCGGAGGGAAGUGUCCCCGGCAGAACAGCUCUGCAAGAGCCCUAGAUUGGUUCCGCCAAGGUUCCGCCUCGUGGCGUCGGAGUCUCAUCCCGAAAGCUUGCUUAUGAUUUUUUCUCAGAUGAAAGACUUCAUAUAGCAUAAGAUGGGCACCGGAGGGCCACCAGAGGGCCCACGAGGUAGGGGGCGCGCCCCCACCCUCGUGGCCAGGGUGUGGGCCCCCUCUGGUAUUUUCUUCGCUCAGUAUUUUUUAUUAUUUCCAAAAAUAACUUCCGUGGAGUUUAAGGACUUUUGGAGUUGUGCAGAAUAGGUCUCUAAUAUUUGCUCCUUUUCCAGCCCAGAAUUCCAGCUGCCUGCAUUCUCCCUCUUUAUGUAAACCUUGUAAAAUAAGAGAGAAUAAGCAUAAGUAUUGUGACAUAAUGUGUAAUAACAGCCCAUAAUGCAAUAAAUAUCGAUAUAAAAGCAUGAUGCAAAAUGGACAUAUCAACUACCCCAAGCUUAGACCUCACUUGUUCUCAAGCGGAAGCCGAUAAUGAUAAAUAUGUCCACAUGUUUAGAGGUAGAGGUGUCGAUAAAAUAAAAUACGGACAUGAGGGCAUCAUGAUCAUUCUUAUAACAGUAACAUAUAUGGAUAUUGUCAUAUUAUUUCUUAUGAUAAAGUAACAAUCUAUCCACAAUGUCAAGUGUGAAUCAGAAACUUCAUUGAGAACUAACAAACGAUAAUCUCAGUCAUUGAGGCAAUUGCAAUUUAUCAUAACAUCAUAAAGAGUCUAUGUAAGAGCUUUUCAGCAAGUCCACAUACUCAACUAUCAUUUAGUCUUUCACAACACUCACGCAAUACUUGUGGUUAGGGAGUUUUAAUCGGACACAGAGAAAGAUAGGGGCUUAUAGUUUCGCCUCCCAACCUUUUACCUCAAGGGUAAUGUCAACAAUAAUAGUUCAUUCUAAUUUGCAUCCAAUUAUAUAUAUAUAUAUAUAUAUAUAUAUAUAUAUAUAUCAGGAUCUUUCCAACACAAGGUGCUUGCCAAAGGAUAUAAAAUGUAAAAAGGAAAGGUGAAGAUCACCAUGACUCUUGCAUAAGGUAGAAAAUAAAAGUAAAAGAUAGGCCCUUCGCAGAGGGAAGCAGAGGUUGUCAUGCGCUUUCAGGGUUGGAUGCACAAAAUCUUAAUGCGAAAGAACGUCACUUUAUAUUGCCACAUGUGAUAUGGACCUUUAUUAUGCAGUCCGUCGCUUUUAUUUCUUCCACAUCACAAGAUCGUAUAAAGCUUAUUUUCUCCCACACUAAUAAGUCAUACAUAUUUAGAGAGCAAUUUUUAUUGCUUGCACCGAUCACAACUUACUUGAAGGAUCUUACUCAAUCCAUAGGUAGAUAUGGUGGACUCUCAUGGCAAAACUGGUUUUAAGGGUAUUUGGAAGCACAAGUAGUAUUUCUACUUGGUGCAAAAAAUUGGCUAGCAUGAGGGAGAAAGGCAAACUCAACAUGUUGGAUGAUCCAUGACAAUAUACUUUAUCUCAGAUAUAAGAAAACAUGACCCAUUAUGUUGUCUUCCUUGUCCAACAUCAACUCUUUAGCAUGUCAUAUUUUAAUGAGUGCUCACAAUCAUAAAAGAUGUCCAAUAUAGUAUAUUUAUAUGUGAAACCUCUCUUUCUUUAUUACUUCCUAUUAAUUGCAACGAUGACCAAAACUAUGUUUGUCAACUCUCAACAACUUUUAAUCAUCAUACUCUUUCUAUGUGAAGUCAUUACUCUCCAUAAAAUCAAUAUGAUCUCUUUUUAUUCUUUCUUUUUCUUUUAUUCACUCAUAAUCAUAGCAAGAUAAUCAAGCCCUUGACCCAACACUAAUCUCUAUUAUAUAGCUCACGGACUUGAUUACAUAGAGGGAUCAUAAAGCAAAACUCAAAACUAAAUCAUAUUAAAACUUUAUUCUACUAGAUCAAGAUAUUACCAAAAGGAUCGAACUAAGAAAAACGGUAAAGAUAGGAGUGUGAUGGUGAUACAAUACCGGGGCACCUCCCCCAAGCUUGGCAGUUGCCAAGGGGAGUGCCCAUACCCAUGUGAUUAUAUCUCCUUUGCUGGCGAAGGUGAUGGUGGAGUUGUUGAUGAUGUGGGCUUGUCGUCCAUCGAGCGUAAGAGGUCCUCCAACUUGCAGAUAAUGCCCUUGAGUGCGAUUUUAUAUGCUCCCUCAACAAAAUAUUUUCACAUGUGAGAUACUUCUUUUUUAUACGAGCUAACUCAAUCAUCUUGAAAGCUUCGAUCUCAGUUGGGGUAAGAAGAUUGUGAUCAAGUUGAAGGAUGUCUUCUGCUGCCGGAGCUUGGUCCUCUGUGGCCUUAUUGAUCCCUUCAUCUUUGUUGAUCUCCAUGGGUUCUUCCCUCUUCAGCUCUAUCUUCAUUAGCCAAGCAUCGUUGUCACCAUUGUUGGAGGAGGAGGACGACAUGAUGCCUGGCCUAGACAACCCUGACAGAAAAUAAUGCAACUCGAAACAAGAACAGAGGAUAAUUGCGUGAUACGGGAGUCAAAAUCUUCGGGAGUUUAUAUAAUGAAUUUUUACCGACCGAAAGAAGUAUCGUGCAAGAAAACGGAGUCCGGAGAGCACACGAGGUGCCCACGAGGCAGGGGGACGCGCCCAGGGGGUAGGGCGCGCCUCCCACCCUCGUGGAAGCCUCGUUUCCUUCCCGGACUGCUUCUUAUUUUCCUAUUUUUCUAAAUAUUCCAAAACAGAGAAAGUUUGCAAUUAGAACUGUUCUGUAGUCGGUUUACUUACCGUACCACAUACCUAUAACUUUUCGGGGUCUGAAACGUUCUAGAAAGUGUCUCUUAUGUAUUCCUCCGGUGUUACGGUUUCAACAACAUUAGUUUCAACAUUUAUAGGGUUACCUGAGAUAUAAUGUUUGAUUCUUUGACCGUUCACCACCUUCGGACUUGUGCCUUCAAAGUUGUUGAUUUUUAUGGCACCGGAACGAUAGACCUCCUCGAUAACGUAAGGACCUUCCCAUUUAGAGAGAAGUUUUCCAGCAAAAGAUCUUAAACGAGAGUUGUAUAACAAUACAUAAUCACCUACAUUAAACUCAUGCUUUUGUAUCCUUUUUUCAUGCCAUCUUUUAACUUUUUCCUUAAACAAUUUGGCAUUCUCAUAGGCUUGGGUUCUCCGUUCAUCAAGUGAGCUAAUGUCAAAUAACCUCUUCUCACCAGCAAGUUUAAAAUCAUAAUUGAGCUCUUUAAUGGCCUAGUAUGCCUUAUGUUCUAGUUCGAGAGGUAAAUGACAUGCUUUUCCAUAAACCAUUUUAUACGGAGACAUACCCAUAGGAUUUUUAUAUGCAGUUCUAUAGGCCCAUAAUGCAUCAUCAAGUUUCUUGGACCAAAUCUUUCUAGAUCUAUUAACAGUCUUUUGCAAAAUUAAUUUGAGCUCUCUAUUACUCAAUUCUGCUUGACAACUAGACUGUGGGUGAUUAGGGGAUGCAAUUCUAUGAUUAACAUCAUACUUAGCACGCAUUUUACGAAAAGCACCAUGAAUAAAAUGUGAACCACCAUCGGUCAUUAAAUAUCUGGGGACUCCAAACCUGGGAAAAAUAACUUCUUUAAGCAUCUUAAUAGAGGUGUUAUGAUCAGCACUACUAGUCGGAAUAGCUUCUACCCACUUAUUAACGUAAUCAACAACAACUAAAAUAUGUGUAUACCCAUUAGAGGAAGGAAAAGGUCCCAUAUAAUCAAAGCCCCAAACGUCAAAUGGUUCAAUAACAAGUGAAUAAUUCAUAGGCAUUUCUUGACGUCUACUAAUGUUACCAAUUCUUUGACAUUCAUCACAAGAUAAGACAAACUUACGAGCAUCCUUGAAGAGAGUAGGCCAAUAAAAACCGGAUUGCAAUAACUUAUGUGCAGUUCUAUCUCCAGCGUGGUGCCCUCCAUAAGCCUCGGAGUGACACUUGCGUAGGAUCUGUUCCUGUUAAUGCUCAGGUACACAACGCCUAAUAACACCAUCUACUCCUUCUUUAUAAAGAUGUGGGUCAUCCCAGAAGUAAUGUCUUAAAUCAUAGAAAAACUUUUUCUUUUGCUGGUAUGUGAAACUAGGUGGUAUAAAUUUAGCAACAAUGUAAUUAGCAUAAUCAGCAUACCAUGGAGCAGUACGAGAAGCAUUUAUAACAUUUAAUUGUUCAUCAGGAAAGCUAUCAUCAAUAGGUAGUGGGUCAUCAAGAACAUUUUCUAACCUAGACAAGUUAUCUGCAACAGGGUUCUCAGCUCCCUUUCUAUCAAUAAUAUGUAAAUCAAAUUCUUUUCGCAAGAGAACCCAUCUAAUAAAUCUAGGUUUAGCAUCUUUCUUUUCCAUAAGAUAUUUAAUAGCAGCAUGAUCAGUGUGAAUAGUUACUUUAGAAUCAACAAUAUAAGGUCUGAACUUAUCACAAGCAAAUACAACUGCUAAAAAUUACUUUUCAGUAGUGGCAUAAUUUCUCUGGGCAUUGUCUAGAGUUUUACUAGCAUAUUGAAUAACAUUUAAUUUCUUAUCAACUCUUUGCCCUAGAACAGCACCUACAGCAUAAUUGCUAGCAUCACACAUAAUUUCAAAAGGUAAAUUCCAAUCAGGUGGCUGAACAAUAGGUGCAGAAAUCAAUGCUUUCUUAAGUAUUUCAAAUGCUUCUACACAAUCAUCAUCAAAAACGAAAGGUAUAUCUUUUUGUAAGAGAUUAGUCAGAGGCCGAGAAAUUUUUUAGAAGUCCUUAAUGAACCUCCUAUAAAAACUAGCAUGACCAAGGAAACUUCUUAUACCUUUGAUGUCCUUGGGACAUGGCAUCUUUUCAAUAGCAUCAACUUUAGCUUUAUCAACUUCACUACCUCUUUUAGAAAUUUUAUGCCCCAAGAAAAUACCUUCAUUAACCAUAAAGUGGCACUUCUCCCAAUUCAAGACAAGGUUAGUUUCUUCACAUCUCUGCAAAACUCGAUCAAGGUUGCUCAAGCAAUCAUCAAAAGAGGAUCCAUAAACGGAGAAAUUGUCCAUGAAAACCUCACAUAUCUUUUCACAAAAGUCAGAAAAUAUAGCAAUCAUGCAUCUUUGAAAGGUAGCAGGUGCUUUACAUAAACCAAAAGGCAUACGUCUAUAAGCAAAAGUACCGAAAGGGCAAGUAAAAGUGGUAUUUGCUUGAUCAUCAGCUGACACAGGUAUUUCAGAGACACCAGAGUAACCAUCUAGAAAGCAAAAAUGUGUAUGUUUGGAUAAUCUUUCUAGCAUUUGAUCAAUAAAAGGUAAGGGGUAAUGAUCUUUUUAGUAGCCUUAUUUAAUUUGCGGAAAUCAAUUACCAUCCUAUAACCUGUAAUAAUUCUUUGCGGAAUCAAUUCAUCUUUAUCAUUGGGAACGACAGUAAUACCUCCCUUCUUAGGGACACAAUGGACAGGACUUACCCACUGACUAUCAGCAACGGGAUAAAUUAUACCUGCCUCAAGGGGCUUUAGUAUUUCCUUUCUUACCACUUCCUUCAUCUUAGGAUUCAGACGUCGUUGAUGAUCAAUAACUGGUUUGGCAUCUUUCUCCAAAUUUAUUUUGUGUUGGCAUAGAGUGGGACUAAUGCCAUUAAGAUCAUCAAGAGUAUAUCCAAUAGCAGCACGGUGCUUCUUCAGAGUUUUCAGUAAUUUUUCUUCCUCCUUCUCUGAAAGGUUAGCACUAAUAAUAACAGGAUAUAUCUUCUUUUCAUCAAGAUAAGCAUAUUUAAGAGUAUCAGGCAACGGUUUAAGCUCAAACACGGGAUCACCCUUGGGUGGAGGAGGACCCCCUAGGAUUUCAACAGGAAAAUUGUGUUUCAUAAUAGGUCCAUGUUUAAAGAAUACUUCAUCUAUUUCCCUUCUUUCAUUCAUAAACAUAUCAUUCUCAUGGUCUAGCCAAUAUUGUUCUAAAGGAUCACUAGGAGGCACGGCAAUAGAAGCAAGACCAAUAAUUUCAUCCUUACUAGGCAAUUCCUCAUCACGCGAGGUUGUCUACGAAAUUUAGAGAAAUUAAACACAUGAGACAUAUCAUCCAAACCAAUAGUAACAACAUCCUUUUCGCAGUCUAUCUUAGCAUUAACAGUGUUCAAGAAGGGUCUACCAAAUAUAAUGGGACAAAAGCUAUCUUGUGGGGAACCAAGAACAAGAAAAUCAGCAGGAUAUUUAGCCUUCCCACACAAGACCUCAACAUCUCUAACAAUCCCAAUUGGUAAAAUAGUAUCUCUAUUGGCAACCUUAAUGGUAACAUCGAUAUCUUCUAUCUCAGCCGGUGCAAUAUCAUGCAUAAUUUCUUUGUAUAAGUAAAUAGGUAUUGCACUAGCACUAGCACCCAUAUCACACAAGCCAUGAUAACAAUGAUCUCCUAUUUUAACAGAAAUAACAGGCAUGCCUACCACAGGUCUAUGUUUAUCUUUAGCACCAGGUUUAGCAAUUCUAGCAGUAUCAUCACAGAAGUAUAUAACAUGCCCAUCGAUAUUAUCAGACAAGAGAUCUUUAACAAUAGCAAUAUUAGGUUCAACUUUAACUUGCUCAGGAGGUGUAUAAGUUCUAAUAUUACUUUUACGAACCACAGUUGAAGCUUUAGCAUGAUCCUUUAUACUAACAGGAAAAGGUGGUUUCUCAACUUAAGCAGUAGGAACAAUAGGAUCAUUAUAAGUGAUAGUCUUUUCUUCAACUUUAAUAGGUUCAACUACUUUUACUUCUAUGGGAGGAUGAUAUUUAAACCACUCUCCUUAGGGAGAUCAACAUGAGCAGCAAAAGAUUCACAGAAAGAAGCUACUAUCUCAUAGUCAAGUCCAUAUUUAGUGCUAAUAAAUUUACGGAAAACAUCGGUAUCCAUAAAAGAUUUAACACAAUCAAACUUAGGUGUUAUACCCGACUCCUUACCUUCGUCGAGAUCCCAAUCUUCAGAGUUGCGUUUAAUUCUUUCCAGUAAAUUCCAUUUGAAUUCAAUAGUCUUCAUCAUAAAAGAGCCAGUACAUGAAGUAUUGAGCAUGGAGCGAUUAUUGUGAGAAAGCCGAGCAUAAAAAUUAAUAAUCAUUUCUCUUGAGAGUACAUGAUUGGGGCAUGAAUAUUACAUUGACUUAAGCCUCCCCCAAGCUUGAGCGAUGCUUUCUCCUUCGCGAGGCCAAAAAUUAUAUAUAUAAUUACGAUCACGAUGAACAAGAUGCAUAGGAUAAAACUUCUGAUGGAAUUCCAAUUUCAACCGUUUGUAGUCCCAUGAUCCCAUAUCAUCACAUAGCCGAUACCAUGUCAAUGCAUCUCCCUUCAAAUAUAAAGGGAAGACCUUCUUAUUGAUAACAUCAUCGGGCACACCUGCAAGCUUAAAUAAUCCACGAACUUCAUCCACAUAGAUUAAGUGUAAAUCGGGACGCAAUGUUCCAUCUCCUGCAAAAGGAUUAGCCAGUAGUUUCUCUAUCAUACCCGAAGGAAUUUAGAAGUAAACAUUUUCAUUUUCAGUAGGUUCAGUAGGUUGAGGAGCAACUCUUUGCUCUACUGGUCGAGGUGAAGAUACCCCGAACAAGCCCCUCAAAUGAUUACUUUCCAUAGUAACAAGUGACAGUAAAUUUCAGCACACUAUAUAAAAUUUUCAUUACCAAAUUCCACCUACCAAAGGCGCUUCACUCCCCGGCAACGGCGCCAGAAAAGAGUCUUGAUGACCCACAAGUUUAGGGGAUCUCUCGUAGUCCUUUCGGUUAGUAAGAGUGUUGAACCCAACGAGGAGCAAAAGGAAAUGACAAGCGGUUUUCAGCAAGGUAUUCUCUGCAAGCACUGAAAUAUAGGUAACAGAUAGUUUUGUGAUAAGAUAAUUUGUAACGGGUAACAAGUAAUGAAAGUAAAUAAGGUGCAGAAAGGUAACAAGUAAUAGAGAAAAGCGCUCCCUGAGGACACAUGGGAAUUAUCGUCAAGCUAGUUUUCAUCACGUUCAUAUGAUUCGCGUUCGGUACUUUGAUAAUUUGAUAUGUGGGUGGACCGGUGCUUGGGUGCUGUCCUUACUUGGAAAAAUAUCCCACUUAUGAUUAACUCCUAUUGCAAGCAUCCGCAACUACAAAAGAAGUAUUAAGGUAAGCCUAACCAUAGCAUGAAACAUAUGGAUCCAAAUCAGCCCCUUACGAACCAACGCAUAAACUAGGGUUUAAGCUUCUGUCACUCUAGCAACCCAUCAUCUACUUAUUACUUCCCAAUGCCUUCCUCUAGGCCCAAACAAUGGUGAAGUGUCAUGUAGUCGACGUUCACAUGACACCACUAGAGGAGAGACAACAUACAUCUCAUCAAAAUAUCGAACAAAUACCAAAUUCACAUGACUACUAAUAGCAAGGCUUCUCCCAUGUCCUCAGGAACAAACGUAACUACUCACAAAGCAUAUUCAUGUUCAUAAUCAGAGGGGUAUUAAUAUGCAUAAUGGAUCUGAACAUAUGAUCUUCCACCAAGUAAACCAACUAGCAUCAACUACAGGAGUAAUCAACACUACUAGUAAUCCCAGGCUAUGAGAAAAAGAUUGGAUACAAGAGAUAAACUAGGGUUUGAGAGGAGAUGGUGCUUGUGAAGAUGUUGAUGGAGAUUGGCCCCCUCCCGAUGAGAGGAGCGUUGGUGAUGACGAUGGCGAUGAUUUCCCCCUCCUGGAGGGAAGUGUCCCCGGCAGAACAGCUCUGCCAGAGCCCUAGAUUGGUUCCGCCAAGGUUCCGCCUCGUGGCGGUGGAGUCUCGUCUUGAAAGCUUGCUUAUGAUUUUUUCUCGGACAAAAGACUUCAUAUAGUAGAAGAUGGGCACCGGAGGGCCACCAGGGGGCCCACGAGGCAGGGGCGCGCCCAGGGGGUAGGGCGCGCCCCCCACCCUCGUGGCCAGGGUGUGGGCCCCCUCUGGUAUUUUCUUCACUCAGUAUUUUUUAUUAUUUCCAAAAAUAACUUCCGUGGAGUUUCAGGACUUUUGGAGUUGUGCAAAAUAGGUCUCUAAUAUUUGCUCCUUUUCCAGCCCAGAAUUCCAGCUGCCGACAUUCUCCCUCUUUAUGUAAACCUUGUCAAAUAAGAGAGAAUAAGCAUAAGUAUUGUGACAUAAUGUGUAAUAACAGCCCAUAAUGCAAUAAAUAUCGAUAUAAAAGCAUGAUGCAAAAUGGGCGUAUCAACGACCGCCCGUCCCCGUCGGCCCGCCGCCACCCAUUGCUUCCCCUUUCCCCAUUCUUCCUCUUCUCUGGCGAGCUGGUGCAGAUGUCCACCUCCUCCGCCACGCACUGAAAAUGGCGUCAGUAUGGUCCAGUGCCGCUCACAAGGUGCCCUGACUGCCCACGCCCAGAGCCUCUAAAACGGUGGGUCAGUAGAACUGAUGAGAAUGGAAAUCUUGGGCGGGAAUUUGUGAAGUGCUUGAGCAAAACAAUGGCAGAAAGGGAUGGCAAGGUUAGAUCUCAGUUCUUAGCCCAUUCUUUCACUGUCGUUUGCUCUGAUUUAUCCAUAUUUUGUUUUUUUCCUCGAAUUUGGAAUUUAGGGUUCAUGUUGUUGUUUUUUCCUCGAAUUUGGAAUUUAGGGUUCAUGUUGUUGAUUUAUCCAUAUUUCAUGUUGUUGAGAGGAUUCAGUUCGAGGGCUACAUUGAUUCGAGCGGGGCCGCAACCUGGGAGCUCAAUUUGGGGGGAGGGGUGCCGCAGAUGGAGAAUUUGGGGUCGAGCUUGGACAGAGGGGCGGGCAGAGUCGUGUCGAUGGCUAGGUAUGCGCGCAAUGCUGAACUGCACUUGGAGUCUGAACUAACCGAGGAACUGAAGAUAAUCAAGAAAUCAAAUGGAGAUGAUCAAUCUGCAGAAGCAAGCAAAUAUCAUGGCAGGGGGGGUUCUAUUGUUGUGUCAUUGCUCUGUUUUUGUUUUACUUGUUGUUCAUCCGUCAUUAGAGGGAGCAUUUAGGUCUAUCAGGGCAGAGGAUGCGAUCUGUGCGCCAUGCCAAGUUCAUGUAACUGAAUCGAAGCAGAAAUAUUCUAUGUUGAUGCUUUGUUCUUGUUCUUCAGUUAACAGAGUGCACACCCCCCAAAUUCAGUUUCUAGUAAGAAAAUCUUGCUGCCGAAUAGAUGUUGGGCCAUGAAAAAACAACGAGGCCCAAAUAGAGACAAGCCCACCCGCGUAGGGGCACCAGCCCAGUUUUAUAGCAUAGAGGCACCCAUGUUUAAAAAAAAUGUUCGACUAAAAACUCAAAAUAAAAUAUUGCUUCGGCAAAUAAACCUUUAACAAACAUAUACUUCUUUACAUAUUUGUUGCUUGUCCACGCUUGCACAAAAUAUUGGCCAGAGGUAAAAUUCAAACUAAUAUUUUUAGGAGCACAGAAAUAUUUCUUUUGUGACCAAUAAUUGUUUGCAUGAACUAAAAUAGUUGCAUUUCCAUGGUUGCAAAAAAAAUUGCACCGUACACCUAAUAGCUAGGGUGAUCCUAUUUGCAUGAACUAAAUUAGUUGCAUGUCCAUGGUUGCACAAAAAUUAUCACCGUACACCUACUAGCCAGGGCCUAGAUACAUGCAAGCACACAUGCAUCACACCAAGAUAUGAAAAAAAAUUGCAAAAAAAUUUGGGUACCCAUACACUUGCAUGUCCGUAGUGGAAGCUACCUUUUAUUAGUAAGACAUAGAUCAAAUAGGGAUCCAAUCAACUAGAUAUAACAUGGGUACCCAUAGAACAUCAAGCACCAUAUAUAUCAACUAACCAAUAUCAACUAGAUAGAAAAAAAUAACAGAUAGAACAUAGUAGCAUAAGUAGUAGCAUUGCAUAGAUAAGGGUAGCACGACAUAUAUAGUACCACUACAACAUAGAUAAUUCAUAGUUCAACCCAACACGACAAUAAUAAAACACCACCAGCUUGUUUGCUUGCUUGCUCAAAGGCCAAAUCCUCCAUGGCCAACUCCUUCACUCGUCGCCGUUGGUGGGGUACGGGAGGGUGUGCAUGCGCUCAUCGGCGGGGAAGGCACUGUCGAAGUCCGUGAAGAUGUUGUACAUGGUGAAUGCGAUGAACUCGCAUCCACAUCAAAAAACACGACCGAGGAGGUAGUAGGCGUCGAAGGGGUUGGUGAACCUCACGAUGAGCCCGAUAGGAUGGCCACUGCUACUGACCUCUUUGACACGGAACAUGGCCGGAGAGCCCCUCGGGAGGUGCCGGUAGCCGGCGGAGAGGAAGAACUCGGUCAGCCCCCUUGCCCCCCUCCACCUCGAGAUCGCCCACACCCGUAGGGUGUUCUCCACCCGGACUCCGGUAGGGUAGAGCCUCUCAGGGAAGGUGCGCGGCACACGGUAGGUAGCCCCGGUGAACUGCAUCUUGCUUGCUAGCUUUGAGUGGAUCUUGGAAGAUGGGAGAUGAAGGAGAGUGAGAGGAAGAUGUGGGUAGAGGAAGAUGUAGGCUUGGGUGUGCUUAAAUAGCCGAGGUGCAGUGUUUUAACGUUUUGUUUUCCUCUCCCUCGUAAUGGCAUGGGAAACGAGCAAUGUGGCAUCGAGUCACCCGAGCCAACCCGUGUGUACACGCGCAUGCAUUGUGGUAGUAAUGCCAAUGACCCGCGUAGCACUCUAGCAAUAAAAAUGCGUCGAGAGAUGAGCUCGAUGCCAUGCAUGCAGCGGCUAGCGGUCGGGCAUCUAGACCCAUCUAGAAUGGGUAAAUAGCCAUAAUGCUACGAGGGUGUCGGCGGGCAUGCUCGCCCGCGAUGCCAUCCAUGCAACGUCGAACGCUGAGAGGGCGGCCGCAGGAGGGCUACACGCGCGUGCAUGCUUUUCAGGCCGAAUGCAGCGUCGUGUCCAUCGGUCCAAUGGGUGGGCCGCUUUAAUUAAGCCCAACAACACAUGGCAGGCCUGCUUAGUCUUACAAUGUAAAAAAUGGGCUAAAACGACCAGCCAAUGAAAGCGCAACACGCGGAUCUGUGACGUGGCUCCUAAUCCAGACUGUUGCUUAUGUUCACAUCCAUCCAAUGGUCCAGAAUGCUACGUGUUAUAAUAUUCAGCAUCUUCGAAUCAGCCAAUCAGAGUGCUGCCUGCAGAUCGCUGACGUAGCCCUGGUGCCUGAUCCAGACCGUCCAUUCAUAGCGAUCCAAUGGCCGAGAGGAGUGUGGGGUUUCAAUGGGGUUUUGAGUGGUUUUCAGCGGUUAGGGUUGAGCAUAACUAAUUCAAAAAAAUCAAAAAAACUAUAAAACUUGUGUCGAUCAUCGUUCUAUGUGACUAAGUAUCUAGGAAAAAUAAGAAACUUGUACUACGGAUAUUUUCAUGAAAAAACCUUCACAAAAGAUGGCUAUCAAGAACGACCUUGUAGGGUUUUGAAGAGAAGUGAGCUAGGGUUUAGUGUCAAACAUGUCAUACUUUAUCGAAACAAUCCAAUAUCAGGAAGGACUCUUAUAUACACACACUAGAUGUCAAGUUUCCUUUUUGGGCUCAUUUAGAGAAGGUCGAAAAAAGCUUGCUUACAAAUGGGUCUGUUUUCCCUAGCUUUGGAGGGGUUUUGGAGGUCAUGUGGAGCACAUUUUUCAUGUCCAGAGUUUUACAUAAUAAAAGUGCUCCGAUUAAUCAACUAACAUGCAUAAUAGUCCAGAAAUCAUUGUAACACCAACACCACAGACCAAAUAACUUCAAAUUUGAAUUUUGUCUCAAAUUUGAAUUUUGUCUCAAAUUUGAAUAGUAUUACACAAAUACACAUCAUAUCAAAGUACAAAUAUCAUUACACAAAUUCAGGCAAGGUUUUAUUACUACAACAUACUAGCAAUACACAAGUUUCAACAAAUUUUCACUUCUGCUUCUUCCUACCACUCGAUUUGUUCUUCUUCUUUUUACCAAUGCUUGUUUUUGGUUGUACAACACCCAGUUCACUCAAGCUCUUGAUUUUCUUCACUGGACUUCCUGGAACACAAGCUUCAUUUCGCACCACAACAGUUGCAGUAUCAUCGGACCCAAUAUCACCAGUUGGCAACACAACUUCCAAUAUAGGCUCAGUUGGCACCACAUCAACUGGAAUAUCUUUAGUUGGCAACUCAACUUCCAACAUAGGCUCAGCUUGCACAGCAUCAGCUGGAAUAUCUUCAGAGGUACCCAUAGCUUCAGUUGGCACCAGAACAUCAAAAUCUUGCUCAUCUUGCAGCAGCACAUCCAAGUCUUGCUCAUUUUGCACCACACCAUCCAAGUCUGGUUGAAUGUGUAUUGUUUCACCAAAACUUCUCUUUCUUCUAGAGCCAUUGCCUCUUGCUUUUUUCUUUGGCCAGCACACUUCAACAACAAGGGGCUCACCUGCACGCUUCCUCCUAAAAAGAUAAAGCAUGUCAACUGGUUAGUAAUUGAAAAAUGCAACAAAAUAGUAAACAAUGCAAACAUAUGCCCACAUACUUUGGCCAUUCAUGAGUGUAACAACAUUUGGGAGAUCCAACUCGGUGCCCAAGUUCCUGGCACAACUUGCCUCUAUUUUUUUUUACCUUUUUGGGACCUUUUUGGCUUUGCAUUCUUCUUUCCCUUGCCCUUUUUACUACUCCCACCUUUCUCAAACCAUGCCUUGAAUCUACUUUCUUUAGGCCUGCCAGCCUUUCUUUUUGUUAGGGGAGGACCCAUGGAAAAUUCAAUUUCAACUUCAGGCCACUGAGACUGAUCUGUAAGUGCUAGAAUUGGAGUUGCAUAUGCAGCCUUGAAUCUUGCUACUAAGUAAUAUUCGUGCAAAUAUGGGUGCAUGUUUAUCUUCGGUCGGGAGGCCAAGAAAAGUAUGGCAUGACUCACAUGGUUUCCCAGUGUGCUGCCACUCCAAACAAGUGCAAUCAUGCAUUUCAGUGUUAACAACAUGCCUUCUACCAGUUUUGGUAUCUCUAACUUCAACACCCCACACAGAAGAUUUUUCAACAGAUAAAUGUGUAAGAUUUAUGCUCCUGUUGACCACCUGGUGUACCACUGCAGGAAGCUUAUCCCCUUGUAGACAAUCACCAAUCCUUCUUCUCAAUUCCCACAAGCGCAUGAUCAUGAUCCUGAUUUGGUCAACCAUGUCAUGCACAGGAAAAAAAUUUAACUGCUUCACCCUGUUGUUAAAACUUUCUGCCAAGUUGUUGUUGAUAUGAUCACACUUGAUGGCAGUGUUAAAUCCCGACCUAUACCAUAAUAGAGAAUGGUACGUGUUCACCCAUGGACCAAACUCAGGACAUGAUGUCAUUAUCAUACCAAGAUGAUAUUAAUGUGUUUGUUUAGUGUAAGAUCUUGCUGCUGGCCACAUACGACCAAAUUCUUCCCCUUUGAAUUUUUUGAUCAAAUUCAUCCACAUAUGGCCGAAGCACUCCCUCUGCUCACAAUGGGGGAAAACAUUCUUCACUGCGUUUUCUAGCCCUUUGCAUGCAUCUGUGUGGACUGCCAAAGGUGACACUGGACCUAUGCAUCUUUUCAACUGCACCAUGAACCAUGUCCACGAGACCUCUAUCUGUGACUGAAAUAAGCCAAUAGCAAUAGGGAACAUCCAGUUGUAUCGAUCCAAAGCAUUGCAAGCUGCCAAUUGACCAAUUGAAAGUGCACCUAUGCCUAGGUGGUUUUGGUAAUUCCUAACAACAUAUAGCUCAUUGAGCUAAUGAUAUCUCAAGAUAAAUAUUUCAGGAAAGCACAAUGAUUGGCAUGGCAUGGAUUAGAAAUGUGACCCCUCAGAAUACCAAGGACAAAAGAAUGGCUCAAGCUCUAAAGCUCAAGACUCUACAUUUUACUUUUAGUGAUCCAAGAUCACAUUGAGUCCAUAGGAAAAGCAAAUACUAUUAAAAGGGGAUGAGGUGUUGCUUAAUGGGUUGCUUGCUCAAAAUGCUUAGUGAUAUGCUCCAAAAACCCUCAACUACUUUCUCAUAUCCACAUAUGUCCCAAACCAGAAGUCAAACUCGGCCCCACCAAAACAUCCUAUCUGGCACCACCGAGUUCUCUUGACAUAGCCACUGCCACAAACCCUAGUCACUUUGGUCUCACCGAUAGGGAUCUCGGUAUCACCGAGAUGGGAUUGCAAACAUCUGUUUCCCUUCCUAACGUUUCGGUCCAACCGAGAUGAGCGAUCGGUCCCACCGAGUUUGCAAUGCAAACUCUCUGUUUCCCCUUCGUAACGUUUCGGUCUCACCGAGAUGAGCAAAUCGGUCCCACCGAGUCUGCCUCAUCAACUCUCUGGUUAGCUUAUCACCAAAAUCAGUCCCACCGAGUUUGUGUAAUCAGUCUCACCGAGAUUACGUUAUGCCCUAACCCUAAUGAAAUCGGUCCCACCGAGUUGACAUGUCGGUCCCAUCGAAUAUCCUAACGUUCACAUUUUGAACUAAAUCGGUCCGACCGAGUUUCAUUAUUCGGUCCCACCGAGUUUGAUGAUUUGUGUGUAACGGUUAGAUUUUGUGUGGAGGCUAUAUAUACCCCUCCACCCACUCUUUAUUCGUGGAGAGAGCCAUCAUAACAUGCCUACACUUCCAGCAUACAUUUUCUGAGAGAGAACCACCUACUCAUGUGUUGAGGUCAAGAUAUUCCAUUCCAACCACAUAAAUCUUGAUCUCUAGCCUUCUCCAAGUUGCUUUCCACUCAAAUCGUCUUUCCACCAAAUCCAAAUCUGUGAGAGAGAGUUGAGUGUUGGGGAGACUAUCAUUUGAAGCACAAGAGCAAGGAGUUCAUCAUCAACACACCAUCUAUUACCUUUUGGAGAGUGGUGUCUCCUAGAUUGGUUAGGUGUCACUUGGGAGCCUCCGUCAAGAUUGUGGAGUUGAACCAAGGAGUUUGUACGGGCAAGGAGAUCGCCUACUUCGUGAAGAUCUACCCUAGUGAGGCAAGUCCUUCGUGGGCGAUGGCCAUGGUGGGAUAGACAAGGUUGCUUCUUCGUGGAACCUUCAUGGGUGGAGCCCUCCGUGGACUCGCGCAACCGUUACCCUUCGUGGGUUGAAGUCUCCAUCAACGUGGAUGUACGAUAGCACCACCUAUCAGAACCACGCCAAAAAUCUCCGUGUUUAUAUUGCGUUUGCUCCCUCCAAACUCCUCCCUUUACCUUCAUGUGCAAUGUUUUACAUUCCGCUACUAUACUCUUAGACUUGCAUGUGUAGGUUGAUUUCUUGACUAGUGCUAAGUUGCUAAAAUCUGCCAAGACUUAAAAUUGGGGAAAGGCUAGAUUUUUAUUUGGUCAAGUAGUCUAAUCACCCCCCCUCUAGACAUAAUUUCGAUCCUACAAGUGGUAUCAGAGCUACGGUCUCCAUUUGCCUUGAUUUCCAUAGCUUUUGGUGAUCAUAGCCUUGGUUUCACAACCUAGGAGACUAUGGCGUCUAGCAAGGGAAAUUACCACCAUAGAGGUCCUUACUUUGAUGGUACUAAUUUUGCUACUUGGAAGCACAAGAUGAAAAUGCAUAUUCUUGGACAUAACCCCGCCGUUUGGGCUAUUGUGUGUAUUGUCUUGCAAGGUGAAUUCUUUGAUGGGAGAGAACCGAACCGUGAAGCUACUGCGGAAGAGUUGAAGAUGCUACAAUACAAUGCUCAAGCUUGUGAUAUUCUCUUCAACGGAUUGUGCCUCGAAGAAUUCAACAAAAUCAGCCGUCUUGAGAAUGCAAAGGAAAUUUGGGAUACUUUGAUUGAUAUGCAUGAGGGUACCGACUCCGUCAAGGAAUCCAAAUUGGAUGUGCUUCAAAGUCAAAUUGAGAAGUUCAAAAUGAAGGAUGGUGAAGGUGUCACUGAAAUGUACUCUAGGCUUGCUCUCAUCACAAAUGAGAUUGCCGGCUUAGGAAGUGAAGAGAUGACCGAUAGAUUCAUCAUCAAGAAGAUCCUAAGAGCCUUGGAUGGAAAAUAUGAUACCGUGUGCACAUUGAUCCAAAUGAUGCCCAAUUACAAAGAUCUCAAGCCAAAGGAAGUCAUUGGAAGAAUUGUUGCUCAUGAGAUGUCACUUAAGGAUAAGGAAGAGCUCCACAACAAGUCAAGUGGUGCUUACAAAGCCUCAUGUGAUGCUCCUACACCAUCAAGUGAGAAACAAACCUUUAAUGAAGAAUUGAGCCUAAUGGUGAAGAAUUUCAGCAAGUUCUACAAGAGUAGAAGCAAGGAAAGAAGUUCCAAGUCAAGAUCCUACAAUGACAAAAGAUCUUCAAGUCGUGAACGAAAUUGCUACAAUUGUGGAAGACCCGGACACUACUCCAAUGAGUGUACGGCUCCCUACAAAAGAAGAGGAGAUUCUCCCAAAAGACGAAGUAGAAGAGAAGAAUCAGCACCAAGAGAGAGAAGGAGUAGAGAUGAUUGUUAUGAACGAAGAACCUCUCGGAGAAGCAAGGAUUCGGAAAGGAAGGACAAAUCAUCAAAGAGCUACACAAAACGAAGACAUCAAUCUCACGUUGGUGAAUGGGUAUCCGGCUCCGACUCCGACCAUUACUCCGAAAGAAGUUAUCACUCCGACUCCGACUAUACUCAAGAAGAAGGUGUUGCCGGUCUAGCACUUGCGUCAACCAACUCCUACAACAUAUUUGACUCACCAAAUGAAGGAAUUGGAAGAUGCUUCAUGGCUAAAGGCCCCAAGGUAUCACACCCCGAGUUUGUUGAUUUCAAUAGUGAUGAAGAUGAUUUGCUAGGAGAUGAUGAUUUACUUGUUGACAACUCCAGUUAUGAAAACUAUGAUGAACUUGCUAUUAGUCAUGCUAAUCAAGAUAAAACGAAUGACGAUGAUAAGAAGGAGAUUGAGCGUCUAACUAAAGAAUUAAACACUCUUAAAUUAGCUCAUGAAACUACCAUGGAAGAUCAUCGAGAACUUUUAAAGACUCAUGAGAAGCUACGCUUUGAAAGGCUCAACCUUGAGCAAGAGCAUGGGUUCUUAAAAGCAAUCAAUGAUGAUCUUCGCAGGAAAAAUUCUUCUUACAUUGCCAAGCGUUUACUCUUGUCUACUUACAUGCCACAAGUAGAAUCUAGCAACAAGAGUAAGAAAGAUUCUUCAUCUAGUAGUAACAAUAAUCAUGCUAAAUCCAAUGUUGUUGCUUCUAGUAGUUCUCUUGAUUCCACUAAUGAUUCUCUUAGCCAAGUUACAAUUGAGCAAGAAAAUAGCUUAUUGAAGGGAAUUAUAGAGAAAGGUGUUUACAAGAGCCUUGUCGGAAGUAAGCAAUUUGAGGAAAUUGUACGCAACCAAGGAAGGCACCGGAAAAAUCAAGGUGUUGGUUUUGAACGAAAGUUCAAUGCCAAUGGAGUUGAGUGGGAAGAAGAUCAAUACCCCAAGACGAAGUUUGUUCCUCAACAAGAGAAGUAUGAUCCUACUUCCUUCCAAGGAACACAAGCUCAAGAUGAUCUUCCACCACAAGACCACAAGCAAAAAGGCAAGGACAAGCUUCAAGAGGAGAUUGAUGCAUUUUAAGAAGCUCCCAAGGCCUUGGUCGAGUGGGUUCCCAAGACUACAUCAAAUACGACUACAACUCCAAGGAUUCCCAUCAAGAUGAUGUGGAUCCCGAAGAAGAAGAACUAGAGAGUUCUUGAGGGUGACUCCGCCAACAUACUUCACUCAUAUCUUUUGGCAAGGACAUGUGAGAACAACUUCCACAUAUUGCACUAGUUCAAGGAGUCACAAACCCUCUUGUUUGUAAGACAAGGGACAAGGUAACCUAAUGCUUUCAUGGACAUCAUCUUGUGUGUACAUCACUCUAUGUCUAUGGAUAUCCUUGUUUGUUCCUUGUGGGACUAACCAGUGUAGGUAUUGGAAGUGCAACUCACUCCAAUGGAUUGCUCCGAAUGAUCUACAUCAACAUUGAGCAUCCACAUCUUCAACACCUACAUGAAGUCAUCAUCGACAAAACCCAAGGUUAGUUCAUCCCUCUUAGGGGGAUAUCACAUCUAGGGGGAGCUUUACUCUAAUAAAUUGAGCUAAAGCAACUCUAAUGGUGUGAACACAACAAUGCUUUAUGUGAAAGUGGUAACCCCACUUAUGCUUAAACGAUGAGUAUGACCUAUGAUCAAAUGUUCUCAUUUGACUCCUAAGUCAAUAUACUCAUAUAUAGAUGACCUAGUCAUCGCCAAUUGCUUGAUAGAUGCUAGAGUCUUUGUGCAUGCUUUGUCACAUAUUUCGUUUGCCAUUUUAUUGUGUGAGCAUGUUAAUUGCAUAUUUUACUCAUUCGAGGACAUCCAUUUGUUGCUUUGAUUGUUUGGCUUUUUCUCUUUUGCCAAAUGGAUGGACAAGAAUGCCUAAGAACUCCCUCUAGCUAUCUAUGCUUUUCUCGUCUCAAACUCUAUUCAUGCUACAUCACAAAGUUUGAUCAAGUCAGGUUCGAACCACUCUGUGUGAGGAGCACUCGGAGUCCCCGAUUCGUCAUAGACUUAAACUUCCAAAACCUCUUUGUGCAUUUCGGUAUGACCGAUUCAUCCAUUUUGGUCACACUGAGUUCACUAAGUUGAUCUAGGUUUUCCAUCUCGGUGCAACCAAUUUGAACUUUUCGGUCACAUCGAGUUGCAGUAACCGCUUGCGAUUCUGCAUCUCGGUGCCACCGAGUUGUUCCACUCGGUAACAUCGAUAGGGUCGGGAUAUAUAAACCCACAGGUGAGAUUUUGGAAAUUUCUUCAAACUCCUCAGCCCGCGUGUGUCCUGCUCUGCCUCCUCGGGUCUCCGGAUCGUCUCCUCGCCGCCAGCGACCUCCCGCCGCUGGUUUCCGUUGCUGUCAACGGAAUUCUCCUCUGCCGUUGUCGCCAUAGCGAACUCCCGCCGAACUAGGGUAUGGGUUCGACUCUUUGUGCUAUUUCCCUACUCCAAUUUGUAGCACAUUUCUUUUCCAUGAUCUUUACCACGUAUGAAAAUAAUCUAUCGAGAGAAAACAUCCUUUAGGUUAGAUUUGAUUCAAAAAUUUAGGGUUAGGUCUCCGCCGAACUCAUCUCAGACCAACCGAGUUGUAGAAAUCGGUCUCACCGAUUUGGCUUAGGCCAUUGCACAUGCUUUUUGGUCUGACUGAAAACGGCAAAUUGGUGCGACCGAUUUCGAAUCUCUGUGAAACCCUAGCAAUCUCGGUGCCACCGAACUGUGACUCGGUCUGACCAAGUUCACUAGUUUAGGUUCCAAAAGUUGCUUCGGUAUCACCGAGUUUAACAAAUCGGUAGCUCCGAAAUGCUUUCUGUGGAGAACUAUAACUAAGUUUUUGAGUCAUCUGUUUUGCAAAAGCUCUGCACUUUGUGAUGCUCAUCCACUCUACCUCAUCUAUAUCUAUUCACAGGGUUUGCUGUCAGUGUGAUUGCCAAGAUGUCUGAUCAAAGUGACAGCCAGAACAGAUCUGAAGAGCAAGUGCAUAUGAGUGAGGGCACUAAUCCCUCAAGCAGCUAUGAUGAGGGCAGCAGAAGCACACCAAGUAACUUGCCCAAGGUAGCCACUAGAACAAGGAAGAAGAGAACCUCAGACUCCGAGGAUGAGGACUAUGUGGCCAUUGAGGAUGAGGCCACCUCAAGGAAGAAAGUGCUGAAGAAAGAGUAUGGCAUAGCUGCUGCAACUAAGCCAGGGUUGCAUAAGAAGGCAACAGCAAAGAGAGUCCCAAUGUCAAAGCCAACGAAAGUUCCAACAGGAGAAACCAUGAAAUUCACAAUAUAAUCAGAUGAUGGUGAGGCAGUUGGUGAUGGCAAGAAGAAGAAGAGGGCAAGAACCACAUCUGCAAAAGUUCUUGGAAAAUCAACUAUGGUAAGAGAUUCAGAAGAAGAGGAAGAGGAAGAGGAUGCUGCACCAGCACCCAAGUCUCAGAAGCUUAUGGGAGAUGCUAUCAAGUCAGGGGCUGCUCCAUCAAAGCCCAAGACUGCUCCCAAAGCAACAGCUCAAACUCAGAAGCCCUCUAAGCCCAAGAGAAGCACCAGAAACAUUCCUGCAGAAGAGAGGAACAAGGCCUCAGUGCCUAAGGUUGAAGAAGAGGAUGAUGAAGCCCUAGUGCUAAGAAAACUGAAACCCAAGAUUCCAGACCACAAUGACACUCAUCCAGUGGCUGAGGACAUGCACAUCAGGAAAGAUGCAGGAUUGAGACUUUGGAGACAGUCUGAUCCUUAUGCUGCGACAAGGAGAACUGUUGUGGACUACAUGUUCCACACCAAAGAACAACAAGACUUCUAUGAGACUAUUCUGCUUGACAAGAAGCCAAUUGUCUGUGAAAUGAGAUGGGUUGAUUGGGAAUACAUCAAAGAGAAUGAAGAUCACUUCCCAGGUGUACCAGACAGCUUCAAAGCAAGUGGAGUUGAUAAGUUUGUAGGUCAGAAGCCCACCAAAUGGAAUGAUGAGCUAAUCAUGCAGUUUUACUCCACUGCUCAUUUCUAUCCAGAUGGGAGAUAGUGGGGAUGUCUGAAGGUACAAGGUACCAAUCAACUGUAGAAAAAUGGGCCAAGUUGAUCAAUGCCCCAGAAGAGUAUGAGGAUGAUUUGGAUGUGUAUGCCAAGAAGAAGAAAGACCACAACUCUAUGGCAAAUAUGUACAAAGAGAUCCCUGAUAAAGCUUUGGAGACACACAAGCUUGGAUCUGUGCACUAUUUGUUGUCUGGUCUACCCACUAUCAACACUAUCUUAAGGCAUACUCUGGUACCCAAAUCUGGAGAUCACAAGAUGAUCAGAGGACAUUCCAUCAACUUGCUGCAAAUCUUUGAUGUCCCUUAAAAAUUCAAGGUCGUGAGUCUGAUUGUUGAGACAAUCAAGAGGACAGCUGCUGACCAGAAGAGAUCUUGUGGGUAUGCUCCACACAUUCAGGUGGUCAUCAACUCAAAGAUGGGCACAGGGACUUACAUGUUGGACAAAGAACAUUUACCCUUGUAUCCAGAUUUUGAAGAUAAUGAAGUUGUCAUGAAUGAGAAUGAACCUUCAUCAGCACAAGCACAAGAGAAGAGAGCUAAAGCAAAGGCAGAAAAGGCUGCAAGGAUGCCAAGUGCCGAGGAAGCAUCUCAGGUGUCCCUGAAGAGCAAGAAAGAUCAGCUUAUAUCUGAUUCAAGCUACAUUGAGGAUUGAGAAGGGCUUGGCCACCCUGACUCAGAAUCAGGAGAGCUUGGAGAGGAUCAUAGAGACAAAAUAUUAUGAUCUUGAUCUGAAGGUCACUGAGAUACAGAGAGCAGUUGAGCAGCUCCAGGAGGAAGCAGGAGAGAGGAAAGGGAAGGCAACUACAGAUGCUUUUCGGCGAGUGCCAAGAGGUCAGAGGUCUGCUGCAGUGCCAGUAUCAGAUACUAGAGCUACAUCGUCAGCACCAAUAGCUACAGCUUCAGUGCCACCUCCAGCAGCCACUCCACCAGCUCCAGCUACAUCCACUGAUGCCUUCGUCCUUGGAGUUCUCUCUACUCCACCUCCUGAAGACCAAGCCUGAGAGACGCAUAGCACUAUGCAUUUUCGAACUUUUUGAUAACUUGUUGCCAAAGGGGGAGAAAUGUAUAGAUCAUAGGCUUCGAGAGAGAGUGUUUUGCUUCUUUGUCUCUCUUGAUUUUGGUUGAACUUUAUGGUGUUCUUGGUUGAUACUCUAUGUCUGUGUGAGAUACUUGUUUGAUCAUGGGUUUGAUCAUAUGCUACUUUAAUGCUUGCUUGGAUGGUAUUAUCUCUUAUAUCCCAUAUAUGUUCAUUCACUUUGCUUGGUGAUGAAUGCUUUCUUUUAAUUUCCACGAUCCUAAUUGAUUGUGCAUUUGCAUUCAAAAGAUGUAUGUGACAUGGAAGAGUAACCCAUGAUCCUAAUCGAUUGUGCAUUUGCAUUCAAAAGCCUAUUUUUAAUAAUGCACAAAUUUAGGGGGAGCUCUUGCUUAUCACAUACUUCUCAAAGCGACGAUGUAUUUCAAUCUUAUGAUCAUUUGUCAAAGCUUUGAUCUAUAUGUUUUCAUCAAUUAUCAAAAAGGGGGAGAUUGAAAGUGCAACUAUCCCUGGGUGGUUUUGGUAAUUCCUAACAACAUAUAGCUCAUUGAGCUAAUGAUAUCUCAACAUAAAUAUUUCAGGAAAGCUCAAUGAUUAGCAUCGCAUGGAUUAGAAAUGUGGACCCCUCAAAAUGCUAAGGACAAAAUAUUGGCUCAAGCUCUAAAGCUCAAGACUCUACAUUUUACUUUUAGUGAUCCAAGAUCACAUUGAGUCCAUAGGAAAAGCCAAUACUAUUAAAAGGGGAUGAGGUGUUGCUUAAUGGGUUGCUUGCUCAAAAUGCUUAGUGAUAUGCUCCAAACCAAAAGUCAAACUCGGCCCCACCGAAACAUUCUAUCCGGCGCCACCGAGUUCUCUUGACAUAGCCACUGUCACAAACCCUAGUCACUUCCGGUCUCACCGAUAGGGACUCGGUCUCACCGAGAUGGGAUUGCAAAAUCUUUGUUUCCCUUCGUACAUUUCGGUCCAACCGAGAUGAGCGAUCGGUCCCACCGAGUUUGCAAUGCAAACUCUCUGUUUCCCCUUCGUAACGUUUCGGUCUCACCGAGAUGAGUGAAUCGGUCCCACCGAGUUUGCCUGACCAACUCUCUGGUUAGCUUAUUACCAAAAUCAGUCCCACCGAGUUCGUGUAAUCGGUCUCAUCGAGAUUACGUUAUGCCCUAACCCUAACGAAAUCGGUCCCACCGAGUUGAAAUGUCGAUCCCACCGAAUAUCCUAACAUUCACAUUUUGAACUAAAUCGGUCUGACCGAGUUUCAUUAUUCGGUCCCACCGAGUUUGAUGAUUUGUGUGUAACAGUUAGAUUUUUUGUGGAGGCUAUAUAUACCCCUCCACCCACUCUUCAUUUGUGGAGAGAGCCAUCAGAACAUGCCUACACUUCCAGCAUACAUUUUCUAAGAGAGAACCACCUACUCAUGUGUUGAGGUCAAGAUAUUCCAUUCCAACCACAUAAAUCUUGAUCUCUAGCCUUCUCCAAGUUGUUUUCCACUCAAAUCAUCUUUCCACCAAAUCCAAAUCUGUGAGAUAGAGUUGAGUGUUGGGGAGACUAUCAUUUGAAGCACAAGAGCAAGGAGUUCAUCAUGAACACACCAUCUAUUACCUUUUGGAGAAUGGUGUCUCCUAGAUUGGUUAGGUGUCACUUGGGAGCCUCCGUCAAGAUUGUGGAGUUGAACCAAGGAGUUUGUACGGGCAAGGAGAUAGCCUACUUCGUGUAGAUCUACCCUAGUGAGGCAAGUCCUUCGUGGGCGAUGGCCAUGGUGGGAUAGACAAGGUUGCUUCUUCGUGGACCCUUCGAGGGUGGAGCCCUCCGUGGACUCGCGCAACCGUUACCCUUCGUGGGUUGAAGUCUCCAUCAACGUGGAUGUAUGAUAGCACCAUCUAUCGGAACCACGCCAAAAAUCUCCAUGUCUACAUUGCGUUUGCUCCCUCCAAACUCCUCCAUUUACCUUCAUGUGCAAUGUUUUACAUUCCGCUGCUAUACUCUUAGACUUGCAUGUGUAGGUUGAUUGCUUGACUAGUGCUAAGUUGCUAAAAUCUGCCAAGACUUAAAAUUGGGAAAAGGCUUGAUUUUUAUUUGGUCAAGUAGUCUAAUUACCCCCCCCCCUCUAGACAUACUUUCGAUCCUACACCAUUCCACUUGCCAGUCAAAAAUGAUGAGUCUAUGCUCAAAUAUGGACGACACCCUACCUUGAAGCCAUCAAUGCUAGGCUUCAAAGCCAUAAUAAACGUAUAGAAAAGUACUCUUCCAUCCUCUGUUACCUCAGUAUCUAUCUCCACAACACUCCCAGGUGACCUCUUCUCCACCUCUGCUUUGAAAUUAUAAAGCAUCCUAAAAGUAUUUGCCCAGUCACCAUAUAAUUGUUUCAUUGCCCUUUGUUUUGCCUUCCACACCGUGUUAUACUUCUCCUUAAUGGGGUAUUGCUUUCCAAGUAUACUUUAAGUUUCUUUGCAGUGGUGUUUGGUUUCUUGGCUAGAAUAGGAGUGAUCUUUUCUGCAAUCCAAAGCUGUGAUGUCAUGGUUGAUACUCUCGGUGAACUUGUAAUACAAGUAUGUUGGUGAGGGAUUUGAUUCACCCUAAUGGUACUUCCAUCAGGUUGGCGUCUAGCAGAUAUGUACUACUUGCAAGGCUUGACACUUCCAUCAAAACCUCUACACCUUGCAUAAAACUUCUUUCUAUCAGUCCACUUAGUCUUGGCACCAAACUCAUGUUUGACUGCAUAUGUCUUGAAACACAUCCUAAACUCAUCCAUGUUUGGGAACAACAUCCCCACUUCAAUAACAGGGUUUUCCUUGUCAUACACAUUUACCAACUCAUCAUCAUGUGCAUCAUCUACAUCAUCUGCAGCAUCUUCCAUCAGCUAUCCAUCCAGAUCUUCAGUUCUAUCUUUGUUAGCAUCAGUAUCAGUAGGCAUACUAGAUUCACCAUCCUUCUCCUCCUUAUCUUCAUCAGCUACUGGAAUGCCAAAUUUUUUGGCCAUCUCAGUGUCAUCCAUUGGUGCAAUGACUAAAUCAGUUGGGUCAUUUAAUUCUACUGAAUUCCAAUCAACAUAAACAACCCUUCCAACACCCUCAGAGCCAUCUUCUGCAUCACCCCCCUCAGGUAAUACUGUCACUUCACCUGUACACAUGGGCAUUAUCUGCCUCUCUGAAGCCCAAUCAUCAUCUACCAUUUGUGAAGCUAACUUUGAGGGCACAUAUCCAACCUUAGAAUCUGAUUUCAGAUCAACAAGCUAUGCAUGAAACAUAGUUUGUUUGGUUGUCCAGCCAUCUUGUUGAUCAAUUUCAUCAACCAUGUCUUCACCAUCCUCAAUUCUCACAUACUCUCCUUUCCAAUUAUCAAACCGUAACAAUGCUACCUCUUGCUCUGGACCCCAAAAAAUGCUCUCCCCAAUUUUUUUCCACCACAUUCUUCAUGGCCUUCUCUUCCAUGCUCUGUAGUUCUUGUGGAUCAAUCUCUGCAAAAUCAAUCUCCGGAUGCUACCAUCACCUAUGUCCCGCAUGCUACCAUCACCUAGCUUCGCCUUAGAAGGAAGGAAUUCCGCAGUGAAUUUGAACGUCCGAGCAACAUCCCCCCUAUUUCGGGGCAGUGUGAGGUGAGCUACCGGAAGCAGACGAGGCACAAAUCGCAUUCCUUGGAAAGGAUGCACAUUAAGGGAUUACCUUCUAGAUGUUGUUGUCUCUGGCGGCUCCAUCGCGUGCAGGCCCCCCUCCCACCCACCCAAAUCUGGAUCAAAUUGACCAAAAACACCAAAAAACAGAGGGAAAGAGAGGCGGUGAGAUCUAGCUCGACACGGAGGGGAACGGGAUAGGGUUCCUGAUUCACUCAACACAGCCGCCGCCGUCGCCGAGAACGAAAGCUCCUCUGCGCUGCUAUCACCGAGAACAAAAUCUCCGGCGCCGGCGCCGGCUCACCGCCAAGAACAAAGAGGGGGGGUACACGUUCAGAUAGGCAUGGGGACACGUUUCACCUGAUGCACUGCCAAGUGGGGCCCGCAACUAGAUGCACUGCCAAGUGGGAUCCACAUGUCUUAAACAUAACCUCACUCCCGUUGACGACCAGUUUAAUCGCCCGAGUGGACCUUGGCUAUUUGGGCCUCUGAAACAUAGUACUACAGUUAUUUUCGUCAACUAUGUCGCUUUCCUUCCAUUGCACCUCAAAUAUGUCGCACAGGAGCUAUUGACCCCUUGACUUGUUGCAGCUGGCCAUUUUCUACUACGAAACCAAUUUUCUAGGAGUAAAUAAAUAAAUGAACAACUACAGCAUACAUCAUAUGAGUUUCAGACUUUAUGAAGCCUGAAUGUUGAAAAAAUAAGAAAAAGAGACAACGUAAGGACCUCUGCUCUGUCGUGCCGAUGGAUGACAGAAGCUAAUUGCAGAUGGCCGGAGUUGCGACAUCAGCCUCUUCGAGACACGCGGAGACCUCCGUAUCUCCUCGAGCUCUCCUGCCGCGCGGGGCCGUCAGCGCCCAACAACCUAUGCGGUGCCGCCGCCGUCUGUCUCAUAGGGAACAGCAGAAAGGCCAUUUUCUUUCGGGUGCUUUGAUAAAAAAAAUCAUAUAUUACAGGUGGGUCCAGGACUACUUAUCAACAAUACAUCUCCUUCUCAAUGUAUCCGAAAUGGGGAUUUUGAAAUAUAUUAACCGGAGUCUCUGAAAUCUAACACACUAAAAUUCAGGAACCUAUGAAAACUGGUACAUUUCUUCAUCAACCAUCCUUCGAACCUCAUGUGGCAACGCAGAUAUCAGAGCAUGUGUGUCUUCCUUCUAAGACUUUUGCAUGUUGCCCCUCUAUGCUCCUUUUUUACGGCCAAUGUGUGGAAGGUCAUGUCCAUAACCUCAUUGAUAGUCAAAACAUAGACGAUGAUGAUUGUGAACAUCCGCUGUGGCUUCAGAUUGCGAUGAUGUUGCCUCAUCCCCCAAUUGUGUAGACACAGGCUCCCAUUACACAAAGGGAAUGGUGGGGCGAAUAGACUCGUACCUCUGAAGAGCGAGGAGAAGAUACAUGUAUUUGUUUUCCUCCAAUAUUUUAGAUGGGCCUAGGACAGAUUGAGAGGGGAGCAAAUCCGAAUUUAUACCACACUCACAUUGACAUCCCAAGAUGGUGGAGUAUAUAUAGAACUUCUAUACAUCUUGUUUUUAAUAGCUCAUUUUUAGGAAGGAAAAAAAUAAAUUGUUAUCAUGGGAUAUGUGUUGAGCAGGUCAUUCAAAAAUGUUUAUUUAAUCAUGUGACUGAAUACACCAGAAUCAUGUGAUCAUCCUACUUGCAUGUUUAUGUUAGUCUCCAACUUCCAAAGUAGAACCUAGUAUACAUGGUAUUCUAGUUCUCUCCUGUGUACCAUCACUCCAAGUCCAUUGCAUCAUGAAAGACGUGUGAAACGUGAGAACUGGCAUUGCAUGAUUCUUCUCCAUCUCUAUGUUUCAUCUGGAUAAAGGGUGUCAGAGUAGAUGAUGGGUUUAAUGGCAGAGAGGGGGGGGAGAGGGAGAGGGAGAGAUCUCAUUCUUGUAAAAUGUAAAAAAAAGGAAUGGAAGGAAAGGUCCACACUUAGACAAACUGAUUAGAUCCGUAAACUAAUUAGACCCGCAAAAAAAGAUGACGCUAUAAAUAUCUCAUAACAACAGAGGGAGAGGAAGGCCAUAGCUUUUAUUGUGUAUGGUGAGACCGGCUUUUCAACACCCGGGUGUCAGACACCCGGCUAUCAGGCCGUUCAGGCAAUACCUCUCAUUGGGAUAUGUGUCUGGUCCUGCACCACCAUUUUCAUUAGCAGGCAAGGUGAAUAGUAAAUGGAUGUGACAACAGAGAACGGCCAUAGAGCGGACGAGCUCGCCUGUGUUGAACAGCCUGUCACGUUACACAAGGUGCACCGAAGCAGGAGUAUUGAGCCGCACCAGAAGUCCCAAUAUAUUGGUAGAGAUAAGCUAGGUAGUUAGUUCAUAUCUAUCCUUUGUAACCUAUUCUAUCUCUUCUCCUUCAAGUCUCCUGUAAUAUCUCAACUUCUAACUUGUAUGUGCUUCAGGGAUUGCGCCCCUGCCUAUAACAUGCAACGCGUCCCCUCGCACCGAGGUAAAGACGUUUCCGCAUCUCGCACAUGGUAAUCAGAGCCAUCCUACUUCCCAUCUAGUUUUCUCUCGAUUCCAAUCGUGUCCAAAAAUCAUGUCUUCCUCCUCCGGCAUCUCUCACCCUAGCCUCAGUGGGCAGGUCAUUGAGAAACUCUCCCGCACGAACUACGUGCUAUGGCGCACACAGAUCACGCCACAAUUGCGUGGCGCCGAUGUCUUCAGCUAUGUUCAUGGCACCUCGCCGGAGCCGGCCAAGCUCCUCGCCGCCAAGGACAAGGACGGCAAGGAGACCUUCCAGCCCAACCCUCUCCACCCCAUCUGGGUCAGGGAGGACCAGCAGGUUCUCGGCUACCUGCUGAGCAACCUCUCCAAAGAGGUGCUCCUCAUGGUGACCACGAUCACCACGGCGCAGCCGCUCUGGACGACGCUGGCGGGCAUGUACUCGUCGCAGUCGCUUAGCCGCAUCAACAACAUCCGUACCUCGCUCAUCAAUGCGCAGAAGGGCAACCAGUCCGCCACCGCCUACUUUGCCUCCAUGCGCGGUCUCGCGGACGAGCUGGCAGCGGCCCGCAAACCCAUCCAGGAUGACGAACUCAUCUCGUACAUCCUCCACGGGAUGGAUCUGGAGUACCAGCCCCUCGUCUCCGCCCUCGACACCCGUGUUAGCCCCGCCUCCCUCGACGAAAUCUUCUCCAUGCUCAGCAACUUUGACCAGCGCAUGGCGCGGUUCCAUAGCUCGGGCGGCGGCAGAUUCAAGUCCUCCGCAAACGUCGCUACCCGUGGACGUGGCGACGGCUCUCGCUACCGCGGUCCUUCCCGUGGCAAGGGGAGGUCUGGUGGCGCCAGGACUAGCAGCGGUGGUGGGAUCAGUGGCGGUGGCAGGCGUGGCAACAAGGGUCGCCGUGGUGGCGACUCUGGUAGAACCCGCCCGGACACGCCGCGCUGUCAGAUUUGUGGCAAGCCGGGGCACACUGCCAAAGACUGUUGGUACCGCUAUGAUGAAGACGAGGACGACUCUCAAGAUGAUGGAAAGGUCGCUACGGCGGCUGAUGGCUCCUACGGUGUUGAUACCAACUGGUACCUCAACAGCAGCGCCACUAAUCAUCUCACCGGUGAGCUUGAAAAGGUGACUCUCCGUGAGAAGUACCACGGCAAGGAUGAGAUUCACACCGCCGAUGGUGCAGGUAUGAGAAUCAGUCACAUUGGUCAUUCGGUUAUACAUACCCCUCGUCGUAAAAUUCAUCUUAGGAAAAUUUUGCAUGUUCCUAGUGCCAACAAAAACCUCCUUUCCGUUCAUAGAAUUGCACUUGACAACCAUGUCUUCAUUGAAUUUCAUCCCUUUUUCUUCUUGAUCAAGGAUCAGGCCACGAGGAAAACCCUAUAUCGAGGUAGAUGUGUUCGAGGACUCUACCCGUUGCUUCCGGAGUUUAGAAGACACAAUAAACAAGCCUAUGCUGUUGUCAAGCUUUCUUCAACAUGGUGGCAUGAUCGUCUAGGAUAUGCUUCUUUUUCUUUAGUUGAACAUUUGCUUAGGAAGAAUAAGCUCAUGUUUGUUGGUGAGCGUCAUGUUGAAACUGUUUGUGAUUCAUGCCAAAGAGCAAAAAGUCAUCAAUUGCCUUAUCCUGUUUCUACUAGUGUUUCUACUCAACCUUUGUAAUUAAUCUUUUCGGAUGUCUGGGGUCCUGCUCCUUGUUCGGUUGGUAGACACACAUAUUACGUAAGCUUCAUUGAUGACUAUACCAAGUUCUCAUGGAUCUACCUUCUCAAGAAACGAUCCGAUGUUUUUCAAGUUUUUCAAAACUUCCAAGCACUCGUUGAAAGAAAUUUGACAGCAAGAUCAUUGCAGUCCAAUCUGACUGGGGGGGAUACGAAAAAUUAAAUUCCUUCUUCCAAACCCUUGGCAUACCCCAUCAUGUUUCAUGCCCUCACCCUCACCAACAAAACGGCUCUGCCGAACGCAAGCACCAACACAUAGUUGAAGUUGGUCUAGCUCUCCUAGCCGGUGCUUCCAUGCCCCUCAAGUUUCGGGACAAAGCCUUUCUUACCAUCGUCCACAUAAUCAACAUGCUUCCUAGUCGUGUCAUCAACAACGAAACUCCCAUGGAAAAACUCCUUCACAUCAAACCAGACUACAAGUCUCUCCGUGUGUUUGGUUGUGCUUGUUGGCCCAACCUUCGUCCAUACAACAAUUGAAAGCUCAUAUUUCGAUAAAAACAGUGUGUUUUUCUUGGGUAUAGUGCCCAACACAAGGGUGUCAAAUGUCUAUAUGUAUCCACUGGUCGCAUCUAUAUUUCACGUGAUGUUGUUUUUUACGAGACCAAGUUCCCAUUUGUUGACCUUCACCCCAAUGCUGGUGCACUCCUUCGCAAAGAGAUCCUACUUCUCCCUUCUCAUCUCACUAGUUUUGAUCAAGGGGGCGAUAAUUGUAAUGAUCAAGUGUUGACUGGCCCUCUUAAUACCACAUAUGAGCCUGGUGAUGAUGCAGGAGAAGGCACAGAAAAAAACAGCAGUCAAGAUGGUGAAGAAAUGCGCUCUACAGAGCCAUAUUUCAUGUGUCCAGGUGAAGGGAACAAGUCCCCUUCGGGAUCCGUGCUGCCAGGCGUGUCAGCCGCAUCAUCCUCAGGAGACCGCGCAGACGCGUCAGGGCGGCCACGCGAAUCUGCACCAGAAUCCGCGCCAGCCUCGUCAGGCGUGGUCGGGAGCGAGCCAUCGAGCGGCGACUCCGAGCCAGCCACGCGGCGCCCUGUGGCUGGGGAACACGCCUCCUCUGCUCCGCGCCAAUCACGCAUUUGAAUAUUCAAGCGUUUGAAUAUUUUUAAUAAAGUAUUGCAAAUGUUAAUCAAGCAAUUGAAACUUGUUAAGGCCUUGUUCGGUUUGGCAGGGUUUGAAGAGGUUUGAAAGGAUUGAAGGGGAUUAAAUCUCUUGCAAGUCAAAAUCCUUCUCAAACCUCGCCAAUCCCCUUCAAUCCAUGUGGCAAGGGGAUUAACCGAACAUGGCCUCAAUGUGUAUAGAAAAAAUGGUUGCCAUGUAAACAAAUAAUUAAUAAAAAAUAUACAAUGUGUAGGAAACGAAUGUUGAUGGUGUAUUUAAAAAUGUUGAUAAAUAAUUAUAAAUUUAUCAAUGUAACAAAAUAAAUUUCUCAUGUGUUCAACAUUUGUUAGUGGUCAUAAUACUUUUUGCGCGCACAAUGCACAUUUCUUUUAUAAAUCAAGAACAUUUUUUUACAUUCUUAAUAUUAUAAAAAUACAUAAUUACCUUUCUUAAAUACAUUUUUAUGGUGUCUACUUUUACUUAAUGUGCAUAUUACAUUUUUGUAUAACUGAUCAGCAUUUUUAUAUACACGUUUAACAUUUUAAAAAAUAUGAUCAAUAUUUUUCCAUAUGAACAAAGCAAAGGCAAUAAAAACCAACUAAAACCUAAAUAGAAACAAAUGAAAUAAAAAUAAAAAAUAAAAAAACACCGCAGAAAGAAUAGAAAACAGCAAAAAUCGAGAAAAAAGGAAAAAUGAAAAAAGAAAGACACAAAUAGAAAAUAAAGAAGAAGAAGAAGAAGAAGAAGAGAAAUAAAAGAAAAAACAUCUAAAAACCAAUAAAGAAACAGAAACAGAUCAAAGAAAACAAAGAAAGCUAAAAGAAAUGAAGAAAUACACAUUCACCAGUGACGCGAUCAUGAGCGGGCAUUUUUUUGUUUUGUUUUGAGAAAUGGACCUCCUAGUUGCUACACGAGAGAGUUAUUCCUUCCGGGUAAAGAAGCUACGAACUCGGGUGAAGCAAGACAUAGCUCUCGCGGGAAAAGAGAGCUCCUCGUUGGCGCGUUAAGCGAGGCGCACCUAUGUAUCGCUUGAUACGAGAUGAAACAUGCGACCGCUUAGGGGUCGCAAUACAUGGUUCGGCCCAGAUAGGUUCCAGGUUAGGUCAUCCUUUUUCAUGUGUUUCUACUUUUUUCGAAAAUAUUGUAAACAAAUAUAUACAAAAACAUAAAAAUUGUUACUAAAAAUAGGAGCUGCAAUUUGAAAAUGUUAAUGAAAUGUAUGUUAGCUUAAUUAAAAGAAAUAUUGGUAGCGUACAAAAAAUAUGACAUUUAACAAAUAUUCACGUGUUUCAAAAGUAGUAUGUGACUUUAUAACCAUGUAUUUCAAAAAUCUUAAAUUUGUAUGUAGACUCUUCUUUAUUUACACAAAAAAUGUACAAAUGUGUACGUAAAAAGUAGACAUAAAUGACAUAUAUUUGGAAAAUGACACUUCUGUAUUAGAAAAAUAUUAAAUAUGCAUCCAAAAUGUUCUUGAUGUAUAAUAAAUUGUACAAUACGUAUAAAAAUCUACAUAUAAACAAUUAUUUGAAACAAAAAAAUUAAUCAUGUAAAUUUGCCCGUCUCCGCGAGAUCAAUUUGUGGUUCCGAACAACGAGCUCGCUCAACGCAGAAGCCAUGGCGGUGGUUGAGGCGCUAGACAAGGAGGUAGUGUCAAGGUGUUUCCCUGGUAACAAGAGCAACCAUGGUGGUUCUCUAAAUAAUGGAGGAGGCAGAGUCAACAGAUCCCUCCAAGCAAUUCAAGUGGGCGGUGUUCAGGUCCCUUACCACAAUUUUCCUUGCGUCUGUGGAGGUGGUAAGGGUGUUACCGACAUCAAGAAGCAGUUCGAUGCUGAUUGUGAUUUCAGAUGAGGAGCUUGAGCUGCAGCGGGUGAAGAAGAAGGGCAUGGUGGUGAGUUUCCCACACGGCUCCGCCAGGCUCCAUGCCCUCUCCGCGCAGAGUAGGUGUCUCCCCGGAUGGUAGCUGCUUCUAGUUGGUGGCCGCGGAGGAUUGCGACUAGGCUGAUGCUGGAGAGGGUUGCCCGCCGGAUAUCUCAGGCAUAUUUCUAUCUGCUAAAUAUUUGCAUUCUGCUUCACAUAUUAGUGAUGGUAGAAAUGUUUUGGGUUGGAAUAAAAUUCAAUUGAAACUGAAAAAGAAACAACAUAAAUAAACACGUCCAGCUACAUGAUUCUAGAGUUUGUGAUUGGGAAAAUAAAGUUGAUGAAAAUUCGUCUUCUGUUUGUUAACCAUGUAUAAAAAUAUGCUUAUCAUGUGUAAAACAUUAUUUAGUGGCGCUAAUUGCUUUUGCACGCACAAUGCACAUUUUUUGUACAUCAAGUACAUUUUUUCUUAACAUUUUAUAAAUACAGAAUCAAUUGUUUAAAAAAUAUGCCGUCUACUUUUAUUUAAUGUACAUAGUAUAUUUUUGGUGCAAAUGAUCAGCAUUUUAAUAUAUACAUUUAACAUUUUUUAAACAUGUUCAAUGUUUUCCAUAAGGACGAAAAAGACAAAGAAACCACCUAAAACUGAAAAAGAAUCAAAUGAAAAAAUAAAAAUAAAAAAGAAAGAAAACCACCUCAAAAAGCAUAGAAAACAGGGAAAACCAUGAAAAAAAUGAAAACAGUGAAAACGAAAGAUACACAAAAAAUGAAAAAAAGGAUGAAUAAAUAAAAUAAAAAACAACUGAAAACCAAGAAAGAAACAAAAAAACAUGAAAGAAAACAAACAAGAAUAAUAAUAAAUCGAAUGGAGAAAAAAAUAAAAAUCGAUGGAAAAUAAAUAAACAAGGAAAACAGGCGAAGAAACAAAGAAAAAAAGAAGUAAACGGACCUUGCCAGUUGCUACGCGAGAGAUCUAUUUGUUCAGGCAAGAGAAGCUACGAACUGAAGUGAAGCGAGAUAUAGCUCUCGUCGCACACGAGAGUUCUUGGUCGGCGGAUUAAGCAAGACGGAGCGUGCAAUAGCUUUGGUGUCAGCUAUACAUGGUUCGGCCCAGAUAAGUUCCAGGUUAGUUCGUCCUUUUUAUGUGUUUCUCCUUUCUUUUGUUCUUAUUUUGAAAAAUGUUGUAAAUAAAUAUAUACCAGAACAUAAAAUUUAUUUAAAAAUAUAAAAAUGUUGAAUGUGAAUGUACUAAAUAUGUUAGCUUAAUUCAAAAAAAUAUAGGUAGCGCACAAAACAAUUGUGACAUUUAACAGAUAUUCACGCGGUUCAAAAAAAGUAUGCAACUUUAUAACCAUGUAUUUCCUAAAUGUUAAACGUCUAUAAAAAAACUCUUCUUUAGUUACGCAAAAAAUGUAGAAUUGUGUAUGAAAAAAGUAGACAUCAAUAACAUAUAUUUGAAUUAUGUUACUUUUGCAUUUAAAAAAUGUUAAACAUGCCUAAAAUAUGUUCGUGAUGCCUAAAAAAUGUUGCGAUGAGGAUGGCUGUCAUCUCGCACCCGCCGACUGCUUGAACAGCUAGCGUCGCUGAGCUUGAGGAACCCCUUGUAGGGACCAAAGCAGACAACCUUGACGUUGCUGGCCUCCGUCGGCAUAUCAACAAAGCGCGACGCUUUCACUGUCGGACCAAAUCAGAGAUGGAUUAGGUCUAAAAUAUAUAUUUCUUGGUUAAAGGAAAAACAUGUAAUAACUGAACUCGCACUUAAGAAUUAAUCAACAUGUUGAUUCCACCGAAGCAUGCAUGCCUCCUGGAUGCUGAAACACGACUCACUGACUAUAAAAGCAGAGGACUCACUGACUAAGUACAGGAGCGAGUGACCGACUCUCGGCUCGGGUGAGGAUAAAAAAGAUCACCUGCUGCUGCUGGUUAUUGGUAAAAUCCAUGUGAGUGCUUGAUAAAAAAUUAUGGAACAUUGUAUAUGUUGUUACACAUAAAUGUUGGGAUAAAAAGAAUCAUCUUGGUACACUGCCUAGUCUUUUGGUGGACAGAAGAUUGUAUGGUGCAAGAAGCUAUUCAGAUACAACAACACUGGGCUACAUGACAGGAAUGGUGUACACGCCCCAAGGGCCAGCAGGCAGCAGCAAACCAGGUCAAGAUGAGAUGGUCUGGGCCUAGGAUGUUGAUUCAGAGAUGCCUGACUCGACGCCAAGCAGCAGCCACCCUACACCGCAGGCCCCGGCAGUUCUCGACCGAGAGCGACUGCGGCACAGUUCAGUUGUAGAAGCAAUCACAUGCCAUUCCCCCAGCAGAGCAGAACAGAGCAGAGCAACAAUCAGGGAUCAGGCCUGUCAUUGAAUAGAAGCUGAAUGACCUUCAGCUUCAGCUCCGGCAGGCCUGCCUCCGCUCACGGACUAGCCUCGGUAUUUCCUUCCAUGUCUUCGGUUUCAAUGGUUUGAAUUCCGUUACUGCACAUACCAAAAACGAUGUCAGAAAAAGCUUGCACAAAUUAAUGUGUUAUAUCAAAAUAUAUAGCAUGAUGGCAUUCAAAUAAUGGAGAAGAAACUUCUGCAAACGUGUUAGACCAUUAUGUACAAGGGAUGGAACGGAUGACUGCAUCUGUUUGUUAAAUGUGGCAAAGAUAGAAGGACGUGCUGCAAGCAUACCUUCAUAGCAGGCAUCUAGUCGUUUGCGGCUGAUGCUGCCCAGUUGCUGCUGCAGGCAUCUAGGGAGCUUCUUUAUAGCAGGGCAGCCUCUAAUUUGAAGAUACACGAGAGACCUGUAUACUUGCAGCUCAUUCGGCAGGGAUGCCAGGGUACUGCAUCUGUCAAGAUAAAGGACAUCCAGCGAUGGGGGGUGCUCUCCCGACAGACACUCCAGCGAUGUCAGCCCACUGUUUCCCAUAAUCUGCGGUCCCUUGAGGGGUGCAGGUAGACGGAGAGUCCCACCCAACAUGCCAGCACAGUCCACUAUUACUAGAGAUUCGAGAUGGGGAGGAAGUAAAUGCUCUCUUGCAGUUGGUGUUGCUGCUGCUGGUGGCUGUGGCAUGAUAGGACUUCUGCUUAUGGAGGUAGUGACUUCUGGUUUCUGGAGCCCACCCAGCUGGCAUGAUAGGACUUGAAUACUACUACAGCUAGCAAUACGAAUGUACUUUAAAGACGGAGGAAGGUUCAGAACCGCUGGUAAGCUUCCACAUCCAGAUAAAAGUAGAUCUUCUAGGCAUGGACAAAAGUGAUUCAUGGGUGAGGAUGGCAACUCUGAUACAGCUGCAGCCCUGAUUGCCUCACUGCUAGAAGAUACUUGGACUAACUCUGCCAUGCCCUGCUGCUUGCUGAAUAUGGAGUCAAGCUUAAUGCACCUAUCAAAAUUCAUUUUCUUGAGAGAUGCCGGGACGUUGAACAUCUCUACUAAACUUGGGCAGUUUUCUAAGCAAAGAGACUCUAGACCUCUCAGGUGCUGACUCCUUUCGGACGCCAAUGGCUCAAGAGGAGCUUGUGCAUAUCCAAUCAGAUUUUCACAGUUUGUAAUCGCCAAGCUCCUCAAGGACACCAAGCUUUGGAACACUUUCUCUGGCCAGUGGACGAGCACAUCGCAUCUAUCAAUUUCCAACUUUUCAAGAUCUACAAAAUACUCACACGGCUCUAAUGCACCCGAUCCAAAGAACAAGUUGCAGCAUCUUAGCUCCAUAACUGUAAGAGGGGAUUUCUGGUUCCAUUUCUCCUUGCUGUCCACCAAUACAAUUGAAGUGCACUCAACCUCUGAUGUUGUUUCUGUGUUUUCUAGCUUCAGUAUCAGAUUGGUCAAUGAGGGCAAAUAUCUAUCUACAGAAUCGGAGAUCUCUUGCUUGCCAUCUUCAAUUUCUAAUACACUGAGUUUUGGUGCUUCAGGCAAUGCUACCAGUUUUGGGCAUUUCUGGACUGACAAUUUCUCAAGGUGGGGAAACAAUGUACCUUCGACUGCAUCCCAUCUCUGAAAGCUCCCCAACCAUUUCAUUUUGAGCACCUUUAAGGCAGGAAAGGCUGAACGUACCAAUCUAUAACCACCUUCACUACAUGGUUCUUGAAGCAAUGGUGCUUCAGGUAACGCUGUCAGCUUUGGACAUUUCUCAAUUGAUAGUUCCUCCAGACAAGGAAACACUAUCUGUUCUCCUUGAGUCUCUUCGACUGCAUCCCAUCUCCGAAAGCUCUCCAACUCUUUCAUUUUGAGUACCUUUAGGGCAGGAAACGCUGAGCGUACCAAUGUAUAACCACCUUCACCACAAGGUCCUUGCAGCAAUGGUGCUUCAGGUAAUGCUACCAACUUUCCACAAUUACUAAUAAACAACUUCUCAAGCACAGGAAAUAUUGUUUGUUCUUCUUGCCUCUCAUCUAUUUCCCACCAUCUUACAAAACCCAACAAACGUUCUAGCAUUAGUACCUUCAGUUUUGGAAAAGUGAAGCUUGCACUGCAUCUGAACAAAACUUGCAAUCUUUCACAAUGGAAAAGAUGGAUCUCAACCAUGUUUUGCAGCAUACCCAUGCACUCUCCUCCAUAGGAAUAUAUCUUCAGAACCUGCAACCCACCAUGUGGUUCGAAAUUGUCGAGCACCAUGCUGUCACAAACAGAAUUCCAUCUUAAUGUCAGUUCUCUGAGAUCCUUCUUGUUUCCAAGGUUUGCCACUUUUGCCUCUGCCUCUAUAACAUUCUCUAUCUGACAUAGCUCUAACUGACCACCAAGGUUUAAAUGCUGCAGCUCUGCAACAUCACUGCAAUCAGUGCCAGUAACUGCUGCUGCAAAAAAUGUAAGCGUCUGCAGCUUAGUGAGUUUUCCUAGUUCUGGUGGCAUGCUCUUCAAGUUGCGACAUCCAAGAGUGUAGAGGUGACGGAGGGAAGUCAUAUACUUCAUUUGCCUCGGAAGUCGAUCAAGAUGAUAGCAGUUGGAAAGGUCUAACGUUUGCAGGUUAUAUAGAAUACUUAUAUCUUCAGGAAGUGCUUUGAUAUCACUGUCUGAGAGAUCAAGGUACCUCAGGUGAUACAGAUACAUUGAUUUCAGAAGAAAUGAUUCUGUGCCUCUAAUACAGAGCUUUAAGGCAUGCAAAGAGCUAUAUUUUGAUAGAUGCUUCAAUGAGCUUCGCACAUGGCUAUCACAUAUCAGUGUUUGAAUGGCAGGGGAUUUUUUCUCCAGAGCAUCAUUCAAAAUACCUUCUGUUUCUUCACAUGACAAGAACAAAUGCCGAGCAGUAUCUGGAAGCCACUCGGUUUGCCUUGGUUCCAUAGUUGCAACAACUCAUUCCUCUUCCAUAACAGACAUUGCAAUAUCAUGCAUAAGAUCAUGGAUUUUACAUGUAUUUCUGGAAUAAUACUCCCAGUCUUCUUUACUCUUCUCUAUAUCCAGAAAGAAUGACCUUGAAGCAAGCUCAUCAAAAAUAAGUUGUCCAAUGGUUUCAAGACUAUCUUCCUUGUGUUCAGGGAUAAAGCCAUUUGUGAUCCAUAGUUGGAUCAGCUUUGCUACAUCAAUCUUGUAAUCCUUUGGAAAUACAGCACAAAAAGCAAAGCACUGCUUCAUGUGCGAUGACAAGUCAUUGUAGCUAAGCUUCAAUAUUGGCAAGAUUCCAGUUUCCUCAGUGCAAAUGCUGCUUCUAGAUGCUAUAGCCUUCCAUUCUUUCACGGUGGUCUUGGUACGAAGUACAGAGCCCAGUGCACUUGCAGCUAAAGGAGAGCCACGACAUCUGUUCACAAUCUGAUCAACCAUCUUGACUAGCUCAACAGGCUUUUUUUUUCCGGAACUGAAUGCUCGAGCCUCAAUAAUUUCCUUUAAGAAUAUAUCAUCCAAACGACCGAGAAUGUGGGUAUCUGCACCCAUAAUUUCAGCAACUCCUUUAUCACGAGUUGUUGUCAGCACCGCACUACCCAUGACACCAUGCUUAAGAUGGUCCUUCAGCCUUUCCCACUUAUGGACUUCUCUGUUCCAGACAUCAUCUAAUACAAGGAGAUACCUCUGCCCGGUGACCAAUUUCUGAAGUCUCUCUAGUUGUGGUUUGUUUGUAUGAUAAUUUUUCUUGGGAGAUGCUUCAACUAUACUCUUGGCUAGGGAGUUCACAUCAAAGAUAUCCGAGACACAGACCCACAGCAACAACUGGAAAUGCUUCUGAAUUCUAGGUUCAUUGUAUAUGAGCUGUGCUAAUGUGGUCUUACCAAAGCCCCCCAUUCCAACGAUGGCAACCACUGCGAGAUCAGCACUAUUAGCUUGGCGAAGUAGUCUACCAACAACUUCCACCUUAUCUUUGUCUCUGGAUCUGCUAGCAAUGUCUUGCAGGUCGGUGAUAACAGAAUCCGUCUGCCUCCACUGCUUGGACACGGGUGGCUGUGGUCGGUACUUGAACCUAAAGGCAUGCAUCUCUGCUAUGAGCACAUCAAUGGCCUUCAGGAUCCGGCAAAGCUUGCGACCCAUUUUGUAACGGAACACAAUACAGUUGUGAGUAGGGAAGAGUUUAAUUACAUCGAAGCCGAGCUUGCUGUAGUGCCCCUUCUUCCUGGCUUCACGACGGAGUGCUUCGUACUUGAAUUCGUCAAACACUUCAUUUGCCUCAUAUGCCACCGUCUUGAGCUCCUGGAGCCAGGUUUUGGCCCCAUCUCUAUGCUCCGUCGCCUGCUUCUCGGCGUCGGUCAUGACGUCGAGGAUGGCCGGAAGCUUGCGUUUGAGAAUCUUGUGCUGCUCCUCCAUUCCCUCCAUCACCUUGUACUGGUCCAGGAGGGAGUUGCCCGCCUUGUUCACCAGCAUGGACACCAGCGGCCGGAUGGCCAUGGCGGCCACCACCUCCGCCAUUGGAACGCCCACACGAUUGGCACAGCAACACGAAGCAGUGUGGAAUGGAGAAUGGAAUGGUGUGAGCAAGACGUGCUUGCUUUGCUAGUAAUGAAACUGGAAGCCAAGGUGAGUAUUGACUUUCUGGGAGCGAAGUGGAUGAGCUCGCGUUACGGGAACCAAUCACAACUAUCCAAUCCUGAACAGCUCAGCACUGGGCAUUGUUUUUGGGCUGAUGCAUAAUAGGACAAUCAGCAUACCACAUUAACAGCUGGGGGCAUCUUCAUUUCUUAAUGAGACACAACCAGAGUGCAAGACGACGCGGGCAACCAUAAUAUUGCAAGUAGAUCAUUGUAUUAGGUAUUUGUGUCAGUACAUCCAAUCCAGUUUUUCAAAAGUGACGUUUCACUGGCUGUGACCUUAGCAGAUGGUACGAAUUUCCUUAACAAAUACAAAGAGUUGCAGGAAUGCAAAUUAAAUAAUUACUUCCACUGGCUAGACGUGUGACAGCACACCUACUGCCUAACUACAGCAUAUACUUAUCUCAAGUGCCUGCCGCCCAGGGAGACCAGAAUAAUGGUGUUCUUGGAUUAGUUGAACCUUCAAUGCAUCACUACUUAUCACCGAAGCAUUAUUUUAUUGUUCUUUUUUUUUUGGAAUGGCCUCUAAGUAUGAUUGAGUACAGGAUUGAUCUCAGAGCAAACAUAAUCGGCUGGCAGAGAAUUAUGUCUUGUUCAUAUAGUCUGAUGCAAUUUUGUGGUUACACACUCCUCAGUUUUUAUAACUAAAUACAGAAUUUUAAUCUGUUGACAGAUCAGACAAACGUAGAAACAGUUAGCAAGAGCCCCAAUGAGAUUAUAUGCAGCAUCAUUUUAAUCGGAAAGCAAUUGCCCUCAUGAGAUCAGCAACCAUACACAGUGCCAAUAAAAAAAGGUGGCUCGUACUAACGACGCAGGUUUCAAAUUAAUCAAGUGGCUAAACCGAGGCAUCGACAGCCAUAUGGGACAAUGUGCACUUCAGUUAGAAAAUGAACACUUGCAGGCAGUAAAAUAAUUUAUGUCAGUACACCCACGAUAUUGCAAAUAGAGUAUUAAUUACGUAUUUGUGUCAGUACAUCCAAUGCAGUUUUUCAAAAGUGACGUCCCAUUGGCUGUGACCUUAGCAAAUGGUACGAAUUUUCGUUCUAAGUACUACAAAAAGUUGCAGGAAUGCAAAUUAAACAAUUACCUCCCAUGUCUAGACGUGUGAGAGCACACCUACUGUGCAACAACAAAAUAUAUUUCAUCUCGGGCACUUACCGCACAGGGAGGACCACAAUAUUGGUUUUCGUGAAUCUAAAAUACAUCACAUGCUUCCUGCUGAAGAGGGAAGACCCGGUGGCAAGUGGUUAAUUUCUUGUCCUUUUUUAAUGACACCUCUAACUAACAUUGAAGGGGCAUGAUUGAUCUCAGAGAUGAGCAUAAUAAGCUGGCAGAUGACCAUCCCUUGCUCAUAUGGACAAAUGAUACACUUAAUAUACUGAUAUGAUAAAAUACAACUUGACAAUCUCCUGAUAUUCGACGAUGAAAGAUAUGUAUGAGUAUGCGAUUCAAUUUGGUGGGCUUAAUAUGUUCCGUUAUUGAGAGACAGUGAAAAGCGGAAUAAAGGGCAGGGUGGAAUUCUCUAUAUCAGGUUAAGGAGAUCGUCUUAACUAACUAAAAUCAGAUGAAGCCUAACUUUGCAACCAUACGACGGAAGCAACAAAAAUAAAGACAGGGAGCCAGAACAGAACAAAGAUAAAUUCCAGUGCCCUUUUAUUGAUCACUGCCUAUGGCCAUAUAGAUGAGAUCUGGGACUCGGCCAGCUGAAACAUUCCUCUAGAAAGCACAUUUCCGCUGAUGCACAUAUGAAAUACGACAGUACAAAGCAGAAUAAACACUGAGAUUAUACAGAUGAUUGGACGCUGUAACUAAGUUGGAUAUCGCGGCGCGCAUAGGCGGAAAUGAGAGAGAAACGGAAUGUCCAAAGCCACAAAUGUACAUCGCUGUCAGGCUACCCAGCUGAAUCCUGCUUCCUGCUGACCCUCCUGAUUCACGCAGACGCAGCUAGCAUGGAGAUGGGCACGCCUCUCGAAUUCAUGUGAAUCGAAUCGCUGGAAGAGACGGACGGACAGGAUCAAUACCUUUGUGUCGACGGGGAGGGGAGGCCGGAGUGGCUGCCGUCGACGUACGGCGCGCAGCCGACGGGGGAGCUCCGGGACCUUCUUGUCGACACCAUCUGCAAUGGAAGUAAAAAAGAGCUGUUAGAAGAGGAUACGAGAGAGGCUCACGGUAGGAAGGAAUGGGGAAGGGGGAUGAGUGAGUACCUCGAGCGGCCGCGGUGGUGGUGGGCGGGCGGAUGCGGAGGGUGGGAGGGAGGCUGACACCUCCGCCGCCACAGACGUACGUGGAGCGGCCACGGGCGUUGCGUUCUGGUAGAGGCCACGGGCAGUGGGGUCCGGGAGACGUCGUGCGCCGGCGAGGAGGACGGGGAAGGGGAGACGAAGACGACGCGGAUCGGCGGAGUGUGGGCUGGGCUUGUGACGUUGGGGCCUCCGAAAACUAUAGCCCAGUUCGAAUUGGUGCCCUAACACACACAGCGCUUACGUCGGCUAAAUCCUAUUUGGCGCCUUCAGCGCCCGCUAUAGGUCUUUCGGCCGGCCCAGUUUCGACAUUUUUUCUGUGUUUCCAAAAGGCAAAAAGGGCGCUAGAGCUGGGUAUCGAAAACGCUACAACCACUCAACCACACCCCUUGGUGUGAUUGGUUACAUGUUUUCUCGUCUUUUCUUAUGCUUCUUUUCCUUUUUAUUCCUUUUUUUCUUUCUUUUUUCAAAUUCGCAAAACUGUUUCUUCAUGAAUAUUUUCUGCAAAUCGAUGAACUUUUCUCUUUGAAUUUGAUGAUUUUUUUCGAAAAAUUUGAUGAACGUUUUUUCAGAUCCGAUGAACUUUUUUUUGAAUUCCAUGAACUUUUUUCAAAUUCGAUGAACUAUUUUUCGAAUUCAAUGAACUUUUUCUGAAUUCGAUGAACUUUAUUUCGAAUUCAAUGAACUUUUGAUCGAAUUCGAUGAACUUUUUUAAAUUUGAUGAACUUUUUCAAAUUCUGAUGAACUUUUUGAAAGGACAAGAGUACAUACCGUAGCAAAACGGUUUGUUUUUUCCAAGAAAAUCAGUACACACUGUAGCAUUUUUUGAGCGAGAGAAAUAAAAAAGUGAUCGAGCGGUAGCUAGCGACCGAGCGGCGACAGCAGCGAGCGUUGCUGGGCCAGGCCCAUGCAAGCGACGCAGUGGGCGCCGUGUUCACUCGCUCCACCUCUGCAUUGAUGUCUCUAGCUUGUAGCAAUUGCCAUCCUUUACAUGUAAAGAGGAUUUGAUGAGUCAUGUCAUGCUCUAUAGGCGUCAGUUCAUCUUAUCACCUUAGAGGAAAAUACAAAGUUAGUUUUUCGAAAAGCAACCGAGCCUAGAAGAACCGUACCCUCGACACGCAAGGCUUUAGCAUAUCUUAAUAGCCGAGACACGAUUGCGACUUGGUUCCACACAAGUUUCGUCUUUCUUGUUAAUGGCUGACAGCCCAUACAAGAUUCCAAACUCGGUUGCAAAAGUGAUACUAUCCUGAUAAGUGCGUGACAUGUAAAGUGAAUAAGGUGAUUCAUCUAUAGCAAACUUUAGGAUUUCUAUACUUUGUGUAUAAUCAUAUGCACAACUAAAAAGCAACUUUGAUGAUCAAUCCAAAAGUACGCUUGUAGCUAGUGCAACCUAACACAAUGUACCAAAAAUCCAUUUCAGAAACAUCCAAACAUAAUUAUUAAAGCUGAUGGAAAGAAGGAAAGAGAUGGUGCCCGGGCUACUAUAAAUAGGCAUGAAGUAUCAAGAUCAUCACAGGCACAAUCAUCAAAACCAAGCAAUACUAGUUAACACCAAUCCACCAUGAAGACCUUCCUCAUCUUUGCUCUCCUUGCCAUUGCGGCGACAAGUGCCAUUGCACAAAUGGAGACUAGCCGCGUCCCUGGUUUGGAGAAACCAUGGCAGCAACAACCAUUACCACCACAACAACAACCACCAUGUUCACAGCAACAACAACCAUUUCCACAGCAACAACAACCAAUUAUUAUACUGCAACAAUCACCAUUUUCGCAGCAACAACAACCAGUUCUGCCGCAACAGCAACCAGUUAUUAUACUGCAACAACCACCAUUUUCGCAGCAACAACAACCAGUUCUACCACAACAACCACCAUUUUCACAACAACAACAACAACAACAACAACAACAACCACCAUUUUCGCAGCAACAACAACCAGUUCUACCACAACAACCACCAUUUUCACAACAACAACAACCACCAUUUUCGCAGCAGCAACAACCAUCUUCACAACAACCACCUUUUCCACAACAACACCAACAGUUUCCACAACAACAAAUCCCUGUUGUUCAACCAUCCGUUUUGCAGCAGCUAAACCCAUGCAAGGUGUUCCUCCAACAGCAGUGUAGCCAUGUGGCAAUGUCGCAACGUCUUGCUAGGUCACAAAUGUGGCAACAGAGUAGUUGCCAUGUGAUGCAACAACAAUGUUGCCAACAGCUGCCGCAAAUCCCCGAACAAUCCCGCUCUGAGGCAAUCCGUGCCAUCGUCUACUCCAUCAUCCUGCAAGAACAACAACAGGGUUUUGUCCAACCUCAGCAGCAACAACCCCAACAGUCGGGCCAAGGUGUCUCCCAACACCAACAGCAGUCGCAGCAGCAGCAGCAACUCGGACAGUGUUCUUUCCAACAACCUCAACAACUACAACAAUUGGGUCAGCAGCCUCAACAACAACAGAUACCACAGGGUAUAUUCUUGCAGCCACACCAGAUAUCUCAACUUGAGGUGAUGACUUCCAUUGCACUCCGUACCUUGCCAACGAUGUGCGGUGUCAACGUGCCGUUGUACAGCUCGACCACUAUUAUGCCAUUCAGCAUUGGCACUGGAGUUGGUGGCUACUGAUAAGAAAAGAUUUCUAGUAAUAUAUAGUCGUUAGAUCACCGUUGUUUAGUCGAUGGAUAUGUCGAUGUAGCGGUGACAAAUAAAGUGUCACACAAACGUCAUGUGUGACCCGCAAACUAGUAGUUAAAUUCUGGAAUAAAAUACAAAUAAAGUUUUCUCUAGACAAUGUUCAUACCGGCGUUCUGUGGACGUCGAUGUGACUACCAUGCUUGCAAGUUCAUAAGUUCGUCUUGUCUGGUCACAAACCUGGUGCGUUAAUUUAUUAUUCAUGUAUAGAAAUAAUCAAAAUUUAAAUAUAAUAGUGUUAUUGUAAAAUUUUGGUUGAGUUGAAGCAAGGACUAACAUACAACUCUUUAAUGGUUGGAGAUUCAAGAUCUUAUUUUUAUUGGUUUGUAUCUGGUUCCAACUACCACCAUGGUCUACAGUGACAACCACAACUGGUUUGAUCGUUAACUCUCUUUGCUUGGUUUUUUUGCAAAUAUGUUCAUUGAUUCUUUGCACAAUUUUUUUGUCAAGAAAAAGGUCAGCUUUUGCUUGAACUUCACACACACACACCACUACAUAGUUAAUUCGAAAUAAGUUGCUGGUGAUGUCCUAGACCAGCUAGCACAGUCAGUGUGUGUGGGGAGGGGGAGUUGUUGCAUGCGUAUUCUUCGCGCAUUAUUUUAUUUUGUUCUUUUGAUGCUCUUACACCAUACCACAUUUUUACUUGAUGGAAAGCAAAAUAAACAACGCAGCUAGAAACCAUAGAACUUGAUACUGGGUGUGUGUCAACUUCACAUCCUCCUCCUUACGUCAUUUCAAUUGGAAAGCAAUAGCCCUCAUGAGAUCAGAUAUCCAUACAUAAUGCCAAAAUAAACAAGGUGAUGGCAUUAACGAUGCAAGUUUUAAAUUAGUCAAAUGGCUAAACUGAGGCACCGGCAGCCAUAUGAGACAUCCACGAGCAUGUAAUCCAUCUUAUUGCAAGUAGAGCACUGUAUUAUGUAUUUAUGUCAGAACAUCCAGUGCAGUUUUUCAAAAUGACGUUCCAUUGGCUGCAACUAGCAAAUGAUACGAAUUUUCUUUCCAAAUACUACAAAAAGUUGCAGGAUUGCAAAUUAAACAAUUACCUCGACUGACUAGACGUGAAACAACACACCUGCUGUGCAGCAACAACAGAUAAUUCAUCUCAAGCACCUACCCAGCAGGGAUUAGUUCUCGUGAAUUCAUGGAAUUUAGAAUGCAUCACAUGCUUACUGCUGAAGAGACAAGACCCAGAAGCAAGUGGUCACUUUCUUGUCCUCUUUAAAUGACACCUGUAAUUAAGAUUGAGUACAUCAUCGAACUCAGAAGUGACCAUAAUCUGCUGGUAGACCAUUAUUUCUUGUUCAUAUGAACAUACAUAAUACUUAAUAUACUGACAUGAUACAAGGCAACUUGACAAUCUCCUGUUAUUCGAAGAUGAAAGAUAUAUAUGAGUAUGCGAUUCAAUUUGGUGAGCUUAAUAUGUGCCGUUAUUGUGAAACAGUGAAAGACUGAAUAAAGGGACAUAUGGAAUUCUUUUUAUCAUAAUAACGAGUUUCUAAACACAGAACGAAAGCAACAAAAAAUAAAGACAGAGCGCUAAAAUUUCAGAGAAGUUUUUGAAGAUAUAAAAUGCAGUGCCCUUUUAUUGAUCACUGCCUAUAGCCAUAUAAAUAAGGUCUGGGACUCGGUUCGCUGCAACAAGCCUCUAGAAAGCACAUUUCCUCUGAUGCACAUAUGAAAUUUGAGAGUAAAACAUAAAAACGCCGAGAUAUACGGAUGAUUUAAUGAUGUAACUAACUUGGAUAUCCUUCUAGUGACCACGGAAUGGACAAAUUUUCUUCCGAGACGUCGAAAAGGGAUGGAACCUCCACACCCACUGCUUCUCCUUCACCUGCAUAGCGUGCGUAGGCGGAAAUUUGAUGAGUAUUUGAAGUGACAUCCACAUAGAGCAGGAGUUAUUCGGCUAGCAAAGUGCAAAUGUACAUCACUCUCAGGCUACAAGACUGAAUUCUGCUCGAUGAUCUUCCUGAUUCAUGCAGCGGAUAUGCAAAUGGGCGUGCCCCUUAAAUUCAUGUGAAUCAAAUUGCAGAAGAGACGGACAAACAGGGUUAAUAUAUACCUUAUUUCUUGUGUUGACGGGAUGGCUGGAGUGGCUGUCGUCGAUGUACGGCCCGCACUCGACGAAGAGCUUGAAGACCCUCUUGCGAAGACCAUCUGCGAGAGGAAGCAAGAGUUGAGGUCAGAAGAGGGUACAGUAGAGGUUGAGGGUGGGAAGGAAGGCAUCAACACUAGUAGAAAAAGGGCCUAAUGUGAAGCACAUUAGUCCCGGUUUGUAACAAAACCGGCACUAAUGUGUCCAUUAGUGCCGGUUCCAACGGCUAGGCGGGUGGAGCUAAAUUAGACUGAAUUGAACUUGUUCUUUAUAACUAGCUUGGGACAGAAAAAUUACUAUGAAAUGCACUUGAUUAUACUUGAUUUUAUGGGCUACAAAAAAUAUCAUCCAAAAAUGCUCUAAAAAACACGUUCUAAAGUAGGUUUGGCAGGAGAUGCGGCACAUUAUCAUUCAGAAAUUAGACCAAGAUAAAUGUGGAGUUGGCGGCUCAACACUCUAUAAGACUGUAACAGGUUGUCCCAGUGUCUCAGUCCUUUAGGACAUAGAUCCAGAAAAUGUAGAACUAACAUAUUAGCGGUUAGGAUCAUAUUUGCAAUGUGGGAACUUGGUGCGCUCGCUCCAACAUGCCUAGUGGAAGCAUGUGUCCUCUGAUGCACAUAUGAAAUAUGACUGGUACAAAACAUAAGAAACACUGAGAUUAUACGGAUGAUUGGAUGCUGUGGCUAACUUGUGCGUCGCUCCAGUCAACUGAGUGGACGAACUCGCUAAGAGCUUUCUUCUCGGAGAUCAAAGGGGACGGAACUUCCUAAGAGCUUUUGAUUCAACCUCCAUGCUAACUAACUACUUCUCCACCUGUUUAGUGGGCGUAGGAGAAAAUUUGAUGAGUAUUUGAAGUGACGUCCACAUAGAGCACAUAGCUAUAUUCAGUUAGAAAAGCCACAAAUGUACAUCACAUCCAGAUUAAUGGAGGUGGAAUGUGAAUGUGUGUGCCCUUAAAUUCAGGUGAAUCAAAUCGCAGAAGAGCCAGACGAAUAGGAUAGAUACCUUGAGUGGACGUGGAGGACGGAGUGUCUGCAGACAAUGUAUGGCCCACACCUGAAGGAGACCUUCUUGCCGAAAGCAUCUGCAAGAGGAAGUAAGAACAUGGUUGUUGACAUCAGAUUUUGGCAUGGUACAAAAAGCAAUUAAGAUUGCCCCAAAUGGAGAAGUGAUUUACAUGAAAAAGUUCCAUUUUGUCGACCUGAACAUCUUUGAAGUUUGUGCCAUCGCCAUCUAAUCUCAUCUCGAAGGCCAAAGUUAUGUUCGAAAUACUGAGAUUUUGUAUCCAGAGCACUGUUCGGCCGAUUAUGCCUCAAGGGAUGGUCACUUUCUACAUGAAUUGUCUUCGUCUCAUCAAAACGGUCGAUUUUGAUAAAAAUUCAUGUCAAUCCGAGGUUGUAUGUAAAAGUUAGAGCCACCCGAGUGCGGUCAUGAGCCAAAAGUGGCGAGUAAUAGUCUAUUUUGCACGAGCAAUUCGUCCCUGAAGUUGGCAUCUAUUCGAAACAUGUUUAACAUGAAUGUUGUUCGUCUCGGUGAAACGGUUAAAUUUGGUUCUUACACGAUUUUGAUCUGAGGUCAUUUACUACCCAAAAAAUGACCCGCAAGGUGAAGCCAAUUUUUAGAUCGAAUAGUUUUGGGAAGUUCGGAUCGAACAAUCCGAAUAGGAAUCAAAUUAGGGUUUUGGACAUGAAUUCUAACCUUUCCUUGCACGGGAAGUCCAUCCACCUCUUAUAUACAUGAGGGGUGACGGCCGAUUGAGAAACAACACACAAUCGCAAAACCCAUCUACAAACUUUCAUCUCCUAUCCUACUUUUCUGCUUCUCGUUCAUCAGUGUUCUUUGCUUCGGAGAGCUCUGAUCUAUGAAGUCCUAGGGGUGGGCGAACCAACCUAGGGCAGCCCAGCACUGUCGUGCGGCCAGACAGGGUCUCUUCCGACCGCGUGGGGUUUCGGGUCUUCAAAAGCGCUCGCCGGAUUGUAUUGCGUACCACUCUUCCGGUGAGCCUCCUUCGGCGAUGUGUCUUGCGUAUCGCGCUCGACGCCGAGGGUACACGGUGACGUGUUUGUGUGUGAACACACUUUUUGGCGACUCCGCUGGGGACCAAAGAGCAAUCAUCAUCAUCCAUCAUGGUCAAUCUUCCCAAGCCAUCUGAAGUGGAUGCCGAUAACAUCAACAAGCCCAAUUUUGAGGAAUUAUCGGCAGAACAUCGCCAAGCUUGUGAGUAGUACAAGAAGGCACGUGAAGGGAAGGAGAUGCAGGAGUUCCUUGCUAAGUUCAAAAAGGAUCGCCAAGGCAACAUCACUUCAAUUGAAGAAAUCAAGUUUCCUCCUCUUCACAAUGAGUAGGUAGAGUCGGCUGAAAUCACUACUCUUAUUGCUCAGAAUAAUGAUCGAAAAAAUACUCCUCAAUCAUCUAAUGGUAGAAAAUAAUACUGAUCGAAAAAAUACUCCUCAAUCAUCUAAUGGUAGUGGUAGUAUGUCUGCUGGUGUGGAAAACUUUAGUCCAAAUUUACCUAUUCCAGCGGUGCUGCCCAUGCCAUUGAAUUCUUAUCCCAGUCAGACAAACCAACUUGUUGCUCCACCAUUUAAUCCAGCCAGGAAUAUGCCAAGUUCAGUGAAUCCAACUGCAUUGCUAGGUUAUGGUUCGGCAAGUCCAAGUGGAUUGCUGCCGAACUAUGGUAUAACAUACACACCACCAUCUCUUCCGACUAGCACUAUACCAACUAGUAGAAAUCAUAUUCACCAUGCGCCACAACCACACGCAACGCCGCUCAAUACGAGUGAUAUUUUGGCUAAUGUCAGAGAGGAGAUGUCGAGGGUGUUCCGAGAGCAUUGCGGGAUUGAACUACCUCAACCACGAAUUUCUAGGAAACCAUAGCUAGAAAUUUUUGAUGUCGUGCCAUGUCCUCCCGGAUAUAAAGUUCCAGAUUUUGUUAAAUUUAGCGUAGAGGGAAGAAAGACUACAUGGGAGCAUGUUAGUCGGUACUUGGCACAAUUAGGUGAGGCAAGUUCACGAGACGAGUGGAAAGUACGUUAUUUUCCUUUAUCUUUAACCGGUACUGCUUUCCCGUGGUUUUCUGCAUUACCACCCGGUUCUAUUACUGCAUGGUUUCACUUGGAGCAAAAGUUUCAUGACCACUUCCAGAGUGGUGACAAUGAGCUUAAACUAUCCCAUCUUACAUCGGUUAAGCAAAAGCAUGAUGAAUCAGUCUUCGAUUAUGUCAAAAGAUUUAGAGAUACAAAAAACCGGUGCUAUAGUUUGGUGAUAACCGAGAGAGAUGUGGCUGAUCUCGUGCUUAGUAGUUUGAGAACUCACAUUAGAGAGAAGCUGGAAGGCUAUGAGUUUUCAAGUAUCAACCAUGUCUUAGAAAAGGGCUUUGGCUCAAGAAAGCCAAAGCAAAGAGUUUAAAGAGGUGCAUAGGUAUAACACUGAUCAUCCUAAGAUAAAUAUGAUUGAGUAUGAUGGUGAGCACUCGGAUGAUGAGGGUGAUAUUUAUGAUACUGAAUUUGUUUGGCCAUCUAAGGCCAAACCAUUUACUUGCAAUGAUAUAAAGCCAAUUUCAUAAGAAUCGUGAUGAAGAGAUGAAAAUUACUUUCAACAUUACUAAGUGUGAUAGAAUAUUUGAUGCUUUGUUGCAAGCGAACAUUAUUAGAAUAUCUCAUACUUUACCGCCGUUUCAAGAGCUGAAACGGCGUGCUUAUUGCAAGUAUCAUAAUUCUUUUUCUCAUGCCACUAACGAUUGUAAUGUUUUUCAACGACAAAUACAGCCGGCCAUUAAUAACGGACGAUUGAAAUUUUCUCAGAUUCCACUUGAUAAGCAGCCCUUUCCAAUGAACACCAUGGAUUUGGAGGGAAAAAGAUGUUAAUUCGGCCCGAUAUAGCCGAAUCAGCUAAUAAAAAUAAGAUUGUCAUUGGUGAGCCUCAGAAAAGCAAGGAAGACGACAAGGCCUUGGGGAGACAAGUUGUGCUUGACAAGCGACCCGGUGGCAAGGAGAUCAUUAAGAUCACCAUCAAGAANNNNNNNNNNNNNNNNNNNNNNNNNNNNNNNNNNNNNNNNNNNNNNNNNNNNNNNNNNNNNNNNNNNNNNNNNNNNNNNNNNNNNNNNNNNNNNNNNNNNNNNNNNNNNNNNNNNNNNNNNNNNNNNNNNNNNNNNNNNNNNNNNNNNNNNNNNNNNNNNNNNNNNNNNNNNNNNNNNNNNNNNNNNNNNNNNNNNNNNNNNNNNNNNNNNNNNNNNNNNNNNNNNNNNNNNNNNNNNNNNNNNNNNNNNNNNNNNNNNNNNNAAAUUUGUUAAACCAAAGAAUCCAGAGGUUGGCAAGUGGAAGACGAAUGAAGCUAAAGUACAACGCAAGAGAAUCAAGCCAACUUUUGUUAUGUUGCUAUGCAAAUGUGCCAAUCAAGCGGCCAAUUCUAGCUCUAACCGGUCAUCAAAUUUAAAGCUCUCCAGGUCACCUCCUCGACAAGAAUUUCAUCAUCAUGCAAGGCCAUAUGGGUCUUGGGCACCUUGACCAUCGAUGGCACCACCCCCCCUAUGUGUCAUACUACAUGGGAAACUUUAAUGGAGGAUGGGGGCAACCUCCAAUGACCCCUUAUGCUUUUCAUCCGGGUUGGGUAGAACCAAGGAGGCCCGUUUGUGAGAGGCUUUCUUACCCUAUACAUGGCCGUUUGAACAAUGGUGUCAAUCGGCCAAUGCAGGAUAAUCAAAAAAGGUUCAGCAAUCAAGUGUGGCGAGCUAAAUCACCAAGUGCUGAAAUUUCAGAGGCUAGCAACCAAAAGGAGAAGAGUACUAGUGCUGAAACUAUUAUUGUAGGCACUAAAGAAUUAACAAUCAAAUAGCCGAUUAUUGUUGAUAAUGCAGCUAUUUCUAACAAGGAUGUGGCUGCUGUCCAACAAGGUCCCGUGGCUAAUGAUCAUGAAGCUAGCACAAGCAAGGCCAAGCUGAGGGAUCCAAAAUAUACUUAGCCUAAGUGGUGUCCCUCCGGUCUGACCAAGGCACAAAAAAGUAGGUUGCAGCACAUGAGAAGCCACGAGAAGGAGGGAUAAGAAGCGGAGAGGCAAAGGGAUAAACUGUUCAAUGAAACCCGUCCCAUGAUGUCCGCAAAACAAGUGUGGAGGCCUAAGCAAAAGGAAAACAUAGUAGCUUCUGCAUUGGUAAUAACAGCACCUACACCACCAAUGGAGGACGAUGCGACUGCUAUUACAUCGUCCACUUCACCUAUUACUUCCUCUUCACUAGGAGAUAUUUCGGAGUCGAUGGACAUGCUUCAGGAUGGAGAUGGUAUUUUGGAUUAUGAGUCUACACCGGUUCAUGAAGGUAUUGAUAUUAAUAUGGUGCACUACUUACCCGCUGAAUUCCGUGCUAUAUAUGAAGAAGGGCAAGUACCUCAGUUGGAUUUUGGUCCUAAAAAUGCUAUAAUCGAGAAGCCAAAAGAAUGGGUGACGCACCUGAAGCCAUUGUUCCUUAAAGGUCAUAUUAAUGGAUCGCCGAUUGCUAGAAUGCUUGUUGAUGGUGGUCCUGUGGUGAAUCUUAUCCCAUAUUCAGUCUUAUAAAAAAUGAGGCUGCGUGAUGAAGAGUUGAUAAAGACCAACAUGGUGCUCAACGGAUUUGAAGGUAAAGAGAAAAUUGAAGCCAAAGGUGUGAUGUAUGUGGAGCUUACGGUGGGAAGCAAAACUUUGGCUACCGCAUUCUUUGUCGCCGAGGUGCAAGGUAACUCCAAUGUGAUAUUAAGCCAUGAUUGGGUUCAUGCAAACCAAUGUGUGCUAUCUACUAUGCACCAGUUUUUGAAUCAAUGAGUUGAUGAUGAAGUGGAAGUCAUUCAUGCGGAUAAUUCGAUCGGCUUGUGUUGCUUUGGCCGAUGAAUCGGUGGAUUGGCAACAUCCCAAUGCUACUUGCUUGACGGGGCGCGACUUAUCAGAAUUUGAUUUUCUUAGCGCUACAAAAUUGGUUUCGUGCCCCUUUCUAUAAAGCCGGUUGGCGAUAAUCGGCUCCAAGGUAUGAUGUAUUUAAAUGGAUCCUAUCUCAGAGUGGUUUCAAAAGCGUCUUGUAGAAUAUCGGUCCAAUGAGAAUGAUAUGUAUGAGUCCAUAGAAGAGUUAGAUGAUAUGGAUAAAUUAGGACAAGGUUUUACAUCGGCGAUCCAUUAGAAGAGAUAGAUAUAGCAGAUGGUUCAUUUCUUAGGCCGACAUUUGUAAAUAAAAAUUUAAGAGUCGAUCAUAAACUUAAGUUGAUCGAGCUGUUAAAAGAAUAUAUUUGUUGCUUGGCAUGGGAAUAUCAUGAGAUGCCCGGUUUAAGCCGAGAGCUAGUGGAGCAUCGAUUACCUAUAAAGGCUGGUUUUUGACCGUAUAAGCAAUCGACCAGAAAGUUUAAUCCAAAAACAUAUGACCGGAUCAAGGAAGAGAUCGGUCGUUUGCUGAAAGCUAAUUUUAUUAGACCUUGCAAGUAUGCCGAGUGGAUUUCUAACAUUGUACCAGUGAAGAAGAAAGGCUCGGGCAAGUUGAGGGUGUGUAUUGAUUUUAGAGAUUUGAAUAGAGCUACACCCAAAGAUGAGUAUCCCAUGCCCAUAGCCGAUAUGCUUAUUAAUGAUGCCUCUGGACAUAAGGUCAUUAGCUUUCUUGAUGGUAAUGUGGGGUAUAAUCAAAUUUUUAUGGCCGACGAUGAUAUGACCAAAUUAGCUUUUCGAUGUCCCAGUUUCCUUGGUUUAUUUGAGUGGACAGUGAUGACCUUUGGUUUAGAGAAUGCCGACACCACGUAUCAAAGGGCUAUGAAUUUAAGUUUUCAUGAUUUACUUGGUGUUAUACUUGAAGUCUAUAUUGAUGAUAUUGUUGUCAAAUCGGAUGCUUUUGAAUCUCAUCUAGCUGAUUUGUGCUUAGAUUUUGAGAGAAUGAAAAAAUAUUGACUAAAGAUGAAUCCUUUGAAAUGUGCUUUUGGUGUAUCGGCUGGUAAGUUUUUGGGUUUCAUUAUUCAUCAACAUGGCAUAGAAAUUGACCCAAAAAGAUAGAGGCUAUACAAAAGGUGUGGGCUCGAACAUGCAAGAGAGAUAUGCAAAAAUUCCUUGGCAAAGUCAAUUAUUUGAGGAGAUACAUAGCCAAAUUGUCAGGGAAGGUUGAUACAUAGCCAAUUAUUUGUGCACUUCUCUAGUGUUGAAAGCCCCCAAGCAUAGAGAGCCCUUUAGGCUUUAUAUUGCGGAGGAGAAAGCCCCCAGGCAUAGAAAGUCCCCUCAAGAGACCGAAGGAAAGGAGCAUGCUAUUCUUAUUUGAGUCGACGCUUAUUGGAUGUCGAGAUAAGGUAUACAUUGAGAAAUUAUGCUUAUGCUUAUAUUAUGCUUGCACAAAAUUGAGACAUUACCUAGUGCCUAGUACAUGCAUUAUAGCUUUUCAAACUGAUGUCAUCAAAUACAUGUUGCAUAGGCCAAUUCUUAGUGGUAGAAUUGGCAAGUGAGCUUAUGCUUUAAUUGAAUAUGAUUUGGUUUAUGAAUCUCUGAAAUUCAUGAAUGGGCAAAUCGUUGUUAAUUUUGUUGUUGAGCAUCGGAUUGAUGACAAGCAUGAUAUUGAUCUUAAACUUGUCUAUUAGUACCAUGGAGAUUAUAUUUUGAUGGUUCCGUUUGUAGCAAUGGACAAGGUGUUGGUAUUGUUUAUAUAUCUCCUCAUGGAGCUAUUUUUCAAGCCUCAUGCCGCUUAGAGUAUUUUUGUACAAAUAAUUAGGCCGAAUAUGAAGCAUUUUUACUCGGUUUAGAGAUGUUGCUUGCCAUAGGCGCUACACAUAUUGAGGCUUUUGGUGAUUCGUUAUUAGUAGUGCAACAAAUAUCCAGAGUAUUUCAAUGUUUUCAUGAAUCACUUAAUGUUUAUCUUGAUAAAUGUCUAGAUAUAAUUUCUACUUUGGAUUAUUUUAGCAUUCCUCAUAUAUCUAGACAUGACAAUUGGAGAGCAAAUCAGUUGGCACAACAAGCAUCUGGCUAUCAUGUUAAUCAUGACAUGUUUCAUAUUUACCAAAGGCCGAUGUCUAUUCUUGCCAACGUAGGGGAGGCUGAACCGGAGCCCACCGUUUCGGUCACAAAUGAAAAUUUUAAUGUAGAAAAUCUGGACUAGAGGAAAGCCAUUAUUGAUUAUUUGCGUGAUUCUAAUAAAAUUUUGGAUGAGGACCAAGCAAGAGUUGCUAUGAGAGAGGUUCAUGAAGGAAUUUGUGGGACUCAUCAGUCGGCUCCCACUAUGAAAUGGUUAUUGCGACAGGCUGGGUUUGAUUGACCAACGAUGAUUAAUGAUUGCUUCAGGUAUUAUAAAGGAUGUGCAGCUUGUAAAAUGUCUGGUGAUAUUCAGCUAGCUUCUGCUGCUAUGUUACAUCCUAUUAUUAAGCCGCGGCCUUUUAGAGGUUGGGGAUUAUACUUUAUUGGAGAGAUUCAUCCUUCUUCUUCAAAGGGGCAUCAGUUUGUGUUGGUGGCAACUGAUUAUUUCACUAAAUGGUCUGAAGCAAUACCGCUAACAAAUAUGACGCAUACGGAGGUAAUUCAAUUCAUAACUUAGCACAAUAUUCAUAGAUUUGACAUUCCUCAAAUGUUAACUACGGACCAAGGUUCAUCUUUUAUGUCAGAUCAAGUUAGAGAAUUUCCCGAAUCAUAUAAGAUAAAGUUGCUCAAUUCAUCUCCGUAUUAUGCCCAAGCCAAUGGACAAGCUGAGUCUAGCAAUAAAAUAUUAACCAACCUCAUCAAGAAGAAGAUUGAGGAUAAUUCAAGGAGAUGGCAUGAGCUAUUGUCCGAAGCUUUGUGGGCACACAUAAUCUCAAGGUAUGGUGCUACAAAGGUAACUCCAUAUGAGCUCAUAUAUGGUAAAGAGGCCGUUUUACCAGUGGAAGUGAAUUUGAAUGCUUUGAGAAUAGCAAAACAAAAUGAUUUAUCGGCGGUGGACUUUUAUAACUUGAUAAUGGAAAAUAUUGAUGAAGUCGCUGAUAAAUGUUUUGUUGCUUUGAAGGCCAUAGAGAGAGAUAAUUUGAGGGUGGCAAGAGCUUACAAUAAGAAGGUCAAGUUGAAGAAUUUUCAAGUUGGCGAUCUCGUGUGGAAGGUGAUUCUACCAAUUGGUUCGAAAGACAUAAAAUUCGGGAAGUGGUCUCCAAGUUGGGUAGGUCCUUUUAAGAUUACAAGGGUAGUUCCCAGAAACUUAUAUUUAGUGGAAUCCGUACAAAGGACAUUGUUACCUCGAGCUGUCAAUGGCAAAUAUUUGAAGAAGUACCACCCAAGUGUGUGGCAAGAAGCCUAGAUAAUCAAUGGCCGAUAUACGACUAUGGCCCUUAGCAUAAACAUGGCCGAUAUAUAAUUAUCGCACCGAGAAGUAUAAAUGACACAUGGAGUGUUGACAUCGUCCUUAGAAUAAACGCGAUGCAAAUUAUUUUCCGGCAUUCAAGCUCUGCCCAAAACAGAGGAUAAGGGUUGACACCAGAUUUUAGCAUGGUAGGAAAUGCAAUUAAGAUGGUCCCAAAUGGAGAAGUGGUUUACAUUAAAAAAAAGUUCCGUAUUGUCGACACAAACAUCUUCGAUGUUUGGGCCAUCGCCAUCCGAUCUCAUCUCGAAGGCCGAAGUUGUGUUCGAAAUACUGAGAUUUUGUAUCCCGAGCACUGUUCGGCCGAUUACGCCUCAAGGACGGCCUCAAAUGAGAAAACUUUCGACAUGAAUUGACUUCGCUUGGUCGAAACAGUCAAUUUUGAUAUAAAAAUCGUCUCAAUCCAAGGUCGUAUGUAAAAGUUAGUGUCUCCUGAGUCCGGCCCUGUCACGAGCCAAAAGCUACGCGAGUAAUAGUCUAUUUUGCGCGAGCGAUUUGGCACUGAAGAUUAUAUCGAAUCGAAAACUGUUCAACAUGAAAGUUGUUCGUCUCGUCGAAACAGUUAAAUUUGCUUCUUCCGCGAUUUUGAUCCGAGGUCGUUUACUACCCCAAAAAUGACCCGCAAGGUGCAGCCAAUUUUUAGACUGAACAGUUUUGGAAAGUUUGGAUCAUACGAUCCUAAUUGGACUCAAAUUAGGGUUUUGGACAUGAAUUCUAACUUUUCCUUGCACGGGAAGUCCAGCCCCCUCUUAUUUACAUGAGGGGUGAUGACUGCCCCUCCUAGAAAAAACCAGACUGGGAGGACAUUUUUUUCCUGUCCGAAAGCCGUUUCCGCCUCUUGGAAGAAGAAGAAGAAAAAAGAGAAAACACGUUUUUUUUCGUUUCCGAGAGCCUCUCGCGGAAACAAAACAAUGCCGCUCAUGGAAGAAAAACAAAAAAAUGCAUUUUUUCACGAAAGCAAAACCGUGCCUCUCGUGAAAGAAAGAAAAGAGAAAACACAUUUCUUGUCCUUUUCGUGAGGCACGGCAGUGCCUCUCGCGGAAGCAAGACCAUGCCUCUCGCGGAAGCAAAACCGUGCCUCCCGCGGAAGAAAAAUACAGGGAAAACACGAUUUUUUUUCGUUUAUGAGAGGCACGACUGUCUCGCGGAAGCAAAGCCAUGCCUCCCGCCGAAGGAAAACCGUGCCUCUGGUGAAAAGGGAAAAAAAGAAAACGUGUUUUGUCACAGGAAAAAAAUUAAAAAAAAUUGGUCCAAAACCUAGGGAAGACCGGUGAACAACCAAAAAGCCGGAAAAUUAAAAAAAAAAACAUCUAAAAUACCAGAUGGAGGUUGAGAGUGCACCAAGUGACGCGCUCUCGGCCCAUCCACAAAUGACCCUUGGGAAGGGUGGGAACGAGCGCUCUUUAGUAUUAUUUUUUGAGGCAAACCGUUCUUUAAUUAGUUGCUCCGGGGAAGGGGAAUGGAAGACGCAGAUCGGCAACGUGUGGGCUGGGCUUGUGACGUUGGGGUCUCAGAAAAUAUAGCCCAGUUCGAAUUUAGUGGUCUCAGCAAGUAAAACCAGCGCUUAUGUUGGGCCUAAUCACUCACUCCAGGCUGUGGGCCUCGCUAGCAGCCCCAUCUUACCAUUCCCCUCGUUCUCUCUCUCUCUCGCAAAAAAAAACCAUCAUUUCCGUCAAAAAGAAAAGACAUCUACCCGUCUCGCCGCCAAGAGAUCCAGGAACCCCGGGGUCGUUCCAUUGUUUUGCAUAGCGUGUAGAUUAGGUUUUCUCUGUUAGUUUUAUGUGUUCUUAGUGGCGAUGGCUUGACGGUGAAGGCGAGAGUGAUGAUGGUCUCUCGGCUCCAUUCCUGUUCUGAUUAUGCGUUCCCGGCUAAGAAGGCCAUCAAACAUAACAUAAAUGGGGUGCUUUCUUUUCUUCUUACCGAUCUCCUCCUAGUUUACCGGCUCAAGGUGUAUCGGCUCUACAAACAUCUUGUAUCCACCUCACGUCCUGGGAAAUUACUGUCGGUAACUUUCAUCGUAUUGCGAUAACAAUAUUUUCUUUCAAGAACCCGCCUUCCUUGAAUUUCGUACAAAGUUAAUUGUCAAUGUCAUAACUAAUUGCAAGACCAGGUACAGCUCUUCUCUACAGGAAGUUACAGUUUCUAAAUUGCAUGACCCUGUAUCACUUUAUGAAGCAAGCACAUCACCUUCAGCUCCUCAUUUGCAAACUUAGGACCCAUUUGGACCACAUAAAUUUUACAAUAUGUUUGCUGCAUUUCACAAGAAACCAUCGAUUUUGUGAAGAAAGAAUUACAUUGUUUCAUCGCCGUUACAACACAACAUUAAUCAGAUCACCUUAAUACCUCCCACUGCGUUUUUUUUUGGAAAAAUACACAACAUACUGAUUGACCUUAAAGAAUGAAGGAGGCCAUAAGGUCUUGUACAAUGCUAGGUGUUUAGAAAGAUAAACCGGAUUUUACUGAUACACCGGUGCCUAUUUCUACCGGAGAGACGUCUAAUUAAGCGUAUACCCUGUACAAAUAAGUAUCAGUGCUUAAGGAAAGCCUGGUUUAUUUCUCGAAGCACCUCUCCUAAGCACCUUGCAGUGUACAAGGCCGAGAAGAAAGCUCUGACUUCCUAUUGUUGCUGCAUCAGCAGGAAAAGUAGUCUUCAUUUCAAAAAGAAGCUGAAAGUGCUAGAGUGAAAAAUAUCAUAUGUACAGAAGCUGGAUAUAUAUUACCAGCAAGGUGGAGAAGUGGGGAAAAAAAUGCUCAAAUGUGGUUAUCAAUCUUUUGAAAUGCAAGCAAGUAAGCGGAUGGGUGUUUGAGCUAUCUUUGUGUGAUCAGAACAAAUCCAUGUCCAUUAAUUAGUCUUAAUAUCAUCUUCACAGUACCAGGGACUCCCGGAUACUAAGAGUGCUUAAUAAUCUUAUAAUUAGGUGGAGACAUUUUCAUUACCUGCAUACAAAUGCGUACGAAUGAUGAUAUUUUAUAUUUUUUUCUUUGCAACUUCGGAGUGCCCACAAAGUGAAAUAGAAGGUGUAAACAUAACUUCUUUCAACCUCCAGUAAAAGUAACAAUUCUCUCUCCAUGUACCACUCUAUACCAACUUCUUCAAUACCUGUUGACUCUCAUGUUUUUGUUUUCCUUCAAUAUUUCAGACGUUCUAAAGCUCGGUCGAAAUCACUCGAGCUGGUCAACCCUGCCCCCGUGUCGCCCGCAACAGACGAUACGGGGAAAACUUUCGUCGCCGCCGGUAGCCUUCCUCCGCCAGUGCCCCUCCCCCCCCCCCCACAUCGCUGCCGCAGGAGGGUCGGCCAGCGAAGUCGCGCCGCGCUCGGGGAUGGCGGCGGCGGGGCGGUUUCGUACCCUCCCCCCCGAUGCGCUGCCCCAACAACCCCUUCGCCGCCAUCACCUCCCCGCGCCGCUGCUGCCGCGUCGCGCCUGAGGGUGGGGGCGGCAGGGCAGCUUCAUUCCCUUCAUGCUGUAGCUCCUCGUCCCCAACCUCCUCGCCCCCCAGAUCCAAUCUGGUGCGCCGCGGGCUCCCCUACCCUCCAACUGCUACUGUGUUCGUCCUGCCUGUCCGACGAGGUGGCGCGGCCGUGCCCGUCGUGCACCUCCCCAGUCUACCUCUUUCACCUUGCUGGCGCAGCUUCCUUCUUGUUGUUGUUCGCUGGGGCAUGCGAGGACUCGUGUGGAGGUCACGGGCUGGCCAAGGCUCGGUCUUGCCCCGUGUUGCAGACCACCCUUCGUCUCUGAUGGCGUCUCCUUCUAGUUACGGCGGCGACCUCUGCCCGUGUGUGGUCAAGGUGUUGUUUUGGGCAGCGGGAUGAAGCUUCGCGGUGGGUCCUUGCCGACACUGCUCCGGUCCCAGCGGCCAUCGACCAGCGUUCUUCGGCCUCCCUACCGCCGUGAAUUCAGCCCCAACACUCCGGUCGCUGCGUCUCCUUCCGGCAUCUUCGGUUUGCCGGUGUUCUGGUGGUUCCACCUCCGGCAGCUCGGAGUUGUGCUCCCUUCCGCCUCCAGCUUGUCAGCGGCGCCGGUCACCAUCCCACCCUCCAUGCCGGCUUUCUACCAUGCUGCCUUCCCGACCCUGUCGACACCCGCAACAUGUCAUUUCCAAAGCUCGUGUUCUUUCGGCAGCAGGUGCAGCCCCACCACCUCCGUACCGGGAUGGUGGUUGACUAGCGGAUUGUCUUCCUCAUCUUCGGAUCCUGAUUUGGCAGCUAUGGCAUUGCUCAGACUAAGGCCAGGCGAAAUCCAUGCUCUGCUUGCCAAUGUUGGCAGAGGCGACACUCGUGAGUGCUUUGCCAUGGCCUUUAUCCGGGCCCCUCUUCGAGCGCUGGGGGAAACCCUAGGUCCGGUUCUUCGGAUCGGAUGGUGGCGGUGUCACGAUGUCGCACCCCUUCCUGAAGGCGCUAUCUUGUUCGCCCCCGGUGUCCCUGUUUGUUUGAUUUUGAGAUGUUCGACGUCGUGCUUGUUCGGCCUGCCUCUCUGUUUAGGAUUUGUGGGUGUAGUUGUGUCAUUUCCCCUGUUCGGGCUGAGCACCCCUUGUCUCUCUGCUCCGGGUUCCAUGAUCAUGCCUCUUUGGGUUCAUGCCAUGUGUUGUAUCCUCUGUUGUACGCAUUCUCUUUCUUCUAUCAAUAAAGGAUAUGCAAGCUUUGUGUAUUCACAAAAAAAAAGACGUUCUGAAGCUCUGAAGCUAAAGAUGUAAAUAAAUCUGAACUCUCGCACUCACUUUUAAAUCGUGGGGCAGUAUACUCUAAUCUAUCCAGCUCUUCCUGUAAAACAAAUAUACUGUCAGCAUGUGAUUUAUCAUUCAUGAAUCGUUUAUCAUGCCAUUUUUAGAAUGUGACUGGCAAAAUGGUGUGACUGUACAAUUCUACUUUUUUCGAAAAAGAGGAUUACCCCUAGUAUCUACAUAGAGCCAUGCACACAACCAUUUUAUUAUAUUAUUUAACGGAACCAAACGAAACAAAUAUAUGGAUCAAGCCAAAGCCACCUCCCUAGAAACUAUUGUCGUUACACGUACAAGCUUUAAUGGCGUGCCCUGACCACUUAUCAACACACAUCAUAUAUUCCGGUCGCCUCACCAAGAUGCCUGCCGGCAAUUUGAGAGCAUCUACCGGUCUAGCUAGACCCUCUGCACGCACAUCAUGCACACGCUUUAGAUUCAGCCACCGCCAUGUUCCGCGGUCCCACCUUCAAGAGCGAUCAACGUAUUCAUCUCGCUAGGCCAUCUCGACACCAGAUAGCUCCACUAUCCAGCGCGGGCGCCCGUCGCCGACACUCCGCCGUGCCACGCCACCGAGACCCUGUGUCGUCCUUUCGGUAGAUGUAACACCGCUCCUCCACUUGUCUCUUCCAGUCGGCUCCUACUCGAGACAAUGCCCCUAGGAGGGAGAACGGCGCUGAAGGCACCAUCAUCGUCCGAUCCGGGAUACCCAGAACUAGAGUUUCCCCCGGAACAACCCGAGCGUAGUGACACAACUUACAAAUGACGAUGCCUCGAAAAAGGAAACAACGUUAGAGACGCCACCAUCUGCCAUGACCGCAGUUAGCACAAUUUCACCGGAAGUCGCGUCGACAUGGAGACGUAAGCUGUCGCCGGAACGUCGGCAUAGGGCCUCCAGUCGCCCCUGACCUGUCCCUGCACGCAUCGCCUGCCGGCCAAGGCCACGCCAAGAUGGAUCUGGAUGGGACGCUAGUUCCGCGGCCACUGCCGCCACCCAUCACAUGGUCGGCCAGGUCAACGACUAAUCCCACAGCCAUGGACAAACCGGUCGCCGCCGCCAGCCCGGGUCACCACCCUGACCGCACCGGCUGAAGACACAGGUGUCGUCGCGAGAUUGAUACGGUGAACAAGGCCCGAAUCCCUCGUGCUCGACCUUGAUCAGCCACACACAAGCAUCUCUCCACGCUGACGAGGGGUCCACUAUGGGAUCCAUCGCGCCGACUUCCGCCACCGCGCCGCGGGAAUAGACUGCCCUGAUGCUGCCGCCCACUGAGGCGGGCUUCGCCUGUUCGGCCUCCUCCAACAGCGUCCGGCCGUGGGCUGCNNNNNNNNNNNNNNNNNNNNNNNNNNNNNNNNNNNNNNNNNNNNNNNNNNNNNNNNNNNNNNNNNNNNNNNNNNNNNNNNNNNNNNNNNNNNNNNNNNNNNNNNNNNNNNNNNNNNNNNNNNNNNNNNNNNNNNNNNNNNNNNNNNNNNNNNNNNNNNNNNNNNNNNNNNNNNNNNNNNNNNNNNNNNNNNNNNNNNNNNNNNNNNNNNNNNNNNNNNNNNNNNNNNNNNNNNNNNNNNNNNNNNNNNNNNNNNNNNNNNNNNNNNNNNNNNNNNNNNNNNNUUCAGCCUCUCCACUUGUGGGAACAAUAUCCUUGAAUGUUUAGUUUCUCAUAUCUUUACGAAAACGGAGUAAGGGAAAUAUCGUGUGUGGUUGCAGGGAACUCACAUCAAAUGAUUGGGAGAUGUUCAUAAAUCAGUGAUAAUAGCCUUUGCAAACAGGCUAAUCCCAAAUGAUUCAAUGAAACCAACCUUCAUGUACUCAAUGAACGUAUUAUGCAUGUUAUGCUAGUUCAAGUCAUACUAAAUAUCACUUGUCUGGCAAAUAACAACAGCGUUCUCUGAAACCAUUGCAUCAUGAGAGAAUUGUGUGAAAUGGAAAUUGACACGAUUUAAAUUUUCAGGUUCCUUUCCUGGUGAGCCUAUCAUAGUAAAGAAACCUGGAAGAAAACAUUGGAGAAAGGAAUUCACAAAAUGCGGAAUUAUUAAUACUAAAUGACUGUUGAUGUUCAAAUGCAUGUCAGUUCUAAAUAAAUAAAUGAUUUUCUUCUUCUUUCUGCUCUUCAAUGUUUUCUUCCCUUACAAGAUUCUAGCAGUCUUAACACCAUUAUGGCCACAGAAAAAAAAAACAUCUAUCCCAUUUGUUACACGAGCUAAAAAUAAAAAUAGCACAUGAGCAUGGGCUGCAGAAAUGCACAUUCUUACUUCUAAGAAUAAUGUCAUCAAGAGAAGCAAAAGGCUGGUUUUUUGUGACAAUAAUUUAUUCAAUGAAAAGAGUGAGCCCGGGUUGCACGAAAUAUGAGUUUAUCUAUUUUUCUUCCAACAAAAUAUCUGGUCUACCAUCACUGCACCUUCGAACAUCAGAGUGCACACAGAACAAGAAAUAAAGAAGCAAAAGGGCCCUUGCGUAACUCAUGUAUUUUCAAACAAUGCUACAGAAAAUAUCCCUUAUACUCCCUCCGUCUAGGUUUGUAAGUCAUCUUACGAAAACAAAAUAAUCCCAAAACACUUAGGCGCGGUGCGUUAACUUCUACCUCGUUUCUUGUUUCUUGACAUAUCAACCAAUAAGAGAUAUGGGUGUGCAUGCUUUUAAUGACUUGAGACUACCAAACACGACAUGCAGUGGUUAGUUCAUUGCAUGCAAUGCUAUUAAUUAGCAAAAAACAUUAAGUUCUCUCGUUUUCCCUCCUCCUUGGUCACGGUGCACAACAUAAGAUGACUUAUUCACUUAGACGGAGGGAGUAUCAUGGAUUUGCGCCUGCAUCAAUUGUUUCCGAGUGCUGUCAAAGAGAAAAAUUUACUAAGAUUUCCAUUGUCAAACUGUGAUGUCCGACUAGUGUUGGUGGAAGAAUCACAUAUUGGAGAGGAUAAUUUGGAGUAGGGGAUGAGAAGAAGUUGAAGAACAGAUGAAGAGGGUGAGAUGUAGAACAGAGUAGGUGAGAGUUCAAACAAUUCUCAUUUCAUCGAUAAGUUACGGCACAUGUCUGAUUCACUUGCCCCUUUUAAACACAUAGGCACUCUCUUACAAGUGGGCCCUCAAAUCCACACGCCCAGUGCACUAGAUGAUCUUCCUAUGGCUCACUCCUAAGUUGUCUCUCUCUAGUUGUUGGGCCCUUCGUCCUCCAUAUCCUAGUCCUCCUCAUUCCACUGGACUGGGAUCUUGAUUUCCGUCGAGGGUGUGGUAGAGAGCAGAUGCAUGACACAAUCUUUGUUCCAUUACGCUUCCUCAAAGUCGCCAUUUUAGACAUUGUCAUGUCUACAACACACAAUUAGACGCUUGGUGACCUGUUGCUUCAAAAAUAUAUUUUGAAAUCAUGUGCCUAGAGGUGUUUUGAAUGUAUGGCUACAAAUGUCACUGAGGUUCCUAGUUCCUGUUCCAUCAGCAUACCCUGCCGAAGUGGUAAUCUGACUUCAAGUGGAAUAAGCAAGACAGGAGAAAGAAUUAAGGUGGUAUUCAGCUCGUUUUCCCCUCACCUUUUUGACUCUCACAUUUUUGUUUUCCUCCCAUAUCUUAGAUGGGGUGAAGCUAUAUGCAUAAACAAAUAUGAAUUCAUAUCACACUCACCUCGACAUCUCAGUAGUACAACACAGGGCUUUCGUCACAGGGCAAUUUUCACAUUAGUCCCGGUUCAGUCACGAACCGGGACUAAUGUGAGCAUUGGUCCCGGUUCGUGCGGCUAAGGCAUUAGUCCCGGUUCACCUGGGCCCUUUAGUCCCGGUUGGUGCCACGAACCGGGACUAAAGGGUGCGAUGCCCAUUAGUACCGGUUGGUGGCACCAACCGGGACUAAAGGUCUAACCUUUAGUACCGGUUGGUGCCACCAACCGAUACUAAUGCGCUUUGAGGCAUUAGUACCGGUUCAUGGCACGAACCGGUACUAAAGGGCCCAUUUUCAAACUCUACCCCCCCUGGUGGACCGCCUUUUCAGUUUUAGGAAAAACAAAAGAAAAUGAUGGAAAUGUCAAAAAAAUAAAAUAAAAUAAGUUUCCCAUGUGAUAUGUGGUCUAGUUGUUGGGAAAAUUAACAAAUAUGAAUUUCGACUUUAUUUGCAAAAUCUCUCUGAAAUUUCUUAAAAUGGGCAUAACUUUUGCAUACGAACUCGGAUGAAAAAGUUUUUUAUAUGAAAAAUCAUCUACUCAAAAUCCUCAAAAACCUAACAGAAAAAAAGAUACGGGACUUUUAAGAUCUGGAGAGGCAAAAAAAUUCAAAAAAUUUCAAUUUGUGGUCAAACUGUGGUCAAACAAUAGUCAAACUAAUUAUUCUAGAAUAUUAGUGUUACUAAAUAAUUAUUUCAGUUUUUUUGAAUUUUGGUCAAAUCUGGUCAAACUGUGGUUAAACAGUGGUCAAACAAUGGUCAAACUAAUUAUUCCAGAAAUAUUAGUGUUACUAAAUAAUUAUUGUUUUUAAAAAUAAUAGUUUCAAACUCAAACAGUGAAAUAUGUCACUUCAUGCUCAAGCUAAAUUCCUGAGGGUUAAUAAAAUUGACAUCUUACUAUUGUCAGGAAAACAACAAGUGCAGACUUGGAAACGAGGGAGAAUAGAACCCAGAAGUUAAGCGUGCUCAGGCUGGAGUAGUGAGAGGAUGGGUGACCGUCCGGGAAGUUAGAUGAUUUGAAAUGAUGAGGGGUGAUUAGAGAUUAGAGGAUAAAUUGAGCAGUGAUGAGGGGUGGUGAUUAGAGAUUAGAGGUUAAAAUAAUUCAGAAAUUUGAAAAUCAAAAAAAAAGUUCGCAAAUUUUUUUUUCAAAAAAAAUAUAUCAUAAAAUUCUGCGUCCACGUGGACGGCCUUUAGUCCCGGUUCGUGUCUAAAGGCUUGGGUAUAUAUAGACCUUCUACACGUCUCCAAUCUCUAGUAGCUCUUCAUAUGAUAAAAAUAUAUUGUGAGUAUGGGAUAUGUGUUGAGAAGGCCAUUCAGGAAUCGUUUAUCAUGUGAGUAGACUGCAAAAUGACAUAACCAUUCCACGAGCAUGCUUAAGUUUGAAAACUCUUUCCCGGGAAGUAUCCUAUGUGAUUGAAUGUAACUCAUAAUUAUUAAAGAAUGUAUAGAAGUUUCUAAACGAGCGAGUGGUUGAAUGUCAAAUGCAUCUGAUACUCGGCGAAGACUUAUGUUUGCCAAAUUCGGUACUCGGCAAAGUUUCGCCGUGUUUAUUAUGGGCUCUGCCAAGUUUCUAAGAAGACAAUCCGGGUAGUGAUGGAUGCCUGAUCUUUAACAUGGAAUGUCUGUAUACAUAGUCCUCAAUGUGGGGCAUAAUGUAGUAGCCGGACAAGACGCUUGAUUAAUCUGGUUCUUCUCUACAAUAGAAACUCGCCUUGUACAUGAACAUAUUUUGUUUUGGGUAUAUAUAGACCUUCUACACGUCUCCAAUCUCUAGUAGCUCUUCAUAUGAUAAAAAUAUAUUGUGAGUAUGGGAUAUGUGUUGAGAAGGCCAUUCAGGAAUCGUUUAUCAUGUGAGUAGACUGCAAAAUGACAUAACCAUUCCACGAGCAUGCUUAAGUUUGAAAACUCUUUCCCGGGAAGUAUCCUAUGUGAUUGAAUGUAACUCAUAAUUAUUAAAGAAUGUAUAGAAGUUUCUAAACGAGCGAGUGGUUGAAUGUCAAAUGCAUCUGAUACUCGGCGAAGACUUAUGUUUGCCAAAUUCGGUACUCGGCAAAGUUUCGCCGUGUUUAUUAUGGGCUCUGCCAAGUUUCUAAGAAGACAAUCCGGGUAGUGAUGGAUGCCUGAUCUUUAACAUGGAAUGUCUGUAUACAUAGUCCUCAAUGUGGGGCAUAAUGUAGUAGCCGGACAAGACGCUUGAUUAAUCUGGUUCUUCUCUACAAUAGAAACUCGCCUUGUACAUGAACAUAUUUUGUUUUGUGGAACUUCCUCCGGAUUAAAAAUACUUGAAGAUAGCAACAUAAUUGAUGAACUAAAAAAUGGUACUCUGGUAGCAAUGGGAUAAAACAAUAUUAUGCCUUUCUUUCAUUAGUUAACUAAAAAUUUGUGCUGCAGUAGUAACGGGAUAAAACAAUAUAAGUAGAAACAAUUUUGAUAAGCAAUAACAUUUCCUUUUGCUAGGGCAACGCUAUAGGUAACUCCUACAAACUAUUUCUCCUAGGUGUUGAUUAAUAAAUUAGCCAUAUGCAAAAUUAAACUGCAGUGGAUUAGUAAUACACGGUUGAAGUCAACACUUCCGGUUAAUCUUAUAAAAUCUAGCCUCUUUAGUCUCCAAUCUCACAUUGAGACAUGGUUAAUAGUUGUUGGUAUAUCUAAAUCCUAUGGGAGGACAUCCUCUUAUUCUCAGACACAUGAGCCCAAGUAUCUCCACAAAAAGUUCACCAGACAUACAUAUCAUGUCCUUUCAUAGCCAUCCAAAAAAAGGAAGGUGCUAUGAUGUAGUGCAACAUUGAUGGAAUAAUACCAAAAAAUGUAAAAAGGGUGUUUCAUUCUCAAAAAUAACUUUGGAAGUAUAUCGGUGAACCAUCUAAACAGGAACAUACUAGUAAAUUUGUUGAGGAAAUUGUUAACUGGUAGCAGCUUGGUUGGCUAGGGAGUAGGGGAUUAAUAGGGUGAUCGGCAAGUUUAUUGGCCUAUUAAGCAAUUAAACGGAGGAUUUAUCAGUUUAUUGGCUACAUGGUGACCUUACAAGUAGGGAUUAAUUCCCAAGUUAACUGGUUAAUCAGACGAAUUCUUCAACAGGACCAGUAAUCAUGCUAAUAUGGUACAUGAUAAUCUCUUAUGGUUGAAUGAAUAUGAGUAAUGUCUGUAGCUAUCUUUAACAGUAUUUUAUUGAGUACCUAAAUAUGUAAAGUUCAGUAGUUUGUACUAUCAUGUUAUUGCACAAAAAAAAAGGAAAUCUCUCAUUCCAAUUUUUUUAGCUAAACUAAACAAAAGAUACUAGCAUGUUGCUCAGGAGAUAGGAAUGGUAGCAGGGGUAGAUAGCCAACAAAAACAUUAUGUUAUUACAGUGUGAAUAAUAAAUAAGAUUAUUUGGAUCAUAUGAAGGAUAAAGCCAUCAAUCUCGCCCAUGUGCAAUAAUUUUAAUUUGUCUUUGUGUAGUAUAUAUUGUUGAUUAAUCAUUCGUGAUGAGAUAUGCACCUUCAUAUGGUUUAACAAAUAGAAGAUGGGUGGCGCCAGAAUAAUUUUUCUGACCGUGCAAAGAUAGAGAUCUGCAUUGCUCUCAUCAAUGACCUGCAACGAUUCAUGCAUGCUUCUACUAUGAUCCUUGAGCCUAUCAAAAUUAAUUGCUAUAAUCUUGACUGACCGAGCUACUGAUAUGUGGGCGUCUUGAUGAGUAUGGCGAAUUCUCUUUUAUCUUGGUGGUUGUUCAUUUCAUAGACAUCUCAAUAUAUUGUUUAUUUGGAUGGUUUUGUCUCCUCCUUUAUUUUGGGGUUAUUUUUACAAAGAGAAGUCUAGUUUUCUCCCUAACAAUUUCACAUGGAGAAGUGUCACUCAUAUUUAUUUCAAUCACAUUUACCUCUUGACCUUAAUAUUCACUCACAUUUACCUCCUGACCUUUUGGUUUUGGUUUAAUUUUUCCAUUAAAAUUUCACAAAUGAUAGAAUCCUCCCUGGAAGUUUUAAGAAAAAAAAAAUCUAGUAAAGGCAUAUGUAAUUUUUUUGUAAAGGAGAAUGUAUUAAUAUCAAGCAGAUACCAAUUAUUCCCAGACUCUGCAACAACAAGAUGCCUAAAAACAUCCAGGAUGCACACAGCUAAAAAUUAAAAUAAAAAGGGAAGAAAAAAUGAGAAAAAAUAUCCCGCCACGGUGAUCAAUCACCCGAUGUAGCCGCACUCUAACCACCACCAAAGAUGUCACCCGGACUACAAAAUAGGUUCUCCAAAAGCAAUGCCUCUAGAAAGGAAACAAAACACAAGCAUUGUCGUUGCCCGAUCAAAGAUAUUACGUUUUCACCCUGGAGAAAGAUCAGGUUCCCAACAAUAAUGCCUUCAACAAGACUACCGCCAGGCACAACCAAUAAAGGCCAGACCUUGGGUUUUCACCUUGGAAAUCCUGAUUGGGUACUCAAAGGAGCACCGAAUAACAAAGAAGUCCUCCAAUGCCGCCACCCCCACUUGCGGAGGCUAAUACUGCAAGUCACGCACCAUUAGGCUCACAGGAAUUCACAUCCCGCCUGGACGGGAACAUAUCCUGUAAGCCAUGUCUAAACAACUGCCUAUGAAGCAAAGUCUUCAUCGCAUCCAAGACCUCGCAUUCGCCACUUGCAAGUCCUUCAAUCACGCCAUGGCAUUCUCCGUAUGUGUUGAUCCCAUGGAAAUCUUGGUGCAGACAUGUCCCAAGGUGCCAACAAAAACAGAGCUUCACGAUACCCCGGUAAACCUGGUUAUGCUGAUGUUGCGGGUGCGCACGACAGGCCCCUAUCUAGUCAAGGUGUCCAAAGAGCGCCAUAUGUGCCAGUCCUUUUUUUCCUUCAAAGGAGAAGUCCGGAAAUCGCAGAUGGCCAGAUUGAAGAUCUCAGGUUCUCAAUUGCAUGAGCUUGUGAGCAACGAGAAUGAGCAAGACCGAACAAGGGGAAACCAUCCAAGGACGGGAACACCGUGUGCACAAUAUAUAGGAUCCAAUUUGCACCAGCAAUGUUUAUACAGGAAUAACCAAAAUGUGAGUGUUGCCACGUACAUGUAUUUACUACUGCAGAUAGUUUUCUUUAUUGCACAGGUAUAAAACUUGUUCUUAAUUUUAAUCAAUUCUCUUGCACAAAUUUAUCCACAGAGAGCACAUAUAUGAUUUAUCUAACACUAUGUUUUCAAUAUCACAAGAUAAAAUCUUGUCUUUACAGAGCAAAAUUAUACACCGAUAAAAAUGUGUUGUCUGCCUGCAUGAAAUUACAUAUGCUAUGCAAAACUCUUUACUUCGUAUCGUCAUGAUCAUCCACAAUAUUAAAAUUGUAAAUAAACAAAAAAAGAGGUGCCGGCAAAUAGUUUUGGAUAGAGUAGUUUGGCACAAUAUAUAUGUUAUCCCUGAAAAUAUAACGUCUUCCUGGAUCACACUGUAGCUUCGUGAUAGUUUUGACGGCUAUGAUAACAAAAGCUGCCGACACAUGGCUCUGGAAAUAGUUAUGGCUGUAGGGGUAAAUAUAAUAGCUGACAGCUCUAAAAAAUAUUCCCGCAAAAGAAGGCAGCUCUAAAAAACAAGCCGACAAAAGAAUCAUGAAGCUACAGUGUGAAUUAUACUCUCUCCAUUCACAUUAUUAUGGGAAAACGAAUUGUGCGAGUACAGUCUGCCAAAAUGAGUGGUCGUCCAUGCACCUUGUUUAGGGGCAACUUUAUUUUAAUGUGUCUUUUUGUAGUAUAUAGUGUUGAUUAAUCGUCCGUGAUGAGAUCUGUGCCUUUGUGUGAUAUAACAAAUAGAAGAUAUAUGGCGCCAGACUAAUUUUUCCAUCCGUACGUGCAAAGAUGAGAUAUGAAUGCAUUGCUCUCAUGAAUGACCUGCAACGAUAGACAUAUGCAUUCAUACAUGCUUCUGCUGUGAUCCACGAGCCCGUCAAAAUUAAUUGCUAUGCAGUGGCUUAACUACUCAGAUGAACGUGGGCGUCUUAAUGAGUAUGGUGACUUCUCUCUUAUGUUGGUGGUUGUUCGUUUCAUAAACAUUUCGAUAUAUUGUUUAUUUGGAUGGUUCUGCUUCCUCCUUUAUUUUGGGGUUGUUUUUACAGUGAAAAUUCAAGUUUUUUCACUAACAUAUUCGCAUGGAGAAGUGUCACUCAUAUUUAUUUUCACUGACAUUUACCUCCUGACAUUUAUUUUCACUCACAUUUAACUCCCGGCCUUUUGGUUUUGGUUUAGUUUUCCCAUUCAAAUUUCAUAAAUCAUAGAAUUUUCUAUCGAAGUUUCAAGAUUUGUUUUUCUAAAAAAGGUACAUGUAUGCACUAUAUAUUAGAUCUAAUUUGUACCAGUAAUGUUACCAGCUACAUGAAUUUACUGCUGCAGAUAGUUUUUUUUUGUAUUGCAUAUGUAUAAAUCUUGUCCUUAAUUUUACUCAUUUCUCUUGCACAAAGUUAGCUUCAUAGUGCACAUGUAUGAUUUACCUAAUAUUAUUAUUUCAAUAUUCCAAAAUAUAAUUUUGUCUUAACAGAGUGAAAUAAUACACCAAUAAAAAAACAUUGUCUGUAUGCAUGAAAUUACAUAUGCUAUGCAAAACUCUUUAGUAUGUAUCGUCAUGAUCAUCCACAAUAUGAAAAAAUAGUAAAGAAACAAACAAGAGGAGCAGACACAUGGUUUUGGAUAGAGCAGUUUAGCACAAUAUAUUUUAUCCCUGUUUAUAUAACGUCUUCAUUGCUCACACUGUAGCUUCGUGAUAGUUUUAUUGGCUAUGAUAACAGAAGCUGCUGACACAUGGUUCUGGAAACAGAUAUAACAGCAGGUGUAAAUAUAAUAGCCGCAGCUCUAAAAAAUAAGCUGACAAAAGAAUCAUGAAGCUACAGUGAACUAUACUCCAUCCUCCCUUGUCUAGGGGCAACUUAAUUCGCUUUGCGAAGGAUAAUGCAUCCAUGGCAAACAGUUUCAGGGUUGUCAGAAUAAGAAAUCUUAUGCCUCCCGAUCAAGAUCUAGACAGAUUUUCAGGGCAUGGUGUGGCCGUCCAACUACCUGAUAAAAAAAAAGAUAAUGAAAAGGGCCCACAGCAUCAAACCAAUGACAGAUAUGUUCAGUUUCGAAUCUCUUAAUAUUUAGUUUGAAAGCUGCAGAUUUUCAGGUUGUGAGAGCCGAAACUCUUGGACCAAGCCAUAUGUUCAGUUUCGAAUCUGACCUAGUAGCGUCCUGGAACUAGUUAUCAUCGAUUGGCUGCCAAACUCCCCCAAGAAACUCCGCACACAUCUCUGCAAUCGAACCAGGGCAAAUUAAUUUAGCGAAGGGAACUCACAACGCAGUGUCUCUUGACACAUCAUCCUAUUUAGUGAAAACUAUUUAGAGACAAUGACCCCUAUUCAUUAUAUACUCAACACGUCUCUUAAUAUUUAAAGUAUCUUAUAAAUGUCGUAUCUAAAUGAUAUUCCAUUUAAUUAGUUUAUGGACCUUUUUUGCAUGUCAACAUUGUGGCCUACUCCAGUUGUGAAGACAAAAAUUGUGAGAUAAACCACAAAGGCUCAAAGCGUUAGUCACUAUACGCAGAAAAACAAGUUAAUUAAGAGCCAUAUCUACACUAAAUAGAACAUAGGGAAGCUCAUCGAUCCAUCACCGGCCACACUUCUUGAGUUAGGCGAAUGUUCUCUUUUGGAGACCAUUGAGGACAUGCGCAUUUCAUCGCUCCAUCUGCCUGUCACUACAAGGGAUAAGGCUACACUAGUAGAAAACAGGGUUUUGGUUCGGCCAGAAAAGAGCAUUAAUCCCGGUUGCAUUACGAACCGGGACUAAUGUGAGCAUUAGUCCAGGUUCGAGCGGCUAGGGCACCGUACAUGCAUUAGUCCCGGUUCAAAUGGGACCUUUAGUCCCGGUUGGUGCCACGAACCGGGACUAAAGGGUGCGAUGCCCAUUAGUACCGGUUCGUGGCAUCAACCAGUACUAAAGGUUAGAUCUUUAGUCCCGGUUCGAGCCACCAACCAGUACUAAUGGGGUUUGAGGCAUUAGUACCGGUUCAUGGCACGCCUUUUCAGUUUUGUAAAAAGCAAAAGAAAAUGAUAAAAACUUCAAAAAUUAAAAUCCUUCCAGAUGUAGUUAUGUUACUACAUGUCCUAGUUAGGAAAAUUUAAAAACUUCAAUUUGGACAUGUUUCGCAAAAAGUGUAGGGAAAAUGUAAAACGGCUAUAACUUUUGCAUACGAUGUCAGAAAAAACGUAUAAUAUAUCGAAAUGUUCAGCACGAAAAUCCGCAUCCGAUUUUGACAGCCUACGGCCUGUUUGUAAAUUUUUAGAAUCCUCAAAUUCUAAAAGGGAAAAAAGUUAUGCUAUUUCUGUUUUUUUAAUUUUUGUUAAAUCUGGUCAAACUAUGGUCAAACUACUUAUUCAAGAAGUAUUAGUGUUACUAAAUAAUUAUUCAAGAAUAUUAGUGUUACUAAAUAAUUAUUUCAGUUUUUUUGAAUUUUGGUCAAAUCUGGUCAAACUGUGGUCAAACAAUGGUCAAACUAAUUAUUCAAGAAAUAUUAGUGUUAGUAAAUAAUUAUUUCAGUUUUUUUGAAUUUUGGUCAAAUCUGGUCAAACUGUGGUCAAACUACUUAUUCAAGAAAUAUUAGUGUUACUAAAUAAUUAUUGUUUUUUAGAACAAUAGUUUCAAACUCAAACAGUGAAAUGUGUGACUUCAUGCUCAAGCUAAAUUCCUGAGGGUUAAUAGGAUUGACAUCUUACUAUUGUCAGGAAAACAACAAGUGCAGACUUGGAAACGAGGAAGAAUAUAACCCGGAAGUUAAGCGUGCUCAGGCUGGAGUAGUGAGAGGAUGGGUGACCGUUCGGGAAGUUAGAUGAUUUGGAAUGAUGAGGGGUGAUUAGAGAUUAGAGGUUAAAUUGAGCAGUGAUGAGGGGUGAUUAGAGAUUAGAGGUUAAAAUAAUUCAGAAAUUUGCAAAUCAAAAAAAAAAAUUUAAAAAAAAAAUCAUAAAAUUUCCUUCAGUACCGGUUGGUGUUACCAACCGGGACUAAAGGUGGACCUCACGUGGAGGGCCUUUAGUCCCGGUUCGUGUAAGAACCAGGACUAAAGGGGGAGGCUUUAGUAACGACCCUUUAGUCCCGGUUCCAGAACCGGGACUGAAGGCCCUUAUGAAGCGGGACUAAAAGCCCUUUUUCUACUAGUGCUAGUAGUGGCGCGGUUUAAAGGCAUAGGAGUAGCGCGGGUUGCCUCUCUACUUACAUUAGCAACUAUAUAAAAACUCAUCAUCAUCAUCAUCAUCAUCAUCAUCAUCAUCAUCAUGUAACAACUCAUCAGCGCGUAGCUAACUGGUUCCUAGUAAGACGGGCCAGGCUCGGCUCUAAUACUACUUACAUUAGUAGCAGCGCGGUGUUUGGCCCGUGCUACUAAUAACUAGCUAUAGCGCGAGGCCCCCCGCCACUACUAACUCUAUGUAUUUCCUUUCUACAUAUUAUACUAUAUUAUACAAUAAUUAUACAGAUUUUUAUACACUAGCAACUAUAUAACAACUCAUCAUCAUCAUCAUCAUCAUGUAACAAAUCAUCAUUAUCAAAAUGAUAUAACUCAUCAUCAUCGUAGUGAUAUAACAGCUCAUCAUGAUCAUAAUUAUAUAAAAAUGUCUCAUCAUCAUCGUCAUCAUCACCAUCAGCAUCAUCAUAAGUUAACCACUACUAGCUAAUUGUCAUCAUCCUAGGUAAGUAACUUUCAAGCACAUGACAAGUACUAUGACCUACUCUAGUGUCUUAGGUAAAAUAGAAUAAAACAGAAAAAAUAACUACAUCUCCAUGAUGGACCACAGAGAUCCCCGGUCUCCAAUUUGUUGCCCGCGCUCAUUGACUAUUUGCCUCCAUCAUUCAAUUUUGAGGCAUCCAUUUGAUUAACACUCAGUCAAGUAUGUAUAUUUGAAUCCGAUCUUCAAAGGGCAAAUAAUAGUCAUCUCACUUUUGACGUCCAUCAGCAGAGGCACAACAACAUUUGGGACCUUCCGCUGAAGUACAUAAUAGUAACAUAGUCGAAAUAUGCAGAUAUAGCAAGAAUGAUCCUAAUUUAUUUAGGCAUCACUACCAGUUUGCCCUCAAUGCCUCGAGCGCCAUCUGGCAGAUCAACCAAGUUCCAAACUUGAUUGUCAUCCAUGGACUUUAAUUCGGAUCUCAUGGUCUUAAGCCAUAACUCAGAAUCAGGGCUCUCCGUCGCUUCUGCAUACAUUGCCGACUCGUUGUUCUCCAAGAACAACACAUUGCAGUUAUGCAUAUUGCGCAACCUUUCCGACCUCUGUGGAAUCAGCGUCGACUCCACUAUGGGUUCCUUGACUAACUCCAUGUGGUUCUCGAAUUUCCUCUAGUCGGAUCAUCCUCCCACUAGCCUUCCGAUUGAGAAACUCUUUCUCAAGGAAAACUCCAUGUCGAGCGACAAACACUUUGCCCUCUUCACAGAUGUAGGAGUAAUAUCCCAAGGUUUCCCUUGGAUACCCCAUGAAUAUGCACUUGUCCGAUUUGGGUGUGCGCUUGUCUGACUGGAGUCGCUUGACGUAUGAUUCACAACCCCAAAUUUUUAGAGAAGACAAAGUUUGGCUCUUCGCAGUCCAUAUCUCAUAUGACGUCUUAUCUACAAACUUGGAUGGUACCCUAUUUAGUGUGAAAGCUGCAGUUUCUAGAGCGUAUCGCCAAAAUAACAAGGGUAAAUCCGACUGACUCGUCAUUGAUUGGGCCAUGUCUAACAGAGUCUGAUUCCUUCGUUCCAACACGCCAUUUCUCUGUGGCAUACCCCGAGGAGUCAGUUGUGGAACUAUCCUACGACUCUUCAGAUAAUCAUCAAACUCCUGGCUCAUAUACUCAUUCGCCACGAUCAGAUCGCAGAAGUUUGAUUCUCUUGUCGAGUUGAUUCUCCACUUCAUUCUGAAACUCCUUGAACUUUUCAAAAGUUUCUAACUUGUGCCUCAUCAAGUAGACAUAUCCAAAUCUACUCAAGUUAUCUGUAAACGUCAUGAAGUAUUGGAAACCACCUCUAGCUGGACUUGUUUUACCAUUGUUGAAAUGUCUUGUGCAUCGGGAUUCCGAGUCUGAUCGGAGGGUCUCGAGAUGGAGGAUUGUCUCUGCGGAUCGUGAGCUUGUCAUGGGCAAAGUUGGGACACCCCUGCAGGGUUUAAACUUUCGAGAGCCAUGCCCGCGGUUAUGUGGCAGAUGGGAAUUUGUUAAUAUCUGGUUGUAGAGGACUUGAACUAAACUCAAUUAAAAUACACCAACCGCGGGUGUAACCGUGACUGUCUCUUUCCAGGUGCGUUCGAGAAGAGAAUACGGUUGGGUUAUGUUUGAACGUAAGUGGUUUAGGAUCACUUCUUGAUCACUAUUAGUUUGCGACCGUUGUGUAGAUUCUCUUCUUACUUUUGUACUCGUAAGUUAGCCACCAUACAAAUGCUUAGUGCUUGCUGCAGCUUCACCACUAUCCAUUCCAUACCCAUUAAGCUUUGCUAGUCUUCAUACCCAUGGUAAUGGGAUUGCUGAGUCCUCGUGGCUCACAGAUGACUACAACAAUAGUUGUAGGUACAGGUAAUGCAAUGAUCUGACGUGAGAGCGAUGCUUGAUUGCUUUUGGAGUUCUUCUUCUUCUUCGAUCAAGGGAUUAGGUUCCGGGUCGGGGAGCCUGGGAUUAGUGGGGUGGAUAUUAUUCUUCUUUUUUGUUUGAUUUCAUCCGUAGUCGGAUCCUGCCCUUCUGUGUGCGCUCGAAAUGCGGUUGGAACAGACGAUCGCUAGACAGCGCGCCCGCAUUGCCACCCUCAAAGACGGUGAUGCCAGCUCUGCCUUCUUUCACCGGCAGUGCUCGUUUCAAUGACAGAAAAACCGCAUCUUCUGCCUCUCUGCGAACGGCACGCUACUCACAGACCAUGACGAGAUGGCCGAGGCUGCAUUCCGGCACUAUGACACACUGCUUGGCACGGCGGUCGAACACGACCACUCGAUGGACCUGUCGCAGCUCAUCGAGGGGAGCGAUCUCUCCGACCUUGACGCGACCUUUUGCCCGGAGGAGAGAUGGGAAGCUGUGAAACGCCUCCCCGCGCACAAGGCAGCUGAGCCUGAUGGCUUUAGCGCUGAAUUUCUCCGCGUGUGCCGGAGCAUCAUCAAGCAGGACUUCAUGGAUGUGUUCCAGUAGCUCUUCGAGCUGCGUGGCCGUGGCUUCUGCAAGGUCAACCAGGCCCUUCUCACGCUGCUGCCGAAGCCCAGGAGGUGCGCAACUACCGCCCGAUAUGCCUCAUUCAUAUCGUGGCCAAGGUACUCGCGAAGGCCCUCUCGCUCCGGCUAGCUCCAAAACUUGACCGCUUUGUCAGCCGCAAUCAAAACGCGUUCAUCCUCGGACGGAGCCUACACGACAACUUUAUGCUCGUCAGGCAAUCGGUCAAGCUGCUGAGCCAACUUGGGGGCCCCAGGGUGAUGCUCAAGCUCGACCUCACGCGCGCUUUUGACUCCAUCUCCUGGCCGUUCCUCUUUGAGGUUCUGCGCCAAUUUGGGUUCGGGAAUCGCUUCCUCGAAUGGAUCGCCAUCCUCCUGUCCUCGGCAAGCACUCGGGUGUAGUUGAUUGGUGUCCCAGGCCCACUGAUAUGGCAUAAGGGAGGGCUGCGGCAGGGGGGACUCCUUGUCCCCGCAGCUGUUCGUGCUCGCGGUCGACACUCUCGGCCGGCUGAUUCGGCGCGCCCAUGAUACGGGCAUCCUCCAGCCGCUGCAUCUGCGGAGGCCGAUACCGGCUAUAUCCCUAUACGCCGACGACGUCAUGCUCUUUUGCCAUGCCACGGAGAGUGACGUGACUGUCGUCAAGGAAAUCCUUGACCUGUUUGGUAGAGCGUCCAGCCUCAAGGUGAACUACACCAAGAGCUCGGCCACGGUCUUGCAUCGGGAAUAGGUUGCCUCCGAGAUGAUCACCAGCUUGGGGUGUUCGACUGCCGCGCUCCCGGUCACCUACCUCGGUAUACCUCUGACGAUGCGCCGCCCUUCCGCCGGGCAGUUGCAGCCCCUUGUCGACAAGGUCACCGGACGCUUGCCCACCUGGAAAGCAUGGCUCAUGAACAGAGCCGGCAGGCUCGCCCUCGUCAAGUUCUUCCUUUGCACUAUCCCGGUGCACCAGCGGGUUGCAUUUGCCCCCUCGAAGAAAAGACUGCAGCAACUCGAGAAAAUUCAACGAGGGUUCCUCUGGGCCGGGCGAGCCAUCACCAACGGCGGGCACUGCCAUGUGAACUGGCAUCAUGCUUCCCGCCCGCUCGCGCUUGGCAGCCUUGGGGUUCGUGAUGUCGAGCGCGUUGGACUCGCGCUCAGGCUGCGGUGGCUCUGGCUCUCGCGAACGGACGAAGGGCGCGCCUGGCAGGGGCUGGACCUCCAAUUUUCUAGCAACGAGCGUACACUGUUCUUUGCCUCCACCUACAUGACCAUUGGAAAUGGCAUGAACGCCCUGUUCUGGGAGGAUCGAUGGCUCAACGGGCACUCGGUUGGCGAGCUCAUGCCCCUGUUCUACAGCUGCAUCCCCAAACGCCGGCGCAAAGCUAGAACGGUGGCCGAAGGUCUCAACUGCAACGCAUUGGCCCAUGACAUCCAGGGCGUCCUCGUCAUCCACGAGAUAGGCCAGUAUCUACAGCUUUGGCAACUCACGGAACAGGCUAUGCUCAGCGAUGCUCCUGACCAGCUGAUCUGUAAGCAGACUGCGAGCGGCAUCUAUUCGGCGCAGUCUUGCUACGCGGCUACCUUCCAAGGAUCAGUGCACUCCUACUCUUGGAAGUUGAUCUGGAAGGCUUGGGCUCCCCCUCGACUCAAGUUUUUCCAUUGGCUUGCCAACCUGGAUCGCUGCUGGACUGCCGAUCGACUGGCCUGCCAAAGACUGCAGCAUCAUCUGUGCUGCCUUCUUUGCGAUCAGGCGCCGGAAAUGAUCCGGCACCUCAUGCUUGACUGCCCCUUCUCUAGGCAGGCAUGGCAUGAGACCCUGGCCUGGCUACGCAUACCGGCGUCGAUCCCCAACCAGGAGCCCACCCUCAUGGACUGGUGGCGGCACGCCGCAAGCACAACGCAAGGCCCUGCAAUCCGUAGUGCUACUCGUACCAUGGCUCGUCUGGAAGCAUAUGAACAGCCACGUCUUCGACAGCGCGACGCCCUCCCUAGGCACGCUAGUCGACCGGAUCAAGGAGGAAGCCGACUCCUGGGCUAAGGCCGGAGCAGUAGGCCUUAGAGUAGUCCUACCCCCUUUAUGGGACGUGCACUGAGCAUUGUAUCUGAUCCUUCAUUAUUCAUCCUAGGACGACUGUAACUGACUCCCUACCUUUUCAAUGAAAAGAAACGGAAAGGUCUUUUGCAUUUUCUCGAGAAAAAAAAGAAUGACCUUGAGGCAAGCUCAAUGAAAAUACGUUUUCCAAAGGUUUCAAGACUAUCUUCCUUGUGCUCUGGGAUAAAGCCAUUUGCAAUUCAUAGUCAGAUCAGCUUGUCCACAUCAAUCUUGUAAUCCUUUGGAAAUAUAGCACAAAAGGAAAAGCAUUGCUUCAUGUGUGAUGGCAAGUCAUUGUAGCUAAGCUUUAAUAUUGGCAGAAUCCAGUUUCCAAAGUGCAAAUGCUGCUACUAGAUGAUAUAGCCUUCCACUCUUCGACGCUAGUCUUGGUACGAAGUACAUAGCCCAAUGCAGUUGCAGCUAAAGGAGAGCCAGAACAUCAGCUUACAAUCUCAUCAACCAUCUUGCUUAGCUCGACAGGCUUUUCUUUCUCCGAACUGAAUGCUCUAGCCUCAGUAAUUUCCUUUACGAAGAAAUCCUCCACAAUAUUGAGAUUGUAGGCUCUACCUGCACCCAUAAUUUCAGUGACUUGUUUAUCACGAGUUCUUGUUAACAUUGCACUACCCAUGCCACCAUGUUGAGGACAGACCUUCAGCCUUCCCAACUUAUAGACCUCUCUGUUCCAGACAUCAUCCAAUACAUGGAGAUACCUGUGCCCGCUGUCCAGUUUUUGAAAUCUAUCCAAAGGUAUCAUAGACCUCUCUGGGGGAUGCCCGCUGUACCCAGAGCUGCAACUGAAAAUGAUUCUGAAUUUCAGGUUCAUUGUAUAUGAGUUACGCUAAUGUGGUCUUGCCAAGGCCCCCCAUUCCAACAAUGGGAACUACUGCGAGAUCAGUAUUGCUAGCUUGACCAAGUAGUAUGUCAACGAUAUUAUUCUUAUCUCCGUGUUUGGAUCUGUUGGCAAUUUCUUGUUGGUCGCUGAUGACAUAAUCUGUGUGCCUCCACUCCUUGGACACUCGUGUUUGCCUCAACUGAUUAGACACCAACAACGUCUGCCUCAACAUAAGCGCGACGCGUUGUUGGGCUAGGCCCAGAACGGUGCGCGGGCAGGUGGGGCGUAUUUUUACCGUAGUAACUGUUUCGUCCGCUGCGCUUCCCCACGACCUGCGUUGAACACGCACGUGGAGGGUCGUGCGUGACGUGGGGGUCAUGCGUGGGGCGGUCUCCACACGCAUGCGUCACAUCGCAUUUAAUGGGAAAAGAGGCGGCCCACGCCUUCCCCGUAAAAAGGAAUAACAGCGGGCGCGCUGUUCAUUUACCCCCUGCGUCUUCUUCAAUCUCGGAAUCGCCGUCCCCUUCUUCUUCCUUCUCAAACUCUCGCCUUUGCUCGUUGCCGCCGCAUCUUCGCUGUCCUCCGUCCUUUGCCUCUCGCAGCCGCCAUGGCCCCCAAAACAAGUAAAGGAAAGGGAGUGGCCAAGGAUGCCGGGGCGAAGGAGCCGCCGGAGAGCGAGUUGGUGGCGCGGCGGACGCAUCUCGCCUACUUCCCCUCGACGGUCGACGCGGUCGAACUCCGGGACUACUUCAGGNNNNNNNNNNNNNNNNNNNNNNNNNNNNNNNNNNNNNNNNNNNNNNNNNNNNNNNNNNNNNNNNNNNNNNNNNNNNNNNNNNNNNNNNNNNNNNNNNNNNNNNNNNNNNNNNNNNNNNNNNNNNNNNNNNNNNNNNNNNNNNNNNNNNNNNNNNNNNNNNNNNNNNNNNNNNNNNNNNNNNNNNNNNNNNNNNNNNNNNNNNNNNNNNNNNNNNNNNNNNNNNNNNNNNNNNNNNNNNNNNNNNNNNNNNNNNNNNNNNNNNNNNNNNNNNNNNNNNNNNNNNNNNNNNNNNNNGCGUGUCAUCCCCGCCAAUUGCGCCGAGGCCGCCCCGAAUCGGUAUCCGUUCUUCGUCGAUUACUUUUCUUGCGGUCUCUGCCCCCCUUUCUCCGAUUUCUUCAAUGAUGUCAUGCACACAUUUGGCUUCCACCUUCUGGAUUUCACUCCCAAUGCCGUGGCGUGCAUGGCUCUUUUCGCCCAUCUCUGUGAGGGCUUCGCCGGAGUUCUUCCCAACACAUUGCCCUUCCGCUAUUAGUUUUACCCUCGCAUCCAAAAGGGAGGCGCCAUCUCUGGUUGCGUCGCCUGGAUACCAAGGUCCAAAGGGACGUACCCGGAGGGCGCCCAGAAGGAGAGGUUGGAAGAGUGGCGGGGCCGGUGGUGCUGGAUUGGGGAGGACGACCCGCCGGAAUUUUUCCGGGUUCGUCAGGCGCCGCCGGUUCGCAGGAACGACUGGGGCGAUGUCAACGCCCUGGAUGACAAGCUCAAGGUCGCCACCACCAGGAUUCACCGCCUCACCGUUGCCGGGCUCACCCUGGAGAUGAUUGGGGCGGACUUGAUCCGCCGCCGAAUCGCUCCACUGCACAACAAGGGGAGACCGGCCUGGCUCUUCCAAAACGCGGCUGACAUCAUGAGGCUUCACUCUGGCCUCAACAACAACUUCACGGUGAUGGGGCACGCCCACUUCUGCUAGCGGAUCUUUCAGCUCGACGUGAACCGCGACGGCAGGGCCAAGAGGUCCGGCAAGGCUGCAAAGGCCGGCAAGGUCCUCAAGGGGCCCUUGUUUGGGUUGCCAGCGGGGGUGGUCCCGCUGAGCAACAACUCGCGCCAGACCGACAUCAUCGCCAUGAUGUCGGACUACAAUGCACACGGUCCCGUCCCAAAUUGGUUCGAGCCGCUAGCGGAUCAGGUGCAGGAGUUCUUUGAUACUUUGGCGGAGAAGUAUGUCUGCGACGAGCCGCUGCUCAUCUAGGACACCACCCAAGCAGAGCUGGACUACAUCGCCGCCAGGGCGGCGGAGGCGGAGCUCGCUAGGGAGGCCGGCAGCGCUGGCGGCAUGGAGGACGAGGUCGCAGCAGCCGCAGAGGAGAGGGAGCUCGCCCAGUGGGAGGAAUCCGAUGGGGAGGCCAGCAGCGCCAGCACCGGGGCCCCUCUUAUUGAAGAUGUGGUCGACGAUUCGGAGGAGGAGGAGGUCGAGGCUGUCGAUCCUCCGGUCAUGGGGAGAGGGCGAGUCCUGCGGCGGGCCAGCUCCGGCAAGCCGGUCCAGCCCGGCAGGGCUGUGCAACCGCAGCAGACCUAGGAGGGGUAUGUGCGCCAGACAAGGGCCGCGGUGGCGAGGAAGUUGGUGAAGGCCGUGGUGGCGAAGAAGAAAGCAACAACCUCUUCUUCGUUCAAGCGUGGCCAGACUCCACCUUCUUCCCCUCCUCGGGCAGACGUUGACACGGAGGUCGUCUUCGACUUUGGGUCCCUCAGCCCAAGGAGGAAGAGGAAGGCAUCAGAAGAGGAGGUGGAGGAUGAGUAAGUUUCUUGUUACUUUUUGUCAUCUCCGUCUCCUCAGACUGUGCUGCUUAUCUCGAUUUGUUUUCAUCUUUGCAGGGAUGCGGAGACGCUGGCCCAGAGGGUGAAGAGGGCCAGGUCCUCGGCUGGCGGCCGGCCUCCGGCGGGCACUUCGAGGAUGCCACUAGUGGUGGUGAGCAGCCCGGACAGCAGUCCCCGAAGCAGCCCCCGGCGUAAGUUCCCCACUCGUCCCUCGUCAACGUGUGUUGGGGGUACGAUCCCUUGGCGCUAACCUUGCCGUGAUUGCAGGAGGAGGACAACAGGAGGAGGAGCCACGGAGGGUUACCCCCAACACGCUGCCCCCAUCGACCACGCCGCCCCGAGGGGUGGUGUCUACUACGCAACCUUCUUCUUGUAGACGUUGUUGGGCCUCCAAGUGCAGAGGUUUGUAGGACAGUAGAAAAUUUCCCUCAAGUGGAUGACCUAAGGUUUAUCAAUCCGUGGGAGGCGUAGGAUGAAGAUGGUCUCUCUCAAGCAACCCUGCAACCAAAUAACAAAGAGUCUCUUGUGUCCCCAACACACCCAAUACAAUGGUAAAUUGUAUAGGUGCACUAGUUCGACGAAGAGAUGGUGAUACAAGUGUAAUAUGGAUGGUAGAUAUAGGUUUUUGUAAUAUGAAAAUAUAAAAACAGCAAGCUAACUAAUGAUAAAAGUGAGCACAAACGGUAUUGCAAUGCGUUGAAACAAGGCCUAGGGUUCAUACAUUCACUAGUGCAAGUUCUCUCAACAAUAAUAACAUAAUUGGAUCAUAUAACUAUCCCUCAACGUGCAACAAAGAGUCACUCCAAAGUCACUAAUAGAGGAGAACAAACGAAGAGAUUAUGGUAGGGUACGAAACCACCUCAAAGUUAUUCUUUCGGAUCGAUCUUAUUCAAGAGUUCGUACUAGAAUAACACCUUAAGACAAAAUCAACCAAAACCCUAAUGUCACCUAGAUACUCCAAUGUGACCUCAAGUAUCCGUGGGUAUGAUUAUACGAUAUGCAUCACACAAUCUCAGAUUAAUCUAUUCAAACCAACACAAAGUACUUCAAAGAGUGUCCCAAAGUUUCUACCAGAGAGUCAAGACGAAAACGUGUGCCAACCCCUAUGCAUAGGUUCAUGGGCGGAACCCGCAAGUUGAUCACCAAAACAUACAUCAAGUGGAUCACGUGAUAUCCCAUUGUCACCAGAGAUACGCACAUGCAAGACAUACGUCAAGUGUUCUCAAAUCCUCAAAGACUCAAUCCGAUAAGAUAACUUCAAAGGGAAAACUCAAUCCAUUACAAGAGUGUAGAGGGGGAGAAACACCAUAAGAUCCAACUAUAAUAGCAAAGCUCGCGAUACAUCAAGAUCGUACCACCUCAAGAACACAAGAGAGAGAGAGAGAGAGAGAUCAAACACAUAGCUACUGGUACAUACCCUCAGCCCCGAGGGUGAACUACUCCCUCCUCGUCAUGGAGAGCGCGGGGAUGAUGAAGAUGGCCACCGGUGAGGGUUUCCCCCUCCGGCAGGGUGCCGGAACAGGGUCCCGAUUGGUUUUUGGUGGCUACAGAGGCUUGCGGCGGCGGAACUCCCGAUCUAUUCUGUUCACCUAUGUUUUUAGGGUAUAUGGAUAUAUAUAGGCGAAAGAAGUCGGUAAGGGGAGCCACGAGGGGCCCACGAGGGUGGAGGGCACGCCCAGGGGGUGGGCGCGCCCCCUACCUCGUGCCUUCCUUGUUGCUUCCCUUACGUACACUCCAAGUCUUCUGGAUUGCUUCGGUUCCAAAAAUAACUCUCCCGAAGGUUUCAUUCCGUUUGGACUCCGUUUGAUAUUCCUUUUCUGCGAAACACUGAAACAAGGAGAAAAACUGAAACUAGCACUGGGCUCUGGGUUAAUAAGUUAGUCCCAAAAAUAAUAUAAAAGUGCAUAGUAAAUCCCAUUAAACAUCCAAGAUGGAUAAUAUAAUAGCAUGAAUACUUCAUAAAUUAUAGAUACGUUGGAGACGUAUCAGCAUCCCCAAGCUUAAUUCCUGCUCGUCCUCGAGUAGGUAAAUGAUAUAAGAAAUAAUUAUGAAGUGUGAAUGCUAGCAGGUGCACAAGUUUGAUCAAUGAUAAUUUCAAUCACCUUUUCAAGCAUCAUUAUAUGUCAUAACAGUAGCUCAACUCAUAAAACUUUUCAUGAUCAAGUAACAAGCUAUUCACAUAUUAAAGCAUAGACCAUAAACUUUCUUGAAAACUAACAAACUAUGUUCUCAGUCAUCAAACAAUUGCAAUUCAUCUUAUUUUCAGGAAGGGUCUAUGUAAGAGCUUUGAUUUAGCAAAUCCCACAUACUCAACUAUCAUAUAGUCUUCCAUGAUUGCUACCACUCAAAGCAUAUUUUCGGAACAAAUAGCAUCCAUCGAACACAGAGAAAGAUAGGGGCUUAAUGUUUCGCCUCCCAACUUAUUUAUCAUAUAGAUAAUUGUCAACAAUAAUAAUUCAUGAUCAAAUAUAUUUGAAUGGCCAUAUAUGCUUAGAUCUUUCCAUCACAUGAUGCUUGCCAACUAAAAAGUAGGUUGGAAUGAGAAGGAAUACUACUGACUCUUGCAUAAAAGUAAAAGAUAGGCCCUUCACAGAGGGAAGCAGGGAUUUGCAGAGGUGCCAGAGCUCGAAGCUAAAACAGAGAUGAAAAUAAUUUUGAGAGGUAUGCUUUCAUUGUCAACAUAACGACCAAGAGUUCCCAAUAUCUUCCAUACUACAUACAUUAUAGGCGGUUCCCACGCGGAAAGGUAAAGUUUUUACUCCCCCUCCACCAACAUUCACACUCCACGGCUUGUCCGAAACAAUGGGUGCCGUCCAACUAUCAACAUUCUUGGGGGAGUUUGUUGAAAUUAUUUGUGAAUUUGUUUUUGAUCUUUUGAUCAUAGGACUGGGCAUCCCAGUUACCAGCCAUUUUCUCGUGAAUGAUGAGCGGUGUCCACUCAUCGUGAGAAUAACCCACCCAGCAUGGAAGAUACUGACAGCCCCUAGUCGCUACAUGAGCGAUUCGGGCAUACAAAACAGAUUAUUAUUUGAAGGUUUAGAGUUUGGCACAUGCAAAUUUACUUGGAACGGCAGGUAAAUACCGCAUAUAGGUAGAUAUGGUGGACACUCAUGGAAGAAACUUGGUUCGAGGAAUUUGGAUGCACAAGCAGUAUUCCUGCUUAGUACAGACAUUUUGGCUAGCAAAUGAUUCUAAAUAGCAAGCACCACAAGUUAGAGGAUCCAUAACAAUAUAACUUCUAUACAAAUAUACCCAAGCAUAACUCAUUAUGUUGUCUUCCUUGUCCAACUUCAACUAAUUUGCUCAGGUUUGCUAAUAAUUAAUGGGGCUCACGAUCAUAGAAGAUGUCCAAGAUAGUAUUAUAUGUGAAAUCUCUCUUCCUUCAAUAUUCUUUCAUGAAUUGUUCAAGUGACAAAUACAAAGUUUGCUAACCUUCAAAAAAUUUACCACCUCUACUUCUUAUAUGUGAAGUCAUUACUCCCCAUGGGAUAAGUAUAUGAAACAUAUAUAAUUUCAGAUUUAUAAUAUUCAAAUCAUUCAACUAUUUACUCAUAGGAUAUAAGUGAAGCACACGAGUAAAUGACAAACUACUCCAAAAAGAUAUAAGUGAAGAUCAAUGAGUAGUUAAAUAAUUAUGUAGUUAUCUGAAGACUCUAUCUCAUUUAAGAAUUUCAGAUCUUGGUAUUUUAUUCAUACAGCAAGCAAAACAAAAGAAAAUAAAAUGACGCUCCAAGUAAAACACAUAUCAUGUGGUGAAUAAAAAUAUAGCUCCAAGUAAAGUUACCGAUGAACGAAGACGAAAGAGGGGAUGCCAUCCGGGGCAUCCCCAAGCUUAGGCUCUUGGUUGUCCUUGAAUAUUACCUUGGGGUGCCUUGGGCUUCCCCAAGCUUAGGCUCUUGCCACUCCUUAUUCCAUAGUCCAUCGAAUCUUUACCCAAAACUUGAAAACUUCACAACACAAAACUUAACAGAAGAUCUCGUGAGCUCCGUUAGCGAAAGAAAACAAAACACCACUUCAAGGUACUGUAAUGAACUCAUUAUUUAUUUGUAUUGGUGUUAAAUCUAAUGUAUUCCAACUUCUCUAUGGUUUACAAACUAUUUUACAAGCCAUAGAUUCAUCAAAAUAAGCAAACAACACACGAAAAACAGAAUCUGUCAAAAACAGAACAGUCUGUAGUAAUCUGUAACUAACGCAAACUUCUUGAACUCAACAAAUUCUACCAAAAUAGGACGACCUAGAUAAUUUUAUUAUUGAUCUGAUGCAAUUGGAAUCAGUAUUUUAUCACGUUCUGGUGAUUUUAAACAAUUGUUUUCGUGAACAGAAAGUUUCUGGAAUUUUCAGCAAGAUCAAAUAACUAUCAUCCAAGAAGAUCCUAUAGGUCUUACUUGGCGCAAACACUAAUUAAAACAUAAAACCACAUCUAAACAGAGGCUAGAUAGAUUAUUUAUUGCUAAACAGAACCAUAAAGAAAGAACAAAAAUAAAAAUCGGGUUGCCUCCCAACAAGCGCUAACGUUUAACGCCCCUAGCUAGGCAUGAUGAUUUCAAUGAUGCUCGCAUAAAAGAUAAGAAUUGAAAUAUAAAGAGAGCAUCAUGAAAAAUAUGACUAGCACAUUUAAGUCUAACCCACUUCCUAUGCAUAGGGAUUUUGUGAGAAAACAACUUAUGGGAACAAUAAUCAACUAGCAUAGGAAGGCAAAACAAGCAUAACUUCAAAACUUUAAGCACAUAGAGAGGAAACAUGAUAUUAUUGCAAUUCAUACAAGCAUACAUUCCUCCCUCAUAAUAAUUUUCAGUAGCAUCAUGAAUGAAUUCAACAAUAUAACCAGCACCUAAAGCAUUCUUUUCAUGAUCUACUUGCAUAGAAAUUUUCCUACUCUCCACGUAAGCAAAUUUAUUCUCAUCAAUAGUAGUGGGAGCAAACUCAACAAAAUAACUAUCAUGUGAUUGAAAAUUAAGAUCAAGAUGACAAGUUUCAUGGUUAUCAUUAUUCUUUAUAGCAUACGUGUCAUCACAAUAAUCAUCAUAGGUAGGAGGCAUGCUUUCAUCAUAAUAAAUUUGCUCAUCAAAACUUGGGGGACAAAAAAUAUCAUCUUCAUCAAACAUAGCUUCCCCAAGCUUGUAAUCAUGCUCAUCAUUCAAAUAUUUAGUGCCAAACAUUCUAAUGCAUUCUUCCUCUAGCAAUUGAGCGCAAUUAUCGGAAUCCUUAUUUUCACGGAAGACAUUAAAAAGAUGAAGCAUAUGAGGCACACUCAAUUCCAUUUUUUGUAGUUUUCUUUUAUAAAAUAAACUAGUGAUAAAACAAGAAACUAAAAGAUUCCAUUGCAAGAUCUAAAUAUAUACCUUCAAGCACUCACCUCCCCGACAACGGCGCUAGAAAAGAGCUUAGUUGACGGGGUGUGAGUGCCGCUUACCUAGCCUCCCCGGCAACGGCGCCAGAAAAGAGCUUGAUGUCUACUACGCAACCUUCUUCUUGUAGACGUUGUUGGGCCUCCAAGUGCAGAGGUUUGUAGGACAGUAGCAAAUUUCCCUCAAGUGAAUGACCUAAGGUUUAUCAAUCCGUGGGAGGCGUAGGAUGAAGAUGGUCUCUCUCAAGCAACCCUGCAACCAAAUAACAAAGAGUCUCUUGUGUCCCCAAAACACCCAAUACAAUGGUAAAUUGUAUAUGUGCACUAGUUCGGCGAAGAGAUGGUGAUACAAGUGUAAUAUGGAUGGUAGAUAUAGGUUUUUGUAAUCUGAAAAUAUAAAAACAGCAAGGUAACUAAUGAUAAAAGUGAGCACGAACGGUAUUGCAAUGCGUUGAAACAAGGCCUAGGGUUCAUACUUUCACUGGUGCAAGUUCUCUUAACAAUAAUAACAUAAUUGGAUCAUAUAACUAUCCCUCAACAUGCAACAAAGAGUCACUCCAAAGUCACUAAUAGAGGAGAACAAACGAAGAGAUUACGGUAGGGUACGAAACCACCUCAAAGUUAUUCUUUCGGAUGAUCUUAUUCAAGAGUUCGUACUAGAAUAACACCUUAAGACACAAAUCAACCAAAACCCUAAUGUCACCUAGAUACUCCAAUGUCACCUCAAGUAUCCGUGGGUAUGAUUAUACGAUAUGCAUCACACAAUCUCAGAUUGAUCUAUUCAAACCAACACAGAGUACUUCAAAGAGUGUCCCAAAGUUUCUACCGGAGAGUCAAGAUGAAAACGUGUGCCAACCCCUAUGCAUAGGUUCAUGGGCGGAACCCGCAAGUUGAUCACCAAAACAUACAUCAAGUGGAUCACGUGAUAUCCCAUUGUCACCACAGAUAUGCACAUGCAAGACAUACAUCAAGUGUUCUCAAAUCCUUAAAGACUCAAUCCGAUAAGAUAACUUCAAAGGGAAAACUCAAUCCAUUACAGGAGUGUAGAGGGGGAGAAACAUCAUAAGAUCCAACUAUAAUAGGAAAGCUCGCGAUACAUCAAGGUUGUACCACCUCAAGAACACGAGAGAGAGAUCAAACACAUAGCUACUGGUGCAUACCCUCAGCCCCGAGGGUGAACUACUCCCUCCUCGUCAUGGAGAGCGCGGGAAUGAUGAAGAUGGCCACCGGUGAGGGUUCCCCCCUCCUGCAGGGUGCAGGAACAGGUUCUCGAUUUGUUUUUGGUGGCUACAGAGGCUUGCGGCGGCGGAACUCCUGAUCUAUUCUGUUCCCCGAUGUUUUUAGGGUAUAUGGAUAUAUAUAGGCGAAAGAAGUCGGUAAGGGGAGCCACAAGGGGCCCACGAGGGUGGAGGGCGCGCCUAGGGGGGUGGGCGCGCCCCCUGUCUCGUGCCUUCCUCGUUGCUUCCCUUACGUACACUCCAAGCCUUCUGGAUUGCUUCCGUUCCAAAAAUAACUGUCCCGAAGGUUUCAUUCCCUUUGGACUCCGUUUGAUAUUCCUUUUCUGCGAAACACUGAAACAAGGAGAAAAAACUGAAACUAGCACUGGGCUCUGGGUUAAUAAGUUAGUCCCAAAAAUAAUAUAAAAGUGCGUAGUAAAGCCCAUUAAACAUCCAAGAUGGAUAAUAUAAUAGCAUGAAUACUUCAUAAAUUAUAGAUACGUUGGAGACGUAUCAAGGGGCGUCCCCGGCAAGGGCGCCAAGCACCGAGCCCAUGCACACAGAGGAGGAGGAGGCAGACUUGGGCGCUAGUGGCUCCGCCUCGGUGCCAGAUGUUGGCAGGGAAGGGGCUACUUCUUCCCAGCCCGGCACGGGUACGUCACUUGCCUCCUGUCCCUGCUUUUUCUUCUUCUUUUUGAAUCUUGGUCUUGGCUCCGCCUCAUCCCCUUCUCGAUAUCCAGACCCUCCCUCGGCGGACCGGGAGGACAUAGACACCGUCAUCGAGGAUGUCGCCAAGGACACCGCGGCGGAGGCCGAGAAGAUUGCCGCCGAGGAGGCCGCCAAGGGCGCUGCCGAGGACGCCGCAAAGCGAUCUGCCGGGGAGUCCGGCAUGUCUACUGCCAAAGUGGCCGGCAAGGGGCCUGCCGGGGAGGCCGGCAAGGCCGCUGCCGGGGAGGAGGUGGUUAACGACCAACCUUCCUCCUCUGCUGCCUCUGGUUCCGGCAGGUAUCUGAAGGUGAGCGACGACCUAUUCGUCAACCUCCUAGGGACGGCGAGCACUAGGGCGCCCACCGAGGGAGAGGUGUUCGACGAGGAGGUGCUUGCCGCCGCUGGGCUCGAGGUUGUUGACGAGUCGAGCGCCGGUGGCGACGGUUCCCAGGAAGAGCGGCUCCUUCAGGCCAUGGGCGCCAGCUUUCGGAAGCUCCAGGCGCUCCACCGCGCCCGCCUGGACAAGGCCAAGUCCAGGAUGGCAGCGGUGGAAAAGGCGGAGGCGGACCUCGAGGGUCGCAUCGUCGAGACGCAGGCUUGGUUCCGCCAGGGCUGCGAGGAGCUGAAGACCGCCCAGGACGAGCUGGCCAAGCGCAAGGUGGAGCUCGUCAUGAAGCAGGCCGACAUCGAGAGGGGCCAGGAGUUGGCGAAGAACCAGGCCGCCAAGGACGAGGUCGCUCGGUCCCAGCACCAGGCCGCGCUGAACUCCCAGGAAGAGGACCUUGCCGCUCGCGAGGAGAAGCUCGCCGUGACACUCCGCGGCAAGGACGAGGAGGUCAAGAAGCUUGUCCUGCAGCGGACCCAGGAGUUGGAGCAGAAGCACGAGGAGGCGCUCAAUGCCCAGGCUUAGGUCCACGCCGGCAAGGUGAAGGAGCUGGAGGUGGAGCGGGACGAGCUGAAGAAGCAGGCCCUGGAGUUGACGGCGGAGAGGGACGCUGCCAAAGGUGCCCUGGCCGACGCGCAGGCCGCAGUCCUCAGCAAGGCCGGGCUACUCUCCACGGCCAACGAGACCAUCAAGGACCUGAAGCUGAAGCUGGAGGGCCUUGAGGGGACGCUCUCGGAGGCCAAGGCCCGGGAGGAGACCCUGGCCAAAGAUUUGGAGGCCGAGAAGCAGCUGCGGAAGAACGAAACCGCCAACCACAAGGAUUUUGUGGAGGGCGAGAACCGCUGGAUCAGCCGCCUCAAAGGCGUCGCCGGCAGGAUCACCACGCAGCUGGCUACGAUGGGGAUGCCAAAUGUGAGGUACGCCCCGGAGCCCAAUGUGACUCCCAAUGCCAAGCUGACCCUAUUCUUCGAGGGUGUCCUUGGAGCCCUGGAGCAUCUUCGCUCCAGCAGGGCGGCCUCUUUGGCCGAUGAGGCCCGGAAGCUUUGCCGGGGUGCCAUGACCAAGGUCCUCACCAAGGUGGCGUACUGGAACCCCGACCUCGACUUCGACGCCGCACUAGAGAGCUUGCCGGAGGAUGCUGACCUCGCGGCGCUCAAGGAGCGUAUCAAGCCCAUCAUCAGUCGCGUCGACGGAAUCCAGAGGGUGGAGGGCCAGCGCUGGGAUUAGGCACCCCGUUUCUCAUUGCCGCUGCAGGUUCAUGACCAUGACAAUUUCUAUCUUUAGUUAGAACCGCGGCAACAACUGAUGUAAUAUAACUCUGCAGUACAUUCGUGAUGAUGUAUGUUAUCUUCCUGUUUGAUCUUCCUUUGUAUGUUCACCCUACGUUAAUCGGGUAGGCUUGCCGGCGCGUAAACCCAGGCCGCGGCGCCUUGAGGAUGGAUCCCCAAUGGCCUGCCGGGUAUGCUUGCUGCCAGGCGAACCACCUUACCGCAUUAGUAGAAAACAGGGCUUUGGUUCCGGCCUGGCCAGCCCAUUAGUCCCGGUUCUUCAUGAACCGGGACCCAUGGGGGGCAUUAGUCCCGGUUCAUGAGCCCAGGGGGCCGUCCGGGGCCUCGUGGGCAUUGGUCCAGGUUCCUCUGGAUCCAUUUGUACCGGUUCUAGAGGGCCGCGCUCCUUGCCCACAGCCAUUGGUACCGGUUCGUGCCUAUAACCGGGACAGAAGGGGGGGGGGCUUUAGUACCGGUUCGUGCCACAAACCGGGACAAAUAAGUUGCCUAUAUAUACUCGUCGCCGCAGCAGAGCACUCCACAGUGCUCUGUUUUUUCUGGCCGGCGAGGGGAGGGCAUUUGGGUGCUCUAGCUCACCUCCUAUGCACAUGAGGUGUUUGAUGAAAUGCCCGAGCGACACUAGUUAAGCUUUCUCCUCUUGAAGCUCGACCUCGGAGCUCCAUUUUUCCCAAGAUUUGUCUAGAUUUAGCGGUCCGUCACGCCCCGUCCCCGUUUUCACCGCCGUCAAUCGCCCGUGCCGAUCUCGUCGCCGGCACCAUCGUGGUGAGCCUCUUGUUCUUAUCUUCUUUCUGAUUUGCUUAAUUUAGAUAGAUACUUGUCUGAUUUUCUUACUUUUGACACACAUAAUUAUAUAUAAUGCACGCAGAUGAACCGGCAAUGGAUGUACGGUGACAGACACACCUCCGAGUACAUUAAGGGCGUGCAUGAAUUUCUCGAAGUGGCAGAGGCAAACAAGCAGAAUGGUUUUAUGUGUUGUCCAUGCCCUAAAUGUGGGAAUACGAAGUCUUACUCUGACCGGAAAAUCCUGCACACCCACCUGCUUUACAAGGGUUUCAUGCCACACUAUAAUGUUUGGACGAGGCACAGAGAAAUAGGGGUUAUGAUGGAAGACGACGAAGAAGAAGAGGACGAUGACAACUAUGUGCCCCCUGAAUACGGUGAUGCUGCAACGGGGGGAGCUGCCGAAGAUCAAGAGGAACCAGACGAUGUGCCCGAUGAUGCUGCAAUGGGGGAAGCUGCUGAAGAUCAAGAAGAACCAGACGAUGUGCCCGAUGAUAAUGAUCUCCGCCGGGUCAUUGUCGAUGCAAGGAUGCAAUGCGAAAGUCAAAAGGAGCAGCUGAAGUUCGAUCCCAUGUUAGAGGAUCACAAAAAAGGGUUGUACCCCAAUUGCGAAGAUGGCAACACAAAGCUCGGUACCGUACUGGAAUUGCUGCAGUGGAAGGCAGAGAAUGCUGUGCCUGAGAAAGGAUUUGAGAAGCUACUGAAAAUAUUGAAGAAGAAGUUUCCAAAGGACAAUGAAUUGCCUGACAGUACGUACGCAGCAAAGAAGGUCGUAUGCCCUCUAGGAUUGGAGGUGCAGAAGAUACAUGCAUGCCCUAAUGACUGCAUCCUCGACCAUGGUGCGUACAAGGAUUUGAACGCAUGCCCGGUAUGCGGUGCAUUGCGGUAUAAGAUCAGACGAGAUGACCCUGGUGAUGUUGACGGUGAGCCCCGCAGGAAGAGGGUCCCUGCGAAGGUGAUGUGGUAUGCGCCUAUAAUACCACCGUUGAAACGACUAUUCAGAAACAAAGAGCAUGCCAAGUUGAUGCGAUGGCACAGUGAGGACCGUAAGAAAGACGGGAAGUUGAGAGCACCCGCUGACGGGUCGCAGUGGCGAAAAAUUAAGAGAAAGUACUGGGAUGAGUUUGCAGGUGACCCAAGGAAUGUAUGGUUUGCUUUAAGAGCGGAUGGCAUUAAUCCUUUCGGGGAGCAGAGCAGCAAUCACAGCACCUGGCCCGUGACUCUAUGUAUGUAUAACCUUCCUCCUUGGAUGUGCAUGAAGCGGAAGUUCAUUAUGAUGCCAAUUCUCAUCCAAGGCCCUAAGCAACCCGUUAACGACAUUGAUGUGUACCUAAGGCCAUUAGUUGAAGAACUUUUAUAGCUGUGGAAUGGAAACAGUGUACGUGCGUGGGAUGAGCACAGACACGAGGAAUUUAACCUCCAUGCGUUGCUGUUUGUAACCAUCAACGAUUGGCCCGCUCUCAGUAACCUAUCAGGACAGACAAACAAGGGAUACCACGCAUGCACGCACUAUUUAGCUAACACCAAAAGUAUAUACCUGGACAAAUGCAGGAAGAAUGUGUACCUGUGCCAUCAUCGAUUUCUUCCGACCAACCAUCAAUGUCGAAAGAAAGGCAAGCAUUUCAAAGGCGAGGCAGAUCACCGGAAGAAGCCCGCCAUGCGUACCGGUGAUCACGUACUUGCUAUGGUCAAUGAUUUACACCUAAUGUUUGGAAAGGGUCCCGGCGGACUAGCUGUUCCGAAUGACGCUGGGGGACGCGCACCCAUGUGGAAGAAGAAAUCUAUAUUUUGGGACCUGCCCUACUAGAAAGACCUAGAGGUCCGCUCUUCGAUCGACGUGAUGCACGUGACGAAGAACCUUUGCGUGAACCUGCUAGGCUUCUUGGGCAUGUAUGGGAAGACAAAAGAUACAGCUGAGGCACGGGAGGACCUGCAACGUUUGCACGAAAAAGACGGCAUGCCUCCAAAGCAGUAUGAAGGUCCUGCCAGCUAUGCUCUUACCAAAGAAGAGAAGGAAAUCUUCUUUGAAUGUCUGCUUAGUAUGAAGGUCUCGACUGGCUUCUCGUCGAAUAUAAAGGGAAUAAUAAAUAUGCCAGAGAAAAAGUUCCAGAACCUAAAGUCUCAUGACUGCCACGUGAUUAUGACGCAACUGCUUCCGGUUGCAUUGAGGGGGCGUCUACCGAAAAACGUCCGAUUAGCCAUUGUGAAGCUAUGUGCAUUCCUCAAUGCAAUCUCUCAGAAGGUGAUCAAUCCAGAAAUCAUACCAAGGCUAAGGAGUGAUGUGGCGCAAUGUCUUGUCAGUUUCGAGCUGGUGUUCCCACCAUCCUUCUUCAAUAUCAUGACGCACGUCCUAGUUCAUCUAGUUGACGAGAUUGUCAUUCUGGGCCCCGUAUUUCUACAUAAUAUGUACCCCUUUGAGAGGUUCUUGGGAGUCCUAAAGAAAUAUGUCCGUAACCGCGCUAGGCCAGAAGGAAGCAUCUCCAUGGGCCAUCAAACAGAGGAUGUCAUUGGGUUUUGUGUUGACUUCAUUCCUGGCCUUAUGAAGAUAGGUCUCCCUAAAUCGCGGUAUGAGGGGAGACUGGCUGGAAAAGGCACGCUUGGAGGGGACUCAAUAAUAUGCAGGGACGGAUAUUCUUGGUCUCAAGCACACUACACAGUUCUACAGAACUCUACCUUGGUGACCCCUUAUGUCGAUGAACACAAGAACAGUCUGCGCUCCAAACACCCGGAGCAUUGCGACGACUGGAUUACAUGUGAACACAUCAGGACUUUCAGCAGUUGGUUGGAAACACGUCUCAGAGGUGACAACACUGUUUGUGAUGAGAUGUACUCGUUGUCCAGGGGACCAUUUUCGACUGUAUUGACUUACAAAGGAUACAAGAUAAAUGGGAAUACAUUUUACACGAUCGCCCAAGAUCAAAAGAGCACCAACCAAAACAGCUGUGUCCGCUUUGAUGCAGCAACCGAGAGGGGAAAGGACACAUAUUAUGGUUACAUAGUGGACAUAUGGGAACUUGACUACGGACAUGAUUUUAAGGUCCCUUUGUCUAAGUGCAAAUGGGUCAAUCUGUCAGGAGGCGGGGUACAGGUAGACCCACAGUACGGAAUGACAACAGUGGAUCUGAACAAUCUUCGGUACACUGACGAACCUUUCGUCCUAGCCAAUGAUGUGGCACAGUUUAUCUAUGUGAAGGACAUGUCUACCAAACCGAGAAAAAGAAAAGAUAAGGAAGCGAAUACAUCAUACGAUGAGCCAAAGCACCACAUAGUUCUUUUAGGAAAAAGGGACAUCGUGGGAGUGGAGCGCAAGACAGACAUGUCUAAAGAUUAUGAAAAGUUUCCUGAAAUUCCUCCCUUCAAAGUCAAGGCUAACCCAAGCAUCCUAAUAAACGAUGAAGAUUAUCCAUGGUUACGGCGCAAUAAGCAAACGACACAAGCGAAGAAAAAGUGAAGACUUUCUCUCUACAACUAUUAUGAUGAUGCCUUUGAUCUAGAAUAUCACUGCAAUUACAUGUGAAGAAAUGAAAUGCAUGUUGUAACAAACGAGUUUCCGUGUGAAAUGAUGAUACCAUGCCAAUUUGCAACCUUAUCGGAGUUCAUUUGAAAUGGUUUUCAAUUUCCGGGUCUUAUAGCUCAAAAAAGCAGUAAAUGCAUGAAAAAUAACAAAUGAAGUCAGAAAGGGUUGAAAAUUGAUGAUGUUGCUUUGAAUGGUGCAUUUUGAACACACAAGAAGUCUGGAGUUCAAAUAAGUUCGAAAAAAUGAAAUCCCUUUGUAACAGAUGAGCUUUCGUGCGAAACCCUGAUACUUCGAAAGAGAUUGUCCGUUUUGUACACAAAGUGCAUCUAGUUUUUGCCGUAACCCUCUCAACUUUCUUGCACAUGCUAUGUGGGUGAAAUGAUGAUAGCAUGCCAAUUUUCAACCUUUUCGGUGUUCAUUUGAAAUGCUUUUCAAUUUUCGGGUCUUAUAGCUCAAAAAAGCAGUAAAUGCAUGAAAAAUAAUAAAAUGCAUAAAACUAUAAUAUUUGUUAUGAUCACUAAAAAACUAAAAUCAAUUAAAAUAUUAAAUAGCAGGAAAAAGAAUCACUCAAAAAUCUAUUUUUAUAGUAAAUUUAUUCAUAAAACUAGUGAUUCACAUACAUUUAAAAAAAAUCAAAUUUUAAAACUAAUGGCACUAACAGAAAGUUUAUAAUUUUGUGACCCAAAAGCAAAAAGAAAUCACUAAAAAACUAUAAAAUUUAGUUUUAAGUAGAAAUAAAAAAAUAAAAAGAAAAAAAGGAAAAAAAAUGCCACCUACUGGACCUCCUCGGCCUAAAUACGACUAGAAACCCUACAAUGGGCCAGGAUUCAGGCCCGCAGAAGGCCCAAUAGGCCCAACAGGCAUGGCAAAGUAGAGAUUAGGCCCGUAAGCCUGCAAUAGAGAGGAGCUCGAGAGGGUGGCGGCAGCAAAGCUUAUAAACCACCCCGAGCCCCUCUCAACUAGCGAGGUGGGACUAAACAUCCCACCGCACCGUGCCAGCACAAGGCCUAUGGUCCCGGUUCAUGCCACCAACCGGUACCAUAGGCGGGCAUUCGUACCGGUUCGUGGCACCAACCAGUACCAAUGCCCACCUACGGUCCCGGUCCGUGCCACCAACCGGGACCAUGGGCCUCUGUUUCCCGCCCUUGGGGCUGCCGAAAAGAGACCUUUGGACCCUGUUGGUGGCACGAACCGGGACCAUAGGUAGGCAUUGGUACCGGUUGGUGCCAUGAACCGGUACCAUUGGUUUUGCUAUAUAAGGUAGCACUUGUGAAAAUUUCGCCAACUGCUCCCCCAUUCCCCCCGACGCCGCCAGGCCGUUCCUCGUCGUCGUCGCCGUCGCCGCCCCGAGCCCCUGCCCCGACGNNNNNNNNNNNNNNNNNNNNNNNNNNNNNNNNNNNNNNNNNNNNNNNNNNNNNNNNNNNNNNNNNNNNNNNNNNNNNNNNNNNNNNNNNNNNNNNNNNNNNNNNNNNNNNNNNNNNNNNNNNNNNNNNNNNNNNNNNNNNNNNNNNNNNNNNNNNNNNNNNNNNNNNNNNNNNNNNNNNNNNNNNNNNNNNNNNNNNNNNNNNNNNNNNNNNNNNNNNNNNNNNNNNNNNNNNNNNNNNNNNNNNNNNNNNNNNNNNNNNNNNCCCGACGACGUCGCCGCGCCCUUGACCCGCCGUUGACGUCGUCCUCACCGUCGCCGUCGUCGUCACCGCCCCCGAGCCGCUCCUCCCAGAGCCCUCGCUGUGCGCGUACCCCUCCCCCAAGAGCCCACCGUCCUCGUCGCCGUCAUCGUCACCGGCCUCGUCGUCGUCCUCGUCACCGGCCUCGUCGUUGUCCGGCCUUGAGCCCCCAGUGAGCCCCUUCCAAUCCCGAUCCGUGCACUGCCGCAGCUGCCGCCGCCCCCCCGCGCCGCGCCGCCGCCCCUGUUUUUUAUAUGUAUGUAUGUAUGUAUCUAUGUAUAUGGAUGUAUGUAUGUACGGAUGGAUGGAUAUGCAUGUAUAUGGAUGGAUGUAUGUGUAUGUGUUCAUAGUUUUUUUUUGUUCAUAGUUUUUUGUUGAUAGCAUUUUUAGGCUGUAUAGUUUUAUUUUUGUUCAAUUUUUAUGGUUAGAAGAGGAGAGGAAAAAAUUGUGUUGCUAAAGUUACAUUUAAGGUUAGUUGAUUUAGUUCAUUUUAGGUUAUUAGUUCUACUGUUAGUGCAUUUAAGGUUAGUUUAUUUUUAGUUGAACUAGUUGAUUUAAUAAAACUAAUUUAUUUUACUAUACAUAUAAGUAGUUUAUUUUUAGUAAGUACUACUUUAUUUUAUUUAUAGUAAGUGCUUAGUAGUUGAACUAGUUGAUUUAAUAAAACUACUUUAUUUUACUAUAGAAGUAGUUUAGUUUUAGCAAGAAAAUUAAUAGAAUUAGUUUAUUUUUUAGUUCAAGCAAUUAUUCCCGCAUCGACAUCGACGAUGCCUAUCCCGCAUCCUCGUCGUCGACUCGGCGGAGGAGGCCGACUUGAUCAGAGGGGCCAUGUCCGGGACUGGGCUCCGCCGGGCUGGUAUUGGGAGGUGCUACCUUCCGGGGGGCGUAGGUUGGUGAGGAGCCAGCCCGUCGUUGACCCGAUCCUUGUUUGGUGGCGGUCGCGUGGGCCAGUGACUGUAUCGAGGCUUCCGGACACCGCGGAGGUGGUACGUCACCAUGUCAGCGAGGAGGACGAGCACGCCCGUCGCUACAUGGUUGCGUUGGAGGGCAGGUUCGACAAUACCUGGCAGCUUCUUCAGGGAUCUCAUUGGAGCUAUGAUCAUGUGAUGGUUCCUUCUCUUUGGGCAUCCACCGCCCGCGCCGAUACCCGUCGGGCGCUACGGUUCUAGCUGUACUAGCGAUGCUAUAUGUAUGAUAGUAUUCGAGGUGUAUUAGUGAUAAUAUUCGACGAUGUACGGACGCAAGAGAUGAUGUAGUUUUGCUUAUAAUUGAAUGCAUCCUAAUUUGAAUACUACUUUAUUUUGCGAUCUGAUUUUGCUUAUUGAAUGCUCAAAUUGGAAAACUACUCCUACUUUGAAUGCUAAAAUUAGAGAGCACUAUGCAAGGCGUAUGCAUAUGAUUAGUUGAUAGCUUAUAGUGUUUUUGUUUUCGCAAAAAUAUAGGAGCCCCCAACCAUCAUCCCCGCCGUCGUCCCCGUCACUGACCCCCUCCGACGUCGAGGUGAGACCAGCCAAAUCUCCAUGUCAAUAUGAGUCCUAUAAUAUGAGUCCUCGGGUCGACUUUAAGUCUGUCGAGUCUCCACCAUAUAUGAAAGGACGAAGAAUCAUGACUGUUGUCGUGGGGGUAGCUUCUCCUUCGUUCCCGUGAUGAAUAAUAAUGAUCUAACUUAGGUUUUUAGUACAUAUAUUUAAUUGUAGAUGUUUAAUAUUUGAAUUAUGAACAUAGGAAAUGUCGUACUCAGACUACGAAAGUCUCCCGGGGGAGUGCGACUGGUGCCACGACGACCGAGGUUAGUGCGACCGGCCUCACCUGGACGAAGAUCAGCGCUUCAGCAUUAAGCUGGAGGAGACCUUCGAUGUUGAAACGGUACGCAACGACGACAAGUGUUAUUUUUUCGUAAUUAAGCACGACUUCAAGUAUUUCAACGUGUACUUCUUAUCUUUUACAAUUCGACUAGCUUAUCCCAUGCCAUGCAAGACGCUAUGUCUUGGAGAGGAUGGGUUUUGAAGACCAGGAAAGUUUCGAAACAAAGAAAAUUCAUCUAAGGACCCAUCAUGGUGUGGAUUUUGAAGUAAAGCGGUACAAUUCUGAGAGCGUAACCCAUUUUGGUUGCAAAAAAUGAGAAGCACUUUGCAAGAUGUAUGGUUUUGAUGAGGGUAUGCUUGUCACCAUUGAUCUUGGUGACCCUGAAAUCGAGCAAGACAAUAUGGACAUUUGGGUCCUUGUUGAUACGCCUCCAAUUCUACCGCUAUGUGAGUUUCUCAAACAUAGUUAUUAGCUAAUUUAUAUUGUUUAUUUCAAAAUAGUUGACAACUUAUUUCCAUUGACAGCUUAUUUUGAUUGUUCAAACAAUGUGCGGAACAUGGUAGACAAAACCCACUACACCGAUGGCUCCGAAUUAACUUAUCAGGAGAAAAAUCAUCUGGUCUGAUUUUGUACUGAUAUUGAGAAUUACAAUAUCUAGAAUCAAACUCCUCAACAUUAUUGUCAAUACGUGCCACUAGUGCACGUGUUGAACUACAGUAACUACCAUGGAGAUACCCUGGUAAGAUUUUUUACUAUUACGACAUCCGUGCAUCUUUUGCAUACUUCUAAAACUAGUACAUCAUUGCUAACUAUGAAGUUAUUACUAUGUUUUUCAACAGAGAAUCCCAGAGGAUUGUGUGCCUCAUUUGAUGUAGCAGAAUGGCAGCCUUCGUGUUUUGAACAUAUAUCCAAGUCAUCCAACGAAUCUCAACUGUCCAUACCGGAUUUAUCAAUGAAGUGGAGACAUGCUAAUCAAAAAAUGGAAAAAAUGUAUGGACAGUCGUAAGGAGGUUCUUGGAAGCAAAAGGAAGCGAAGCGUAAGAAUUGGAGACAGGAUGAUCUCCAUUCUCCAUAAUGGAGAGUCAGGGUCUAUAUUGUUUUAUGCUAUUUUACCUUAAAGAGGGUAUUUAGGUCCUACCUAAUACUGAUGAUCAUGUGCUAAGAACAAUUAAGUAGGGCUGGUUCGAUGACUAUGAGGAUGAUGAUCGUAUGACUUGUUAUUAAUAACGAGUAGAAGUUGUAUGAUGAUGAUUAGUAGGACUUGUUAUUAUAUAAGAUGAUGCAUGAUGCGAGCAUGAAGAGUUAUUAUAUAUCAGCGGGUGAAAUGAACAUGGAUUGGAUUGAAGUGAAGGCAACAUGCAUGUGGUGCAUGUCGAAAGUACUACAAUCCAAACUUGAUCAAAGUUAGGAUUAGUAUUACUUUCGACAUGCACCACAUGUUGCCUUCACUUCAAUCUAAGCCAUGUUUAGGCAUAGCAGUAGCGUUGGUAAACCAAGCACGGAGAUAUAAGAGAGGACACUUCUCUCUAUUAUAUUAGCUAGCUAAUAACAACCUAAAUUAACCCCCAAAACCCCUAAAUCAGCCCCUUUAAAAAAACAAAAAGCUCAACUCCAGCCAGCUGCUGACGCGUGGAUGCCUUUUGGUCCCGGUUGGUGUCACCAACCGGGACCAAAGGCCCCCCUGCCUGGGCUGGCCGUAGUGGCCACGUGGAGGCCCAUCUGUCUCGGUUCGUGUAAGAGCCGAGACUAAAGGCCAAGGGCAUUAGUAACGACCUUUUAGUCCCGGUUCCUAAACCGGGACAGAAGGCUCUUACGAACCGGGACAAAUGGCCCUUUUUCUACUAGUGCCGCUCUAAACGCGGCCGCUCGAACUGUUGAGCUUGACUCGAGUCAGAAUCGAGAGCGUUGCCGAUUGCGGAAGGCUAUGUUGCCGUUCUCGACGCGGCCGCUUGAGCUAUUGAGCGGACUCGAAACAGAGUAAGGGCGUUGCCAAUAGCGGAAGGGCCCCUUUGCGUGCAUGUUUUCCAUACAUAGGGCAGGACCUUCGAGUACAAUAACCUUCUAUAUAAAAAGAUAUUGCUUAAAGUUUCACACGACUUAGCUUUUCUGUCAUUGCACGGGCGUCCACCGCAUCUGCAGAUGGUGCCGUCAAGCUUGGUCGUCUUCUAUCUUGGAACGACGGCCACGAUGAAGCCGCUGCUCCGAUCAGACCAAAUUUCCACAACUGCGCCCCCUACCUAGCGCGCCAAAGAUGUCGGGGGAAAUCGACACCUAUGGAAUCACAGGGAUCCCUUCUACGGUUGGCGGGCGCGGGGUUGUGCAAAGAGCAGGUCUGACAGGAAGCACGCAGAUCGUUUACCCAGGUUCGGGCCGCGGAGAUGCGUAAUACCCUAGUCCUGCUAUGGUGGAUGUAUUCGAGUGUUCUUGUGUUCUUGAACUAGCUACGGGGUGUAACUUGCCCAGAAGAUCCGAAUCCCUGUCCUGGAUGCCUCGGGCCUCCUUUUAUAGACAAAAGGGGUUGCCACACUGGCACACAGGAGGUGGAAAGGUGUACAGUGGAUGAGUCUAUCCUCUGGCACCGUUGGACGAACACAUUUAAUGCGCUGCCAACGUGACCCUCUCGCUUUAUCGGGGACGGUCAAGGAAGCUCGUCCCAGCUGUCGCCGCCUCGCCUGGCUUCGACACGCGUCCGAGCUGACGAGGCGUCGUGGCGCCACAUUGGCUGGCUGCUGGGCUGGCGCGGUGGUGGAGCCUUCACGAAGGUCUGCAUGCCACCACGCAGGUGCUUGCUGUGUCGGUGUAGAGGCCGCUCGUCGCCACGCAGGUGCCUGCCCAGCUGGUUGGGCUAGCAGCUGCACGGGGACGGCGGUGGAGUCUUGGCAGGCGCGGGCCUGGCUGUGGCCCCGCUGAUGCCCUUGGCAAGGGUCUUGCCGGGGGCCCGGCAAGGGUCUUGCCGUGGUGCCGCGGUCGUCCCCGGCAAGGCGCUUGCCGGGGGUCUCGUGGAUUUCCUCGGCAAGGACCUCGCCGAGGAUCAUCGUCUUCUGGUCCUCAUCUGAUCUUGUGUAUUUAUGAUCUUCACAAAGAUCAGCAUGCCACCACGGAGGUGCCUCCCGAGCCUUGGUCCCAAUGUGGUUGAUGGCGUUGGAACCCUUGGGCUCAAUGGAGGCGCGCUUCGUUGGCGUCAGGCAAGUUGCCCCGGCAAGGCUCUCGCCGGGGCUGAGGAGGCCGUCCCGGCAAGGGUCUUGCCGGGGGAGUCCACCUCGCCCUCUUGCCCUUUGUGUCUCUGGUCUUGGCAUUGCCAUGGCUGUCUUGUGCUCCGGCUUCCCUCCUCUGCCCUGCUAAGUGUGGCCGUGGGCGCGGCUCUGACUACCAGUGCACAAGUAAAGGGGUCAAAAGGAGAGCCCCUAGUUUUAUACACCGACAUGUAUCCUCCCAGAAUCUCGUAGAAGUACCGUUACUGAUCACAAGCUUUGUCUGAUUGAAAAAAAUGGAUUUAACUCUCAUCAGUCCUUUCCAAAAGGGCUAGUCCAUUGGCCUCACUGUGACCUGGGAUAAAGUUCUGGAAUGAAGGUACUUAUUACGCAGUAUUUGUGCCCAUGUAGCCCCCGUCUCGCUAGAUAGCUUAUACAGCCAUUUGCUGAGAAGACAUAUGUUCUUCACCUUAAGAUUUUUGAUACCUAGACCCCCUUGGUCUUUGGGUCGACAAAUAAUAUCCCAUUUAGCGAGUAUACUUUCUCUUCAGAUCAUCACUUUGCCAGAAGAAACGGGAUCGAUAGAAAUCUAGUCUUUUCCGAACUCCAACUGGUACCUCGAAAAAAGACAAGAGAAACAUGGGCAUGCUCGUGAGAACCGAAUUAAUAAGAAUUAAACGGCCUCCAUAUGACAUGAGUUUGCCAUUCCAGCAACUGAGUUUCUUCUCAAAUCGAUCCUCAGUGCACUUCCAUUCUCUCUUUGUUAGCUUACGAUGGUGAAUUGGUAUGCCCAAUUAAGUGAAAGGCAAAGCCCCCAAUUCGCAUCCGAACAAUUGCUUAUAUGCCUCUUGUUCCUCAUUGGCUCUUCCAAAAUUGUAUAAUUCGCUCUUGUGGAAAUUAAUUUUUAGUCCGGUCAAUUGUUCGAAUAAGCAUAACACCAGCUUCAUAUUUCUCGUUUUUGCCAAGUCAUGGUCCAUGAAGAUGAUAGUAUCAUCGGCGUACUGUAGGACAGACACACCUCCAUCCACUAGAUGAGGUACCACAGGAGAGCACCUGCGAUAAUUAUAUCAUGCCACACGAGUACAAAGGAUGAAGCAUCUUAGACGUUUGGAAUAGAUUUGGGCAUCACAUACGAUUUAUUUUUCCAAAAAGGUAUGCAUGAUUGGGCUCUAUCUGUAGGAGAUAUGCCCUAGAGGCAGUAAUAACAGUUAUUUUGUAUCUCCAAGUUUGUAAUGAAUGUUUAUGAUCCAUGCUAUAACUGCAAUGAUUCUCGAGUCUACAAUAUCCACGAGGCUCGGAGGGAACUCAUAUGCACGUGUGGUAUUAUAAACGGUAAAAUAUAUUCCUAGUCUUGCCUCUAAGACUAGCUCAAGUAUUGCAUGAUGAUCCUGUUUCCUGAUCAUGGGCAUGACUAUGCCGGCAAUUUUGAGGGCACAAGUUUGGUAGAACGCUUGUGUUGAAUCAACCCGGAUUGAUGUUGUGCUAUGAGAUGCCUUCGUCACAAGUUUAUGGUUAAUAUCAUUGAGAUAGUUAAUGUUUGCAUAAUUCCUUAGACCAUGAGAGUAUCAAGUUCCUUCGUGCUUGCUUCGUGAACUUUGGGGUUUGUUAAACGUCAUCCGUAACUUGGUGGCUAUUAUGGCAGCUUUCGGGUUCACGGAAAAGUAUAGGAAGUAACAAGAUAGCUCAAGAUUGGGAUUUGCUCCUCCGACGAUGGAGAGAUAUACUCGGGCCCUCUCAGUGUAACGGUAUCCAUCAUCGUCUGGCCAGACACAUUGUGAUUUGAUCACUGGGAUGCCGGAACACGGAAACGAGAAAAGAGAACAAAACCGGUAACGAGGUAACUUGCAUGGUGGACAAAUUGUUCGUCCAUGGGCAUGCAAUAAAUCUCACCUCGGGUGUUUGUGACAUAUCGCGAAGCAACAGGAAUAGCUCACUACAACUAGAGGUUCACUCGAAUAUUCAUUCGUGUGGGUAUAGGGGUCAAUAUGGGUGUCCACGGCUCCGAUGUUGAUCAUUGAUCGGAAGGGGUUCCAGGUCAUGUCUAUACUUCACCGAACCUAUAGGGUCACACGCUUAGGGGUCAUCUAUCUGUUGAAUACUAGACAGGGAGUCUGAGAGAAAAUCACCGAAAAAGUUUCGGACACCGAAAAGUUUCGGACAGCGGAAUCGUACCGCAGAGAGAGGUCAUCGGAUAAGUUUCGAUGAUACCGAAAAGUUGUUUCGGGAUACACCAUUAAGUCAAAUUGGUUUCGGCACAUGCCUGAUAAUUCUUGGAGGAUGCCAGAAUCAUUCUGGAAGCUUUUUGGAAUUUUCUGACAUAAAAACCGGAAAUGUUCCGGAGCUGCCGGAGCCACUUCAGAUGCGUUUCGCAGAUGAAAAUCACUAAAACCGGAAUUGUUUCGGAACGCGUUGAAAAACAUUUUAGUGGGUACUGGAAAUGUUCUUAGCCCACAUAAAUAUUUUCAGUUCGAUCAGACGCUGAAAAAUGUCGUCGUGAAUAGUGAAAAUCAGCUUUAUGGUUACUUUAUGGAAAGCCACCUUUUGGGGCUUUGCUCCAAAAGAUCUUGGGGAUGACAUGGAUGGAUAGGACCCAUUUUUUGGGCCCCUCAUGGGGGUGUGGCCGGCCACAUGGGGUAUCCCCCCUUGGGGACCCUUUUGUUCAUUGGUUUCACUUCUAGGUCCUUGUGGAAGGACUUCAUUCAUGUGCAUUUUGGGUUUUUGUGUGAAACUACCCUACCCCUUGGGAUUUCCUAUAAAUAGAGGUGGAGGGGCAGCCCUCCACACUCAUCCCUUGCUCUCAUACACAUGCCAUGCAUUAUCUGGCUUCUUCUCUCCCUCCCACGAAAAGAGUUUCGUAGAGCCGUAAGGCUGUCUGGGUUCCGGCAGGAACUAGUUCUGGACGGCGAAGCCCUGCCGGAUAGCUGACACCGUAUGUGUGCAACCCCGUAGAGAGAUUGUAGUUUCGAUCUUUUGCCCGAGGGGCUGUUCGAGUGUCCUCCCGAAGGGCUGUCCGAGUCUCCGUCCGAGUUUCGAGGGUCCUCCCGAAGGGCUGUCCGCGACAUUGUCCGGGGGACUGUCCGACCGCCUCCCGAAGGGCUGUCCGGAGAGGGAGUACAUCCUCGCGGUUGGGAGGUUGUAAAUCCUAGCUGCGGGGAUCUGCACCGACGAUCUACACCGACUCUUCUUCCGCUGCGCUUCGAGUCGGUACGGAUCAGAUCAAACCUUGUAUGCAGUCUCCAUAGUGGUCCUGGGCGUGCUCGCUAUACCGAAAAUUUUCGUUUUCUGUCGCGUUCCCCUACAGUGGCAUCAAGAGCCGUGCUAUGCGUAGAUGCAGGUUACGAUCUAGAAUACAUGGAGAUGUAUGGGUAUUGCAUAAUAUAAUUUUGGAGUAGAUGAGAUGUAUUGCUGAAAAUUAUUUAUGCGGGUGACAGAUGAAAUCUGUUACCCGACGUUCUUGUUGCUUCCCUAGAAUUUGCGUUUGCUCAAUCUCGAGACAGGAUGGUGGAAUUUGACAAAGUUCUGGCAAUCCGUGAUCCUGAUUGAUCAUGGAAGUGCUAUCAGUUCUUUGGGUUCUGCCAUAGUCAAAAGAAAGAUGAAAUUCGCAGAUGAAAGGGCAUUGCAGAUAUGAUCUGCACGGGGGUCAUGCGUAUGACGAAGUUUAGUAUGGGGCUCGAGAUUUAAUUAUCUCGUGUUUCAUACACCCCGAGAUGUUAAUCUAGCAACUUGAAUAAUCAUACUUGAUGAUAAAACGUUGGUAGCUGCGGUUUAAGUCAAAACCUUAGAAGCCACGUAAAAUAAAAUUUUGCAUAAACCGAUUAGAGGCGUCUAACUUGGUUUUGCAGGAUGUGCAUGUGAUGUGGUAUAGCAAUGCUCAUAUUCAAUUUGAUUAUGUAUGAGAUGACUAUAUGAUGUAACUAACAUGACCUGCGUGUCAUGAUUCUGCAUGAUGGCUGGAGCCAUAUGAUUGCACUUUAAUGACCUGCGUGUCAACCUUAAGUAAUGCACUUAUUUUAUUAGCUAUAGAGAUAGCAAUAUUAUCUGGUGCAUCGACAAGGUGGUGGCAAUCUUCGCGAAGGUGAACACCGACGCAAAUGCCGAAGACGAAGAAUUGAAAGACUUCUCCGUCAGAAAGGGCUAUACCAUAUCAUGCUAAUUAUGAAUUGCCUGAGAUGUUUAUCCCCUAUGAUGCACCCUUCUUGAUUGCGCGGUAGUCGCUUUUAUUAGGGUGAUCUCUCACUUAAAAAUAUCAAGUAGAUAGUGUUCUCCCAAGUGUAGCACCGUCACGGCACCUAUCGUUUCGGGGUGCGCCGUGUCACACGGGUACGAACGAUUAGAGAAGUGUGAGGCGGGUGAGUUGAGACCUCGCAGCGAGAUCACUUGGUUGUCUUGACGUUCAGGCAUGACCGUCAUGAGCUCGGAACACACGCAUCGAAAGAUGAACAAGAGUCACAUAGUGAUGUGAUUGGCAAGUUGGCCUACCGGUUAAGAUUUUCGUCAUCAGUGGUGUUACACCAAUGGCGAACAAUCAAGACACGGAUCUUGAAUCACUCAUAAUCAAUUUUGAGAGAUAUUGAUUUGAGUGGGAGUGCAUUUUAGAAUAAAAUGUUUAUUCACUAGUGCAAAUUUCAUUAUAAACAAAGUCUAAGUGAAACUUGUGUCUUCGUUGUAGAUCAAAUGGCUCGCAACACCGCGUUCAACUUAGGCCCGAUGUUAGAGAAAGAGAAGUUAGCUACGACUGGAAACAACUAUGCGGACUGGGCCCGUAACCUGAGGAUUGUCCUCAGGAGCGCUAAGAAAUUGUACGUGCUUGAAACUGCUCUUCCAGCUAAACCGGCGGCAGAUGCACCGGUAGAUGAACAAAAUGUCUGGGCCACUAAGGAUGAUGAUCACAACUUAGUGCAGUGCCUCAUGCUAGCUUGCAUGAGUCCAGGGCUUCAAAAACGUUUUGAAUUCCAUAAAGCCCGUGAUAUGAUCCGGGAAUUGGAUGCUCUGUACAAGGAAACCGCAAAGUCUGAACGAUAUGAUAUCAUGAAGGCUUGGAUGGAUUGCAAGAUGGCUGAGGGUAGUUCAGUUGGCGAACACGUGGUCAAAAUGAUUGGCUAUUCUGAAAGGCUUAAAGCCCUAGAAUUUCCACUUCCACCUGGCCAUAUGAUGGACAUGUUGCUUUCUUCACUCCCCCCGUCUUACGACGGUUUUGUCAUGAACUACAACAUGACAGGGAUGGAGAAGACGCCGAAAGAAGUGCUCGCCAUGCUGAAAACUACAGAAGGAGGACUGCGGAAAAAUCGCAAGUAAGUGUUGCUUGUGAAUAAAACCGCCUGUUUCAAAAAGAAGAAAGGCAAGCCAAAGAAGGGCAAGGGCACCGGUAAGACCGGCUCCCAAAGCAACUCUAAGGGCGGAGCCAAGAAUGAAACUGAGUGCUUCUACUGCAAGGGCACAGGACACUGGAAGAGAAACUGCAAGAAGUAUCUGGAAGAUAAGAAGACCGGGAAAACCGGAAAAGGUAUAAUUGUUAUACAAGUUAAUGUCAUUGACGUUUUGCUUGCUAGCGAAAACUCUAAGUCUUGGGUAUUUGAUACCGGAUCGGUUGCUCACAUUUGCAACUCGAUACAGGGACUUCAGAAGGUGCGCAAGCUAGCAAAGAAUGAAGUCGUGAUGCGCGUCGGGAACGGCGCUGGGAUCGCCGCUCAAGCCGUCGGCAUUAUGCCUCUACGUCUCCCUUCAGGAUUUAUCUUAGAACUAAGUAACUGUUAUUUUGUUCCACUGUUGUGUAGAAACAUUAUCUCCGGAUCAUGUUUGGUACACGAUGGGUAUUCGUACAAGUCUGAGAACAAUGGUUGUUCACUUUAUUGUAAGGAUAUGUUUUAUGGAUUUGCACCCAUUGUUGGGGGCCUUUUCAUACUAAAUCUUGAAUGUGGAAGUGAUGUCUUUAACAUGAAUGCUAAACGCCUUAAGAAGGCUGAUACCACCACCACUUUCAUGUGGCACUGUCGCCUUGGCCACAUCGGUAAGAAACGCAUGCAAAGACUCCAUAAAGAUGGAGUUUUACCGUCCCUUGAUUUUGAAUCAUUUGACACAUGUGAAGCUUGCCUGAUGGGGAAAAUGACCAAGACGCCGUUCACGGGUCAUCCUGAACGGGCGGGUGAAUUAUUGGAAAUAAUACAUAGUGAUGUAUGUGGUCCAAUGAACACAGGCGCACGGGGUGGAUAUUUUUACUUCGUGACUUUUACUGAUGAUUUGAGUAGGUAUGGCUAUAUCUACUUAAUGAAGCAUAAAUCGGAAACCUUUGAAAAGUUCAAAGAAUUUCAGAAUGAGGUAGAAAAUCAUCGUAACAAAAAGAUUAAGUUUCUGCGGUCUGAUCGCGGAGGCGAAUAUCUUAGUCAUGAGUUUGGCCAACAUCUGAGUGAUCGUGGAAUCGUUUCACAGCUUACGCCUCCCGGAACUCCACAGAGAAAUGGAGUAUCGGAACGACGUAACCGAACCUUGUUGGACAUGGUAAGGUCAAUGAUGUCUCUUACAAAUCUUCCAAUAUCUUUUUGGGGUCACGCACUACUUACUGCUGCUCACACACUAAACAAAGCACCGUCUAAAUCUGUUGAGACGACGCCACAUGAGAUGUGGCACGGGAAGAAACCCGACCUGUCGUUUUUCAAAAUUUGGGGUUGUGAAGCUUAUGUAAAACGUUUACAGCCAAGCAAGCUUGAUCCCAGAUCAGACAAAUGUUACUUUGUAGGUUAUCCCAAGGAGACAGUUGGGUAUUCUUUCUACCACGCCUCCGAGAAUAAAGUGUUUGUUGCAAAACAUGGAGUCUUUCUUGAGAAAGAGUUUCUCACUAAAGAAGUGAGUGGGAGGACAAUACAACUCAAUGAGAUUAGUGAAUCUUCGGGAACCGUUGAUAUGGCUAAGGAACCGGAAGAAAUUCCGCUAAUUAUCCCUACAACCGAGCCGGAAGUUGUCGCAUGUGAUGCGGAGACUUCAGACAAUGUUGUAACUGAACCGCGCAGAUCAGGUAGGGCUAUCCAGCCACCUGAGUGGUUUCAUAACGAAAUCUUCAUUCUUGAAGACGAUGAACCUGCGCACUACAAGGAAGCGAUGGCGGGGCCCAGCUCAAAAGAAUGGCACAAAGCCAUGAGAUCCGAAAUGGAAUCCAUGUACGAAAACCAAGUUUGGAACUUGGAAGAACUUCCAGAAGGCAUAAAGCCCAUUGGUUGUAAAAUGGAUUUUCAAAAGAAAGACGGACGCGGAUGGUAACAUUACUAUCCACAAAGCUAGACUUGUCGCGAAAGGGUUCACACAAGUUCCAGGAGUGGACUACGACGAGACUUUCUCGCCAGUAGCUAUGCUUAGGUCUGUUCGGAUAUUGCUAGCAAUUGCUGCUUAUUUCGACUAUGAAAUAUGGCAGAUGGAUGUCAAAACGGCUUUCCUAAAUGGAAACCUCAAAGAGGAUGUAUACAUGAUACAGCCAGAAGGUUUUGUCAUUCAUGAGGAUGCUGGAAAGGUAUGCAAACUUCAGAAAGCCAUUUAUGGUCUGAAGCAAGCAUCAAGGAGCUGGAACAUUCGUUUUGAUGAAGUGGUCAAAGAGUUUGGCUUCAUCAUGAAUGAUGAAGAAUCUUGUGUUUACAAGAAGUUUAGUGGGAGCGCAAAAGCAUUUCUAAUCUUGUAUGUGGAUGACAUAUUGUUGAUUGGAAAUGACGUGAAUUUUCUUAGCGAAAUAAAAGACUCAUUGAAGAAAAGUUUUUCAAUGAAAGACUUAGGCGAAGCGGCAUAUGUAUUAGGCAUCAGGAUCUAUAGAGAUAGAUCAAAACGCCUGAUAGCGCUUAGCCAAAGCACGUACAUUGACAAGGUGUUGAAAAGGUUCAACAUGGAGAACUCCAAGAAAGGCCUACUCCCCAUGUCACCUGGCACAGUGCUUUGCAAGAAUCAGAGUCCUCGGACUCUGGAUGAGCGAGUACAAAUGAAUGAUGUUCCAUAUGCCUCGGCAGUUGGUUCUAUUAUGUAUGCCAUGCUAUGUACAAGACCAGAUGUUUCCUAUGCGCUAAGUGUUAGCAGCCGGUACCAAAGUGAUCCAGGGUUGGAACACUGGGCCGCAGUCAAGGGUAUUCUUAAGUACCUCAGAAGGACCAAGGAUUUACUCCUUGUGUACGGAGGUGAUGAAGAGCUCAUUGUAAGUGGUUACAAUGAUGCAGGCUUCAUGACUGACCCAGAUGACUUCAAAUCUCAAUCAGGCUACGUUUUCAUAUUGAACGGCGGCGCAGUUGAUUGGAAAAGUUCCAAACAAAAGACUGUGGCGGAUUCUACGACGGAGGCGGAAUAUGUUGCUGCUUCAGAAGCCUCCAAGGAGGCGGUAUGGAUCAAACAAUUUCUUGAAGACCUUGGUGUGGUUCGUAGUGCCCAGGACCCGGUGGAGAUCUAUUGUGAUAAUAGUGGCGCCGUGGCUCAGGCAAGGGAGCCAAGUUCGAACCAUAAGACAAGACAUAUUCAACGCAAAUAUAAACUCAUUCGACAUCAUGUCGAAGAGGGUUUAGUGAAAGUACGCAAAGUUCACACGGAUCUGAACGUGUCAGACCCGAUGACAAAGCCUCUACCACGAGCAAAACAUGAGCAACACCGGAUAGCCAUUGGUGUUAGGGAAGCCAUGUAACUGGAUUAUGACUCUAGUGCAAGUGGGAGUCUGUAGGAGAUAUGCCCUAGAGGCAGUAAUAACAGUUAUUUUGUAUCUCCAAGUUUGUAAUGAACGUUUAUGAUCCAUGCUAUAACUGCAAUGAUUCUCGAGUCUACAAUAUCCACGAGGCUCGGAGGGAACUCAUAUGCACGUGUGGUAUUAUAAACGGUAAAAUAUAUUCCUAGUCUUGCCUCUAAGACUAGCUCAAGUAUUGCAUGAUGAUCCUGUUUCCUGAUUAUGGGCAUGACUAUGCCGGCAAUUUUGAGGGCACAAGUUUGGUAGAACGCUUGUGUUGAAUCAACCCGGAUUGAUGUUGUGCUAUGAGAUACCUUCGUCACAAGUUUAUGGUUAAUAUCAUUGAGAUAGUUAAUGUUUGCAUAAUUCCUUAGACCAUGAGAGUAUCAAGUUCCUUCGUGCUUGCUUCGUGAACUUUGGGGUUUGUUAAACGUCAUCCGUAACUGGGUGGCUAUUACGGCAGCUUUCGGGUUCACGGAAAAGUAUAGGAAGUAACAAGAUAGCUCAAGAUUGGGAUUUGCUCCUCCGACGAUGGAGAGAUAUACUCGGGCCCUCUCGGUGUAACGGUAUCCAUCAUCGUCUGGCCAGACACAUUGUGAUUUGAUCACUAGGAUGCCGGAACACGGAAACGAGAAAAGAGAACAAAACCGGUAACGAGGUAACUUGCAUGGUGGACAAAUUGUUCGUCCAUGGGCAUGCAAUAAAUCUCACCUCGGGUGUUUGUGACAUAUCGCGAAGCAACAGGAAUAGCUCACUGCAACUGGAGGUUCACUCGAAUAUUCAUUCGUGUGGGUAUAGGGGUCAAUAUGGGUGUCCACGGCUCCGAUGUUGAUAAUUGAUCGGAAGGGGUUCCAGGUCAUGUCUAUACUUCACCGAACCUAUAGGGUCACACGCUUAGGGGUCAUCUAUCUGUUGAAUACUAGACAGGGAGUCUGAGAGAAAAUCACCGAAAAAGUUUCGGACACCGAAAAGUUUCGGACAGCGGAAUCGUACCGCAGAGAGAGGUCAUCGGAUAAGUUUCGAUGAUACCGAAAAGUUGUUUCGGGAUACACCAUUAAGUCAAAUUGGUUUCGGCACAUGCCUGAUAAUUCUUGGAGGAUGCCAGAAUCAUUCUGGAAGCUUUUUGGAAUUUUCUGACAUAAAAACCGGAAAUGUUCCGGAGCUGCCGGAGCCACUUCAGAUGCGUUUCGCAGAUGAAAAUCACUAAAACCGGAAUUGUUUCGGAACGCGUUGAAAAACAUUUUAGUGGGUACUGGAAAUGUUCUUAGCCCACAUAAAUAUUUUCAGUUCGAUCAGACGCUGAAAAAUGUCGUCGUGAAUAGUGAAAAUCAGCUUUAUGGUUACUUUAUGGAAAGCCACCUUUUGGGGCUUUGCUCCAAAAGAUCUUGGGGAUGACAUGGAUGGAUAGGACCCAUUUUUUGGGCCCCUCAUGGGGGUGUGGCCGGCCACAUGGGGUAUCCCCCCUUGGGGACCCUUUUGUUCAUUGGUUUCACUUCUAGGUCCUUGUGGAAGGACUUCAUUCAUGUGCAUUUUGGGUUUUUGUGUGAAACUACCCUACCCCUUGGGAUUUCCUAUAAAUAGAGGUGGAGGGGCAGCCCUCCACACUCAUCCCUUGCUCUCAUACACAUGCCAUGCAUUAUCUGGCUUCUUCUCUCCCUCCCACGAAAAGAGUUUUGUAGAGCCGUAAGGCUGUCUGGGUUCCGGCAGGAACUAGUUCUGGACGGCGAAGCCCUGCCGGAUAGCUGAAACCGUAUGUGUGCAACCCCGUAGAGAGAUUGUAGUUUCGACCUUUUGCCCGAGGGGCUGUUCGAGUGUCCUCCCGAAGGGCUGUCCGAGUCUCCGUCCGAGUUUCGAGGGUCCUCCCGAAGGGCUGUCCGCGACAUUGUCCGGGGGACUGUCCGACCGCCUCCCGAAGGGCUGUCCGGAGAGGGAGUACAUCCUCGCGGUUGGGAGGUUGUAAAUCCUAGCUGCGGGGAUCUGCACCGACGAUCUACACCGAUUCUUCUUCCGCUGCGCUUCGAGUCGGUACGGAUCAGAUCAAACCUUGUAUGCAGUCUCCAUAGUGGUCCUGGGCGUGCUCGCUAUACCGAAAAUUUUCGUUUUCUGUCGCGUUCCCCUACACUAUCGCAGCCGGUUAACUUGCGUUGUGUGUGAUGGACACCCUUUUCGCACACCUUCACACAGCGAUGCAUCAAAGGUACGUGAGCAAAAGGGGUUUUUAACCGUUUGUGUUGGACUUGCGUGCACUAGUGUGACAUGCGUUACUUAACCUAGCUUUUGUUUAGUUUAGUUAAAUUUCAAGUAGUUUUUUAUGUAACUUGUUAAAUUUUAUCAUAUAUGCAUAUAUGUAAUAUAUCGUACUAGGUUUAUUUUCAUUCGUAAUUCAUUUGAAAUGUGUUCCGAACCGGGGGGUGGUAGUUAAAUGCAGAAAAAACACCACAAUAGCCAUCUCAUUAGCAAAAACAACCACUUUACAAUUUGUGGCAAAAAGGACGACACGCAACAACGGACAGUGGCAAAAGAGCCGGUCGGGACCGGCUCUUUCAAAAUGUGGGGUCCCACUCACCCACUCACUCUCUCACUCACCAGCUCUCGCUCACACUCGACGCCGGUGCCGCUCCUGCUUGACGCUGCCACACAAUGCAUUCAUGGAAUGACGAAGAGGAGAGCAGCAAGGAUGCCCUCAAGUACAGCAGCAUGGAUAUGGAUUUGUGGGUAAGUUUCAGCGCUCAAUAACUAGACGUUUGGAUUAGGGUUAGUGUUUGGAUUUGGGGAUUUAGGGUUUGUGCUCGUUUCCAGCCUUAUUGAAAGGAUUUGUUAGUUAAUUUAGAUAUUGUCAAUGCAGGAGAACCCUGAGACCAUUGUGAAUUCAUUUUACUAUGGGACAGUGGCAUUUUCGGCCAUCAAAUCCAAGCUUUACCAGGCAAGAGCCAAAAAAUCUGUUGGUUUUGGUGACAGACACUAGGAGGAAACUUUAUGGCUGCACUGCACAAGUACUCCCUCCGUCCUAUAUUAAUUGAGCUAAAAUGGAUGUAUCUAGUACAUAUGGAUACUUUCAUUUCAACAACAAUUAAUAUGGGACGGGGCAGUAAUUUUAACUUGCCUUGCUGUUUCACCACUUUGCUCUGUAGCUGUUUGAUUUCGCUGUGUAGUUAUCUAUGUAGUGACGAGUCAUCUGAACUUAGUUGUAUCUUGUUCAUUUUGACUGGAUUAAACUUAGUCUUGCUGCUAUUAAAGGUUAGUCUGUAAUUUAGUAAAUCGAAAUUUAACUGAAUUUUGUUGUUCAAGUUCAGUAUGUAGUUUAGUGAAUCAGAAUUUAACGGAAUAUUGUUUUUCAAGUCCAGUCUGUAGCUUGCUGAAUAUGUAUUGUACUGAUUGUUGUUACUCAAGUUCAGUAUGUAGUUAAGUCAAUCUAAAUUGUAGUGUCAUCAUGUAGUAAAAUAGGUAGUAUAUGUGAAAGAAAUAGGCUUGAUUUAUUGUUGUGUAGUUUUGGAAACAAUAAAUUUUGAGAUACUUUUGUCUGUCUGAACAAUAUGUCACUAGUAGAAAACAGGGCUUUGGUUCGGCUAGAAAAGAGCAUUAAUCCCGGUUGCAUUACGAACCGGGACUAAUGUGAGCAUUAGUCCCGGUUCGAGUGGCUAGGGCACCGUACAAGCAUUAGUCCCGGUUCAAAUGGGACCUUUAGUCCCGGUUGGUGCCACGAACCGGGACUAAAGGGUGCGAUGCCCAUUAGUACCGGUUCGUGGCACCAACCGGUACUAAAGGUUAGACCUUUAGUCCCGGUUCGAGCCACCAACCGGUACUAAUGGGGUUUGAGGCAUUAGUACCUGUUCAUGGCACGAACCGGUACUAAAGGUCCCAUUGUCAAACUCUACCCCCACCCUGGAUCGCCUUUUCAGUUUUGUAAAAAGCAAAGAAAAUGAUAAAAACUUCAAAAAUUAAAAUCCUUCCAGAUGUAUAGUUAUGUUACUACAUGUACUAGUUAGGAAAAUUUAAAAACUUAAAUUUGGACAUGUUUUGCAAAAAGUGUAGGAAAAAUGUAAAACGGCUAUAACUUUUGCAUACGAUGUUAGAAAAAAAGUAUAAUAUAUCAAAAUGUUCAGCACGAAAAUCCGAAUCCGAUUUUGACCGCAUAUGACCCGUUUGCAAAUGUUUAGAAUCCUCAAAUUCUAAAAGGAAAAAAAGUUAUGCUCAAAUUUCUGUUUUUUUUAAUUUUUGUUAAAUCUGGUCAAACUACUUAUUCAAGAAGUAUUAAUGUUACUAAAUAAAUAUUCAAGAAUAUUAGUGUUACUAAAUAAUUAUUUCAGUUUUUUUGAAUUUUCGUCAAAUCUGGUCAAACUAUGGUCAAACUAAUUAUUCAAGAAAUAUUAGUGUUACUAAAUAAUUAUUUCGGUUGUUUUGAAUUUUGGUCAAAUCUGGUCAAACUGUGGUCAAACUGUGGUCGAACUAUGGUCAAACUACUUAUUCAAGAAAUAUUAGUGUUACUAAAUAAUUAUUGUUUUUUAGAACAAUAGUUUCAAACUCAAACAGUGAAAUGUGUGACUUCAUGCUCAAGCUAAGUUCCUGGGGGUUAAUAGGAUUGACAUCUUACUAUUGUCAGGAAAACAACAAGUGCAGACUUGGAAACGAGGGAGAAUAGAACCCGGAAGUUAAGCGUGCUCAGGCUGGAGUAGUGAGAGGAUGGGUGACCGUCCGGGAAGUUAGAUGAUUUGGAAUGAUGAGGGGUGAUUAGGGGUGACAAGUUUUUGAUUACUUGUCCGGUAAGUAUACGAAUUAGAAACCGAGUCGGUUUGGGAUUGUGGUCGCGACACAAUACCGCCUCUGGUCCUAAUAUAUAUACAGCUACCGGCUGCGGCCAGAGACACACCGAAAAACACCUAGGGUUUUGCCUCAUCUCACAACCUGCGCCGCCAUUGUAGUCUACUCCAUCCCAAACGCCGGCGUGCAUCGACGCGUGGGAGAGCAGGUCUCCGGAACCGUUCGUCUUUGCGAUCCUGCACCGGGAGAGGACGAAUUAGGUUUAUGGGAAGCGUUGUGCGCGACUGCUCAAAUUCGUCAUCACGGGUCGUCUUCCGUCCAAGUCGGGCGGUGCUACUCAUCGUCGUAUUCAUCGCCGUCAGCAGCAGAUCGUCACCAACAUCGUCAUCAACACUGUCACACCCUUAAUAGCUAACGAUCAGUACGUCCGACAUCCUCUGUUCAUGUCUGCUUCUACAGCUAUUGUUACGUGUUUGCUGCUGUUAUGCAUGUCUUGCUGUUCUUCUAGUUUGCUAGAUUAUUGCAUGCUAGUAUCUCUUCUAGUCAUGAAUUAUUUACUGGAAUCAAUCAUGAACUUGCCUAAUAUUCCAACAAUCCAAAAACCUAAUUAUAGGCAAUUUCCUGAGUUAACUAUGGCUGGAUUCGCUGAUGCACUGAGGCCGGAUAAGUUUACCGGUGUGCACUUUAAGAGGUGGCAGUUGAAGACCACGCUCUGGCUUACUGGUCUGAAAGUUUUCCACGCUAGUGUUGGUGCUCCAGAGGGAAUGACCGACGAAGAUCGGAGAAAAUUCCAGGAAGCCAAUACUAUGUUUGUGGGAUGCAUUCUGAGUGUUCUUGCUGACUGUCUGUGUGAUGUGUACAUGCACAUAAAUGACGGAAAGAUUCUGUGGGAUGCACUGAAUGCAAAAUUCGGUGCAACAGAUGCAGGCAGUGAACUGUACAUCAUGGAGAGUUUUCAUGACUACAAGAUGGUGAAUAACCGUUCUGUGGUUGAACAAGCUCAUGAGAUACAGUGCAUUGUGAAGGAACUUGAACUCCUUAAAUGUGUUCUACCUGACAAAUUCGUGGCUGGGCGCAUGAUUGCAAAGUUGCCUCCUUCAUGGAGGAAUUUCGCCACAACUCUGAAGCAUAAGAGACAGGAGAUAUCAGUUGAAAAUCUGAUUGCAUCUCUUGAUGUUGAAGAAAAAGCUCGGGCUAAAGAUACUACUGAAAAAGGAGGUGAGGUUCAGCCUACUGCUAACAUGGUGCAGAGGUACCCACAGAACAAGAACAAAGGGAAGAACAAACCUGUUUUCAACAAGCCUACCAAGACUACUACCUUCAAGAAGAAGAAGUUCAACAAGGCUGAGCUAGAGUGCUACGCCUGUGGGAAGCCUGGACACUUUUCCAAGGAAUGCCCUGAACAUGCAGACCGCAGAGGGAAAAUAAGCUCCAAGACUGUCAACAUGGUGACCGCUAGCAAUACUGAUGGGUAUGGUAAUUUACCUAUUGUGCUUUCAGUAUUUCAAUCAUCUUCGUGGUGGAUUGAUUCGGGUGCUAACGUUCAUGUGUGUGCUGACAUCUCCCUAUUUACUUCUUAUCAGGUCGCAAGGGAUUCUUCCGUCCUAAUGGGGAAUGGGUCACAUGCUUCGGGAAAGAUCGUGCAACUAAGGAACGUGCAGCAUGUCCCUACUAUGAACAAGAAUCUAGUUAGCGUCUCCCUUCUAUGUCGAGAUGGAUUUAAGGUAGUUUUAGAGUCCAAUAAAGUAAUCGUGUCAAGAUUUGGACAAUUUAUAGGAAAAGGCUACGAGUGUGGAGGCUUGUUCCGCUUUUCUCUUUCAGAUUUUUGCAAUAAGUCAAUAAACCAAAUUUGUGCUAGUGAUAAUGAUGAUGCAAGUAUUUGGCACUCUCGUUUAUGUCAUAUUAAUUUUGGUUUAAUGUCUCGGCUAUCCAGCAUGAGUUUAAUUCCGAACUUCAGAGUUGCCAAAGGUUCUAAGUGCCAUAGUUGUGUGCAAUCUAUGCAACCUCGAAAGCCUCAUAAGGCCGCCGAGGAGAGAAACUUGGCACCUCAAGAACUCAUACAUUCUGAUCUUUGUGAGAUGAAUGGUGUGUUGACAAAAGGUGGAAAGAGAUAUUUCAUGACUUUGAUUGAUGAUGCGACUAGAUUUUGCUAUGUUUAUUUGUUGCAAACUAAAGAUGAAGCAUUAGACUACUUUAAAAUCUAUAAAGCUGAAGUUGAAAAUCAACUAGAGAGAAAGAUCAAGCGUCUUAGGUCCGAUCAUGGUGGAGAGUAUUUUCCAAAAGUUUUUGAUGAAUUUUGUGAGGAACAUGGUAUUAUUCAUGAGAGGACGCCUCCCUAUUCACCUCAAUCAAAUGGAGUGGCCGAGAGGAAAAACCGCACAUUGACUAACUUGGUGAAUGCCAUGUUAGACACUGCUGGUUUAUCUAAGGCAUGGUGGGGGGAGGCUCUAUUGACUUCAUGUCAUGUCCUGAAUAGAGUUCCCAACAAUAAUAAGGAGAAAACCCCUUAUGAGGAGUGGGUUGGGAGAAAACCAUCACUUUCUUAUUUGCGCACUUGGGGAUGUUUGGCAAAGGUCAAUAUUCCUAUUCCUAAGAAACGCAAACUUGGACCAAAGACAGUGGAUUGUGUCUUUCUAGGGUAUGCUCAACGGAGCAUUGCUUAUAGGGUUUUAGUGGUAAAAUCUGAAGUUCCUGAUAUGCAUGUUGAUACUAUAAUGGAAUCUCGUGAUGCAACAUUUUUUGAGAACAUAUUUCCUAUGAAAGAUAUGCAUAGCAUUGCUAGAUUUUCUUCUGAGAUAAUUCCUGUAUCUAGUACAACUGAUGAAUAUUUCGAACAAUCACAUGAGGAAGUCCUUGAGAAGGAUAACAAUGAAGUUCCUAGAAGGAACAAGAGACAAAGGAUUGCAAAAUCCUUUGGUGAUGAUUUCAUUGUAUACCUUGUGGACGACACACCCAAGACGAUUGCAGAAGCAUAUGCAUCUCCGGAUGUAGAUGAUUGGAAAGAAGCUGUUCAUAAUGAGAUGGACUCAAUUAUUUCUAAUGGAACUUGGGAACUAACUGAUAGACCAUAUGGUUGUAAACCUGUGGGCUGUAAGUGGGUGUUCAAAAAGAAGCUCAAGCCUGAUGGUACUAUUGAUAAGUACAAGGCGCGGCUAGUGGCCAAGGGCUACACUCAGAAAGAAGGCGAAGAUUACUUUGACACCUAUUCACCCGUUGCUAGAAUGACCACCAUUCGAGUGUUACUUUCCUUGGCUGCCUCUUAUGGUCUUAUCAUUCAUCAAAUGGAUGUAAAGACAGCUUUUCUCAAUGGAGAGUUGGAAGAGGAGAUCUAUAUGGAUCAGCCUGACGGGUUUGUGGUUAAGGGUGAAGAGAGAAAGGUGUGCAAGUUGUUAAAAUCUUUGUAUGGUCUGAAACAGGCACCUAAGCAAUGGCAUGAGAAGUUUGAAAGAACUCUGACUUCUGCAGGAUUUGUCAUUAACGAGGCUGAUAGGUGUGUUUACUAUCGCCAUGGUGGGGGCAAUAGUGUCAUAUUAUGUUUGUAUGUGGACGACAUACUGAUCUUUGGUACAAACAUUAAUGCAAUUAAUGAGGUCAAGUCUUUUCUAUCAAAAAGUUUUGACAUGAAAGAUCUGGGAGAAGCCGAUGUAAUUCUAAACAUCAAACUUAUUAAGGAUGAGAGUGGGAUUACAUUAACGCAAUCUCACUAUGUUGAGAAGGUCUUGAACCGAUUCGGUUUUAUGGAUAGCAAGCCUUCUCCAACACCUUAUGAUCCCAGCGUGACACUCAGAAAGAACAAGAAAGAAACGAGAGAUCAAUUAAGAUACUCUCAAAUUGUCGGUUCACUCAUGUACUUAGCUAGCGCUACAAGACCAGAUAUCUCUUUUGCUGUGAGCAAACUGAGUAGGUUCAUGUCCAACCCGGGUGAUGAUCAUUGGCAUGCACUAGAAAGGGUCUUACGCUAUCUGAGAGGUACUAUGAGUUACGGAAUUACUUAUUCAGGGCAUCCUGCUGUGCUAGAAGGAUAUAGUGAUUCAAAUUGGAUCUCCGAUGUUGAUGUACUUUACGCAACAAGUGGGUAUGUAUUUACUCAUGGUGGUGGCGCAGUGUCAUGGAGGUCUUGCAAGCAAACCAUAUUGACGAGGUCAACUAUGGAAGCAGAAUUAACUGCUUUGGACACAGCUACUGUUGAGGCAGAAUGGCUGCGUGAGCUCUUGAUGGACUUGCCGAUUGUUGAAAAACCUGUACCGGCUAUUCUUAUGAAUUGUGAUAACCAAACGGUUAUCGCUAAAGUGAACAAUUCUAAAGAUAAUGCAAAGUCAUCAAGACACGUGAAAAGACGUUUGAAGUCUGUCAGGAAGUUGAGAAACUCCGGAGUAAUAACUGUUACAUAUAUACAAACAGACAAAAACCUGGCAGAUCCCUUUACAAAGGGACUAUCACGAAAUGUGAUAGAUAUUGCAUCGAGGGAGAUGGGUAUGAGACCCAUAGAUGUUACACCAUAGUACUAACCCAACCUUUGUGAUCGGAGAUCCCGUGAAUUAGGAUCUGGGAAGAACAAGCUAUUGGUUAACUGAGGAGAGUAAUAACUUAUGAUCGUCUCCAAGUGAAGAUGCAAAACUCUCAGAGCUGUAAAGCUCAGAUCUGUAAGGCAGGUUGGCAACAUGCCUUAAUGUGGUUCUAUUGGCUAUAAUUAGCAAAGAUGCUGUCCUACAGAGCAGUCUUGAAAGAACACACCUAUAUGAGUUCUGACUGUAAACGUCGCAGUCUAUGAGAUUUGGGUGAUCUCUAGUAAGCUCACGAAGAGACAAGGGAGUAUGACGUAUAAGCUCCAAACCGCGGGGUAGCCUACUGACGUAUAAGCUUCCUUUUGCCGUUUUAUUUUUAUGUCUUGGCAUACAAGUUUUUUAUUACUUGUCCGGUAAGUAUACGAAUUAGAAACCGAGUCGGUUUGGGAUUGUGGUCGCGACACAAUACCGCCUCUGGUCCUAAUAUAUAUACAGCUACCGGCUGCGGCCAGAGACACACCGAAAAACACCUAGGGUUUUGCCUCAUCUCACAACUUGCGCCGCCAUCGUAGUCUACUCCAUCCCAACGCCGGCGUGCAUCGGCGCGUGGGAGAGCAGGUCUCCGGAACCGUUCGUCUUUGCGAUCCUGCACCGGGAGAGGACGAAUUAGGUUUUUGGGAAGCGCUGUGCGCGACUGCUCAAAUUCGUCAUCACGGGUCGUCUUCCGUCCAAGUCGGGCGGUGCUACUCAUCGUCGUAUUCAUCGCCGUCAGCAGCAGAUCAUCGCCAAUAUCGUCAUCAACACUGUCGCACCCAUAUAGCUAACGAUCAUUACGUCCGACAUCCUCUGUUCAUGUCUGCUUCUACAGCUAUUGUUACGUGUUUGUUGUUGUUAUGCAUGUCUUGCUGUUCUUCUAGUUUGCUAGAUUAUUGCAUGCUAGUAUCUCUUCUAGUCAUGAAUUAUUUACUGGAAUUAAUCAUGAACUUGCCUAAUAUUCCCACAGACGCAAUAAUUGUUUUCGGGAUUUUGAAUAAAUCAGAAAAUGAUUUGUUUAAUUCCGAAAAUACUCCAAAAUUUGGAAAAUCAUGGAAAAUAAUCUGUAACUCAGAUGGAGAUAAUUUAUAUAUGAAAAAUUAUCAGGAAAAUAUGAAGAAUCUAUUUAUAGCAUUUUCAUGUAUGUUUGAACAAGUUAAGUUUUCUGUAUAAGACAAUUUGAAUAAAUGUCAUUUUAAAUUCUUAUGUGGAGUUUGAAUUUGAACCUUUGGUUCAAACCAACUUUAUUUAAAUUGUUGCUAGUUGCAUUAGUCCAAACACCAGCAUGCCAUGUCAUGAUCAUGCAUCAUACUGCUGCAUUGCAUUGAUUGUGUUCCCUCUCUGUUGCCGGUGUUUGUUCCUUCUCGAUAGAAGACGAUUCGGACGUUGUGAUCAUUGACACCGAUGAAGAGCUACUAUCUUCAAAGUGUCAGGCAAGCAAAUCCCCUUUGAGCAUUCUGAUACAAUCCCACUCUCUAACUCUUGCUCUCUUUUACUGCAUUAGGACAACAAUGAUUCAACUGUUACAUGUUGUGGUAGUUGAACCCAUUCCUCUGCAUGAUCUGUCUUUGCCACAGUAAAUAGUAAAACCCACUAGCAUGAGUAGGAGUAUUUUGAGCCAUGAUGUGCCUACUCAUUCAUGCUUGCUUGUUAUACCUGCUAUGCUUAGAGUUGUGUCAGGUUUGAUUCAUCUGGGUUGGCUUGGAAUGGUGAUGAACAUGUCCUACUGCUGAGCUCUAAGUGUGUGAACACGAUUUGGUAAAGGUAGCGAUGAGAGGCAAUGUAGGAGUACAUGGUGGGUUGUCUCGUUGAAAUCGUCCUUAGGAACUGAGUUCCGUGUUUGUGAUCCAAGACAGUUACUACCACACAUCGGGUUUCGAUAACUUGACCCCUCUCGACUUACUAAUCGCCUUGAUCUCUAUCUAGGAGUUGUAACUAGUUUCUGGUGUUUGUAGGAUGUGCUGGGGGCUGUACCUAGCGCUGACCGGAGGGGUAGGCUUUGUUACGGUAGGCACCAUGGCACGGUGUAUCAAGCGCAGUACUAUUGGUCGAGGUGGACAUGGGAAUCCUGCACACAUCGUUUGACGCCGUGAUGGAAACUUCGGCCGAACAUCCGUUACGGGUCAGUUCUCAGAUAGGCGAUAAACCUAGACUAGAGUCUUGCGUGGUUAGUCAGGUUGUGGCUGACACCCUCGCUAGGCUUCCGCUUGAAGGUUUCCGAGAUACAUGACGUGUAUAUGGUGUUAAGUGGUGAGAGCGUGUGUGAAGAAAUACACCCCUGCAGGGUAAUAUAAUCUAUUCGGAUAGCCGCGUCCUCGGAUAUGGACUACUUGGAAAGCUUGUAUGGUCCAUAGAUAACCUGAAGUGGAUACUCUAAAUGCGCAAAAUAAGUGUGAGUGCUAUGGAUGGCCUUCUCAUGGGGAGACGGGAGCGGAUCCAUAGUGGUGUAUUGAUAUGGUGAAUAUGUGGACUCACGUGCGCUUUCUCACCUCAAAGAAGUUAUUGGUAGUCAUAGUACAUGAAAGCCACUGAGUCAAAGCUGGCUUGCUGUAGUUAAACUCCACAACCCCAUUGUUGAUACUGAUGCAUAAGUAGAUAGUUCUGAUGUAAGUCUUGCUGAGUACAUUUGUACUCACGUUUGCUUAAUUGAUGUUUUUGCAGAGGAGAUUUCAAUCUCGCUAGUAGUUUCACAUGGGCUUUGACGGUUAGCUUGGGAAUCCCAGACAGAGGUAUGGCUCCUAUGGAGGGUAUUGUAGACAGACAUGCUUCCUAGCCUUCUUUCUUUUCAGCUGUCUAUAUUCAGACAGGUUUAUGCUUCCGCUUGUUGCUUGUAUGACUUUGUAUGUUGGGUCAUGAGACCAAUGUUCGUAAUAUCAUGUUAUGUGUGGCUCUUCAGAGCCUCUUAAAUAAAUACUUGAGUCGUAGAGUUAUAUUGUGACGACAUGUUGUAUCCACACAUAUUUGCAUGUUCUACAUACAUAUGAUGUGUGUUGCAAUGUGUUGGGUCACGAUAAAUCUUCUAUUGGAUUGCUUGAAUCUUUUGAUCUUUUGGUCCAACAAAAUUAUACUGUAAUAAUUAGGUCCAACAGAACAAAUCAGAAAACUUUGCUUGUACCAGACAUGGUUAGGUCCAAUAGAACAAAUGAAUCAUCUCUUCUUGGAGGAUUGUUUAAUUUAUCUUAGAUGUACCAAAAAUGAUCAUUGUGUUGGUCACCAGGAAGCAUCACAAGAUAAUUUAACAUCCAACAUGAAAGAACAUAGAUCUCAAUUCAAACAUCAUGCAAUAACUAACAGACUUCUCAAGUGUAAAUGGAAUCAUCACCACUAUAGCAGCUAUAUUUUGAACACCACGGAAACUCCAAUUUGAAACUGCAUCCUCAUUAAUAGAAACUGGAAAUUAGCUUGUCUAGUUCCAGUUUGAUUUGUUCAUCAACUAAAGAGUUAUAGUUUAAAUGACAAAUUUCACAUCCAAACUACAUAUCACAUCACAAAUUUAGGGUAAUUCAUACAUAGUAUAAAUAUAGGUAGCAUAGUACAGAAGAUCAGUUCCCAUCAAUCAAAUAUAGCAAUAGUCUUUGCAACAAAAUAUAUAAUAUAGACUUUCUUCUUGAGCUCAGCCACUUAGAUCAAUGACAUCAUCCUCUUCAAAAUUCCCUUUGAUAUUUUUCGGCUUGCCCUUGUGAAUUUCCCCAAUUUUAAGAAGCUCAGCUAUGACAUACUCUACCUUCUUAAUAUCUUUCCGGAUAACAUCCAUGUCCUUCAUCAUAGUCUCGAGCUCAUAUAUGUCCUUCUUCAGAACAUCCCUCUUCUUCAUCACAUCAUCCGAAGGGAAAGCUAGCUCCUUCCUAUCCUUUUUUAGGUCAAGGGUCUCCCUCAUGAUCAGAACCAUCUCCUUCUUGAGCCCAUCUUUGUCCACUUUCAGCUUAUCAUUAUCCUUCCUAGUGUUCUUGGUCACUUCUCGCUGAACAACAUGAAUGGCCUUGAGAUCACUGAUUACAUACUGCUUGUUCUCUAGCUGCUUCUGCAGGUCUAUAGAGUCCUCUGACAUCAUUUUUGGUAAUUCUCUUGCCACACCUUUUGGCAUUGCCUGACCCAGUGCUUGUUCCCAUCACUAGCAAACUCAGUGAAUUGGAAGUCCAACUACUUAAUCUUAUCUUUGAGAUUGAGCACUUCCUCUGCAGGAUCAAGCCCUUCCUGGGUUCUAGCAACCAUACACUUUUCAUAUUUUUUCCAGAGCAUGUGAAGUGCCUUUUUCAGGGCUUCGGGCCAGUCCUUCACUACUAGGGAAAACCUUAUACACAGAGGUAUAGCAGUAGCGCUGGUCAAAACAUGGCGCUAUUGCUACUUAUUAGUUGCGCUUGUUACAAAAGCACGCUACAACCAUUGUUGUAGCAGUAGCGCGUCUGCCCGGAAAAGCGCUACUACUAUAAUUCCCUCGUUGGUGCCGGUAGGCUAGGAAUAGUAGUGGCGGUUCUUCCAGAAGCACGCUACUGCUAAAAACUUUGUAGCAGCGCAUUUAUGCUGUAGAGCGCUACUGCUAUGAAAAGGAAAAUAAAUAGAAAAAUAAGUAGAAAAGUAAAUGAAAAUGAAAGAAAUAGAAAAAGGAGAAAUGAAAAAAAGAAAAUGUAAAGAAAACAAAAGAAAAAGAAAAAGAAAACAGAAAGGAAUAGCUGUAGCGCGUUUCGCUGGAAAACGCUAUAGCUAACUUAGCUAUAGCGUGUUUCGGUAAAACGCACUACUGCUAGUUUGACUUAACCCCCAGCCGCGCGGGCUCAAAAUUUUGCUAAGUCCUUCCCCCUCCACUCCCCCCUCUCCCCCAACUGCUCCAUCGCCGUUGUCGCCCUGCCGCCUUCAACCACACCGCCGCCACCCAAGGCCGUCUUCGACCACACCGCCGCCGCCCGAGGCCGCCCUCGACUUCACCGCCGCCGCCCGAGCCAGAGCCUGCCCUCGCCGUCGACCGUAAAGCUCUGCCUCUCCUUUCCCCUACCCUCCUAUCUCUCUUUGCUAGGGUAAUUCAUAUAUAUGUUGACGUUGUGUUGAUGUUCAUAUGAACCCUAGGUGUUCAUAUGAACCCUAGAUUUGUUGAGGGCAGUAGGCAUUUUUUGGCAUUUAGGAAAAAUGAUUGGCAAUUUUUUUAGGAAAUUAGCUAGGGAAAUUUUUUAUGAAAAUGCCUAAACAGUAAUUCCAUUUAGCUUUCAAUUAAUAGAGGGUAUGUAAAUAAUAGUAGCAUUUUGAUUAGAUUAAUAGACGCUAUAAACAAAAAACACUUAGAUAUAAAAAUUUAUUUGGACUAUGGACUUGAAUCUGUUCCAAAUUUCAUUCAAAUGAAAUUUGAAUUAUUUGGACUAUGGACCUGAAUCUGUUCCAAAUUUCAUUCAAAUGAAAUUUGAAUUAUUUGGACUAUGGACCUGAAUAUUUCUGAAGAAAUUGGGUGUAGGUACUAAGCUCUUGCUGCGGAAUUUUUGGUGAGGUCAGAAGGGUUAGAGAAAAUGGAGUUCCUAGACUUUUAGCUUUAGACAAAAAACAAAAGUAUUUAGCUAUAAAUAAAAAACAGUAGCUAUGGCAUUUAGCUAUAAACAAAAAACAGAAUUGUUUUUCUUUUCAAAAACUUGGUUAAACUAAUCGUUGCUAUGUAAACAAAAAACAAGAUUUUUGUUAUAUCAUAUAUGUCAUUGAUGUUCAUUUGCACAUUCCAUUAUUGUUGAUUAUAUCUUUUCAUUGAAGUGGCUAUGUUAUAUGCAAAUUCCUCAAUAGUGUUUGCUCAUGUUAUAUCUUUUCAUUGAAGUGGUUCGAUUGUGCCCAAAGUGGCUUCGUUGUUUCCAGGGAAUGAAGCCGAGUGGCCUAUGUUUUUCCGGAAUGUUGAUUCGUUUCCGUUCCGGCAAAUUUCAGGCUCUCGAUUUGUCCACUUUUUAGCAAAAGUCAUGCCGAAAUUUUCCGUGAAUUUCGGCAUGACUUGUGCUACAAACUAGGACAUAUCGAGUGCCCGGGAUUUGCCGCACAGGGAAGGAGUCAACGUUCCUGCAGAGCAUAGACCUUUUUUUAUGUCAUUAUUCAUUUUAUUAGGUCUAGAAUUAAUUGACUAAAUUUAAUCGUAGGAAACAUGGCUAGCAACGAUGAAGGACAGGGUUCUGGUGACUGCGACAACGUCUACCUGGCAGCAGAAGAAUUUUUUAUGGAAGAUGACGAUCAAGAGUUGAUGUUGCUGGGUCCACCUGUCACAUCAGAGAUUGAGACCGACAUCGAGACCGGCGCUGAGAUAGAGACUGGCACUGAGAGUGAGACCGGCAUCGAGACCGGCACUGAGACUGAGACCGGCGCCGAGACCGGCGCCGAGACUAGCGGAGCCGGUAUAGACCCGAAAGCAAAGAGGCAACUGCUUCCUAACAAGCUCAGGUCUAAUAGACUGGUGGUCACGGAGGUGGACGACGGCAAUUUUGAACCAAACGCGCCCUAGGAAGCGCGCGCGUGCUACGACAAUCAAAUAGGAUGCAUCAUACGGACAACCGCCACCAUCAAAGAUGAGAAACUAAAGAAGAUAGAUAAUAUGAGGCCCUCCCUCCUAAAGAAGUUGCACCUGAUAUUCUUGUUCCCGGGCCGGAAUGAAAAGGAUUAUAAAGAUCCAGAUAAGGACCUGGCAAUGAAGAAGAAAAACAAACACGUCAUGACCAAGUUUAGCGACGCGUUGGCCGCCUGGAAAUCAAGGGUGAAAUAUCGGAUCGUUGACAAAAAGGAACCCUACUCCGAGAUUGUAAAGGAUAAUCCGACAACCAUGGUAGAGCACUUUCAAAUAUUCAAGGCAGCUUGCGAGGCCGAAGCUGCCAAAAAAUAGUCGAAGUACAUGAAGGGGCUUCAAUAGAGGAACAUUGGGUGCCCCCACCUCGGAAGUCGUGGUUACGGCAGGAAGAGGUCCAUAUGGGCCAUGGAGGACGCGGAAGCCGCGAGUCCGGGCAUCCCAGACCCCUUGGCGGAGUUCACCGUCCCGCAGGAGCGUGACAUCCUCAGGGCCCGGCACCGUUGGGAUCCAAUGAAGAAGGUUUUCGAGACGAACGCGGUCACGGCGGAGUUCAUGUGACUGCUGGCAAUUUUAGUUUCUGAUCAAUUCGACUGCACGUUAGUCAUAUUUAUAAACGAUCCUUGUGCCAUUUGCAGAGAGAGCAGCGCAGGAUUGCGGCCGAAAGCGACUCGCCGUCUGAGGCGUUGGCGAGGCCCAAGUGGGACACUCCAUUCAACCGGGCGUUGAACAUAUUGAAAGGACUCCCGGUGGAGACUCGACUGUCGUAUGGACGCGUGCACGGUGUCGGAGAUGGCGCCACGUGGAAGAAGUACUACCGUGAGACCACGGAGGAGAGAAAGGAAAGACGGAGGUUAACUGAAGAAAACAUUGACAAGAAGGUUGAGAUUGCGGUUGAGAAGAAAUCAUCUAAGACAGUCGCAAUAGCGGUAGCUGCCGCAAAACAGGUGCUUGUACAUAUGUCUACUACCUUGGUUCCGGCCGUUUUCAAUUGGAGCAGGCAAAAUCUAGAAAAAAAUGCAGCGGAGUUUCCCCUUGCUGACUUCUUUGGGAGCAGCUCGACUAGCGUUGCACCAGCACCUGCAGCUGCACAUGCUCCCGCACCGGCUCCCGCACCGGCUCGUGCACCUGCUCCCGCACCGGCUCCCGAACCUGCUCCAGCACCGGCUCCGGCACCGGACGUGCUCGGCGGUGCUUCGUCUUUGGCUGAGCUCGACGCCCUCACGGUGUCUGUCACACCGGCCCCCAUCAAUAAAUGUAUUAUCUCCCGUUUUCGUUGCCUUUCGGAUGUCUCACGUCACAGACUUUUCUUUGCAGGCCGACGAAACCCCGUGCACCAUAUUGUACACCAUCGGCGACAAGAAGGUGGACGUGGGGAAGGCGACGAUAAUGGAGCCGAAGGAACCAUUGUUCCACAGCGGCUGAUCCCCCAGGACGUCUUCAAGGUUUCCGUGGCCAGUGUCAAACCGGGCCACGAGAAUUUGACUCCUCUGGUACUAGUGGGGGAUGACAACGAGACCCCACGGCGGCUUGGUAAUUGUUGCAAUGGGUGGGUCCUGUUGUGGCCAAAGAGUCUGCUUCGUCUGGAGGUGGCCGGGAGCACACCCACGAGCACACAGUUAGGUAUGAACAUCAACACCUCACCUACCCAAUUAGCGUCGGCUGUCGUGCUAGGUGAUAGCGGAGGGGGUGAGGAAGAGGCUCCAUUAGUCACUGGUGAUGUCGCCAUAGAUGAGGAUGAGGAUGACGAUGACACUCAACAGUAUGUCAAUACUGGUGCCUACUUAGGGUUUGAGCGUCAUGAGUCGGUGCCUGAAUUGCCGCCUCCGAAGUCUGAACGUAUUAUGGACAACCUUCCGGUAGUAAAGAAGUCUAGGAAGAGACCGAGGAAAGGCAAAAAAGCUGCUUCUAUGAUCCAGCCGCCUCAGCAGCCUCGGGUUCAAGACUGUAUAGAUAUCCCCGGUGCGGCAAAAUGGCAUAUCCAUGGUCAACCAAUCCUACCUAAAGCAGCGCUAGGGGCUAGAUUCGGCGAUUUAAGGAGACUUCAUGACGAUGUGCUGCGGAUAGAGAAAUGGCUCAUCGCCUCAAAAAAUCCAGGAUACCCACUCUACAUGGUUAACGUGCCGCGGCAAUUCUCGUACGUCGACACAUUCCCCGCGGAGAAGUUCUUCCUUCGAUUCGAUUACAUCUUCGACAUGUUUCACUUAAAGAAACUGGAUUUUACGUUUGUCCGCCUUUAUGUCUUGCACAUGAACUACCUCAUCAGGGUUGAGCAGAUACCUCAUAUCUGUGUCGCUAGCCCGUACUUCAUGCAUGAGGGCUUCUUGGGAGUCUGCGCAGAGCACCGUGAAUAAGCAAGGGAAUACAUCGCCAAUUUCAUGCUCACCAUAAGGACAAGGAGGCGAUUCUCGUGCCUUAUCAUCCCCUGUAAGUCAUCUGCGCGGAUAUCCUUCCUUUGAUUUCAAUCAUUCAUUUGCACAGUGGAGGCUAAUUAAUUUGAGGUGUACUUAUUUUUCGCAGCGGCGGGCGCGCCGUCCUCAUCAUCCUCUACCCCCGAUACUCCCACGCUCUUUACUUGGACUCGUCGAAGAACAUUAACAAAAAGGAUUACACCCACAUGAAGUCUGUUCUCGACAGUGCUAUGUUUUACUACGGCGCACGGGGUGGAGAGGUCAAGGACAAGAAGAAAAGGGACGGCAGGCCCGCCUUUGGCCAUAAGACCGACUUCUGCUGCAUCCACCAACCGAGUUAUUCUCUUAAUGAUGGAUUCUAUGUCCUACACCACAUGCUGGAGUACAGACGGGAUCACCAGAACCUUCGCAUGUCACCUAGAUCCGGCGAUGCCCAUAUUCUGCAAUGGGCAAAGAACUUAGGAGAUAUCGAGGAUCAUCGACUUCGAGCUGAGUUCUAUCACAUCCAGCGCAAACUUGCCCAAAUCAUCAUGAAGGAGGUCGUCGAAAAAACAGGGAUUUUCUAUGAAGAAGGACAAAUGUCGCGGGAAGACGUCCGAACACGCGUAGCGGCUCAGCUUCUCGACCUGAAGCCUUUCACUAAGCUUGGGGACUAUCUCCCUGACUUGGAUGCAUGGCACGACAUGUUGGAGUGAUUGUCGAUAUAUGACAAUGUGUCUGUUUAGUCCAUACUAUCUGUAUCACGAAACUCUGAGUUAUGCAUGACGAAACUUUAUUUGUUAUGUAAUUAAACCGUCCUCCUCGACUAGUGAAGAUCACUCUAGUUAGGGCUUUUUGGGUACGAUGAAUUUUGUUAUAUAUGCUUAUGGUAUGUUGCUUCUAUUUUUGCCAAGUCUGUCUCUUUCUGUUGCUCAACUAUAUAUGUUGCAUAUCAUCGACUCAUGUGACGAUGCAGGUGUAUAGAUCAUCGAUGGCGAAGAAGUGCUACGCCAGGAGUAUACGACGAGUGGCCGGAAUGUCAGGCCCAGGUGUACCGGUUUCCGGUUUCCGAGCGACAGCCAGUAGUUAGUUUAGGUUCACGCUAAUGCGAGAGAGGGAUACGAACUCAUGUACUGCAUAGUUCCGCUCUCACUCAAAGUGAUAGCUCUUCUCGCGUAUAUCAUUGUUUAGAUGGAUGACGACGUAGUUGCAAGUAAUCGAGACUUGUAUCGCUAUUUUUGAGAUGAUGACGAGAGACCACUUGUUGUUGGAUGAUGAUUAUGAUGAUGGCAUGAUUUGAUGAGACUAUUUGUAUGUAUAUGCUAUGAUUACAUUUGUAUGUGUAUGAUAUGCUAAAGAUUAUUGUAUAAAGCCUAUUCAAAUACAAAACAAAUAUGCAUAAAAAAAUAAAAACUAAUAAAACUAGCAGUAGCGAGGGGAACAAAGUUAGCAGUAGCGCUCCCUUACCAGUAGCGCUUCGUGCUAAAAAGCGCUGCAGAUAUUAGCAGCAGCGCUCUGCACUAAAGCGCGCUACUGCUAGCCAUGUAUAGCAGUAGCAUGGGAUGACAGGUGCUACUGCUACACGUUAGCUGUAGCGCCUUAUCAGUAGCACGUCGUCCCGAGCUACUGAUAGGCAAAAUACCCGCGCUACUGCUAGGGUUUUCCGUAGUAGUGCUUGUCAACCCAAUGAAUAAAUCUACCGUUUCCUAGUUGCAAUAAGAAACAAUUAGCAUUUAAUUAAUGGACACACAUUAGUCAAUAUAUUUUGAAAUGAGCAAAGUAUAGCAUAACUAGAUGAAAACCAAAUAUAGCAUAAGUGAGCUAGAAUGUUCCACAAACACGACAUGUCACAACUAAGUUACAAUGUUCUACCAACACAGCUUAGCAGCCAAACAAAACAUAGCUAUAAGACAUCCAAAUAUAGCACAAUAUAGUUGAAUUGUUCCACAAAAGUUGUGCAUGGGAUAACUGAAAUAUACAAUGGGUAUUGUCACAGAACACUAACUCUAGUUUAUACCAUUUACAUAUACUUUUUCCAGACAACCAUCACUUACUGAACAAGCAUCCCAUCAUUAGAGUCUGAGAAGAAAUGCAGCCUUCUCAGGGCGUCGAGAUCUGGGCCGUUGGAUUAAGCUUUCAAAAGAAUUGCGACCAUCAGAUCUUCAGAUGGAUCGAUCCGGGCCGUCGGAUCAUAGCAAACACUGCUACAGUGAAUAGUGUUGUUUCUUUUUUAUUUUGGUCUAUUAUUACUAUCUCGCUGACUGAUGGGCCACGCGGUAAGUGGUCCAUUGCUGUUAGUGAGAGCAGAGCACUAAGCGGUCGGUGCUGGUUCGUACAGGCUCAGGGGUCAGGCCAACGCCUGUGAAAUUGGGUAGCCGCUGAGGGCAAAUUCAACAUUUCACGUCAUCGCCCCUGCGUGACGCUCCGUGGAUGGCUAGUCAGCAAGUAAUGGCGAGGGAGCGACCCAUUGGCUAGAAACCUAGCCGCCUCUUCCCCGUCGUGUUCCUAUCUGUGUCGUUUGAGCUGCGGUCGCCAUCGAGGACGUGUCACUCGCACCGCCACUUCCCUGUCGAGCUCAUGCGUCCACUAGCCACACCGUCUCUUUUCCAUGCCUGCUCAUCCUCCGUUCCUCUUCGAUCACCGAGCUCGCCGUCGCUAUCGUCGGGAGGAAGCGAUUGGUGGACCUAGCCCACCGCCAUCAACGGGUGGAGCGCAGGAACCCGCGAUGCCCCUCCAGCGACCAGCACUUAUCCCUCGCCCAGCGACGAGGCCCCAUCGAACUCGCGUGUGGUCGCAGCUGGGAAUCCUCCUGUCCGCUCCUUGCUCCCCGCCGAGAGCCUUGAUUGGAUCUGGAUCCUGAGCUCUCCGUGCCCGCAUCGCCCCACCAUUCAUGGUGCACCACCAGCACGAGCUGCACAUCAUCAUGUCGUCAGAGGGAGAGCGGGAGGAAGUUGGCGCUGUUUAUCCCCACGAGGUGUGCCGUCGACGGUAGGAAGCCAGGCAGGGCGACGGGGAAAUACCGACGUAGUUCAAGCCGCAUCAAAAGGAAUUUCUGGCGCAGUUGCCAGGGAGACAUCAUCAACAUCUAUGAGGUUCCUAAUCACAAAUCCCAUCUCCUUGCAAUUUACAUUAUUUGCCAUUUGCCUCUCGUUUUCAUCUCCCCCACUUCACAAAAAAUUGCCGUUUUAUUCGCCCUCUUUUUCGUUUGCCUUUUUCUGGUUCGAUCUUAUGUUUGUUUGUGUCUCCAUGUGCCUUCUAUUUUGCUUGCAUCUUUUCUUGCUAAAACCUAUUGUUAUGGAUCCACUCAAAGUUUUGUACCUGGAUCUUGUUCGACCCAUAUGUGCUCGUGCUGAAACCCCAACUAGUUUAGUUGAGGGAAAAUCAUUAGAUGAGCAUGCUCUUUUUGCCCGUCAUCGUUUGUCUGAAAAAGGGAAGCUCUUAUGGAAUCAAAUAAAUUGUUUGCUAUGAUAUGCUUGGAAUCAUUAUGAAAUUUGUGAUUUUACUUGUUGCUCUAAGAACCCCAAAAAACACUUCCCCUAUCUAUGUGAGUUUAAUGACAAUGAAGUCUUAUGUUCUUAUGCCAAGGAGGUUUAUAGUUACUAUGAUAUCGAACAAAUUGAACAAUUUGUUGCUUUUAAGGGUGCUUAGAAGUUGCUUAUUUGAUUGAAAAGUAUGAUAUUACUCUCUACAAAUCUGAAAAUUUUGACAUACUUAAAUAUUGCUAUGAAAACUAUGCUCAUAAUGCCUAUGUUAAAGAAUUUAUUGAGAGAAUGUCCUAUGCUUUGAAAGAAAAUAGUGAUAUGCAUGAAGCUAUGGAUAACCAUGAUUCCGUUGAUUUGAUUGAAUUAUCCCCUCUUGAUGAACACGUUGCUAGCUAUUCUUGUGGCCAUGAUGCCAAUAUUAAUGAUGCUUAUGAAGAUGAACUUGCUAUAGUUCUUUAUGUUAAACAUGAAAUUAUUGCUAUUGCACGCACGCUGGAUAGCUCCUUUAAUGAAAAGCAUGAUUGCAAUGAUAUUAUUAUAGAUUCUAUUAAUCUCAAGUUUGUUAGUGAUAUGCAAAACCCCAAGCUUGGGGAUGCUUGUUUUGUUAUGUCCGCUACUUAUUGCAAUGAUCAUGAUUGGGGUGAUGAUGACUUUUAUGAUCUUGAUAGUCUAUUUAAGCCUCAUGAUGAAUAUGUUUGCAAUAAUAUUAAAAGUGGGUUUGGAAGAGUGUCAAAUAUUGAUAAAAAUAAUCCCACAAAUUUGGAGAGUGUUCAAUCUUAUGAUUUUUUUAUAAAAGUGGGCUUGGAAAGGUCAUGACUUUAUUUUAUGGUAAUCCCACUAUUUUGGAAGAGUGUCAACUUUGCAUGCAUGUGGAUCAUGUAGAGAAUAUGUUAUGUGAUAUCUAUAUUAUUGAAUUUGAACAUGAUUCCACAUGUAAUUGUUAUGAGAGAGGGAAAUAUGGUUGUAGAAAUUUCUUGCUACUAAGUCACCUCUCGUUAUGUUGAAUUGUCAAAGUUUUAUUUGUUUCCUAUGUAUAUGCUAGAUAUUUCUUGUUUUGAUAAUUUGUUUGCCUGUAAAAUUCCUAUACAUAGGAAAUAUGUUAGACUUAAAUGUGUUUAUCACAUGUUUUAUGAUCCUCUCUUUGUGUUUCAAUUAUUAUCUUUCAUGUGAGCAUCAUUGAAAUCGCAAAGCCUAUCUUAAUGGCUAUAAAGAAAGAGCUUGUUGGGAGGCAACCCAACGAAUAAAUUUUAUGUUUGCCUUUUUGUUUCUGUACAAUUAUGCCUCUGUUAUGAUUAUGUUUUUUAUGUUUUAAUUAGUGUUUGUGCGAAGCAAAGCCUUUUAGGAUCAUGUUGGGUGAUAGUUGAUUUGAUCUUGCUGAAAAACAGAAAAUUAUGAGUCCAGUAACACAAUUAUUAAAAUUCACAGAAGCGUGAUAAAAUUCUGAUUUUUUUACAGAAGAUUAAUACAAAUAGCGUAUGUUGUCCUAAUUUUUCAGAAUUUUUGCAGUUACAUAAGUAUACGAAGUUUUCAGAUUGCUACAGACUAUUCUGUUUUUGACAGAUUAUAUUUUCUUUUUGUUGUGUGCUUAUUUUGAUGAAUAUAUGGACUUUAUUGGAGGGUAUAAGCUAUAGUAAAGUUCGAAUACAGUACAUAUAAUGCAAAAAUAAAAUAUGAAUGGGUUUGCAACAGUACUUAGACUAGUGAUUUGCUUUGUUAUACUAACGGAUCUCACGAUGGUUUUGUUGAGUUUUGUGUGAUUGAAGUUUUUCAAGUUUUGGGUGAGAUCACGAUGGAUGAAGGAAUAAGGAGUAUGAAGAGACUAAUCUCGGGGAGGCCCAUGGCACCCCAAGUUAUUAUCCAAAGAGGAACAAGCAAUUAAGAUUGGGGAUGCCCCCGAGUGGCAUCCCCUCUUUCUUCUAAUGACCAUCGGUAUUUUACUUGGAGCUAUAUUUUUAUUCGUCACAUAUCAUGAGUUUUGCUUGGAGCAUCUUGUAUUAUAUGAGUCUUUGCUUAUUUUGCUUUUUUAUUUUGUGUCAUCUAUCCUUGCUGGACACACCUAUUUGAGAGGGCCCAAAUUAUGCUAUGGAAUCUUUUUGCUUCACUUAAAUCUUUUUGAGCUAUGGAAUUGAUCUUUGUGCUUCACUUAAAUCUUUUUGAGCUAUGAAAUUGCUCUAGUGCUUCACUUAUAUCUUUUUGAGAACGGUGUGCUUUGGUAUUUUUGAAGAAAUGCUCUCAUACUUCACGUAGAUUUAUUUGAGAGUUAGUAAAUUUUUUAAGAAAUCCUCUCAUGCUUCACAUAAAUUAAUUUGAGAGAAGAAAUUUUUUAUGCUCGUGUUCUUCACUUAGAUUUGUUUGAGCUAUCAAAAGCAACAUAUGAAAUUAGUCCCAAAGUGAUAGAUAUUCAAGAGGGAUAUAAUAAAAACUUUCAUGAAGAUCGUUAGACAAAAUAAACUUGAUUCUUUGUAAUAGUUUUGCGGUAUGACGAUAUAAUAUGUGAGUCAUGUUGAUGAGUUAUUACGCUUUAGUGAGAAUAUUGAUGUUAAGGUUUGUGAUUCUCUAUGUAAGCACGAAAGUCAAUAGUUAUGCAAUGAAAUUACAUCCUACUUGUCGUGCAUUAUUCGGUGUUAGUUCUGCUUAAUUCUUGCUUAUGAGAUUUUUUGUUUCUUGGUUGGAUGCUUCUCAAUAUUUUGCUAGCCUUCAAUUGUACUAAGUGGGAUUACUACUUGUGCAUCCAAAAUCCUUGAACCCAGUUUUUGCCAUAUGAGUCCACUAUACCUACCUAUAUGCGGUAUUCAUUUGCCGUUCUAAGAAAAUUUGUAUGUGCCAUCUCUAAUCUUCAAAAUAACUUCCUUUUUGUGUGCUCGUACCGCUCAUGAAACGGUAGGGGGUGGCUGAUAUUUUUCCAUGCUAGAUGUGUUAUUCUCAAGAUGAGUGUUUAUUCACUUGUCACUGCACGAGAGUAUGGCAAAGUUAUUAGGGAUGCCCAGUCCUGAAAUGAAAAAUGAAUUUACUUUAUGUUGUCAAAUAAUAAACUCCUUGGAAAGUGUUGGUAUGGACGGUACCCGUGGAUUCGGUUCGCCGUGGAAUGUGAAAGUAUGGUGGAAAAAGGAAUAAACUUUAUUUUCUGUUUGGGAACCACCUAUGAUAUAUCUAGCAUGGAAAGUAUUGGGAACUACUCGAUCGUUUUCAUUGACAGGAAAGGCAUGCCACCCAAAAUGUCUUAUCUCUAUCUUUUUCCGCUUUUAGCUCUGGCACCUCUACAAAUCCCUACUUCCCUCUGCGAAGGGCCUGUCUAUUUACUUUAUGAAAUUUUUAUUUUUAUUUCAAGUCUCCAUCUUCUCUUACAAAGCACCAACUAAGGGGCACUACGAUCGUACCAUAGCAUUGGGUGUAGCUAAUAUGCGAGUGUGUUUCAUGAAUGGAUCAAUGAUUGAGCAUAAUGGGCUAGGGAUAAAUUGCUUUAGUGUUGAUAUUUUGAAAGACAUGGUUGCUUGUUGAUAUGCUUGAGUAUUGAAAUCUUCAUAUCAACACUAGACUAUUCCUUUGAAUCAUAUAAAAGUCCAAAUGUCCAUGCUACAAAAGAAAAAGAAUAUGUGAUGAACAUGAUAGGCAACAUUCCACAUCAAAAAUUCUAUUUUUAUCAUUUACCUACUCGAGGAGGAGCAGGAAUUAAGCUUGGGGAUGCUGAUACGUCUCCAACGCAUCUAUAAUUUUUCAUUGUCCCAUGUUGUUAUAUUAUCAUUUUUGGAUGUUUUACAAUCAUUUUAUAACAACUUUAUAUCUUUUUUGGGACUAGCCUAUUGACAUAGUGCCUAGUGCCAGUUGCUGUUUUUUGCUUGUUUUUACACUGCAGAAAAUCAAUACCAAAUGGAGUCCAAAUGCAGCGAAACAUUUUGCAGAAUUUAUUUGGACCAGAAGACACACGAUGGGCCAAUAGAGUACUAGAGGGGGGCUCCGAGGGAAGCACAACCCACCUGGGCGCGCCCUGGUGGGUUGUGCACACAUCGGCUCGCUAUCGUGCCGCCUCUUUGCUCCAUAAAUACCCCGAAAAUCCAAAAACCCUAGGAGUCGACGAACACAAUUCCAGCUGCCGCAAGUUCCACAAAGCACAGAUCCAAUCUAAACACUGAUACGUCUCCAAUGUAUCUAUAAGUUUUUAUUAUUCCACGCUAUUAUAUUAUCUGUUUUGGAUGUUUUAUAUGCAUUAAUAUGCUAUUUUAUAUUAUUUUUGGGACUAACCUAUUAACCUAGAACCCAGUGCUAGUUCCUGUUUUUUCUUGUUUUAGAGUUUCGCAGAAAAGGAAUAUCAAACAGAGUCCAAACGGAAUGAAACUUUGGCGAUGAUUUAUCUUUGACCAGACGAUAACCAGAGGACUUGGAGUACACGUCAAGGAAGCCACAAGGAAUCCCAAGGGGGUAGGGCGGGCCCCCCACCCUUGCGGACCCCUAGUGACACCACCGACCAAUUUCUUCCGCCUAUAUAUUCUCAAAUACCCCAAAACCUUCUAGGAGAGCCACGAAACCACUUUUCCACCGCUGCAACCUUCUGUACCCGUGAGAUCCCAUCUAGGGGCCUUUUCCGGCAUCCUGCCAGACGGGGACUCGAUCACGGAGCGCUCCUACAUCAACAUUGCCUCUCCGAUUAAGCGUGCGUAUUUUACCACAAACCUACGGGUCCAUAGCUAGUAGCUAGAUGGCUUCUUCUCUCUCUUUGAUUCUCAAUACCAUGUUCUCCUCGACGUUCUUGGAGAUCUAUUCGAUGUAAUACUUUUUUGCGGUGGGUUUGCCGAGAUCCGAUGAAUUGUGUAUUUAUGAUCAGCUUAUCUAUGAAUAUUAUUUGAAUCUCCUCUGAAUUCUUAUAUGCAUGAUUUGAUAUGUUUGCAAGUCUCUUCGAACUAUCGAUUUGGUUUUGCCACCUAGAUUUGUUUUUCUUGCAAUGGGAGAAGUGCUUAGCUUUGGGUCAAUAUUGCGGUGCUCGAUCCUAGUGAUAGAAGGGGAACCGACACGUAUUGUAUUGUUGCCAAUGAGGAUAACAAGAUGGGGUUUUCAUCAUAUUGCUUGAGUUUAUCCCGCUACAUCAUGUCAUCUUACUUAAUGUGUUACUCUUUUAUUCAUGAGCUUAAUACUCUAGAUGUAGGCAGGAGUCGGUCGAUGUGUGGAGUAAUAGUAGUAGAUGCAGGCAAGAGUCGCUCUACUUGAUACAGAUGUGGUGCCUAUAUUCAUGAUCAUUGCCUUAGAUAUCGUCAUAACUUUGCGCUUUUCUAUCAAUUGCUCGGCACUAAUUUUUUCACCCAACGUAAUAUUUUCUAUCUUAAGAGAAGCCUCUAGUGAAACCUAUGUUCCCGAGUCUAUUUUCCAUCAUAUAAUCUUCUAUUUUCCAUCAUAUAAGUUUCCGAUCUACAAUUUUAGUUUCCUAUUUACUUUCUUUGCAAUAUUUUGCAUUCCGAUCUAUAAACCAAAAAUACCAAAAAUAUUACUUUACCGUUUAUCCAUCUAUAUCAGAUCUCACUUUGCAAAUAAUUGUGAAGGGAUUGACAACCCGUUUAUCGCGUUGGGUGCAAGUUGGUGUUUGUUUGUGCAGGUAUUCGGUGGCUUGUGCAUUGUCUCCUACCGGAUCGAUACCUUGGUUCUCAAAACUGAGGGAAAUACUUACUCUACUUUGCUGCAUCACCCUUUCCUCUUCAAGGGAAAAACCAACGCAAGCUCAAGAAGUACUGGGAAGAAUUUUUGGCGCCAUUGCCGGGGAGAUCUACGCCAAGCCGAGACAUACCAAGUACCCAUCAUAAACUCUCAUCCCUCGCAUUACAUUAUUUGCCAUUCGCUUCUCGUUUUCCUCUCCCGCACCUCUCACUACUAGGAAAAGGGCUAUAGACAAUAUGCACACUAAUGGCGCACCAGACAUGCGGUGCGCCACUACUAUAUAGCGGUGGCGCACCGUGUGCUGGUGCGCCAUUAGUGUGAUAGACACUAAUGGCGCACCACAACCAUGGUGCGCCACUACUAACAAAUUUUCUUUUUCUUUUUAAAAAAAUACUAAUGGCGCACCGCAACCAUGGUGCGCCACUACUAAUUUUUUUCCUUUUUUCCAAAAAUACUAAUGGCGCUACUUGGCACAGUGCGCCAUUACUAGUUUUAACUAGUAAUGGCGCACCAGUCACCCCGUGCGCCACUACUAUCAUUUUUUUGCAAAACUACUAAUGGCGCACCGCCAGCUGGUGCGCCAUUAGUAACCAGGGUUACUAAUGGCGCAUUUGUUGGUGGUGCGCCAUUAGUAACCUGGGACCAGCUAGAUAUUUUGGACAGCCACCUACACACUCACUUUCCCCACUUCAUUCUCUCCACCUCCUCCUCCAAGCUUGUCUCGGCUGCCUCCUCCUCCUCACCUCAUUUGCACCAUAGAUUCAUCCAAAUUAAGUGGUUAAAUUACCUUUUUUGAUAGGUAAGUAAGGGGAAAGCUUUCUUUAUGUUGUAGAUCUACUUUUUUCUCCCUCCAACAACGUGCACAUGCACUUUUUAUGGCCUAGCUAGAUCUAUGUAUGUUUGUGGUGUUGCAUAUGUUUGUGGUGUUGCAUAUAUGUUUGUGUUUGCACGUACCGGUAUUUGAAAUGCGAUAGUUGCCAAUAUUUUGCCAGAAUGUUGAUUCAUUUCCGUUUCGUCAAGAAUUUUGGCACUAUGCAUUCUUUUUUGUCCUAUUUUUAGGCAAAGUCAUGCCAAAUUUUUUCUUGGUUCUAAAAUAUCGUUUUGCUCUACCCUGCAGGCGACCAUGGUCUGCACGAUGACCGAAGGCAUCGUGAAUAGGUUUUUGAGCUCCGCGAAGGCCGAGAUGCUUCAAAAGAAUGAGACGGAGAUAAGAUGUCCGUGUCGAAGAUGCAAGCUGAGGAGCCUUAUGGACCCGGAUUCCGUACAGGUGCGGGACCACCUGCUCUUGCGUGGUUUCAUGGAUGGCUAUCGGUGGCAAGGUGAUGAAGAUGAUUAUGAAGUCGUCCAUGGGGGCCGGCCGGUAAGAAAUGAGGAAGGGCAGCAAGACAACCGCGGCGAGGGCGGGCGAGAAGACGAAGAAUCUCCAGGACAUGAUCACGAAGUAGAUGCAGUACGCAGUCAUCAUGUAGAAGAUGCCGGACAUAAAGAUGAGGAAGAUGCCGGAGCAGACGAAGGGCAUGAUCAUGAAGAUGAAGAUGCCGGAGCGGACGACGAUGGACCAUCGAUGGGCUGGGUGCAGGACCCUCAUAUUCAAGAGCUGCUUCUCAAGCAGACGGAUAACGCAAGAGCUGCCGCCCGAGAGAAAGCCAAGCUGGAUCAACUGGAGAUAGACGCGGUUACUCCAUUGUAUGAAGGAUGCAGGCCCGAGGAUACCCGCCUGAAAGUAACGCUCAUGGCUCUGGAGAUGAAGGUAAAACACAAAAUGACCGACGCAUGCUUCGACGAGAACAUGUCAUUCUGGCACGAACGUCUUCCCAAGGGGAACAAGUGCCCGACCAGUUUUGAGGAGGCGAAGAAAAUCGUGUGUCCUCUGGAUUUACCGCACGUGAAAUACCAUGUGUGCAUGAACAAUUGCAUCAUUUAUCGGGACGAGCACGCGGAGUCUACCAUAUGUCCGGUGUGCGGCGUCACUCGAUACAAGAAGAGGAAGAAAGCUCCUCGAAAAGCGGUGUGGUACUUUCCGAUCGCUCCUCGUGUGCAGCGGUAUUUCGCGGACCCUAAGGUAGCAAAGCUCUUGCGUUGGCACGCGGAUAGGGAGGAGAAGAAGCGAGAAGAUGACGCAAAUGAUCCGGAGAUAAAUAAAAAAGACAAGAUGCUGAGUCACCCUAAGGAUGGGAGCCAGUGGCAAGCGUUGAACUUCGAACACCCAGAAUUUGGGAACGAUCCAAGGAACAUCGUGCUGGGCGCGAGCACCGAUGGAGUCAAUCCGUUUGGCAGCCAGAGAAGCACACAUAGCACCUGGCCUGUGUUUGUGGAUGUACAACCUUCCCCGCUGGUUGUGCAUGAAGAGGAAGUACAUUCACAUGAGUAUGCUAAUUGAAGGGCCGAAACAACCAGGGAACGACAUCAAUCUGUAUCUGGGGCUGCUGAAAGAGGAGCUAGACACGCUGUGGAAAACGCCAGCCAAUACGUGGGACACCGCAGAGAAAGAAUAUUUCCCUAUGAGAGCCGCUCUGCUCACGACGGUGCACGACUAUCUCGAUUACGGAUAUGUCGCGGGGCAGGUGGUCCACGGAUUUUCUGGAUGCGUCAGGUGCAUGGAUGACACAACAUAUCGCCAGCUAGAUAGAGAUCUCAGGUCUUCGAAAACCGUGUUCAUGGGACAUCGAAGGUGGCUUCGCGACGAUGACUCAUGGAGGAAACGCAAGGAUCUGUUCGAUGGUGAAACCGAAACCCGAAGACGCCCGCGUACGAGGAGCGACAAGGAAAUAGACGAGUUGUUGAAAAAUUGGAAAGAUUGCCCACUGCCGGGAAAGAAGCAAAAGGCACCAGAGCCGGAAAAGAAGCGAAAGGCGCAAGAGCCGCUGCUGAAGGUAUGGAAAAUGAGGUCUGUUUUCUGGGACUUGCUGUACUGGAAGAUCCACCGUGUGCCUCACAGCCUUGAUGUCAUGCAUAUCACGAAGAACGUGUGCGAGAGUCUGCUUGGUACCCUGCUCAACAUGCCGGAGAGGACCAAAGAUGGGCCGAAAGCAAGGGCAGACUUGAAAUCAAUGGGCAUCAGGGAGGAGCUUCACGCUAAUGAUGAUGAUGAUGAGGCGAAGCAGGACACGGAAAGUCGUCGCAAAGGCAAAAAGGCCAAGAAGACCGAAAAUGACUUCCCUCCCGCGUGCUUCACUCUAAGUCAGGAGGAGAUCGAUCAGUUUUUCACCUGCCUCGUAGGAGUAAAACUUCCUUACGGUUACGCGGGGAAGAUAAGCAGAUACCUAGACUCAGCGAAGCAGAAGUUCAGCGGGAUGAAGUCUCAUGACUGUCACGUGCUGAUGACGCAGAUACUUCCAGUUGCAAUCCGUGGGAUCAUGGACGCGCACGUCCGUGAAACGCUAUUUGGCCUAUGCAACUUUUUCGACGUCAUCUCUCGGAAGUCGGUUGGUGUGAGGCAACUCAGAAGGCUACAUGAAGAGAUCGUAGUGAUACUAUGCGAGCUUGAGAUGUACUUCCCGCCCGCAUUCUUCGACGUUAUGGUGCAUCUGCUGGUCCAUAUCGUGGAGGAUAUCAUCCAACUCGGGCCGACGUUCCUGCACAGCAUGAUGCCGUUCGAAAGGAUGAAUGGUGUCAUCAAAGGAUACGUUCGCAACAUGUCACGUCCAGUGGGAAGCAUAGCCAGGGGCUUUCUGACCGAAGAGUGCAUCUCCUACUGCACGAAUUAUCUAGGCAUCGAGAACCCCGUUGGUCUGCCCGCCAACAGGCACCUCGGCAGGCUCGCUGGAUGGGGUCAUCGUGAGGGUUGCCGCGAAAUGCAUGUCGAUUUCGAGGGUCGACUCGCCGACUUUGAAAGAGCAAACCUAGUCGCGCUACAACACAUAGACGUGGUCGAUCCUUGGGUGGUAGAGCACAAAACCUUUAUUGAGAAGACGUACAAUGACCGAGACCAACAGAGGACGGACGGAGAUAUAAUCAAAGAGCACAACUCAUAUUUCACGCGUUGGUUCAAGCAGCAUGAGGAUUCUUCCGCGGAAGAACAACUCAAAUUCGCCUUGUCACAGGGCGCCGAGCACAACCUGAUGACGUAUGAGGCGUACAAUAUCAACGGCUACACAUUCUACACCGAGGGAAAGGACAUGAAGAGCGAUGGUUAUCAGAACUCUGGGGUAACGAUGGAAUCCUACACCGGUAACGAUAAGGACAGAUACUACGGAAGGAUCGAGGAGAUCUGGGAGCUGAGCUAUGCUGGAGAGAAGGUCCCGAUGUUCCGUGUCAGAUGGGCCAAGAGCGUCCUAAAAGAAGACCGGUAUUUCACCACCAUGGUUAUACCCGAAGCCAAAUCCAAGACCGCGGGCGCAAACGACACCGUGAAAAAUGAGCCAUGGGUACUGGCUUCCCAAGUGGACCAAUGCUUCUUCAUUACCGACCCGUCAAAGCCCAGUCGUGUUGUCGUGAGGAGAGGCAAAAGGAAGAUCAUCGAAAUGGAUGGAGUCGCCAAUGAGCAAGACUUCGACAAGUACGGCGACCCGAAGAUGGAACAUGACGACGAUGAUGAAGUACCAGCAUACACCACAAGAAGAAGCAGGACCACCCUACCUAAAGGACGUCCGUUCAAGAGAAGAACUCCAUUUACGAAAAAUAAGGGCAAGAAGAUUGUGAACAGAUAGCUAGCUAAGAUCGAUUGUAUUUAAAUUGUAGCCUUCAUUUCUCGAUUGUAUUUCAUGGGCACUUUUUGAACUCAUGAAUAUUUUUAAAUUUCAUGGGCACUUUUUGAAUUCAUGAAUAUUUUUUCAAAUUUCACCGCCGCCGCCGCCGACCCCCCGCACCCUCCCCCGCUCCACCGCCACCGACGACCCACCGCACCCUCCCCCGCUCCACCGCCNNNNNNNNNNNNNNNNNNNNNNNNNNNNNNNNNNNNNNNNNNNNNNNNNNNNNNNNNNNNNNNNNNNNNNNNNNNNNNNNNNNNNNNNNNNNNNNNNNNNNNNNNNNNNNNNNNNNNNNNNNNNNNNNNNNNNNNNNNNNNNNNNNNNNNNNNNNNNNNNNNNNNNNNNNNNNNNNNNNNNNNNNNNNNNNNNNNNNNNNNNNNNNNNNNNNNNNNNNNNNNNNNNNNNNNNNNNNNNNNNNNNNNNNNNNNNNNNNNNNNNNNNNNNNNNNNNNNNNNNNNNNNNNNNNNNNNNNNNNNNNNNNNNNNNNNNNNNNNNNNNNNNNNNNNNNNNNNNNNNNNNNNNNNNNNNNNNNNNNNNNNNNNNNNNNNNNNNNNNNNNNNNNNNNNUCCACCGCCACCGACGACCCCCCGCACCCUCCCCUCUGCCCUCUAUCACAGCGGGGACAACAGGAAGCCGCCGUCGCGCCCCUCUGCACCGGCUGCCCACGGCGCCUCCGUCCCGAAGCCGCAGCCCAAGUGCCCACCACUCUCUGUCCACGGUGAGCCAUCCUCUCUGUCCCAACUCUCUGUUCUUCUUUUUUAGCUAUCCUUUGUUGAAACAGUAGUUGCUGUGUAGCAAAUCUUUGGGAUUAGUGUUCAGUACUUUGUUGGGUGAGCGGCCAUCUGAGACAUCCUGCUUACAUAGUCUCCUUUUUAAAACUCGUCAAAUUGGUUUUAGAUAGAAAUGAUCAACACUCAAUUGGCCAACUGCAUGUGGAAUGAUUUCGAAGGGCGCCAUAACUUAUUGUAGAUGCUGACUACAAUAACAAUACUAAACUCAGUGUAGUCUGUUGUAAAGACACUUGUGCUUCUUUCAUCUGGAAAGGGGUCGUCUGGCCUCCAAAACUGUCAGAUUAGGUUGUGCUGUAACUCCUCACAUGGCCAUGUUUUUGGAAGAUUGGUCGUUUGUCACCGGCCCUUUGGUCACCCAGCAAUGGGACUUGUAUCAUAUUGCCAAUGAGGUUAAUAAAACAGUAGUGCAUCAGUACUUUGUUGGAACAGAAAGUCAGAAAAUCAGAAAAUCCACGGUACUUUGUUUAGAUCUUCACUGUUGACAAACGCAGUCAACUAAAAAUCCAGUUCAGUGCAUAAUUAGUGUUGACAAAUACACUGAUCUUUAUCUGCAGUAAUUCAGUUUAAACUGAAAAUUCAGUGUUGUAGUACAGAAAAUUUAAACUGAAAAUUCAUAGUCUCCUGGUGCAUAUUGAUCUCAGUGUAUGAAUUCAUAGUGUUUCAAAUUACUGAUGCUAUGGUCCAGGAGUAGAAAAAUUUGUACUCCAAGAUCAAUAUGGUUCAAUUUCUACUGUACUGUAAUCAAAGUGGAUAUAAAUUGCAGAGUGUUUAUGUUGGCAUUCGACAACAUCUAAAUUUACCAAAUGAUUGUGAACUCAGUUUAUGUUUGCAACCAAAUGCUUAGUUCAUUGUUUACUCCAAAUGAUUGUGAACUUAUUCAAAGUUUCCAAUAUUGUUCAGACACUACUUGUACUGGAACUGGAACUACUACUACUGAUGCAGCACCCCAUGUAGUUUAAGUUUUCUUUAUCUUAAACUCAGACAGCUCUCUAAUUAUUGGAGUUUAUAUCAUAUAUAUUGCUGGCAUGUAUUUCAUAUGUUCUGUAGCAUUAAGGCUACAUAGCAUUGCUUUUGUCUCUGACCAUCGUGUCGUGAUGAUAUUGUGGGGUGUUGUGGGGUUGCAGAGGCCCUUGAGUUUCAUCGCGAUGAUGCUAAUCGUGAUGACCGCAGCUCUCUUCUAUGUGAUGGUAGUUUAGAUGAUCGAUAUCGACUUGUAAUGUGAAGACAAACUCGCUACUCGCGGUUUCGAGACUUGUAGUGUUCUAACUUUGUUUGGUCUUUUGAAUUCGGAGACUAAUAUGAUGAAUUGUAUUCGGAGACUAAUCUUCUAUUGUAUUCGAUAACUCUGCUGUUUAUAUGUUGUGUGUCUAUAUUCUGUGCAGUAAUAUGUUUUGUAACCUGUGCAAAUAUCAGAAAAGAAAAAAAUCCCUAAUAUUCAUACUAGUGGCGCACCACCCAGAACUUUAGUGGCGCACUGCAAAAUGCAUACUAGUGGUGCAUCAGCAAGCAGUGCGCCAUUAGUAAGCCAGAGACAUGGUUAAAUAUGGCCCCCUGGGAGGCAUUCUAAUGGCGCAUCAUAGGGUGUACUAAUAGCGCACUACAUGGUGCGCCAUUAGUAUCUGAUAUACUAAUGGCACACUUGUGGUGCGCCAUUAGUAAUAAAAUCUAAUGGCAUGGUACUAGUGGCGCACCUGUAGUGCGCCAUUAGUAGGCAAAACAGGUGCGCCACUAGCAGCCCUUUUCCUAGUAGUGUCUAAAACGAUUUUCGAAAAAUUUGUCUUUUCUUCGCCCCUCUUUCGUGCGUCUUCUUCUUUUGCUCUUUGUUCGCUUGUCCGUUUGAUCUUUUAUCUUGCUGUCAUGGCUAGUUUUCCAUCCUUGUUAGCACUCCCAAUAAUAAGGUCCUCAACUUCAAACAAAGGGAAGGAGAAAAUUUAAAAGAUGCUUGGUAUAGAAUUUAUAAUGCUCAAAUUUGAUGAUUACUGCUGGAGAUGACUAACAUCCUAGAUGUUACUCACUAUGUCUAGAUACAUUCGUUUGAGUGUCAACUAAUUCUGAACAUCUUAGGUGUUACUCCCAAGUCUAGAUACAUUUUUUUGAGUGGCAACUAAUUCUGAAUGGAGGAAGUACACAAAGCUAAGCCACAGCCAUGAAAUAUAUAUAGGGCGGGGGGCGCUCGUUCCACAAGGAGCGGCGGGUAGCUUAGCUAUAGCUCGAUCGAUGAAUAUGGCUGUAGAUGGGUUUGGUGAGCUGGGCAUUCGUGUGGUGAGUCGCCGGCUGGUGCUCUGCCUGCCAGCUACUGCUCUGCCUGCCGCUCCACCUCCUUGUCGAUCGCGCCCACCCAAACGGACGUCCAUGACACAUACACCGACAAUGUGCUCCUCCACGGCCACGACUACCCAAGUAGUGGCCACGGCACCUCCUCCACAGGCUCGGGCGUGGGCGGUGCUGGUGGUGGUGGGGGCACGUUGGCCUCCACUCCGGCCGCCAAUUGGGCCAGCGCCUGCGCAAGGCCAGGCCACCUGGCCUUGCUCCUCGCGCUCGGCCUCCACGAUGGCCCUCCAUGUGGCCUCCUCGAGGGACACAACACAGGCCUCCUCGGCAUCCUAAUCCUCCUCCUUCACCACUCCCGGAAGUGGUGGUGGAGUGGCAAGAACGCGUGGUGCACCGGGCGCACACUUGACGCACUACCGGCAAUGUUGGUCGUGCUCGGUGGCAAACCACGCGUCCUAGUUACCGCAUACGUUGGGUCACGGCGGAGGUUGGCUAGGAGUAGAGCAUGGGAUCUCCGUCAGCUGUGCGCGGCCUGAGGCCGGCACCGGAACCCUAGCAAGGUUGAGGUCCCACCCGUGCGGUAGGUUCACACUGGGCUAUGGCGCAGGCACGCCAUACUCCCAAAAGUACUGGUAGCGGUGCAUCGGCAUGUAGUGCCGAAACCAUGGCUGCCGACUCAAGGUCGAUUUAUCUGUUCUUAUAAACUAGCGAAUUAGCAACUAUAUUACCCAAGAGUAACAACCAAGUCAUAUAUACAAUGUACGCUUGCAACCAUUGAAUAAAUUGUACAGAAUACCAAACAAAGAAGAUUGAACGAGGUCGUGGAACAACUCACAUGCACCAUCCACAGGUCAAGUGGAUGAUCCCAAUGAUGAGCGAAUGAUCCUAAUGACGAGCAGUUGGCGAGAUUAUGUUGCUCUUGUGAUGGUUAGUGAUGUCUGCGCUAGAGCUUGCUUACAACCUUGCGAGGUAAGGAGCUACGGCUACAUGCGUAUUAGGUUUUAUAAGCCGUGAAACCUCGAUAAAAGUUGCCGCUAUAAGUUUUUUCUUCAUGUCACUAUAAACCUUAUNNNNNNNNNNNNNNNNNNNNNNNNNNNNNNNNNNNNNNNNNNNNNNNNNNNNNNNNNNNNNNNNNNNNNNNNNNNNNNNNNNNNNNNNNNNNNNNNNNNNNNNNNNNNNNNNNNNNNNNNNNNNNNNNNNNNNNNNNNNNNNNNNNNNNNNNNNNNNNNNNNNNNNNNNNNNNNNNNNNNNNNNNNNNNNNNNNNNNNNNNNNNNNNNNNNNNNNNNNNNNNNNNNNNNNNNNNNNNNNNNNNNNNNNNNNNNNNNNNNNNNNNNNNNNNNNNNNNNNNNNNNNNNNNNNNNNNNNNNNNNNNNNNNNNNNNNNNNNNNNNNNNNNNNNNNNNNNNNNNNNNNNNNNNNNNNNNNNNNNNNNNNNNNNNNNNNNNNNNNNNNNNNNNNNNNNNNNNNNNNNNNNNNNNNNNNNNNNNNNNNNNNNNNNNNNNNNNNNNNNNNNNNNNNNNNNNNNNNNNNNNNNNNNNNNNNNNNNNNNNNNNNNNNNNNNNNNNNNNNNNNNNNNNNNNNNNNNNNNNNNNNNNNNNNNNNNNNNNNNNNNNNNNNNNNNNNNNNNNNNNNNNNNNNNNNNNNUAUAUAUGUAUAUAUAUAUGGGGCAUGAAACUGCAAACUACCACUAUUGUUGCCGGUGGACCUCCCGGCUCCGGUGCACAUCCCAACGUCGCCCUCGUGAAGCAAGCGAAUGGCCCCGCGAGCAUGUGGACGUUGUCCAUGUGGCAUUGGGUUCCCGCUUCUUGAGUGAACCGGAAAAAAAACCCAAAGCUGGUCAAUCUUCGGCUCGAAAGGAAGCCUGGCUUAUGGUUUUGUGUUUUCGCGCCGGCGUAGCCGCUCUCCGUCUGGGUGAGCGAGCGGUGGAGGACUGCCGCAAUGGAGGAGAUGGUGGUCCUUGGGCCCCGAUGCCUUUCGUGGCAUGAGGGCCGUGUCUUGUAUUCGAUGGCCGGGGACGCCAUCCGGAGCAGCUUGAGAAGGCACCGUCGGGGCUUUGCGCUUGCACCCCUAUGCAGCCAUGCCCGGCGCAGCGGGCUGUCCGCUGUGUGUCUUGCGGAGUCUGAGUGCAUCCAUCGGCUGAUUUUUAUUUUAUUCUUUCGAUGAGGAUUAGUAGUCGGAGAGUAGAUAGGUUCUUCCUCGAUCCCAUGAUAUAAAAGCUUGGGUGUUCGUUGACGCUAGCAAUGUCAAAAACGCUCUUAUAAAAUGGGAGGGAGUCCCUCGCAAAGAAAAAAAGAGAGUAGAUAGCUACUUUAUCUUUUAUUUUGAAGGUGGGAGUAGAUUGAUAACUACUUAGUGCACGUACGAAAAGAAAGACACGAUCGCCUAAAAAAAAGAAAUACUAUAUUGAGAUAUAUAUAGGGCGUGCGGGCGCUAGCAGUUCCACAACGAGCGGCGGGUAGCUAGGUUCAACAUCCAUAUAGGUUGAAUAUGGCUGUAGAUGGGUUUGGCGAGGUGGGCAUUCGUGUGGUGAGUCGCCGGCUGGUGAAGGCAUCCGACCCCUCCAUCCAACCGCAGGUGGUGCCCCUCUCCAACCUCGACCUGUACGUCGGCAACGUACAAGUCGCCAUACUAUGCCUCUAUCCCAAGCCUCCGGCGGGCAGGGAUUUCGCCGGCGUGGUGGCCACCUUCGAGUCCUUGCUGCCGGCUUUACUCAACGAGUUCUACCCUUUCGCCGGCCGCAUCGGCACCAACCCAAGCUCAGGCCUCCCCGAGCUGCUCUGCCAGAACCAGGGCGCAGAGCUGGUCGUGGGAGAGGUCCGCGUCGCUCUGGGGAGCCUGGACUACGGCCUGGCGGACAAGUCCCUGAAGAAGCUGAUGCUCCCGUACGCGGAGGACGUCACCUUCUCGGUGCAGCUGCUAUCCUUCGCCUGCGGCAGCUUCUCCGUGCUGUGGGCAACCAACCACCUCGUCGGCGACGGCCAUGACAACAUCAGGUUCCUGCGGAUGUGGUCUGAGCUCGCACGAACGGGCAAAAUCGUCGCCGACGGCGGGGACGGAAAGCUAAGCCACGACCGCUCGGUGUUCCGCCCUCGCAACCCGCCGUCAUACAGAGCCUCGCUCGCCACCGACCUAACGACGUUCGACCCGCGCCGGCUGGUAAACGUCCUGACGGCCCACGACAGCUUCGUCGACCGCCUCUACUACAUCGACGCGGCCGACAUCGCCAGGCUGCGCGAGAUGGCGAGCACCAAGCUGCAGCGCUCGUCACGCGUCCAGGCCGUGUCCGCGUACCUGUGGAAGGUCCUCGCCGGCGUGGUUGCCGCUUCCCGCGUGCCCGAGGAGCGCUGCCGCAUGGGGUGGUGGGUGAGCGCGCGCCGUCGUCUCACGUCGCCUGACCUCGCCUCUGCGAUGCGCAACUACUUCGGCAACGUCACGACCUAUGCCUACGGGGACGCGACGCUGGAGGAGAUCCAGCGCAAGUCGCUCGCGGAGGUGGCGGCCAUGGCGCGGGAGCCGGUCGCCUCCGUCAACUACGACGAGUACAUCCAGGAUCUGGUGGACUUCGUGGAGGUGCACAAGGGACAAGGGCUGAUGGAGACGGCCGUCGUCGGGCUGGGCAGCCCGACCCUAAGCCAGUCCGUGUUCGACUCAUUCCCACUCGACACCGACUUCGGCUUCGGCCAAGCUGCUCUCGCCAUGCCCAUCUCCGACUUCGCCAACCUCUGCUCAGCCUACCUGUCCAUCAGCGCGCGGCCGGCAGGCGACGGCUCCUGGCUCGUCAGUGCCUACAUAUGGCCGCGUCUCGCCGCCGCCCUCGAGGCCGAUGAGCAGCACAUCUUCAAGCCUCUCACGGCGGACUACCUUGGCCUCACAGCCUGCUAGACAACACCCACGCUAUUCUGUGUGUUCUUUUAGCCAACAAUAAAAUUCCUUGGUGUUUUGCUCUUCUUCCAACAAUAAAAUCCUUGUGUUGUGUUGUGUGGUGCUAUGUACUUUGGUUUUUUUCUUCAUCCAACAAUAAAGUUAGGAAGCGUUACUUUUUGAAAAAUAGCACACCUUAUAUAUACAUUUACUUUGAAAGUUAGAGAGGAUUUACUUUGAAAGUCACAGGUUUGCCAAGCACCUGAGGAAAAACACUCGGCAAAGCCAGCCCUUGGUUUCCGUCAGCCAAUAAAAGAUAGAUCACACGCGUGGCCGCCUGCUUAGCUAUAACCAAGGGCUCGCCGCCGCCAUACCCCCUUCACCUCCCCGCUGCCCCCAUCGGCCUCCUAAUUCCGACCACAGCCGCCUCUAUCCCCCACUAGCCGUCCAACUUUCUCCUCUUCAUAGAUCUAAAACUAGGAAUGGGUUGGAGGGCUCAAUGAACUAGAUCUACUAUAUAGUCAUCUUUGAGCUCAGCUAUUGGGCAUCAUUGCUAGUUGCAAGCUCCCAAUUGGUCACAUCACUGCUAUUCAUAUACCAGCGGGAUCAAAUUGGCCUCUACACGAGUAAGUUGGUCCCUACGGUGAAGUACAGCAGUGGGCCCAUAUUGGCACCCACCACUGAUAGGUGGCAAAGUAAAAUUGGCAUGUGAAAAGAAUUGCCAUGUACUGAUAAGAAUUUACCAGUGCGGUCCCACUUUGCACACACCACUGGGAAAAAAAUGAGACCAACCCAAGGGAUAACCCUCGUUGGCAUUUUCUUUAUAGGAGAAACUUCGCGAGCACCACACGUCCAAGCCGAAGCUCGAACUCGCGUGGGCUGGCAGCUACCCCAGCUACCGAGCCGACGGGUCGACGCCCCGUCCUCGCACACACCUAUGUGAUUUGGCUAUAUUAUGAGUUGGUGGGCCAUUAGUGUUUUAUGCAUAUUCCAAAAAAUCACAUUGUUUUACCAAUAUUCUGCGGCAGAAGCUUAUCCUCAAAGUGCACAUAUCCCAUAUUUACGAAAAAUACUCGUUUAUUCGUUUUUCUGCAGACCGCUCGGCGUUAAGGUUGGUUUACAGCCGAGCAAGCCGACUGCUCGGCGGGAUGAAGAUGAAAAGGCAGUGGGCUAAGCCGCGUGUGUUUUAUCAACUACAUGGGCUACAUUUAGGUAUUUCAAAACCAAAGGGCAAUAUAUAAGCCGAGUAAGGCGUUAGAGGACACUCGGCCAAUACCAAGACGUCGUCAUGGAGCCGUCAAGCACGUGGCAAUAGAAACACUGCAGUUGCUUGCGUGAGCCACACGUGUAUGCCGUGGUUUUUCUACAUAAUAUAUCGUGUUCUUUCUGUAGGCCAUGCGUCUUUUUACGUUGUAUUCGGUUUACAUGGAGCUAAGUUGAGGGACCUGCAAAUGCCGUGUGUUUUCAAGAUGGUACUCGGCUUAGGGUCUCUUUGAUUCAAAGGAUUUUGAUAGGAUCUUUGAAGGAUUAAAAUCCUGAGGAAGUUUUCCUAUGUUGGUCGUUUGAUUUGUAGGAUUGAAUCAUGUAGGAUUUUUUUCUAAAGAUGUAUUUGUACUACAUUUUACAGGAAUUCUAACAUCCACUCCAACCUUUUGGAAGAAAUCCUUUGUUUUCUCCAUGACACAAUCAAACAAACUCAAAUCCUAUAGGAAUCCAAUGGACAUGUCAUUCCAAUCCUACGUUUUUCCUAUGGAAAACUAUUAAAAUCAUCCGACUUAUUUUUCACGAACGUAAACCGUCUUUGACGGACGCCACGUGUCCCUGCUGGUCGCUCACUCCUUAUCCUUAUCUUUUCUCCAGAAGAAGCGUGAGCCACUCAUUCCUUUUCCUCCUUUUUCUUCUUCCUUCGAGCAAACAUGCUUUCCCAGGGACGGCUCUCUCCAGCAAUCCCAGUCGCCGCUCACUUCGUGUUGAUGUAGGGCUAGGCUGAGAGGAUGCUCCUUCCAUGGCCGGCGGCGGAGCUGCGUUUGGUGAUGCGCGACGAUGUUGCGGCCACGUUGACGGCAAAGCUGCGUUGGAGCAGAAGGUGCUACGAGCUGCUGCCAUGACCGGCGGCGCUACUGCACAGCAACGGCGAAGCUGCGUUUCAGCAGCAAACAGCUAUGAGCUGCUGCCAUGGCGGGCAGCAGAGCUACAUGGCAGCAUGCAGCAGGCGAUGCGUCAAUGAAACUUGGCCGGAGCUCCAUUGAAGCUUCGCCGGUGCGUCAAUGAAACUUCGCCGGAGCUCCAUUGAAGCUUCGCCGGUGCGUCAAUGAAGCUUGGCCGUAGCUCCAUUGGAGCUUCGCCGGGGCGUCAAUGAAACUUCGCCGGAGCUCCAUUGAAGCUUCGCCAGUGCGUCAAUGAAGCUUCGACGGGGUGGCUCGGUGUUGCUAUGGAGCAGCACCCGGUGGCUCUCGGUGUUGUGAUGCAGCGGUCGCCGGUGGCUCCGGGGACGCGAGGUCGCCGAGGCAGGGUGACAGGGGAGGGUCUGCGUUGCUCUGCAUCAGGAGGAGUUGUUGUGCGCUGCUCUGUAUCAGAUGGCUGGGGAUUAGUGGAGAAAGGCCCAGGUUGUGUCGCGGCGAUCGAACGACCAUCUGUGCGGACCGAACGGCUGGCUGGGCGGAUGAUAUCUCUAGGAAAUCAUCCGCCUGAUUUGUAGCAGCCGCCUCCUAUUCCUGUGUUUUUGCAAUUCUAUGAAUCUGUCUAAGACGAGUAUCCGAGAAAAUACACCCGGCUUACCAAAAAGCACUAAGCAACAUGUCUUUUUCUCGUAGUGGCCUUUUAAGGUUUUUAUUUUACUUCAUAUAGGGCUCAAAGAGCCAACCUCGCCACCAACAUCGCCUACCAAACUUUGCCCAAGACGUCAUGUCCAUGAUCACAGACCAGUCAGGUUUAAACAUGUUUUCAUCUCUAUGAAAUUCACACAAAAAUUCCAAAUUGACUAGGUGUUUAAACUUAUGUUUCGACAAAGACUCAGACACCUGGACAUUUGAAAAUAGGACAAACGUCGACGCUCACAUGGACGCACCUAGACUCACAUCUAUGAACUUAUACACUAUCUCACUAAAUAGCAUAAAACUACUACAAUUCGGACUAGAGUUUCAAAAAACUACUAAAUAUAUUUUUCCGCUCAUAACUACUAAAUCAGGGGUCGGCUGUUUCAAAAAACCCAAAUCAUCGAGUCUUUAGUAAUUGAUCACGAUUAUGACAGUUGGGGCCAAGCGUAAGAUAACCGUUUGUUUGACCGUUUAGUUUGAAUGUUAACUUACAUGUGGGUCCCACAUGUUAGUUUUUUUAAAAGCAAUCAGGUCCCUGUAAGUUUUCUAAAAUAGCAACCGGGUACAUGUGAGUUUUCUAUAAGGUCCCUAAAAGUUUUUGCAAAAAGCAAUAUAAUCAGGUCUCCAGAGGAGCCGCGCCCGCGGCAGCCUGCUCGAUCCCGAGCGCUCUGCCCGAACCACGACGCUGCCUCCAUCGGCCGGCCAGCCGCGCCCGCAACGGCCGAAUCCACGCCGUGCCUCGCCUGCCACCAUGGCGUGACUCGCAUGCCGCCAUGUCAUGCCUCGCUGGCGGCCGCUGCCACGCCGUGCCUCACCUGUGGCUGCCGCCAUCCCCUGCCGCGAGCUCCUCAAGCUAGACGUGGACGGCCUGCGCCGCUGCUGGAGUGCGCACCUCCCAUUGCCGCGGACGAGGUCGCUGUCUGCUAUGCCUCCUCGAAGCCACCGUCACCACCAGGAGCUACGGUGAGCACCUACCACGACCAUGGGGAGGGUGGGAAGGAGAGGGAGGGUCGCCGCCAGCCAGGCCCGGCCCGGAUGGAGGGGUAGGGGGCGGCCGCCCCAGGCCCCCGAAAUUGAGGGGACCCCACGUUCGUGUGCUCUCUGUAUCCAGCCCAUGUGCUCUCUGUAUCCAGCUGAUGAGAAAAAAUGAUUCUGGGCUACUUUUGAUGAAACAGACCUGUACAUGUAGUGGAACUUGUGUUUCCCUCGCGUAGGUCCGCGGAUGACGACAUGAGCGAUCAACCUAGCGAUAUAUCCUACAAGCCCGAGGGAAACCCCGCCGCCGACACAGCCUCCUCCCGUGGAGGCCUCCCCCGAUGAUUUCUCGUCCAAUGGCGGAUCGAGUAAUUUCAUGUUCAUCGCCCUGGACAGGAGUAACAACACCACCGGCCCUGGCAGGCAGUUUUAAACUACAGAGGUCAGGUUAGCAUCUUCCUGAUGCAUCAUCCAACGGAGCUAGCUAGAUUGAUAUGUGACUAGUUGGUGGCAGAAUUAUUAGAUCUAGUGUAUUAGCGGAGAGGAGUAGGACGUAGUUGUCCUUCUGACUAAUUUUUUUAAUGCAAUCCUUCCGAUUAAUUAAUCUGGUCGUGUUGGAGAUCGAUGAAAGAUGAGGGGAGAGGAUGUCUAGAAUCCAUGGGAUAAUGAUAAUUGGCAAGCUGAAAUUAAUUGGAGGAUUCAUGGUCGAUUCAAUAUGAUUAGGUGGCAAAAUUAAUUUUUAGUAGCUAAAAAAAUUAACUUUUAGUGUUGCAAACUAUGAAGCUAUUCUACCUGCAUGCCACCAAGAGCAGUUCAAAUUACUUUUUGUUUGCCAAACUAUGAAAUAUACAAUGCAUGAAACUUCCCUAUCAAAAUCUUAGCAAAAGUGAGAAAUAAUAAUUAUAAUAAUGUAUAAUUAGAACCCGGAACUAGGUCGACCAGCUGGUUUUGCACGCCAUGAUAAAAAAAUUAACAACAAUUCAUGUUUAAAAUUUAUCUAGACAUGCACAUAAUGAUUAUAAUUUUGGAUAUAUAAAGGGCCUCCGAUUGUAUUUUUGCCCCGGGCCCCUGAAAUCUCAGGACCGGCCGUGCCGCUAGCUUGGGAUGGGAGGGGACGGUCGUCGGCUUGGGAGCGGAGGGGAGGGUCGCCGGCUUGGGAGGGGAGAUGGCCUGCUCGGGAGACACCAGAAGAGAGACGAGAAGAGACAAAGAGGAAGAAGAAAGAGAAUAGCAAGAGGAAACUUACAUGUAGGCCCCACAUGUAAGUUAACGGCCAAACUAAGGUCAAACUGACAGUUUGUUUAGGUGCGGGCCCAACCUGUCGUGACCGUGAUCAACCGAUAAGGACUCGGGGAUUUGGGUUUUUUGAAACAGCCGACCCCCCGGCUUGGUAGUUAUCAGCAAAAAGAAUUUGGUAGUGUUUUGUAACCCUAACGUGAAUUGUAGUAGUUUUAUGCUAUUUACUCAAACGAUCUCUAUGAGCAUUUUCAAGAUACUGAACCGGCACAUCAUUUUGAGAUUGGUGAACACCACAGACGUCUUCAUAGUUGACAGAAACGUCUCCUCCCAAUGAACGAACAUCGCAAAAGCCUGAAAUAAAUCCCAAAAACUGUCAGCACCAUUACCAAGUUUAAAACUUGAACCCUGAUAGGGUUGGUUCCACCACAAGAAAUCUAACUAUUUGAGCCAUGCACAUCUCAUAGUUUUCCCUGUGGCCAUGGAGGGUGCCACAUAUGUAACCCAUUAAUAUGGGAACCCAUACCUGUAAGCUUGUCAGCAUUUAUAGGCUAUAUAUGCUAAUCAAUUAUAAAAAAAACUGGGAUAACAAGUUUGAACUACACCCAUUAUUCCUCCGCCUAUAUAUUGUCGUGCAUGCAUGCCAGUGCCAUAUACGGAAACAAACCGACCGAGAAGGCCCUUAAUUAACAGCUAGCUAGCUCUCUUGGUCGAAUAUGGUAACUGCUAAUGCUAUUGGCUCCGGCGACCUGAGCAUCCGUGUCCUGAGUCGCCGCCUUGUCAAGGCCUCCGACCCAUCUACCAAGCCGCACGUAGCCGCCUUCUCGAACCUCGACCUCUACCCUGGCAACGAGCAGGCCUCGAUAGUAUGCCUCUACCCCAAGCUCCCAAACGCCGGUGACUUCCCGGCGGUUGUAGCCACCUUCGACUCCAUCCUCCCGUCGUUGCUCAACGACUUCUACCAUUUCGCCGGGCGCAUCCGCACCAACCCAAGCUCCGGCCUCCCCGAGCUGCUCUGCGACAACCAAGGCGCAGAGCUGGUGGUCGGCGAGGCCGGUGUCGCCAUGGCCAGCCUGGACUACGGCCUGGCGGAGCAGUCGUUGAAGAAGAUAAUGCUUCCGUACGCCGAGGACGUCACGCUCUCGGUUCAGCUGCUCUCCUUCGCCUGUGGCGGCUUCUCCGUCGUGUGGGCGACCAACAACCUUGUGUGUGACGGCCAAGCCUUCACCAUGUUCGUCAGGAGGUGGUCCGAGCUCGCCCGAACUGGGCGCAUCGUCGACGGACCGCCCAACCAUGACCGCUCGGUGUUCAGCCCUCGCAGGCCGCCGUCGUACGGAGCCUCGAUCAGGGACAUGUUCGCGACGUACGACCAUGACCGGCUGGUGAACGUGCUGACGGCGCACGACAGCUUCGUCGAGCGCCUCUACUACAUCGAGGCGAGCGACAUCGCUGCCCUGCGGGAGGCGGCAAGCAGCAAGCUCCAGCGCCCGUCGCGCGUCCAGGCGGUGUCCGCGUACCUGUGGAAGGCCCUCGCCCGCGUGGUGGCCGCGUCCCGCGUGCCGGAGGAGCGCUGCUGCAUGGGGUGGAUGGUGGACGCGCGGCGGCGGGUGAAGGCGCCGGAGCUCGUCCGGGCGAUGGGCAACUACUUCGGCAACGUUACGGCCUACGCUCUCGGGGAGGCAGCCGUUGAGGAGAUACAGGAGAAGGAGCUGUCGGAGGUGGCGGCCAUGGUGCGGGAGACCAUCACGUCUAUCGACUACGAUGAGUACACCCAGGAGCUGGUGGACUGGGUGGAGGAGCACAAGACAGAGAGGCUGAUGGAGAAGGGCGUCAUCGGGCUCGGUACGCCCACCUUGAACCAGACGGUGUUCGCGUCGUUCCCGCUCGACACCGACUUCGGCUUCGGCCAUGCCGUGCUGGCAAUGCCCAUGUGCGACUACGGGAGGCUCAGCUCGGGGUACCUGUCGAUCGGAGCUCGGCCGGGAGGCGACGGCUCCUGGCUGGUCAACGCCUACAUAUGGCCUCGCCUCGCGGCGGCGCUUGAGUCGGACCAGCAGCGCAUCUUCAAGCCUCUCACGGCGGAGUAUCUAGGGCUCGUCUAGGCGUACCACUCUGCUGUCUGCCCGGUUUCUUCUUCAAUAAGUCUUUGCUUCGUCUUUUGAGGCAUGAAAGCAGCUCGUGCUUGUUUUACUUCCACCUAUUUUGCAAUACCCCAAAUAAAGCCCUUCUGUGUGGAGGGUAGUUUGUUUGAUCAAUAAAUGUUUGAGUCGUUCAUAAGGUUUCCUUGAUUAGUAUACAAAUCAGUUGAUGACUACGUUUCACAACUCAUGUGCAUGGAGAUGCUAAACCGAUAGUAUGGACUCGGGGAUGGAGACCACGCAGUCGGACAUACCAACUCUGAGACGCAGCGAGAUGUUGUCAUAUGUUAGUGUCAAGCACAAUGUUUAUGCCAUGUCCUAGACCUAAGGUCCUCGCAUGUUCUCGGGAUGAGUAUCGACUCACUUAAGGUCUAUCAAACGCUACUCCAUAACUGGCUAGAUAUAAAUGUAGCUUUUGGGUGGGUGGUGAGAUAUGCCGCGAGACAUGGCCGACCAAGAUGGGAUUUACCCCUCCUAUUUGAAGAGAUAUUUUCUGGACCCUCUCGAGGGAUCGGAUUCGGAAAGCAUGACCAUGCGACUUGGUUAAGUGUUAACCCAGUGCGGGAAUCUAUAUCACGGUGUCAAGAAGAGAGGUCGAGCUACCACAAGGGUGACAAGUACUCACCUUGAGCUUGACAACAUAUAUCGUGAGGCAAAAGGAAUGUUGCAGAUGAUACAUUGUCGAGGUUCUUCGAACGACUUUACACGCACAUGAGAGUUGGCACGUUCAGCGAGGAGCUGCUACCAACUAUCGACUCUGGUCGUGUCCAUGUGUACGUAAACCUAUAGGGUCGCACACUUAAGGGGCUGCAGGCCAUUCGGAUUGGAUUCGAGUGGAAAUGGUUUUACUCCUAGUGGGCCUCAAGUAUUGAGCCUAUCUCGGAGGUCUAUAUAUAGGGGAGUGGCCGCACAACUGAGGUUGAUCUUUUUCCACCAUGGACAGCCUCCAUCGCAACUCCCCACGCCCAUCCCGCGCGACCUAACCUAGAUGCCUACCGCCCGACGCUGCUCCCCGUACGUGUGGAUACCUUGCAGGCAUCGCAUCCGUGGUGCUUGGAUGAACUGUUCGAGGGAACCGCGAGGUGCCGUUCGCGGGAGAUCAACGUUCACAGGUCUUUGUUGUUCGCGGGAGAUCGACGACGCGAGGAGGAGACGCCUCGGGAGAUCGUCUACAUGCAUCUCCAACUCUAUUUUCUGCUGCGGUUACUGCGCGUCUAGUGGUAAACUCGAUCUCAUGAUCUAUUUCCAGCAACUUGAUCUUGGGUGCGUGGUAGAAUUUUUUUUAUUUGGCUCUAGCUUAGCAUACCGCGUGUUUCUACAGUCGUAUCAGAGCCUAUGCUACGUGGUAUUAGAUUCAAGGUAGAAUUUUCAAAUGAUGAUAUGUAGAUUGCUUUAUGUACUGGCCGAUGAGAUCGGUUGUCAAUAUGAUUGACUAUACAUGGUGUCAGGCAUUCGAAAUUGUGAUCUAAUUUUCCGUGAUGAUGUUGUGGAGGUCGUGGCACAAAUUACCUAUACCGGUCGGUUUCGGCCAUCGGGUAAGACAGUGGAACGUAAAGUCGGUCACAACACGCGAAGACCAAUGAGAUUGGUUGAAUCAGAUAGAUGGUCAAAAUAGGAUAAAUAUGAUUUGCCGGUGAAAAUUCCCAUGCAAAAAUGCAUAGAUAUUGCAAGGGCGCUGCCAGUUGACCCCACAGGGGGCAAAGCCCCAUCGACCCCCAUCCUGUUAAUCUCUUAGGGCGGUGGAUAACUUGUUUUUGCAGGUAAUGCUUGUGAUUUGGUACAACCCGGGUAUGUUGCAUGUACGUAAUUAUAUCAUGACCUGCGUGUCGAGAGUACAAUAACUGGUUGGAGCCAUAUGGUUGUCCCAUUAUUGUAUUAAUGACCUUCAUGUCAACAUGAGAAGCAUUGUAUUGUUAUUUACUUUCAAUAGCUAUUAGUUUGUAAUAGCGUAGUAUCUUAUGUAACACUUGGCGGUUGACACCAUGGCGUGGAGAUGAAGAUCUCCACGAGGACAACCAUGCAUGGAGAUGGAGAUCACCAUGGGCAGGCCGUGCAGGUGGAGACGAAGAUCACCAUGCGAUAUCAAAAGGGGCUAAACCAUAUCACACAUAUAAACUGCCUGUGAAAGUUUAUCUCUGUUAUGCACCCUUCUUUUGCAUGGUAGACGUUUCAAGUAGGGUGAUCCCUCAAAGAAUGUCAAGUAAAAAUGCCUCUCCAAAUGUUGCACCAUCACACAUCAAGUAUACUUAGUGGUGGGAUUAUAAAAUUAAGGUGCCAUUUGGUGUCCUUGAAGUGAUGGGUUCGGUUCGGACACUUACAUGCAUAGCAUUGGUUAUCUUGUCGUGGCUAUCAAAACAGUUUUGGGCCUCGAGGCGUAGGAGUUGGUGCGACAUGAGAUGUCCCCAACAACAAGAGUCGUAUGGAGACACGAUUAGCAAGAAAUACUUAUGGAGUGAUCUCGUCUUCUAGCAGUGAUGCAAAUGCUCACUAGUUAACAUGUUGAUCUUGGAUCUUGAAUCACUAAGUAUCAUCUGAGGGAUGUUGAUUUUAUUUGGAGUGAUGAUCUUAUUAAAAUGUUUAAUAUGAAUUACUCUUCAUGAAUACAUGUCUUAGUGUUUUGCAUCUUUCUGUUGGAGAUCAGAGGCACCACCUGCUCAAGUUACUCCUUUUGCGCUGAAAACAAUCCUAGAAAAAGAUAAAUGGAAUGGGACAAACUUUACGACCUGGUAUAGAAAUCUGGGAAUUGUUCUUAGGCAUGAGAAAAAGGACCAAGUUCUAGAAAAUCCGCUUCCAGAUGUACCUGCCAAGAAUGCUAAUGCCACAACCAGGAGUGCCUACCAGAAACCCAUUGAUGAAUAAAAUGAGAUCAUCUAUCUCAUGCCGGCUUCAAUGGAGCCCGAUCUACAGCAGCAGUUCGAAAACAUUAAGGCUUUCGAUAUGAUCGAGAACCUCAAAAGCAUGUUUCUGAUGUAGGCUAGGACCGAAAGGUUCAACGUCUGGCUAUCCUUGAUGGAUUGUAAGUUGAAUGAAAGUGAUCAAGAUGACUAGGUACAUGCAAGCUUUGGAUUGGUUGGGCUUCCCACUUGGGAACGUUCAACUCGAACUACCAUAUGCAUGGGAUGGAAAAGAAGCUCACUGAAUUGCAUGGGAUGCUCAAGGUGGCAGAGCAGGAUAUAAAGAAAGUUACGCAUCGUCAAGUGUUGAUGGUGCAGAACUGGGCUAAGUUCAAGAAGAGAUGUUCCAAGAAAAAGCAUAAGGCAAACGGCCAGGAGGAGAAGGCAACUCCAACUUCUGCCGUUGCGCCUAAGUCAGGGCCAGCCGGGGACCGUUUUCUUUCACUGUAAGGAACACGGCCACUAGAAAAUGAACUGCAACAAGUGGCUUGUCGAGAAGGGCAAGAAGACUGGAAGUGUCACUUCUUCAAGUACACUUAUUGUAUAUGUUAUAGACAUUUAUCUUGCUGAUGUUUCUAGUAGCUCUUAGGUAUAUGUUACCGGAUCGGAUGUUCACAUAUGCAUCUCGAUGCAGAGUCUAAGAAGAACUAGGAAUGUUGGAAGAGAAGUUGACAUACACAUCGUGAAUAAAGCAAGAGUUGAUGCAUUGGCCGUCAGCACUAUGCAACUUAAUUUACCUUCAGGAUUUGGAAUGGAACUUGAUAAUUGUAAUUAUGUUCCUGCUUUGAGUCAAAACAUUAUUUCUGCCUCAUGUUUGAUGAUACAAGUUUAUGAAAUAAGUAUUAAGGACAAUGGUUGUUCUAUGUACUUGAAUAAAAUGUUUCAUGGCUUUCCACCUAUUGUGAACGGGUUAUUAAUCCUAGAUCUUGAAGGUGAGCCAGUCUAUAACAUAAAUGUCAAGAGGCAUAAGCCUAACGAAAUAAACCCGACUUACAUCUGGCAUUGUCGACUAGUACACAUUAGUAAAAGUGCAUGAGGAAGCUCAAUGAUGAUGGAAUUCUAACUUCAUUUGAUUUUGAAUCAUUCGAGACAUGUGAGUGUUGCCUUCUUGGCAAGAUGACUCAGACUCCUUUUGCAAGGAGUUGCGAAAGGACGUCCGAGUUAUCGAAACUCAUCAUAGUGAUGUAUGUGGACCAAUGAGCACGACAGCAGGUGGUUUCCAAUAUUUCGUGACGUUUACAGAAAACUUGAGUAGAUUUGGAUAUGUCUACUUGAUGAGGCACAAGUUAGAAACUUUUGGAAAGUUCAAGGAGUUUGAGAGCGAAGUGGAGAAUCAACUCGGCAAGAGAAUCAAACUUCUACGAUCUGAUCGUGGCGGUGAGUAUAUGAGCCAGGAGUUUGAUGAUUAUCUAAAGAGUCGUGGAAUAGUUCCACAACUGUAUCCUCGGGGUAUGCCACAGAGAAAUGGCGUGUUGGAACGAAGGAAUCGGACUCUGUUAGACAUGGUCCAAUCAAUGACGAGUCGGUCGGAUUUACCUUUGUUAUUUUGGCGAUACGCUCUAGAAACUGCGUAUUUCACACUAAAUAGGGUACCAUCCAAGUUUGUAGAUAAGACGGCAUAUGAGAUAUGGACUGCGAAGAGUCACAGUUUGUCUUCUCUAAAAAUUUGGGGUUGUGAAGCAUACGUCAAGCGACUCCAGUCAGACAAGCGCACACCCAAGUCGGACAAGUGCAUAUUCGUGGGGUAUCCAAGGGAAACCUUGGGAUCUUACUCCUACAUCCGUGAAGACUGCAAAGCGUUUGUCGCUCGACAUGGAGUUUUCCUUGAGAAAGAGUUUCUCAAUCAGAAGGCUAGUGGGAGGAUGAUACGACUCGAGGAAAUUCGAGAACCACAUGGAGUUAGUCAGGGAACCCAUGGUGGAGUCGACGCCAAUUCCACGGAGGUCAGAAAGGUUGCGCAAUAUGCAUGACUGCAAUGUGUUGUUCUUGGAGAACAACGAGCCGGCAACGUAUGCGGAAGCCAUAGAGAGCCCUGAUUCCGAGUUAUUGCUUGAGGCCAUGAGAUCCGGAUUAAAGUCCAUGGAUGGCAAUCAAGCUUGGAACUUGGUUGAUCUGCCAGAUGGCGCUCGAGGCAUUGAGUGCAAACUGGUAGUGAUGCCUAAAUAAAUUAGGACCAUUCUUGCUAUAUCUGCAUAUUUCGACUAUGUUACUAUUAUGUUCUUCAACAGAAGGUCCCAAAUGUUGUUGUGCCUCUGCUGAUGGACGCCGAAAGUGAGAUGACAAUUGUUUGCCCUUUGAAGAUCAGAUUCAAAUAUACAUACUCGACCGAGCGUUAAUCAAAUGGAUGCCUCAAAAUUGAGUGAUGGAGGCAAAUAGUCAAUGAGCUCGGGCCACAAAUUGGAGACCGGGGAUCUCUGUGGUCCAUCAUGGAGAUGUAGUUUUUUUUCUCUGUUUUAUUCUAUUUUACCUAAGACACUGGAGUAGGUCAUAGUACUUGUCAUGUGCUUGAAAGUUACUUACCUAGGAUGAUGACAAUUAGUUAGUAGUGGUUAACUUAUGAUGAUGAUGAUGGUGAUGAUGGUGAUGAUGAUGAUGAUGAGACAUUUUUAUAUAAUUAUGAUCAUGAUGAGCUGUUAUAUCACUACGAUGAUGAUGAGUUAUAUCAUUUUGAUAAUGAUGAGUUGUUACAUGAUGAUGAUGAUGAUGAUGAUGAUGAUGAUGAUGAUGAUGAUGAUGAGUUGUUAUAUAGUUGCUUGUGUAUAAAAAUCUGUAUAAUUAUUGUAUAAAUAUAGUAUAAUAUGUAGAAAGGAAAUACAUAGAGUUAGUAGUGGCGGGGGGCCUCGCGCUAUAGCUAGUUAUUAGUAGCACGGGCCAAACACCGCGCUGCUCCUAAUGUAAGUAGUAUUAGAGCCGAGCCUGGCCCGUCUUACUAGGAACCAGUUAGCUACACGCUGAUGAGUUGUUAUAUGAUGAUGAUGAUGAUGAUGAGUUUUUAUAUAGUUGCUAAUGUAAGUAGCGAGGCAACCCGCACUACUCCUAUGCCUUUAAACCGCGCCACUACUAGCCUUAUCCCUUGUAGUGACGGGCAGAUGGAGCGAUGAAAUGCGCAUGUCCUCAAUGGGCUCCAAACGAGAACAUUCGCCUAACUCAAGAAGUGUGGCCGGUGAUGGAUCGAUGAGCUUCCCUAUGUUCUAUUUAGUGUAGAUAUCACUCUUAAUUAACUUGUUUUUCUGCGGAUAGUAACUAACGCUUUGAGCCUUUGUGGUUUAUCUCACAAUUUUUGUCUUCACAACUGGAGUAGGCCACAAUGUUGAGAUGCAAAAAAAGGUCCAUAAACUAAUUAAAUGGAAUAUCAUUUAGAUACGACACUUAUAAGAUACACUAAAUAUUAAGAGACGUGUUGAGUAUAUAAUGAAUAGGGGUCAUUGUCUCUAAAUAGUUUUCACUAAAUAGGAUGAUGUGUUAAGAGACACUGCGUUGUGAGUUCCCUUUCGCUAAAUUAAUUUGCCCUGGUUCGAUUGCAGAGAUGUGUGCGGAGUUUCUUGGGGGAGUUUGGCAGCCAAUCGAUGAUAACUAGUUCUAGGACGCUACUAGGUCAGAUUCAAAACUGAACAUAUGGCUUGGUCCAAGAGUUUCGGCUCUCACAACCUGAAAAUCUGCAGCUUUCACACUAAAUAUUAAGAGAUUCGAAACUGAACAUAUCUGUCAUUGGUUUGAUGCUGUGGGUCCGUUUCAUUAUCUUUUUUUUUAUCAGGUAGUUGGACGGCCACACCAUGCCCUGAAAAUCUGUCUAGAUCUUGAUCGGGAGGCAUAAGAUUUCUUAUUCUGACAACCCUGAAACUGUUUGCCAUGCAUGCAUUAUCCUUCGCAAAGCGAAUUAAGUUGCCCCUAGACAAGGGCGGAUGGAGUAUAGUUCACUGUAGCUUCAUGAUUCUUUUGUCAGCUUAUUUUUUAGAGCUGCGGCUAUCAUAUUUACACCUGCUGUUAUAUCUGUUUCCAGAACCAUGUGUCAGCAGCUUCUGUUAUCAUAGCCAAUAAAACUAUCACGAAGCUACAGUGUGAGCAAUGAAGACGUUAUAUAAACAGGGAUAAAAUAUAUUGUGCUAAACUGCUCUAUCCAAAACCAUGUGUCUGCUCCUCUUGUUUGUUUCUUUACUAUUUUUCAUAUUGUGGAUGAUCAUGACGAUACAUACUAAAGAGUUUUGCAUAGCAUAUGUAAUUUCAUGCAUACAGACAAUGUUUUUUUAUUGGUGUAUUAUUUCACUCUGUUAAGACAAAAUUAUAUUUUGGAAUAUUGAAAUAAUAAUAUUAGGUAAAUCAUACAUGUGCACUAUGAAGCUAACUUUGUGCAAGAGAAAUGAGUAAAAUUAAGGACAAGAUUUAUACCUAUGCAAUACAAAAAAAAACUAUCUGCAGCAGUAAAUUCAUGUAGCUGGCAACAUUACUGGUACAAAUUAGAUCUAAUUAUAGUGCAUACAUGUACCUUUUUUAGAAAACAAAUCUUGAAACUUCGAUAGAAAAUUUUACGAUUUAUGAAAUUUGAAUGGGAAAACUAAACCAAAACCAAAAGGCCGGGAGUUAAAUGUGAGUGAAAAUAAAUGUCAGGAGGUAUUUGUCAGUGAAAAUAAAUAUGAGUGACACUUCUCCAUGCAAAAAUGUUAGUGAAAAAACUUGAAUUUUCACUGUAAAAACAACCCCAAAAUAAAGGAGGAAGCAGAACCAUCGAAAUGUUUAUGAAACGAACAACCACCAACAUAAGAGAGAAGUCACCAUACUCAUUAAGACGCCCAUGUUCAUCUGAGUAGUUAAGCCACUGCAUAGCAAUUAAUAGAAAGAAAACUGCAUAGAAAUUAAUUUUGAUGGGCUCGUGGAUCACGGCAGAAGCAUGCAUGAAUGCAUAUGUCUAUCGUUGCAGGUCAUUCAUGAGAGCAAUGCAUUCAUAUCUAUCUUUGCACGGAUGGAAAAAUUAGUCUGGCGCCAUAUAUCUUCUAUUUGUUAUACUACAGAAAGACAUAUUAAAAUAAAGUUGCCCCUAAACAAGGUGGAUGGACGACCACUCAUUUUGGCAGACUGUACUCGCACAAUUCGUUUUCCCAAUAAUAAUGUGAAUGGAGAGAGUAUAAUUCACACUGUCGCUUCAUGAUUCUUUUGUCAGCUUAUUUUUUAGAGCUGCCUUUUUUUUUGCGGGAAUAUUUUUUAGAGCUGUCAGCUAUUAUAUUUACCCCUACUGCCAUAACUAUUUCCAGAGCCAUGUGUCGGCAGCUUUUGUUAUCAUAGCCGACAAAACUAUAACGAAGCUACAGUGUGAGCCAGGAAGACGUUAUAUUUUCAGGGAUAACAUAUAUAUUGUGCCAAACUCCUCUAUCCAAAACUAUUUGCCGGCACCUCUUGUUUUGUUUAUUUACAAUUUUAAUAUUGUGGAUGAUCAUGACGAUACGAAGUAAAGAGUUUUGCAUAGCAUAUGUAAUUUCAUGCAGGCAGACAACACUUUUUUAUCAGUGUAUAAUUUUGCUCUGUAAAGACAAGAUUUUAUCUUGUGAUAUUGAAAACAUAGUGUUAGAUAAAUCAUAGAUGUGAUCUUUGUGGAUAAAUUUGUGCAAGAGAAUUGAAUAAAAUUAAGAACAAGUUGUAUACCUGUGCAAUAAAGAAAACUAUCUGCAGUAGUAAAUACAUGUAGGUGGCAACACUCACAUUUUGGUUAUUCCUGUAUAAACAUUGCUAGUGCAAAUUGGAUCCUAUAUAUUGUGCACACGGUGUUCCCGUCCUCGGAUGGUUUCCCCUUGUUCGGUCUUGCUCAUUCUCGUUGCUCACAAGCUCAUGCAAUUGAGAACCUGAGAUCUUCAAUCUGGCCAUCUGGGAUUUCCGGACUUCUCCUUCGAAGGAAAACAAGGACUGGCACAUAUGGCGCUCUUUGGACACCUUGACUAGAUAGGGGCCUGUCGUGUGCACCCGCAACAUCAGCAUAACCAGCUUUACCGGGGUAUCGUGCAGCUCUGUUUUUGUUGGCACCUUGGGACAUGUCUGCACCAAGAUUCCCAUGGGAUCAACACAUGUGGAGAAUGUCAUGGCGUGAUUGAAGGACUUGCAAGUGGCAAAGGCGGGGUCUUGGAUGCGAUGAAGACUUUGCUUCAUAGGCAGUUGUUUAGACAUGGCUUACGGGAUAUGUUCCCAUCCAGACGGGACGUGAAUUCCUGUGAGCCUAAUGGUGCGUGACUUGCAGUAGUAGCCUCCGCAAGUGGGGGUGGCGGCAUUGGAGGACUUCUUUGUUAUUCGGUGCUCCUCUGAGUACCCAAUCAGGAUUUCCAAGGUGAAAACCCAAGGUCUGGCCUUUAUUGGUUGUGCCUGGCAGUAGUCUUGUUGAAGGCAUUAUUGUUGGGAACCUCAUCUUUCUCCAGGGUGAAAACGUAAUAUCUUUGAUCAGGCAACGACAACGCUUGUGCUUUGUUUCCUUCCUGGAGGCAUUGCUUUUGGAGAACCUAUUUUGUAGUCCGGGUGCCAUCUUUGGUGGUGGUUAGAGUGCGGCUACUUCGGGUAUUGAUCACCGUGGUGGGAUAUUUUUUCUUCUCUUUUUAUUUUGAUUUUUAGUUGUGUGCAUCCUGGAUGUUUUUAGGCAUCUUGUUGUUGCAGAGUCUGGGAGUAAUUGGUAUCUGCUUGAUAUUAAUACAUUCUCCUUUACAAAAAAAAAUUACAUAUGCCUUUUCUAGAAUUUUUUUCCUAAAACUUCCAGGGAUGAUUCUAUCAUUUGUUUAAUUUUAAUGGAAAAAUUAAACCAAAACCAAAACGUCAGGAGGUAAAUGUGAGUGAAUAUUAAGGUCAAGAGGUAAAUGUGUUUGAAAUAAAUAUGAGUGACACUUCUCCAUGUGAAAUUGUUAGGGAGAAAACUAGACUUCUCUCUGUAAAAAUAACCCCAAAAUUAUGGAGGAAACAAAACCAUCCAAAUAAACAAUAUAUUGAGAAGUCUAUGAAACGAACAACCACCAAGAUAAAAGAGAAUUCGCCAUACUCAUCAAGACGCCCACAUGUCAAUAGCUCAGUCAGUCAACAUUAUAGCAAUUAAUUUUGAUAGGCUCAAGGAUCAUAGUAGAAGCAUGCAUGAAUCGUUGCAGGUCAUUGAUGAGAGCAAUGCAGAUCACUAUCUUUGCAUGGUCAGAAAAAUUAUUCUGGCGCCACCUAUCUUCUAUUUGUUAAACCAUAUGAAGGCGCAUAUCUCAUCACGAACGAUUAAUCAACAAUAUAUACUACACAAUGACACAUUAAAAUUAUUGCACAUGGGCGAGAUUGAUGGCUUUAUCCUUCAUAUGAUCCAAAUAAUCGUAUUUAUUGUUCACACUGUAACAACAUAAUGGUUUUGUUGGCUAUCUACCCCUGCUACCAUUCCUAUCUCUUGAGCAACAUGCUAGUAUCUUUUGUUUAGUUUAGCUAAAAAGAUUGGAAUGAGAGAUUUCCUUUUUUUGUGCAAUAACAUGAUAGUACAAACUACUGAACUUUACAUAUUUAGGUACUCAAUAAAAUACUGUUAAAGAUAGCUAUAGACAUUAGUCAUAUUAAUUCAACCAUAAGAGAUUAUCAUGUACCAUAUUAGCAUGAUUACUGGUCCUGUUCAAGAAUUCGUCCGAUUAACCAGUUAACUUGGAAAUUAAUCCCUACUUGUAAGGUCAUCGUGUAGCCAAUAAACUGAUAAAUCCUCCGUUUAAUUUCUUAACAGGACAAUUAACUUGCCGAUUACCCUAUUAAUCCCCUACUCCCUAGCCAACCAAGCAGCUACCAGUUAACAAUUUCCUCAACAAAUUUACUGGUAUGUUCCUGUUUAGAUGGUUCACCAAUACACUUCCAAAGUUAUUUUUGAGAAUGAUGCACCCUUUUUACAUUUUUUUGGUAUUAUUCCAUCAAUGCUGCACUACAUCAUAGCAUCUUCUUCUUUUUGGAAUGGCUAUGAAAGGACACGAUAGGUAUGUCUGGUGAACUUUUUGUGGAGAUACUUGGGCUCAUGUGUCUGAGAAUAAGAGGAUGUCCUCCCAUAGGAUUUACAUAUACCAACAACUAUUAACCAUGUCUCAAUGUGAGAUUGGAGACUAAAGAGUCUAGAUUUUAUAAGAUUAACCGGAAGUGUUGACUUCAACCGUGUAUUACUAAUCCACUGCAGUUGAAUUUUUGCAGUUGAAUUUUGCAUAUGGCUAAUUUAUUAAUCAACACCUAGGAGGAAUAGUUUGUAGGAGUUACCUAUAGCGUUGCCCUGGCAAAAGGAAAUGUGAUUGUUUAUCAAAAUUGUUUCUACUUAUAUUGUUUUAUCCCGUUACUACUGCAGCACUAAUUUUUAGUUAACUAAUGAAAGAAAGGCAUCAUAUUGUUUUAUCCCAUUGAUACCAGAGCACCAAUUUUUAGUUCAUUAAUUAUGUUGCUAUCUUCAAGUAUUUUUAAUCUGGAGGAAGUUCCACAAAACAAAAAUGUGAGAGUCAAAAAGGUGAGGGGAAAACGAGCUGAAUACCACCUUCUUUGUCCUGUCUUGCUUAAUCCACUUGAAGCCAGAUUACCACUUCGGCAGGGUAUGCUGAUGGAACUCGAACUAGGAACCUCAGUGACAUUUGUAGCCAUACAUUCAAAACACCUCCAGGCACAUGAUUUCAAAAGAUAUUUUUGAAGCAACAGGUCACCAAGCGUCUAAUUGAGUGUUGUAGACAUGACAAUGUCUAAAAUGGCGACUUUGAGGAAGCGUAAUGGAACAAACAUUGUGUCAUGCAUGUGCUCUCUACCACACCCUCGACAAAAAUCAAGAUCCCAGUCCAGUGGAAUGAGGAGGACUAGGAUAUGGACGACGAAGGGCCCAGCAACUAGAUAGAGACAACUUAGGAGUGAGCCAUAGGAAGAUCAUCUAGUGCACUGGGUGUGUGGAUUUGAGGGCCCACUUGUAAGAGAGUGCGUAUGCGUUUAAAAGGGGCAAGUGAAUCAGACAUGUGCCGUAACUUAUCGAUGAAAUAAUAAUUGUUUGAACUCUCACCUACUCUGUUCUGCAUCUCACCCUCUUCAUCUGUUCUUCAACUUCUUCUCAUCCCCUACUCCAUAUUAUCCUCUCCAAUAUGUGAUUCUUCCACCAACACUAGUUGGACAUCACAGUUUGACAAUGGAAAUCUUGGUAAAUUUUUCUCUUUGACAGCACUCGGAAACAAUUGAUGCAGGCGCAAAUCCAUGAUAUAAGGGAUAUUUUCUGUAGCAUUGUUUGAAAAUACAUCAGUUACGCAAGGGCCCUUUUGCUUCUUUACUUCUUGUUCUGUGUGCACUCUGAUGUUCGAAGGUGCAGUGAUGGUAGACAGAUAUUUAGUUGGAAGAAAAAUAGAUAAACUCAGAUUUCGUGUAACCCGGGCUCACUCUUUUCAGUGAAUAAAUUAUUGUCACAAAAAACCAGCCUUUUGCUUCUCUUGAUGACAUUAUUCUUAGAAGUAAGAAUGUGCAUUUCUGCAGCCCAUGCUCAUGUGCUAUUUUUUCUUUUUAACUAGUGUAACAAAUGGGGUAGAUGUUUUUUUUUCUGUGCCAAUAAUGGUGUUAAGACUGCUAAAAUCUUGUAAGGGAAGAAAACAUUGAAGAGCAGAAAGAAGAAGAAAAUCAUUUAUUUAUAUAGAACUGACAUGCAUUUGAACAUCAACAGUCAUUUAUUAUUAAUAAUUCCGCAUUUUGUGAAUUCCUUUCUCCAAUGUUUUCUUCCAGGUUUAUUUACUAUGAUAGGCUCACCAGGAAAGGAACCUGAAAAUUUAAAUCGUGUCAAUUUCCUUUUCACACAAUUCUCUCAUGAUGCAAUGGUUUCAGAGAACGCUGUUGUUAUUUGCCAGACAUGUGAUGUUUAGUAUGACUUGAACUAACAUAACAUGCAUAAUACGUUUAUUGAGUACAUGAAGGUUGGUUUCUUUGAAUCAUUUUGGAUUAGCCUGUUUGCAAAGGCUAUUAUCAUUCCACCACUCAGUGAUUUAUGAAUAUCUCCCAUUCAUUUGAUGUGAGUUCCCUGCAACCACACACGAUAUUUCCCUUACUCCGUUUUCGGUAAGAUAUGGGAAACUAAACAUUCAAGGAUAUUGUUCCCACAAGUGGAGAGACUGAAAAAGUCGCGCGCGUUGCUCUCCNNNNNNNNNNNNNNNNNNNNNNNNNNNNNNNNNNNNNNNNNNNNNNNNNNNNNNNNNNNNNNNNNNNNNNNNNNNNNNNNNNNNNNNNNNNNNNNNNNNNNNNNNNNNNNNNNNNNNNNNNNNNNNNNNNNNNNNNNNNNNNNNNNNNNNNNNNNNNNNNNNNNNNNNNNNNNNNNNNNNNNNNNNNNNNNNNNNNNNNNNNNNNNNNNNNNNNNNNNNNNNNNNNNNNNNNNNNNNNNNNNNNNNNNNNNNNNNNNNNNNNGAGGCCGAACAGGUGAAGCCCGCCUCGGUGGGCGGCGGCAUCAGGGCAGUCUAUUCCCGCGGCAACUCAUCGCCCUGGACGGCGGAGCCCGCUCGCGGCACGGUGGCGAAAGUCGGCGCGUUGGAUCCCACGGUGGACCCCUCGUCAGCGUGGAGAGAUGCUUGUGUGUGGCUGACCGGGGUCGAGCACGAGGGAUUCGGGCCUUGUUCGCCGUAUCAAUCUCGCGACGACACCUAUGUCUUCAGCUGGUGCGGUCAGGGUGGUGACCCGGGCUGGCGGCGGCGACCGGUUCCUCCAUGGCUGGUGGGUUAAGUCCUUGACCUGGACGACCAUGUGACGAUGGGUGGUGGCAGAGGCCGCAGAACUAGCGUGCCAUCCAGAUCCAUCUCGGCGUGGCCUUGGCCGGCAGGCGAUGCGUGCAGGGACCGAUCUGGGGCGGCUGGAGGCCCUAUGCCGACGUUCCAGCGAUAGCUUACGUCUCCAUGGCGACGCAACUUCUAGUGAAAAUGUGCUGACUGCGGUCAUGGAAGAUGGUGGCAUCUCUAAUGUCGUUUCCUUCUUCGAGGCAUCGUCGUUUGUAAGCUGUGUCACUACGCUCGGGAUGUUCCGGGGGGAACUCUAUUUCUGGGUAUCCCGGAUCAGACGAUGACGGUGCCUUCAGCGCCAUUCUCCCUCCUAGGGGCAUUGUUCUGGAGCAGGUGCCGACUGGAAGAGACAAGUGGAGGAGCGGUGUUACAUCUACCGCAAGGAUGACGCAGGGUCUCGGUGGCGUGGCAAGGCAGAGUGUCGGCGACGAGCGCCCACGCUAGAUGGUUGAGCUAUCUGGUGUCGAGAUGGCCUGGCGAGAUGAAUACGUUGAUCGCUCCUGAAGGUGGGACAGCAGAACAUGGCGGUGGCUUAAUCUAAAGUGUGUGCAUGCUGUGCGCGCAAAGGGUCUAGCUAGACCAGUUGGUGCUCUCGAAUUGCCGGCAGACAUCUUGGUGAGGUGACCGGAAUAUAUGAUGUGUGUUGAUAAGUGGUCAGGGCACGGCAUUAAAGCUUGUAGGUGUAACGACAAUAGUUUCUAGGGAGGUGGCUUUGCCUUGAUCCAUAUAUUUGUUUUGUUUGGUUCCGUUGAAUAAUAUAAUAAAAUGGUUGUGUGCAUGGCCCGAUGCAUAGACUAGGGGUAAUCGUCUUUUUCGAAAAAAAGUAGAAUGGUACAGUCACACCAUUUUGCCAGUGACAUGCUAAAAAUGGCAUGAUAAACAAUUCCUGAAUGAUAAAUCACAUGGUGACAGUAUAUCUAUUUUAUAGGAAGAGCUGGAUAGAUUAGAGUAUACUGCCCCAGGAUUUUAAAGUGAGUGCGAGAGUUCAGAUUUAUUUACAUGUUUAGCUUCAGAGCUUCAGAACGUCUUUUUUUCACGAAUACACAAAGCUUGAAUAUCUUUUAUUGAUAGAAGAAAGAGAAUGAGUACAACAGAGGAUACAACACAUGGCAUGAACCCAAAGAGGCAUGAUCAUGGAACCCGGAGUAGAGAGACAAGGGGUGCUCAGCCCGAAUAGGGAAAUGACACAACUACACCCACAAAUCCUAAACAGAGAGGCAGGCCGAACAAGCACGGCGUCGAACAUCUCAAAAUCCAACACCAGGGACACCACGAGCGAACAAGAUAGCGCCUUCAGGAAGGGGUGCGACGUCGUGACACCGCCGCCAUCCGAUCCGAGGAACCGGAUCUAGGGUUUCCCCCAGCGCUCAAAGAGGGGCACGGAUAAAAGCCAUGGCAAAUAACUCACGAGUGUCGCCUCUGCCAACAUCGGCAAGAAGAGCAUGGAUUUCGCCUGGCCCAAGUCCGAGCAAUCCCAUAGCUGCCAAAUCAGGAUCCGAAGAUGAGGAAGACAAUCCGCUAGUCAACCACCGUCCCAGUACGGAGGUGGUGGGGCUGCACCUGCUGCCAAAAGAACACGAGCUUUGGAAAUGACAUGCCGUGGGUGUCGACGGGGUCGGGGAGGCAGCGUGGUAGACAGCUUGCAUGGAGGGUGGGAUGGUGACCGGCGCCGCUGACGAGAUGGAGCCGGAAGGGAGCACAAGUCCGAGCUGCCGGAGGUGAAGCCGCCAGAACACCGGCAAACCGAAGAUGCCGGAAGGGGACGCAGCGACCGGGGUGUUGGGGCUGAAAUUGAAGGAAAUAUGCCCUAGAGGCAAUAAUAAAGUUAUUAUUUAUUUCCUUAUAUCAUGAUAAAUGUUUAUUAUUCAUGCUAGAAUUGUAUUAGCCGGAAACAUAAUACAUGUGUGAAUACAUAGACAAACAGAGUGUCACUAGUAUGCCUCUACUUGACUAGCUCGUUAAUUAAAGAUGGUUAUGUUUCCUAACCAUAGACAUGAGUUGUCAUUUGAUUAACGGGAUCACAUCAUUAGGAGAAUGAUGUGAUUGACUUGACCCAUUCCGUUAGCUUAGCGCACGAUUGUUUAGUAUUCUGCUAUUGCUUUCUUCAUGACUUAUACAUGUUCCUAUGACUAUGAGAUUAUGCAACUCCCGUUUACCGGAGGAACACUUUGUGUGCUAUCAAACGUCACAACGUAACUGGGUGAUUAUAAAGGUGCUCUACAGGUGUCUCCACAGGUACUUGUUGGGUUGGCGUAUUUCGAGAUUAGGAUUUGUCACUCCGAUUGUCGGAUAGGUAUCUCUGGGCCCACUCGGUAAUGCACAUCACUUAAGCCUUGCAAGCAUUGCAACUAAUGAGUUAGUUGCGAGAUGAUGUAUUACGGAACGAGUAAAGAGACUUGCCGGUAACGAGAUUGAACUAGGUAUUGAGACACCGACGAUCGAUUCUCGGGCAAGUAACAUACCGAUGACAAAGGGAACAACGUAUGUUGUUAUGCGGUUUGACCGAUAAAGAUCUUCAUAGAAUAUGUGGGAGCCAAUAUGAGCAUCCAGGUUCCGCUAUUGGUUAUUGACCGAAGACGUGUCUCGGUCAUGUCUACAUAGUUCUCGAACCCGUAGGGUCCGCACGCUUAAAGUUUCGAUGACAGUUAUAUUUUGAGUUUAUAUGUUUUGAUGUACCGAAGGUAGUUCGGAGUCCCAGAUGAGAUCACGGACAUCACGAGGAGUCCCGAAAUGGUCGAGACAUGAAGAUUGAUAUAUUGGACGACUAUAUUCGGACACCGGAAUGGUUCCGGUGGUUAUCGGAUAUAUACCGGAGUACCGGGAGGUUACCGGAACCCCCUGGGGGUUUAAUGGGCCUACAUGGGCCUUAGUGGAGAAGAGGAGAGGCGGCUAGGGCAGGCCGCGCGCCCCCUCCCCCUCUAGUCCGAAUUGGACAAGGAGGGGGGCGGCGCCCCCCCUUUCCUUCCUCUCUCUCUCCUCUUUCCCCCUUCUCCUAAUCCAACAAGGAAGGGAAGGGAGUCCUACUCCCGGUGGGAGUAGGACUCCUCCUGGCGCGCCCCUCUCCUGGCCGGCCGCCUCUCCCCCUUGCUCCUUUAUAUAAGGGGGCAGGGGGGCACCCCAAAGACACAACAAUUGAUCAUUGAUCUUUUAGCCGUGUGCGGUGCCCCCCUCCACCAUAGUCCACCUCGAUAAUAUCGUAGCGGUGCUUAGGCGAAUCCCUGCGUCGGUAGAACAUCAUCAUCGUCACGACGCCGUCGUGCUGACAAAACUCUCCCUCAACACUCGGCUGGAUCGGAGUUCGAGGGACGUCAUCGGGUUGAACGUGUGCUGAACUCGGAGGUGCCGUGCGUUCGGUACUUGAUCGGUCGGAUCGUGAAGAAGUACGACUACGUCAACCGCGUUGUGCUAACGCUUCCGCGUUCGGUCUACGAGGGUACGUGGACACACUCUCCCCUCUCGUUGCUAUGCAUCACCAUGAUCUUGCGUGUGCGUAGGAAUUUUUUUGAAAUUACUACGUUCCCCAACAGUGGCAUCCGAGCCAGGUUUUAUGCCUAGAUGUUAUAUGCAUGAGUAGAACACAAGUGAGUUGUGGGCGAUACAAGUCAUACUGCUUACCAGCAUGUCAUUCUUUGGUUCGGCGGUAUUGUUGGAUGAAGCGGCCCGGACCGACAUUACGCGUACGCUUACGCGAGACUGGUUCUACCGACGUGCUUUGCACACAGGUGGUUGGCAGGUGUCAGUUUCUCCAACUUUAGUUGAACCGAGUGUGGCUACGCGCGGUCCUUGAGAAGGUUAAAACAGCACUAACUUGACGACUAUCGUUCUGGUUUUGAUGCGUAGGUAAGAAUGGUUCUUGCUCAGCCCGUAGCAGCCAUGUAAAACUUGCGACAACAAAGUAGAGGACGUCUAACUUGUUUUUGCAGGGCAUGUUGUGAUGUGAUAUGGUCAAGACAUGAUGCUAUAUUUUAUUGUAUGAGAUGAUCAUGUUUUGUAACAGAGUUAUCAACAACUGGCAGGAGCCAUAUGGUUGUCGCUUUAUUGUAUGCAAUGCAAUCGCCCUGUAAUGCUUUACUUUAUCACUAAGCGGUAGCGAUAGUCGUAGAAGCAUAAGUUGGCGAGACGACAACGAUGCUAUGAUGGAGAUCAAGGUGUCGCGCCGGUGACGAUGGUGAUCAUGACGGUGCUUCGGAAAUGGAGACCACAAGCACAAGAUGAUGAUGGCCAUAUCAUAUCACUUAUAUUGAUUGCAUGUGAUGUUUAUCUUUUAUGCAUCUUAUCUUGCUUUGAUUGACAGUAGUAUUAUAGGAUGAUCUCUCACUAAAUUAUCAAGGUAUAAGUGUUCUCCCUGAGUAUGCACCGUUGCGAAAGUUCUUCGUGCUGAGACACCACGUGAUGAUCGGGUGUGAUAGGCUCUACGUUCAAACACAACGGGUGCAAAACAGUUGCACACGCGAAAUACUCAGGUUAAACUUGACGAGCCUAGCAUAUAACAGAUAUGGCCUCGGAACACUGAGACCGAAAGGUCGAGCGUGAAUCAUAUAGUAGAUAUGAUCAACAUAAAUGAUGUUCACCAUUGAAACUACUCCAUCUCACGUGAUGAUCGGACAUGGUUUAGUUGAUAUGGAUCACGUGCUCACUUAGAGGAUUAGAGGGAUGUCUAUCUAAGUGGGAGUUCUUAAGUAAUAUGAUUAAUUGAACUUUAAUUUAUCAUGAACUUAGUCCUGGUAGUAUUAGCAUAUCUAUGUUGUAGAUCAAUAGCUCGCGAUAUUGCUCCCCGUUUAAUUUUUAUAUGUUCCUAGAGAAAACUAAGUUGAAAGAUGUUAGUAGCAAUGAUGUGGAUUGGAUCCGUGAUCUGAGGUUUAUCCUCAUUGCUGCACAGAACAAUUAUGUCCUUGAUGCAGCGCUAGGUGACAGACGUAUUGCAGGAGGACAUGCAGACGUUAUGAACGUUUGGCUAGCUCAAUAUGAUGACUACUUGAUAGUUUAGUGCACCAUGCUUAACGGCUUAGAAUCAGGACUUCAAAGAUGUUUUGAACAUCAUGGACCAUAUGAGAUGUUCCAGGAGUUGAAGUUAAUAUUUCAAGCAAAUACCCUAGUUGAGAGAUAUGAAGUCUCCAACAAGUUCUAUAGCUAAAAGAUGGAGGAGAAUAGCUCAAGAAGUGAGCAUGUGCUCAGAUUGUCUGGGUACUACAAUCACUUGAAUCAAGUGGGAGUUAAUCUUCCAGAUAAAGAUAGUGAUUGACAGAAUUCUCUAGUCACCAUCACAAAGUUAGUAUAACUUCGUGAUGAACUAUAGUAUGCAAGGGAUAACGUAAACGAUUCCCGAGCUUUUCAUGCUGGUGAAAUCAGAAAUCAAGAAAGAGCAUCAAGUGUUGAUGAUUAACAAGACCACUAGUUUCAAGAAAAUGGCAAAGGGAAAGAAAGGGAACUUCAUGUAGAACGGCAAGCAAGUUGCUGCUCAAGUGAAGAAGCCCAAGUUUGGACCUAAGCCUGAGACUGAGUGCUUCUACUGCAAAAGGACUGGUCACUGGAAGCAGAACUACCCGAAAUAAUUGGCGUAUAAGAAGGAUGGCAAAGUGAACAAAAGUAUAUUUGAUAUACAUGUUAUUGAUGUGUACUUUACUAGUGUUUAUAGCAACCCCUCAGUAUUUUAUACUGGUUGGCAACCUCUGCUUGCCUCUGCGAAGGGCCUAUCUUUUACUUUUAUGCAAGAGUCAUGGUGAUCUUCACCUUUCCUUUUUUUCAUUUUAUCCUUUGGCAAGUACCUCGUGUUGGAAAGAUUCUGAUAUAUCCAAUUGGAUGUAAGGCAUCAUGAACUAUUAUUGUUAACAUUACCCUUGAGGUAAAAGGUUGGGAGGCGAAUCUAUAAGCCCCUAUCUUUCUCUGUGUCUGAUUAAAACUUUGAACCCAUAAAUAUCGCGUGAGUGUUAGCAAUUGUGAAAGACUAAAUGAUAGUUGAGUAUGUGGAGUUUGCUAAAUCAAAGCUCUGACAUAGACUCUUCCUGAAAAUAAGAUGAAUUGUAAUUGUUUGAUGACUAAUAACACGGCUUGUUAGUUUUCAAGAAAGUUUAUGAUCUAUACUUUAACAUGUGAAUAGCUUGUUACUUGAUCAUGAAAAGUUCUAUGAGUUGAGCUACUGUUAUGACAUAUGAUGAUGCUAGAAAAAGUGAUUGAAAUUAUCAUUGAUCAAACUUGUGCACCUGCUAGCAUUCACACUUCAUAAAUUCUUUCUUUUAUCAUUUACCUACUCGAGGAUGAGCAGGAAUUAAGCUUGGGGAUGCUGAUACGUCUCCAACGUAUCUAUAAUUUAUGAAGUAUUCAUGCUAUUAUAUUAUCUGUUUUGGAUGUUUAUGGGCUUUAUUGAACACUUUUAUAUUAUUUUUGGGACUAACCUAUUAACCUAGAGCCCAUUGCCAGUUUCUGUUUUUUGCUUGUUUUUGAGUUCUACAGAAAAGGAAUACCAAACGGAGUCCAAUGGACGUCCCAAUUUUUGACGAUUUUUUAUGGACCAAAAGGAGACCCCGGAGCAAAAGGGUUGGGACAGGAGAGUCCCGGGCUGCCCACGAGGGUGGGGGGCGUGCCCUCCCCCCCUGGGCGUGGGCCCCUGCCUCGUGGACAACCCGGAGACCCCCCUGACAUGAGACCUACGCCAAAAAAUCCUAUAAAUACUGAAACCUCCAGAAAGCAGAAUAGAUCGGGAGUUCCGCCGCCGCAAGCCUCUGUAGCCACCAAAAACCAACCGGGACCCUGUUCCGGCACCCUGCCCGAGGGGGUAUGUCGGUGUCAAAACCGGCGGAUCUCGGGUAGGGGGUCCCGAACUGUGCGUCUAAGGCGGAUGGUAACAGGAGGCGGGGGACACGAUGUUUACCCAGGUUCGGGCCCUCUCGAUGGAGGUAAUACCCUACUUCCUGCUUGAUUGAUCUUGAUGAUAUGAGUAUUACAAGAGUUGAUCUACCACGAGAUCGUAGAGGCUAAACCCUAGAAGCUAGCCUAUGGUAUGAUUGUUUUUGUCCUACGGACUAAACCCUCCGGUUUAUAUAGACACCGGAGGGGGCUAGGGUUACACAGAGUCGGUUACAAGGGAGGAGAUCUGCAUAUCCGUAUUGCCAAGCUUGCCUUCCAUGCCAAGGAGAGUCCCAUCCGGACACGGGACGAAGUCUUCAAUCUUUUGUCUUCAUAGUCCAACAGUUCGGCUAAAGUAUAUAGUCCGGCUGUCCGAGGACCCCCUAAUCCAGGACUCCCUCAGUAGCCCCUGAACGAGGCUUCAACGACGAUGGGUCCGACGCGCAGAUUGUCUUCGGCAUUGCAAGGCGGGUUCCUCCUCCGAAUAUUCCAUAGAAGAUUUUGAACACAAGGAUAGUGUCCGGCUCUGCAAAACAAAUUCCACAUACCACCAUAGAGAGAAUAAUAUUUCCACAAAUCUAAUCUACUGACACAUUCUGCAGCAUGACAUCACACCAUGGCCCGGUCAUUAUUCGGACCGUUUUUCUUAACCAGCCACUGCACAUAUCGCGAGGCGGUUUUCUUGGCACGUCUUGUCGAAGCAGAGAUCGUGUCCCCCUAUCACGGGAUUGUCAUCAAUACGGGUGUGGGUAACCUAACCGCGCCAUCAAUUACAGCUCUUGGGGAAUAAGCGAGUUUACCAGGCAGGUGGGGAGGCGCAUAGUUCCUUCCGCCCUUAUAAAGAGACAAGGAUUCAUCUUUUUCACCCACGCCCUCUUCCUCCUUGCUCAUCCGUUCUUGCGCACUUGAGCUCCAACACCCAAGUUCGCAUUCUCUCCUCAAACCACUCCAAGCAUGUCCGGAGCAGGAGGCAAGUGGAUGGUCUCCUCCGUUACGAAGGAGGACAUCACAAGGCUAUGGGGAGCCGGAUACCUGGCCGCGGAUAUCGCGCACCGGCUACAAGAUGCGGGGCAGAUCGUCCCUACUCCAGAACCCCAUGAGAGGGUGAUAUUUCUUACCCACUUUGUCCGCGGACUGGGAUUUCCCCUCCACCUGUUUGUCCGCGGGCUCAUGUUCUACUACGGGCUGGACUAUCACGAUCUGGCCCCCAAUUUCAUCCUCAACAUCUCGGCGUUUAUCGUCGUGUGCGAGGCCUUCCUCCGCAUCAAGCCCCACUUCGGCCUGUGGCUGAAGACCUUCAACGUUAAACCGAAGGUGGUGGCCGGCCAGCAAGCGGAGUGCGGAGGCGCCAUGGUGGGCAAAAUGCCCAACGUCACCUGGCUAGAAGGCUCCAAUGUGGAGACCGUAAAGGGGUGGCAAUCGGGGUGGUUCUACAUCACCGAGCCGCGCGACACCAACUGGGUAGCGGCCCCCGAAUUUUUAUCCGGAAUCCCCAUGCGGCUCACCUCCUAGAAAGAGAAGGGCCUAUCCUGGGGUUCCUCGGUAGAGCUGACCGGACCCCAGACCUGCGUCAAAAACAUGAUGAGCAAGAAAAUCAAGCUUGUCAACAUGGUCCAAGUCAUGCUCUUCCGCCCGAUCCUCCCGUGUCAAAGACGGGCAUUCAAUUUGUGGGAGUUCGACCCGGCCGAGCACCAGACGCUGCGAGAGCUCUUCGACACGGCGCACAAGGACGUCUGGAAGGUGAUGUUCAAGGGCGCUGAGGUACCUCCUCCCCUUACCAAGGACCGCGGACUCAGCGCAAAGCGCCCUGCCAAUCCGGUAUGUCUUUUAUAUUUCAUAAGAUGUUCUUUUCCCCAGUAUAACCACACGCGGGAUCUAAGCCCCCACGCCAUUUAACAGGACUGGGUAGCGACAGCGGAGCAGAUCGAUUGUCCAGCCCCCCUGCCUGAAGAUCCAGCGGAUGCUCUCCUAACGGAGAUCCUGGUUUCGGCGCCUUAUGAGGUGCCGGAGAAGAAGGCCACGGGGACCAGGAAGGGUCUCCGGCGCAAGGUUAUAUCGGACUCAUCGUCCGAAAACACCGAGGCGCACUCCUCCCACGAAAACGGGGAGGAAGAGGAAAGUUCUCCCCCCCAGCCAGGGGGGACAGGACAAGGAAGGCUGCCCCAUCAGGGGAGGCCGAAGGGUCCAAGAAGGGAAGGACCCUCCUCCCGGACUGCUCCACAAAGGCCGCUUUUAGCGACGAGGAGUGGUUACCCAGGGACAAGCCCCUGGCAAAGUCGUGAGUAUCCGGAUACCAUAAUAAUUCUUGGUACGUCUUAUUGUACUGUUUCUUAUCACGCCGCGCAUGAUUAUGCAGUCCGUCCCGAGCCCAUAUCGACGUAUCUUCGUCGGAUGAUUCUUUGGGCCCGUCAGAUAUGAAUAGCGAUUCACUCCCGACUGCCUCCUCCCCCCGCCCUACGGACGACGCCGAGGUGUUGUCUCAAAGGGAACUAAACCAAGGGGAGACAGUUCCGGAGGCGCCCCAAGGCGACAUUCCAGGCGCUAGGUGCACGAGGGGCAAGACUCCCCUAGGCCCUAACACCGGGGGCAGUAAGUCUAGCCCCAAGCCGAAUACGGCGCCGGAACCUCCAGUGGUUCCGGAUUCUGUCAGGCAACCCCUCGCUAAGGGGGGUAAGCCGUCUGUGCCGAUGGCCUCUGUCCAUCCAGAGGCAUCGGACAACUUGCUAGAAGUGCUUCGCGGCGCUUCCAUUGACGAAGAGCACCGCACUAUUAUGAGUGCGGUAGUUAAGAAGGUUCAGUCCGCUAAGAGCGGACUGACUGAAGCCUGUGCCAACCUCCUAACCGGCUUUGAGGUAAGUAAUCAAAUUGUAAGAAAAUGUUACAGCAUAGACAGUAGCCCCUGAUGCUCUGUUUGGCGUUCGCGGAGAAAGGCCGAAUAGAGGAUCAAAUAAUAAUCGCAGGAGUCUAAUCAGAAUGUGUCUAUGUGAAUAAGCGGGCUUCACUGCUGGCCGCCGCCGCUCGUACUGCGGAGGUCACCGCACUGAAGCGGGACCUUGAGCGGUCCAAGGAAGAGCUCGGCCUUACCAAGAGGCAGCUCGAAGAGAACAAAGGUAAGUGACACCCCGUCUGAAUAUUGGUAAAGAAAAAUUUGGUUUUGGAAUAAUAGGAUCCUCAUGAAUUUUGCUAGGGGCCACGACCGAAGUGGCGGCCCUGCAGAAGGCGCUAUCUGAGGCCGAAGACAAAGCGGCCAAGGAGCACAUCGAGCGAGAGAAGCAAGAGGCCCGAGUAGGCGAGGUGCGGCAAGAGCUCCAGGCUCUCGUCAAGAAACACGAGUCCUUGGAGCUUGACUCUAUGACGCAAGGGUCCGAGCUUGCGAAGGCCCUCGAAAGCGCACAACAUGCCAAGGCCAAAGCCCAAAAGGCCCUCCAGGAAAUUUAGGCGGUUAAGAAGAUAGCGGCGGGUAAGGCAUUCAUUAUGCAAAGCAAGCAUGUGAAGGAAACUUUCUUUUUACUUACCCGAGUUCGGAGUUCUCCAGAAGCGUUCGCAGAUCUACCCCGCAGUGUGUCGGAUGCCACGGAGUUCUACCGGGCCGAGGAGGGGAGCUCGGCGGAGAAGUUGUUCUGGUCUCAGUAUACUGGGACCGAACAUCCAAUGCCCUUGAGCGACCAGUUGAAGCAACUGGUCGAGCUUCACAAGGCGGCCGAACAGGCCAUGAAGGGUCUUAUGGUCUGGAUGUGGCAUGGCGACCCCUGCCUGGUAGCUACUUCGGUCUGGUGAGGCGGCUUGUGAAUGCCUGCACACGGUUUGAAGUCAUAAAGCGGUCCGUCUGCAUUGAGGGUGCGCGCAGGACUUUUGCCCGGGCGAAGGUGCACAGGGCGAAGCUGGACGCCGAAAAGCUGGUGAAGGAGGGGCCGCCGGAGGGCAAGGAGCAUCGCCACCCCGAAAAGUAUUAUGAUAGUGUCCUGAAGGGUGCUCGCCUUGUGGCGGAGGAAUGUGCUAAGGAUGUAAUAUUUGAAUGAAUGUACUCAUGUGAUCCUGUAAUAUGAAACGAGUUCAUUUGCGUACGCAAUGCUUGUUAAUUUAAAAUAUUACCUUCUAUGCGGCCGUUUAUAAAAUCUGAGAGUUGGCCAGUCGUCGGCUUCUGCCCCCAUGUAACUAGUACUAAGGUGUUCGGGGUAAACCUGAGCACUCUUUAUCCCAAUUUUGGGUCCUUCGAAGGAGGUGUUUAGCACAAUGAACCAGGCAAUCGGACUAUAAAGCUUUAUCACUCUCACUUAGCCAUAGAAGUCUACAAUUUUAAAUUUUGGCGAAGCCCCUAGUAUUUCGAAGGCCGAAUUUGGGGCACUAUAUACGCCUAAGUCGGGCAAGACGACUCCUUGCCCGAAGCGGAAAGAGACUUUAAGGACUUGAGACCUCUCGAACAGCGACCAGCUCUCGCCUCAUUAUGACAGUCAGUUUUCGGCUUUCUCUACUGAGGUGCUCGUCCGGAAGAACCGGGACACAAUCGCAGUAGUUCUCCCAAGGCUACCUUAGCCGAUAUUGCGGAACGUAAGGUACCAAAACAUGGGAGCCGGGCAAACCCAACUAUUGACCCAAGACAUGAUUCGGAGCUGGUGCAUAUAAUUCUAUAAGUUCGGGGUGCCGCACUGUCGAAAGUGUUCGGACUUCUCACACUGUAUUAUGGGGUAUACUAAAGCCCCUGGCGCACUGGUCAUACCAGGAUGUACGGGUGCAAUUUGUCGUAAAUAAGCAGACAAGGAAAAAAAAGAAAGGGGAAUGCAAUAAUAGACUAACGAUAUGCAUUGUUAUUAAAUAAUACGUCAAAGCGACGGAUACAAGUAGUGCAAUAAGCAAAAAAUAAGACUAUUUGACAUGUCCUAUCCAAGGGCAAGCUGCGUAUGGGUAUGUAAAACAGGUAUUUCGAUCGUUAUCAGAGACCACCUAGGGAUUCCCUUGUACGUCAGAGCGUCUUGCUUCCUUGGUAUUUCCUUACCGCGAUGGGUCCAACAAUUAGAUUGCCGAAAAGGGCUUCCAGAGAGUAAGGUCCUGAAAGAGAGAAAAUGAUAAAGGUAUAUGGCCCCUGGGGCGGUUGAGCCACCUUGUGGGACGUGCCGUAGCUGUGCCUCCGCCUAUGCCCAUGGUAUCUUGAGUGCGUAGUUAUGUACGCGCGGCGCAAAUUUCGCCACUUGACUGGGACUAGGACGGAGGCCGAAUUGCUAGGCGAGCUCAAAACGUGCAUGGCGAUCCUCCUGCGGGGUACCCCGGACUCGCUUGAAGGUGUCCGGGGUCUUUUUCGCCGAAUUGGCGGUUUGCCUAUUAAGGCUGCUUUGCGCUUCUGCUGCGAGGGCUGCAGUGUGCUCCUCCGUGCGGAGCGAGCGCUCUGUGUUUCCAUUAACUGUUAUAACCCCGCGUGGUCCUGGCAUUUUGAGUUUGAGGUAUGCAUAAUGCGGUACCGCAUUGAAUCUGGGAAAUGCGGUUCGUCCGAGCAGUGCGUGAUAGCCGCUGCGAAAGGGGACGAUGCCGAAGAUUAACUCCUCGCGUCGAAAAUUGUCCGGAGAUCCGAAGACCACUUCCAGUGUGAUUGAGUCCGUGCAACAGGCCUCUACACCUGGGAUUACACCUUCAAAGGAGGUUUUGGUGGGUUUGAUCCUCGAGGGGUCUAUGCCCAUUUUGCACACUGUAUCCUGAUAGAGCAGGUUCAGGCUGCUGCCACCGUCCAUAAGGACGCGAGUGAGGUGAAAUCCGUCAAUGAUGGGGUCAAGGACCAAUGCGGCAGAUCCGCCAUGACGGAUACUAGUGGGGUGGUCCCUGCGAUCGAAGGUGAUCGGACAAGAGGACCAUGGGUUCAACUUUGGGGCGACUGGCUCCAUAGCAUAGACGUCCCUUAGUGCACGCUUCCGUUCCCUCUUGGGAAUAUGGGUUGCGUAUAUCAUGUUCACCGUUUUCACUUGUGGAGGGAACCUCUUCUGUCCUCCAAUGUUCGGCGGCCGAGGCUCCUCCUCGUCGUCGCUAUGGAGCCCCUUGUCCUUGUUUUUGGCAUUUAACUUGUCGGCCUGCUUGAAUACCCAGCAUUCUCUGUUGGUGUGAUUGGCUGGCUUAUCGGGGGUGCCAUGAAUUUUAACGAGCAAUCGAGUAUACGGUCCAAACUGGACGGGCCCGGAUUGCUUGUUUUGAACGGCUUCUUCCGCUGACCGGAUUUAGAGCCACUGAAUCCGGCAUUGACUGUCGUGUCUUCGGCGUUGUCGCCGUUGUUGUGGCGCUUGUGUCUGUUGCGACGUGGUCUGCCAAUAGUAUCUUUGGCGUCUGAAUUGCCGGGAUUUCUUGAUGUGCUGUUGCUGCGAGCUAGCCAGCUGUCCUCGCCCGCGCAAAAGCGGGUCAUGAGUGUCGUGAGGGCUGCCAUGGACUUCAGCUUCUCUUGGCCGCGGUGUCAGGCGAGCCACUCGUCCCGGAUGUUAUGUUUAAAUGCCGCUAAGGCCUCGGCAUCCGGACAGUCGACAAUUUGGUUCUUUUUAGUUAGGAACCGAGUACAGAAUUUCCUGGCCGAUUCCCCUGGCUGUUGGGUUAUGUGGCUCAAGUCAUCAGCAUCUGGUGGUCGCACAUAAGUGCCCUAGAAGUUGUCAAGGAAUGCGUCUUCCAAAUUCUCCCAACUGCCAAUGGAGUUUGCUGGCAGGCUAUUCAGCCAAUGUCGAGCUGGUCCUUUGAGUUUUAGUGGGAGGUACUUGAUGGCAUGUAGAUCGUCAUCGCGGGCCAUGUGGAUGUGGACGAGGAAAUCCUCGAUCCAUACCGCGGGGUCUGUUGUACCAUCAUAUGACUCAAUGUUCACGGGUUUGAAUCCUUCUAGGAAUUCAUGAUCCAUUACUUCAUCGGUGAAGCAUAGUGGGUGUGCAGCGCCUCUGUGCCGGGCUAUGUCACGACGCAGUUCAUACGAGUCUUGUCUGCUGUAUUCGGCCCCGCCGGAUUUGCUUUUAGUGUAUCCGGCAUGACGAUCAUCAUCACACAUUGGGGCGCGACCCCGUGAUCCGUAGAUCGAUCUUGUUUGUCCUGCUCUGUUUUCCUAUACGUCUCGCAGGUCCCGCGUGUUGCCCCAGGCCUUGGUAUUUAUGUUUGAAUGGCGGCGGGGUGCGGGCUGGACUUCGGGCUGAUAUGCCCCUCUGUCUCGGCCACGAGGUGGCCGAUCAGCCGCAUCAUACGCUGGUGAUGUAGGUUUUAAUGCUUCCUCCUCGAUUUGGGGUAGCAACCUGCGCUUUGGGUAACUCUUGGUUGGGCGCUCGAGUUCGUAUUCCUCUACCUCCAGGACUUCAGUCCAUCUAUCCGCUAGCAGAUAUUGAUCAGCUCGAAGCUGUUGUUGCUUUUUCUUCAGGCUGUUUGUUGUAGCUAUAAGCCGACGCUUGAAGCGCUCCUGCUUGACGGGAUCCUCAGGCACGAUAAAUUCUUCGUCGCCGAGGCUCACCUCGUCUUCGGAGAGAGGCAUGUAAUUGUCAUCCUCUGAUUCUCCGUCUGCUGCCUAUUCCGGAGGGCUAGCUUGUUCAUCCUCUCGCUCGAGGUCUGGCUGGAGGGGAUUGUCGUCGUCUUUGGCACUAUCCGGAGCGUUAUUGUCUCUUGUGCCGGUAUCGCUGCUUUUGCUAUGGCGGGACUUAGAGCGGCGCCGCUGACGUCGGUGCUUGGGUUGCUUCUUGGAGGGAUUAUCCUCGGUUGUCUUAUCGCCGUCGCCUUCUUUGGGGGUGUCCACCAUGUAUAUAUCAUAUGAUGAGGUGGCAGUCCAGCGCCCUGUGGGCGGUGGUUCCUGUUCGUCUCCUGUAUCGUCGUCCAUACCGUCGAUGUUUUCGGAGCCGAAAUCGAGCAUGUCGGUUAAAUCGUCGACAGUGGCUACUAAGUGGCUGGUGGGUGGGGAGCGAAUUUCUUCGUCGUCCGCAUCCCAUUCUAGCCAGACAUAGUUCGGCCAAGGGUCUCCUGACAAGGAGAGAGACCUCAAUGAGUUCAGCACGUCGCCCAGUGGUGAGUGCUGAAAGAUAUCCGCGGAGGAAAACUCCAUAAUCGGUGCCCAAUCAGAUUCGAUAGGCACAUACGCAGGCGGCUCAGAGCCCGUGGCCGGGGAUGAAUCCAGGUGUCCGGCGACACAGGUCUCAUAGGAGGUGAAGUCAGUAUUCGGCUCUAUCGCCACUCAGUGUGUGGCCUCCGAGGCGGGGUCCAUCCACCCGUCCUCGGACGGCGCAAUCGACUCCGGAUCUAGGGCCGGAGUAGCCAUGGGUGUGAUCUCCCGAACACCGUCCGGCGGCAGAGCUAAGUCGUGCUCGUCGUGACUGUGCGGCGCACCUGACAUGGGCUCGAAUCCGUCAAAGAUAAAGUCUCCGCGGAUGUUGGCACUGUAGUUUAAAUUUCCAAACCUGACCUGACAGCCAGGGGCGUAGCUCUCGAUCUGCUCCAGAUGGCCAAGCGAGUUGGCCCACAGUACGAAGCCGCCGAAUACAAAGAUCUGUCCGGGGAGGAAAACCUCACCCUGGAUCGCAUCGUUGGCGAUGAUUGAAGGAGCCAUCAAGCCUUUAUCGCGACGGCAGAGUGGAACUCUCAAUGAAAGCACCAAUGUCGGUGUCAAAACCGGCGGAUCUCGGGUAGGGGGUCCUGAACUGUGCGUCUAAGGCGGCUGGUAACAGGAGGCGGGGGACAUGAUGUUUACCCAGGUUCGGGCCCUCUCGAUGGAGGUAAUACCCUACUUCCUGCUUGAUUGAUCUUGAUGAUAUGAGUAUUACAAGAGUUGAUCUACCACGAGAUCGUAGAGGGUAAACCUUAGAAGCUAGCCUAUGGUAUGAUUGUUGUUGUCCUAGGGACUAAACCCUCCGGUUUAUAUAGACACAGGAGGGGGCUAGGGUUACACAGAGUCGGUUACAAGGGAGGAGAUCUACAUAUCCGUAUUGCCAAGCUUGCCUUCCACGCCAAGGAGAGUCCCAUCCGGACACGGGACGGAGUCUUCAAUCUUGUGUCUUCAUAGUCUAACAGUCCGCCUAAAGUAUAUAGUCUGGCUGUCCGAGGACCCCCUAAUCCAGGACUCCCUCAGGGUAUCCCUCACCGGUGGCCAUCUUCAUCAUCCCGGCGCUCUCCAUGACGAAGAGGGAGUAGUUCACCCUCGGGGCUGAGGGUAUGUACCAGUAGCUAUGUGUUUGAUCUCUCUCUCUCUCUCGUGUUCUUGAUUCAGCACGAUCUUGAUGUAUCAUGAGAUUUGCUAUUAUAGUUGGAUCUUAUGAUGCUUCUCCCCCUCUACUCUCUUGUAAUGGAUUGAGUUCUCCCUUUGAAGUUAUCUUAUCGGAUUGAGUCUUUAAGGAUUUGAGAACACUUGAUGUAUGUCUUGUCGUGCUUAUCUAUGGUGACAAUGGGAUAUCACGUGAUCCACUUGAUGUAUGUUUUGGUGAUCAACUUGCGGGUUCCGCCCAUGAACCUAUGCAUAGGGGUUGGCACACGUUUUCGUCUUGACUCUCUGGUAGAAACUUUGGGGCACUCUUUGAAAUACUUUGUGUUGGUUGAAUAGAUGAAUCUGAGAUUGUGUGAUGCAUAUCGUAUAAUCAUGCCCACGGAUACUUGAGGUGACAAUGGAGUAUCUAGGUGACAUUAGGGUUUUGGUUGAUUUGUGUCUUAAGGUGUUAUUCUAGUACGAACUCUAUGAUAGAUUGAACGGAAAGAAUAGCUUCAUGUUAUUUUACUACGGACUCUUGAAUAGAUCGAUCAGAAAGGAUAACUUUGAGGUGGUCUCGUACCCUACCAUAAUCUCUUCGUUUGUUCUCCGCUAUUAGUUACUUUGGAGUGACUCUUUGUUGCAUGUCGAGGGAUAGUUAUAUGAUCCAAUUAUGUUAUUAUUGUUGAGAGAACUUGCACUAGUGAAAGUAUGAACUCUAGGCCCUGUUUCCUAGCAUUGCAAUACCAUUUACGCUCACUUUUAUUAUUAGUUACCUUGCUGUUUUUAUAUUUUCAGAUUACAAAAACCUAUAUAUACCAUCCAUAUUGCACUUGUAUCACCAUCUCUUCGCCGAAUUAGUGCACCUAUACAAUUUACCAUUGUAUUGGGUGUGUUGGGGACACAAGAGACUCUUUGUUAUUUGGUUGCAGGGUUGUUUGAGAGAGACUAUCUUCAUCCUACGCCUCCCACGGAUUGAUAAACCUUAGGUCAUCCACUUGAAAGAAAUUUGCUACUGUCCUACAAAGCUCUGCACUUGGAGGCCCAACAACGUCUACAAGAAGAAGGUUUUGUAGUAGAUAUCAGGGGGAGGGGGGUGAAACCGCCCCGCCGCCGCCGUCCCCGAGCGCGGCGCGGCUUCGCUGGCCGGCCCUCCGGCGGCAGCGAUGCGGGGGGAGGGGGGCACUGGCGGAGGAAGGCUACCGGUGGCGAUGAAGGUUUCCCCCGUAUCGCCUGUUGCGGGCGACGCGGGGGCAGGGUUGACCAGCUCGAGGAUUUCGGCUGAGCUGUAGAACGUAUGAAAUAUUGAAGGAAAACAAAAACAUGAGAAUCAACAGAUAUUGGAGAAGUUGGUACAGAGUGGUACAUGGAAAGGAAAUUUUACUUUUACUGGAGGUUGAAUGAAGUUAUGUUUACACCUUCCAUUUCACUUUGUGGGCACUCCGAAGUUGCAAAGAAAAAAUAUAUAAAAUAUCAUCAUUCGUACGCAUUUAUAUGCAGGUAAUGAAAAUGGCUCCACCUAAUUAUAAGAUUAUUAAGCACUUUUAGUACCCGGGAGUCCCUGGUACUGUGAAGAUGAUAUUAAGACUAAUUAAUGGACAUGGAUUUGUUCUGAUCACACAAAGAUAGCUCAAACACCCAUCCGCUUACUUGCUUGCAUUUCAAAAGAUUGAUAACCACAUUUCAUCAUUUUUCCCCACUUCUCCACCUUGCUGGUGAUAUAUAUCCAGCUUCCGCAUAUAUGAUAUUUUUCACUCUAGCACUUUCAGCUUCUUUUUGAAAUGAAGAGUACUUUUCUUGCUGAUGCAGCAACAAUAGUAAGUCAGAGCUUUCUUAGGCCUUGUACAAUGCAAGGUGCUUUGAGAAAUAAACUAGGCUUUCCUUAAGCACCGAUACUUAUUUGUACAGGAUACUUUAUUAAUUUUUCUCACAAGAUCUUACAAAGUCAUACAACAGUAAGACUAAAGCCGCCGUCUAAGCAACAAACUGUCGCUACACCUAUCCAGUUGAUGAAGGGACGCAGAUAGCCUGGGCCUAAUACCAAACAGACAUCGCAUCCAAGCCUAACAUCUAAGACCUGAGACCCCAACCUAGCCACUUGCCGGGUCUGGGGCACACACUGGUCCGGCGUGCUCUCAGAGGCCGCCGCCGCCAACUGCCACCGCUCCAUCUUCAGAAUUGUACUGAUGCAUCAACCUUACUCGGUCUAGCUAUCGUCGACGCCACCACUGCGCCCAGCGGCACCUCCUCCCUGCCCGCAAACAACUGAGCACAUCGCGGUCGCCACUGAUACACCUCAGCACCAUGCUGCCAAGUACCACCAGCUGACACAGCUUGAAGUCCUUGGAAGAUCUUUCAUGCGUAGCACCUGCCGACCAAGUAUGACAAAGUGUAGCACCUGUCGGUCAGGCAUGACUUGACAUCUCCACCGAAGCUCCGUGCAAGACGAAGCCGCUCCACCUCCUGCCUCUGACUUCCAGCGCUGCUCCACAAACGAUGCUCCCAAGAGAGAAACGAGACAGCGGUGCCACAAUCGUCCGAUCUGGAACACCAGAUCCUAGAGUUUCCCGUGGAGCAGCACGAGUGGGUCGACAGUAGUUACACGAUGAUGCCUCCAUCAAGGUAACGACGAGAACGCCGCCAUCGCCUACCGUCGGCUCGAUUUUCACCGGCAACCAUGUCUCCCCUACUCGCAGUCGGGACUAGAUGAUGGAUCUCGAGAUCCGAUCACCAAGCCUCUGGCCGGCCAUCUCUGGAAGAAGAUGACCACCACGUCCACCAGCGUCACCACACCGGGCACGCGUUGCCGCCGGCACCCCCAUGGUGCCUAGAGGCCGACAAGCCCCGACGAACACCACGCCUCGCCAGCCGCCAUAGCCCAGGCCCAAGCACCACCAGAUCCAGAUCAGAUCGGGGUCAAGGGCCCCAAGCCGCAGCCGUCGCGGAGGCAGCACCACUAGACGGUGCCCUGCCCUCCACCCCGCUGUAGGAUCGAGUCAUCGCCGGAGCUCCGCCACGCCACGCCGCCAAGACGCCGCCGGAAGAACUCGCGCCGCCGCUAGGGGAGAGAGAGACGCGCUAGGGAGAGGCCCCGCCGCUGGCACUGCCUUGGCUUUGCCCGGCUGUGUCCCUCGGCGGCGGCGAGGGGGGAGGGAGGGUGGAGGAGGGCCGGCGGCGGAGGGGGCUAGGGUUCCCCCGAGUCGCCUCAGAGAGGGACGCAGGCGACGGGGUGAGAAAACUGAGAGAGUGGAUAUGGCCUUUACUCGAGCUCAUGGGGUGGCCCGACUGCUGGUGAGUGUUCUCGAUAUUGAGUUCGUGCCUGAUGUGGUUAAGUGGACAUAUAGGGGACAGAUUUUCAACCUCGAGAUUGAGUUUGAGGAUGCCGCUCUCUUCGCUGAGGCUAUCAAUGGGACUGAUGUAGAUAUGCACGAGGGUGAUGACAGCUCGGGUGCUAAGGAGGCACCGGUUGAUGAUGUUGGACGAGAGUUGUCCAACUAAUCGGGGCCCGUUCCUCAGACGCCCAGGGACGGGACGGCACCAUCCUCUUCGGUGCCUAUGAGUUCUCUGAGAUUUGGGUCGUUUGAGCCAGCUUCUGCUCCUCCCAGACUCUGGAGUGACCGGGUGGAGUCCGAUGACGUGUUUGAGCGCACGCUACCUACCCUGGAUUUUGUUGCUGCUGAUAGUCCCGUGCUUGGAGGUUUGGAGGGGAUUAUCUCUGUGCAGACCUCGGUAAGGGGAGGGGAGGCGGAGCUUGGGCAGGUGGCCCCUCUUUCCCCCGCUCUCCCUGCGGUGUCACCUCGGGAGACGGAGUCGACUAUGGAGGCUGUCCCUAGGGAGGGAGUCCAUGGCAGGUGGCCUCGGCUCCUUCUUCUCUUCUCGCGGUGCCGGAGCUGCAGAUGGCGGUUGUGCUUAGGGGAGGCGGUCCAGGGCAGGUGGCCUCGGCCCCCUCUUCACCUCUGGCGGCUAGGGAGGCCACACCCCCUAUGGCGCCGGAGACCUCUUCUAGCCAGAGGGCUGGGGCGGGAGGAGCGUACGGGCAGGCGGCCCACGCGCUUCCCUCUCCCGGCGCGCCAACGUCCCAGGGCCUCGGUUCGAGGUGGACGUCAGUGGGGCCGGGGAGGUCCCCGCCGCUGCCCCCGGCAGCUCCCGCCGACUCUUCGACGUGUGCAGCUUCGCGGUGUGCUGGGGGUGAGGCCGGUGGCUUUACUCCGAGCGGGGUCACUCGGGAGGAGGUCAUCGCCUUUGGAGGGAUUCUAGAUCCUGUCUCUGCGGGGCGACGGAUGAGCUGUCGUCUCUAGGAUCAUCCGGAGGUUGAUGACAUGCAGCAGCGGUGCGCCAUGAGGGCGGCCAAGCUUCGUGACAUUGAGGUCACUACUGGUAUGUCGGUCAACACUUCUAAUUCCAUUCUGCAUUUUUCUAAUAAUGAGAUUAUUAAUAAUUCAAAUCAAUUGGGAGUUUCACUAGGUAGUAAUGAUAGUGAAAUUUCUAACUUUGUAAAUGAUAUCCUGGAUUUGGAAGCGGAACGCGCUUUAGAAAUGAUUCAAAACUUAGCAGCGGUUAAACCCAUGAAUGAUGCAGAUAUCGAUGCGUUGGGGGUCAGGGUGCUCGAUAAUUUUUGUGCAGAUCUUGCACCAUCCAUUCCUGAGUCAGAGGAAGAGGAUAACACUUUUGAGGCUGCCGUAGAUCGAUCCAUGGAGCCCGGUUGUGAGGACUGGGUGGAGGAUCAAAACAAACCUAAACGCAAGUGGAAGCGGAAGAUCUACCCUGCUUCGGCGGUGCGUAGGAGUGCUAGGAUCCGUACUAUUAAAACAUUUCAUGAUGAAAUAUGAAAGGAAUCUUUUGGAAUAGCAGAGGUCUGAAAGACUUGGCUAAAAGAAGGUUUCUUGCAGAUGCGUCUAUCGAGCAUAGGUUGGAUUUUAUCACUCUCUCGGAAACUGGUAGAGAUAAUUUUUCGCCCCAGUUUCUCAGUACUUUAUCGGGAGGUGUUGAUUUCAAUUGGCACUGCCUGCCUCCGAGAGGAAGAUCGGGUGGGAUCUUACUUGGAGUGAGAUGCGAUUCGCUAGAAGUCUGAAGUGUAGUGAUGGGAGAUUUCACAAUUAAGUUCCGGGUUAGGUCGAAAGCCAACGGGUUUAAUUGGGCUCUGAUGGCGGUUAUGCUCCCGCGCAGCCCGAUCUCAAACCAGAGUUCUUGGCGGAUCUUGUUCAAAUUUGCGGCUCUGAGCAGCUCCCAAUCCUGGAUGGGGGUGAUUUCAACAUCAUUAGGAGGAGAGAGGAAAAGAAUAAUGAUAAUUUCGACGGCAGGUGGUCGUUUAUGUUUAAUACCAUUAUUGAAAGCUUGGAUCCUAGAGAGAUAGAGCUUUCGGGUAGAAAAUUCACCUGGGCUAAUACUUUGCCAAAUCCGACGUUUGAGAAGCUGGAUCGAGUCCUAGUGAGCGUCGAAUGGGAACAGAUAUUUCCUUUGGUAACGGUCCAGGCUCUUUCGCGUGGUAUUUCUGACCACACGCCUUUAUUUGUGGACUCUGGUGAGCCAACCCACAUGGGGAACAAAAACUCCUUUUCUUUCGAGCUGGCAUGGUUUGAACGAGAAGGCUUCUUGGAUAUGAUAGCCAGGGAAUGGGCUAAGGAUGCAGGAGGUAGGACUUCGAUUGAGCGCUGACAGAAUAAGAUAAGGCACUUGAGAAGUUUCUUGCGUGCGUGGGCUAAGCAUCUUAGUGGGGUUUAUAAGGUCGAAAAGGAAAGGCUCCUUACACUUAUUCAGUCUCUAGAUUUAAAAGCCGAGUCCACAAUUUUGCAAGCCACAGAGCUUCAUGAUAAACUGGAGGCGGAGAUGAGAUUGAAAGAGCUUCUCCGUGAAGAGGAAUUAAAGUGGGCGCUGCGGGCUAAGGUUCGCAAAGUUGUCCAGGGGGACGCGAAUACUCAAUUCUUUCACAUGAUCGCUAAUGGCAAGCACAGAAAGAAUAGAAUCUUUCAGCUUGAACCAAGAUGAAGGAACGAUUUUAGGACAGGAAAACCUAAAAUUAUACAUAACCGAAUACUACAAGCAGUUGUUUGGGCCUCUGGAGGAUAAUUGUGUAUCCCUGGAUGAGUCUAGGAUUGAGGAUGUGCCUCAACUUACUGCUGAUGAGAAUGAUAUUUUGAUUGCCCCUUUUUCGGGGAAAGAGGUGUUUGAAGCCAUUACACAGAUGAAAAACAAUAAGGCUCCAGGGCCGGAUGGAUUUCCGGCGGAAUUCUAUAAAAAGUGUUGGCAUAUUAUUAAGGGGGAUUUGCAACCAAUGUUCCAUGAUUUAUUCUCUGGACAGCUUCAGUUAUUUCACUUGAACUUUGGAAUGAUAACAUUGCUUCCUAAGAAAACAAAGGCUGUGAGAAUUGAGCAGUUCAGGCCGAUCUGUCUUCUCAAGGUUAGUUUCAAAAAUUUCACAAAGGUUGGGACUAAUAGGCUCACGCAGACUGCGCAUUCUGUGGUGCAGCAUUCCCAAACUGCUUUCAUGCCGGACAGAAACAUCCUAGAAGGGGUUGUGGUCCUUCAUGAAACGCUCCACGAAAUUCACACGAAAAAACUAGAUGGAGUUGUUUUCAAGGUGGAUUUCGAGAAAGCGUACGAUAAAGUCAAAUGGCCUUUCCUUCAACAGGCCUUACAUAUGAAAGGUUUUGAUGAAGCCUGGCGACGCCAGGUAGAAUCUUUCACGCAAAAAGGGAGUGUUGGAAUUAAAGUGAAUGACGACAUAGGUCAUUAUUUCCACACACAUAAGGGCCUGAGACAAGGGGUUCCGAUGUCUCCUAUUUUGUUCAACAUUGUAGUUGAUAUGUUGGCAAUUCUAAUAGGAAGGGCUAAGGAGGUUGGUCAGGUGGGUGGCUUGGUGUCUCAUCUAGUUGAUGGAGGUGUGUCUAUCCUACAGUACAGCGAGAAAUAUGAAGCUGGUGUUAUGCUUAUUUGAACAAUUGACCGGGUUAAAGAUUAACUUUCACAAAAGCAAAUUGUUCUGCUUUGGAAGAGCCAAUGAGGAACAAGAGGCUUAUAGGCAAUUGUUUGGGUGCGAAUUGGGGACCUUACCAUUUACGUAUUUAGGUAUACCAAUUCACCAUCGUAAGCUGACAAACACAGAAUGGAAGUGUAUCGAGGAUCUCUUUGAGAAGAAACUGAGUUGCUGGAAGGGCAAGCUCAUGUCAUACGGAGGCCGAUUAAUUCUGAUUAAUUUGGUUCUCACGAGUAUGCCUAUGUUUCUCUUGUCUUUGUUCGAAGUCCCAGUUGGAGUUAGGAAAAGGCUGGACUUCUAUCGAUCCCGAUUCUUCUGGCAGAGCGAUGAACUAAAAAGAAAAUACAGACUCACCAAAGGGAUAUUAUCUGUCGACCGAAAGACCAAGGGGGUCUUGGCAUUGAAAAUCUUGAGGUCAAGAACAGAUGUCUUCGCAGCAUGUGGCUGUCUAAGUUAUCUGUAGAGAUCGAUGCCACAUGGGCGCAGAUUCUUAGUAGUAAGUAUCUUCAUUCCAAAACUUUGUCCCAGGUGACAGCGAGGCCGACAGACUCACCUUUUUGGAAAGGGCUUAUGAUAGUCAAAUUAGCCUUUUUUAAUAGGACAAAGUUUAUUAUCGUCAAUGGCGCUAGCACGCGAUUCUGGGAGGAUACUUGGCUCGGAGAGACCCCCUUGCACUUCAAUACCCGUCUCUGUAUCGUAUUGUUCAACGACGUGAUGCUUUCGUUGCAACGAUACUUCAAUCCAUCCCCCUUAAUAUUUAGGUCAGGAGGACGCUAGCCGGUAAUCGUUGGGAAGAGUGGCUCCAUCUAGUGAGUAGACUGAUGGAGGUUCAGCUGUCUCAACAGCCCGAUCAAUUACGCUGGAAACUUACUAGGUCUGGAGAGUGUACAGUUAAAUCAAUGUAUCUCGAUGUGAUCAAUUCUAGCUCUAUUCCUAGUUCCAAAUAUGUUUCGACAGUCAAAGUUCCAUUGAAAAUUAAAGUGUUUACGUGGUUUGUACAUAAACAAGUCAUCUUAACCAAGGACAAUUUGGCAAAGCGUAACUGGACAGGACCUACUAAGUGUAGUUUUUGUGAUCGGGAUGAAACUAUCAAACACCUUUUUCUUGAUUGCUCGAUGGCCAAAGUUCUAUGUCGGACAGUCCACAUAGCCUUUGACAUUUCCGAGUUCUGUUAGCACGUUAUUUGGAACGUGGCUUAAUGGGAUAGAGUCCGAAACAGCGAGACACAUUCGCGUAGGAGUAUGUGCUUUAUUGUGGGCAGUCUGGAACUGCAGAAAUGAUUUGGUUUUUAACAGAACAACAAAUAUUCAUUUUUUGCAGGUUAUCUUCCAAGCCACUGCGUUGAUCCGUACGUGGUCACUACUCACUCCGACGGAGGCCAGGGAGCGUUUGGUUACUGGAUCUAUCCGGUGGGAGAUGGUAGCACGGGAUAUCUUCAACCGGUUUGAAUGGCGGUCAUGUAAUAGGAUAGGCAAUUAGUUUACCUAUCUUUCUUAUGCCGGCCGAUUGUGGCUUUUUGGCUAGUUUGUUAUUGGCCCUUUGGCUCUUUAUGAGCUUUCCUUUACUUUCGUUUGAGACUUUAAGACCUUGUUAAACCUAUUUGCUUUUUUAUAAAGUUGGCCGUAUGCAUCGUUCUGAUGCAGAGGCCGGGGAGCCCCCACUUUUCGAAAAAAAACCUCUUGUUAUCUUGUAUUCUUGUGUGACAAUGCUCGAAGAAUAUAAAAGGGCUAGGUGGAAAGACCCCCAUAUCGAAAACUUGCCUACCUACGAGUUUUAUAGACACAGAGCCUCAUUGGAUUGUACUAGAUGGAGCCUCCAGUGAGAGCUGAAGACGAGGCGAUGAGCACGGAGGAGCUGCUCCAAGCCCAGACGGAUCUCUACCACCACUCCCUAGCCUACAUCAAAUCUAUGGCGCUCGGUGCCGCCACAGAACUCAGCGUCGCCGACGCCAUCCACGGCCGUGGCGGUGCCAUCACCUUGUCUGACCUUGCGGCCGCGACCGGCGUCCACCCGACGAAAGUCCAACACUUCGGGCGGCUGAUGCGCGCGCUUACCGUCACUGGUGUCUUCACCUCGGAAGAAAAAGAAGGCGGUGGUGGUGCCCUGUACAAGCUCACUCGGAUUUCACGCCUCCUUCUCGGAGUCGGCAAGCGUCGGCUCUCCCCGAUGGUGCGUAUGCUUGUCAGCGAGGUCAGUUUCACUACUCCCAUGAGCAUCUGCGAGUGGAUCACCACUGAGACGCCGGCCAGGGCCAUGUUCGAGGCCCAUUUUGGCUCUACGCAAAAUGGGUUGUGGGAGAAGGACGACGCGUAUGGUGCCCCCUUCUACUCAGCAAUGGCUGCGGACAGCCGUCUCGUCAUGGAGGUUCUGCUGAGAGAGUGCAGCAGCGUCUUUGAGGCCGUUGCCGGCUCACUUGUCGAUGUCGGCGGCGGCAGCGGAGGAGUCGUGGCUGCCGCCAUUGCCACAGCGUUCCCUCACAUCAAGUGCUCCGUGCUGGACCUCCCCAACGUGGUAGCCGCGGCUGACGACACCACCAACGUGCAGUUUGUCUCCGGCGAUAUGUUUGACUACAUUCCACCAGCGGAUGCCGUUCUACUCAAGGUACGUACUUACAUAGUACUCCCUCCGUAAGGAUAUAUAAGAGCAUUUAGAUCAUUAUUAUUUUAGUGAUUGAUCCAAACGCACUUAUAUUUCUUUACAGAGGGAGUAGCACAUACAAAUGCAGCAAGCUAUCCAUUUCUUAUAUAUAUAAUGAACCAAAUUAAUCAACCAAUCCUUCCUAUAAAUUUUGUAGUGGAUUUUGCAUGACUGGGAAGACCAAGACUGCGUCAAGAUACUGCGCAAGUGCAGAGAGGCCAUCCGCACAAGAGGUGCUGGGGGGAAGGUGAUUAUAAUCGAUUUCGUCGUCGGUGCUGGUUCUUGCAAGGAGACGGAGACACAGGUUCUGUUUGAUCUUUACAUGAUGAUGGAGAAUGGGGCUGAGCGGGACGAGCAAGAGUGGAGCAAGAUUUUCUUUGAAGCUGGAUUUAGUGACUACAAGAUCAUGCCAGUCUUAGGCGCUCGUUCACUCAUUCAAGUAUUCCCAUGAAUUCUGGCGGUUUGAUGUCCAAAUGUACUUCCUGUUUCCAAAUGUUUGUUUGCUUUCACAUCAGAAUAAUGCCUAGGACUAUACUAUAUAGUCUCGACUUUGAAUCUGAAUAAUGAAACUGUUUGUUAUCCUACGUGUUGUUUUCGUUCAUAAUUCAUAUGCUCACAAUGAAAUACAGUCUGCUAUUUUUGUUUACAUUAAAUUAUACUUUACCUAGCAAUAUGGUAAACAGGCUCACUUAGCAGAGGCUGGCUUGUUCGCUUAUUCGCCGCCCUAGGAAUGCGAGCUCCUUGCCGAAAUGAAAUUCUAGUAGCACUGGUUACUAUCGGGUCCUGCAUGUUCGUCAUUUGUGCAAGUAAACACAAUGCAUACGAGUACUCUACUGAAUUGAACUUUUUUGUAUUGUUUUCAUUGGACCAUCCACUGUAUAGUAACAGAGUAUUUAUUGCACACAGACUAUUUUAUUCUUUCAACCCAUAGUUCAUCCACCCACACUUUUAGUCUGAUUCUAAAAUUUGUAACACUUUUAAAUUUUGAACUUGUUCUGAACAAGUAAAAUUCCAAAUUUGACACCAUAAUGAAACUUAUGUCAAAUGUGAGAUCAUAUGAAAUGAAACUGAAGUGAACCAAUAAUAAAAAAUGCAAAAAUAAUUUAAUAAACCAUAAUAAAACUUAUAUCAAAUUUGAGAUGAAACAUAGACGAAUUGUGGAUUGAAACAAUAACGAAAACAAGCUAAGGGGAAUCUAUGAAUAAAUAAUGAGAACAUGUAAAAUUACGAUGACACGGAAAUGAUAUCGUAUGGAAAAUAUGCUAAGAGAACACUUUCAUUGGCCAGCCCAACCAUGAAAGGUAAUUUAACAAAAUGAUAUGAAACUUAUUUGAAAGCUCGAAAAAUAGAAAUAAAACCAGAAUGAAAAUAAUAAUGAAACAUGUAAAAAUACGAUGAAACACAUAUGUAAAAAUAAGGCCGCGAGAUCGUCGUCCUCUGAGUUGGAAGUUUAUGGUGAAGGUGACGUGGGAUCCAUUGCAGGCGCGCCCGGGGUCUGGUGUGGUUGUGGAACACAUAUGUGGAGAUCAUAGUAGCGGUGAAUGACGAACGUGAGCGCUCCGAAGAAUAUGGUGCAGGAAGGAGAAGUCGGUCUGUUAGUGUAGAACCGGCCUUCUGCGAUGAAGGUGAGGAAGCCGAUGGUUAAGCCGUGAGAUUGCCAGCCGUUAUUGAGGAUCUGAUCUAGAGUCGGUCCCCAGCUGACAUAGCCCCUUCCUGUGCUAACUGAUGGUAUGGGAAUUUGCGAGUAUCCUUUGUAGGGUGGCGAACAUGUCCGGAAGUACAAGAAGGGAGUUCGCCAAGGGGGUUUUCCAGAUUUGCGCCCUCAUGGCGAGGAAAUACCUUACGUCCUGCUAUUUGUUUUCUAUUGAUGAUGGAGAACGUUGAGCGAGGGGUUACAAGGGACAUAAAUAUGGCCAUAGGAGUAUAGUCUACGGGAGUAGAUUGGAAUCGCUACCCCUAUCCUCACCUUAUAUAGGUGACGGGGCUAGGUUUUACAUGGCGCCUACAUGAUCUCACACUGCCAUCAUCUUGGCUUCCACCCAAGAUGGUCUUCUGGCUUCCAGGACCCCCGGGCUGUCUCUUGAUGCCAGACCUCCUUCAAGACUUUUGGGCCCGAAGGCCGGCCCACUAUUGGGUUCAUAUCUAGUGUGCCAUCCACGUUGUAAUGCACCAUCACCAACCCCGAUUUCUGGGGCCUUAAGAGUGAAGCGAUUCCUAAUUCUUCUUGGUAACAUGCCAAAGUGUUGUGUCCCAAAGGCUCGACUGGGUAUUUUCGUCAUUGCGGUUGAUAUGGAGAAGGGGUGGGUCGCAUGGAGGCAGAAAUGGGUAAAUGAAGACAGAAACGAGGGGCUGGCCUGACAGUGGUUCAUGUAGACGACGAGCAAGAGCAUGUGGCCAAUUUUUCCGCAAGCGUUAGAAGCAUAGCCAUAAUUCCAGAAAUUUUAGUGGCGGCAACUGAAUUUGCCCUAUUAUAAGAAGGUAUUGCCCCACAACGGUGCGCACACGGGUGACCUUCCUCUUGGUCCAAUGACAGGUGGGCCAUGGACUCGCCGGGGGCCAUAUUAAUGGGACAUUGUCUAUCGUGCUCUUGUGAUUUCUCUCUCGGGUGAUGGGCGGGCUAGACCCACCUGUCGGUUUUUUCGGACACCGUUGGGCUGGCUCAGGUGUGCCAGGGGGCCAGGUCAGACUGUGGUGGGCCUAGACCCCGGCGGGUGUGCGUCGUUCAGGAUGGCCGGCCACGCGGGUGUGCCAUGCUGUUUGAUCGCGAGAGCUGGCAAAGCACGGGCACCAGGUUGUUCGGCUUGUGUGAGCGAAACAGGCGACGGUGAGUCUAUCGUCCAAGAGACGGGCCGAAUAUACCGACAGGCGGAUCAGGCUUCCUGCUCUUGUGCAAUACGAUGAGAAAGGGUUCUCGCGGGAGCACCGAGGCCGCUCCAUGAGAGUGGCCCUGCACGCACCCGCGGUCCACCCGUCAUGGACCCCCGAGUGCACGUCCACUAGUUGAAAACGGAGUUUUAUCACCGGUUCGUAAGGGCCUUUAGUGCCGGUUCUGCAACCGGCACUAAAGAGUGGGGACUAAAGGUCCCCCUUUAGUACCGGUUUGGCACGAACCGGCGUAAACGUGCCACCACGUGGCACGAGCCAGGCCUGGGUGCGUGUAGGACAUUAGUACCGGUUGGUAACACAACCGGUACUAAAUGUUUGGGUGUGUUUUGGUUUUAAUUUUUAUUUUUCCUUUAGUUUUGUGUUUUCAAUUUAAUUUAGUGAUUGUUUUACAUUAUAAUGAGUUGUUAAAUCAUUAGGUGAAAGUACCGCAGAUUAGUUUCGACUGGAUGCAUGUGGAUCCUAGCUAAGUGAUAAAGUAUAUGCCAUAUCCAUAUUACUUAGAUCUAAGUAAUAUGGAUAUGGCAUAUAGUUGAUCACUUAGCUAGGAUCCAUCCAGUUGAAACUAAUAUGCGGUUUCUUUCAUAAAUGAUAUAAUAACUCAUCAUCAUCAUCAUCAUAUUAAUAUAAAAACUCUUGCAUCAUAUCAUCACCAACAACAGUAUAUACUAGCUAGCAAAGAUAUCAUCGAGUUCAACAUGGUCAUGAUAUUAUAAGCAUUCAUAACACCACAAAAGCAAAUCACUCUUUGAGAUUAAGUUCAUGACGAAGAACACGGACACGCAUGAGAGGACAAGAAGUACUAAGAGCAUGAUAACUAGCUAAAUCACUCCUGCUGCUCUCUCUCAGGUAAAAUAGCAUAGAACAUGUAUAGCUCUCCUGAUUCAUCAUAUUGGAUCAUGCAGAUGAACCUGUCUCCUAAUCGUGGGCUGCGCUUCUGAUUGCUGCCCCCUAGUACUUCUUUGCGAUCGUUAACAAUUUUGCUCCAAUCUUUCACUAUUAAGCAUUCAUCGCUUUCAGAAAUUCUGAAUGCACUCAUGUGCACUGUAGGAUAUCUUGGCCGUAAGCUAACAAUUGACAUGCGACCUUUAGUCUUGAUCCACUGAGGCACAACUAUUAAGCAUUCAUCGCUUUCAGAAAUUCUGAAUGCACUCAUGUGCACUGUAGGAUAUCUUGGCCGUAAGCUAACAAUUGACAUGCGACCUUUAGUCUUGAUCCACUGAGGCACAACUGUCAUCGGGAGUCCCUGUUGAAGAACAUCGUAUAGUAAUUAAUAUACUUAGCAAUGAAAGUUUAGCUUGAAAAAUAAUGUAUGCAAAAGAUGCACUGAGGACUAAUAGUAAAAAUCUUACCAUCUUUCCUAAAUACAUGUGACCGUAGUUCAAUACGAUCACUAUUGGUCGCACGUUUUGAGUACUAAGAUUUUCAAAUUCAGGAAAAUGAUUUCUCUUAACAGCAUCAAGAUCCUCAAGCCAUGAAACAUAAUGACUUAUCUCCUCGCAGUUUAGUUCAGCCCCGGGACAGUGGAUGGUCCUGUCUACCAAGCGCCGAACAUGUUUGCUUGAAUCAAAAUAAGCUGUCAAUAGAAAUUACUUGUCAACUAUUUUUGAAUAAACAAUAUCGAAGACAUAAAUAUGGUUGAGAAACUCACAUAAUGGUAGAACUGGAGGCAUCUGCACAUCGACCCAGAUAUCUCUAUUACCUUCAAUAUCAUCUUCCGGACGAAUAUCAAAGGUGAUAACCAUAUCAGGCUCAAAUGCAUAAGUCUUGCAUAGUGCUUGCCAAGUUUUGCAUUCAAAAUAGGUGUAUGUGUCUGCAUUGUAUAAUUUGACGUUGAAAGUAUAACCAUGCUCGGUCUUCAGGUAAACUCUCUUUGCCUCCAUAGUUUCCAUAGCACUGAAACCUAUCUUAUCCAAGACAAAAAUUCUUGCAUGGCAGGGGAUGCGCUACUACAAUAGUGAAAAUUAAAAAUUAUAAGUUGAAGCAAAUGAAGCAUAAGUCAUGCUUAAUUAUGAAAAAAGACUUGUCGUUGUGACUUACUGUAUCCACUUCGAAGGUCUCAUCCAGCUUGAUGCUGAAGCGCCUAUCAUCAACAAGGAAAUUUCUGUCGCACAGGCCGCGCUGGUCUUCACAGUAUUCGCACUUAAUGAAAUCUUUUUCGUCGUCAGACGACAUUUCCUAUGUUCAUAUAGGUGAAACAUUAAACACUUACUAGUUCUAUUAAUUCAACUAGUUCAACUACUUCUAUUAAUUCAACUAGUUCUAUCAAUUCAACUAGUUCUAUUAAUUCAACUAAUUCAACUAAGCAUUUACUAAAAAUAAACUAGUUCUAUAUAUAUAUAUAUAUUAAUAUUUUAAUUAGAUCAUCAAAUCUCAAAUACCUAAAUUUUCUUACUAAAAAUAAACCAGUUCUAUUAAUUCAACAAAUUCAACUAAGAAUUUACUAAAAAUGAACUAGUUAUAUUAAUUUUCUUACUAAAAUAUAUAAAGUAGCUAUGUAUAGUAAUAUUUUAAUUAGAUCAUCAAAUCUCUUAUACCUAAAUUUUCUUACUAAAAAUAAACNNNNNNNNNNNNNNNNNNNNNNNNNNNNNNNNNNNNNNNNNNNNNNNNNNNNNNNNNNNNNNNNNNNNNNNNNNNNNNNNNNNNNNNNNNNNNNNNNNNNNNNNNNNNNNNNNNNNNNNNNNNNNNNNNNNNNNNNNNNNNNNNNNNNNNNNNNNNNNNNNNNNNNNNNNNNNNNNNNNNNNNNNNNNNNNNNNNNNNNNNNNNNNNNNNNNNNNNNNNNNNNNNNNNNNNNNNNNNNNNNNNNNNNNNNNNNNNNNNNNNNNNNNNNNNNNNNNNNNNNNNNNNNNNNNNNNNNNNNNNNNNNNNNNNNNNNNNNNNNNNNNNNNNNNNNNNNNNNNNNNNNNNNNNNNNNNNNNNNNNNNNNNNNNNNNNNNNNNNNNNNNNNNNNNNNNNNNNNNNNNNNNNNNNNNNNNNNNNNNNNNNNNNNNNNNNNNNNNNNNNNNNNNNNNNNNNNNNNNNNNNNNNNNNNNNNNNNNNNNNNNNNNNNNNNNNNNNNNNNNNNNNNNNNNNNNNCUGGGGCGGCGAUGGGGGCGGCGACGACGGCGGCGACGACGACGGCGACAGGAUGGGCUGGGGCGCGAUAGGGGCGGCGACGGGGGCGAAGAACAAACUGAAACGAACUGAAAAUAUUCGUAAGUGGUGCUUAUAUAGCGGUGGCCAUUAGUACCGGUUUGAUACUAAAGGCCUAUUUUGGCCAGGCCAAGAGGCGGGAAGAGCAGGCCUUUAGUACCGGUUGGUGGCUCCAACCGGUACUAAAGACCCACCUUUAGUACCGGGUUGGGCUACCAACCGGUACUAAAGGGGGUGCGCUGCCACCCGCGGUGUAGAAAGUUUAGUCCCACCUCGCCGGGCGAAGGGCAGCCGCACUGGUUUAUAAACCCAGCCGCGGCUGCUACUUUGAACUCCCUUGUAAAGCAGGCUUCUGGGCCUAACUAUGGCACGCUGCCCUGUGAGCCUGCUGGCCCUUGUGGGCCUGAAUUUCCACGCCCGUGGUCUUGUAGGCCCAUUGGGAAGCGCCCCAAUAAUUUUUUAUAUAGUUUGUUUCUUUUCUUCUUUAUUUAUUUUCUUCUAUUUAUUUCUGAGUAGUUUUUUAUAUAGUUUUUUCUUUUCUGCUUUUUUUUAUUUUCUUCUAUUUAUUUCGGAUUAGUUUUUUAUAUAUUUUUUUCUUUUCCCCAAAUCGGUAAAUGACUGAAAAAUAGCAAAUGUUGUCAGAAAGUGUUGAAAAUUGAUGACGUCGCUUUGAAUGGUGUGUAUGGAACGCAAAAAAGUCUGGAGUUGUAAUAAGUUUAAAAAAAUGAAGUGCCCAUGUAACAGAUGAGUUCUCGUCAGAAACCCUGAUACUACAAAAAAGAUAGUCCAGUUUGUACACGAAGUGCGUCCAGUUUUUGCCAUAACCCUCUCUACUCUUUUGCACAUGCUAUGUGGGUGAAAUGAUGAUACCAUGCCAAGUUUUGACAUUUUCAGAGUUUAUUUUGUAGUGAUUUUCAAUUUCACGGUCAUUUAACUCUCUAAACAAAUCGGUAAAUGACUGAAAAAUAGCAAAUGAUGUCAGAAAGUGUUGAAAAUUGAUGACGUCGCUUUGAAUGGUGCGUACGGAACGCAAAAAAGUCUGGAGUUGUAAUAAGUUUAAAAAAAUGAAGUGCCAGUGUAACAGAUGAGUUCUCGUCCGAAACCCUGAUACUCCGAAAGAGAUUGUCCAGUUUGUACACGAAGUGCGUCCAGUUUUUGCCGUAAUCCUCUCUACUCUUUUGCACAUGCUGUGUGGGUGAAAUGAUGAUACCAUGCCAAGUUUCGACAUUUUCAGAGUUCAUUUUGUAGUGAUUUUCAAUUUCACGGUCAUUUAGCUCUCUAAACAAAUCGGUAAAUGACUACAAAAGUGCAAAUAAUGUCAGAAAGUUUUGAAAAAUGAUGACGUCGCUUUGAAUGGUGUGUACGGAACGCAAAAAAGUCUGGAGUUGUAAUAAGUCUGAAAAAUCGAAGUGCCAAUGUAACAGAUGAGUUCUCGUCAGAAACCCUUAUACUUCGAAAGAGAUUGUCCAGUUUGUACACGAAGUGCGUCCAGUUUUUGCCGUAACCCUCUCUACUCUUUUGCACAAGCUAUGUGGGUGAAAUAAUGAUACCACACCAAGUUUCGACAUUUUCAGAGUUGAUUUUGUAGUGAUUUUCAAUUUCACGGUCAUUUAGCUCUCUAAACAAAUCGAUAAAUGACUGAAAAAUAGUAAAUGAUGUUAGAAAGUGUUGAAAAUUGAUGACGUCGCUUUGAAUGGUGCGUACGGAACGCAAAAAAAGUCUGUUGUUGUAAUAAGUUUAAAAAAAUGAAGUGCCAGUGUAACAGAUGAGUUCUCGUUCGAAACCCUGAUACUCCGAAAGAGAUUGUCCAGUUUGUACACGAAGUGCGUCCAGUUUUUGCCGUAACCCUCUCUAAUCUUUUGCACAUGCUAUGUGGGUGAAAUGAUGAUACUAUGCCAAGUUUCGACAUUUUCAGAGUUCAUUUUGUAGUGAUUUUCAAUUUCACGGUCAUUUAGCUCUCUAAACAAAUCGGUAGAUGACUAAAAAAUAGCAAAUGAUGUCAGAAAGUUUUGAAAAUUGAUGACGUCGCUUUGUAUGGCGUGUACGGAACGCAAAAAAUUCUGGAGUUGUAAUAAGUUUAAAAAAAUGAAGUACCCAUGUAACAGAUGAGUUCUCGUCAGAAACCCUGAUACUCCAAAAGAGAUUGUCCAGUUUGUACACGAAGUGCGUCCAGUUUUUGCCGUAACCCUCUCUACUCUUUUGCACAUGCUGUGUGGGUGAAAUGAUGAUACCAUGCCAAGUUUCGACAUUUUCAGAGUUCAUUUUGUAGUGAUUUUCAAUUUCACGGUCAUUUAGCUCUCUAAACAAAUCGGUAAAUGACUAAAAAAUAGCAAAUGAUGUCAGAAAGUGUUGAAAAUUGAUGACGUCGCUUUGAAUGGUGCGUACGGAACGCAAAAAAAGUCUNNNNNNNNNNNNNNNNNNNNNNNNNNNNNNNNNNNNNNNNNNNNNNNNNNNNNNNNNNNNNNNNNNNNNNNNNNNNNNNNNNNNNNNNNNNNNNNNNNNNNNNNNNNNNNNNNNNNNNNNNNNNNNNNNNNNNNNNNNNNNNNNNNNNNNNNNNNNNNNNNNNNNNNNNNNNNNNNNNNNNNNNNNNNNNNNNNNNNNNNNNNNNNNNNNNNNNNNNNNNNNNNNNNNNNNNNNNNNNNNNNNNNNNNNNNNNNNNNNNNNNNNNNNNNNNNNNNNNNNNNNNNNNNNNNNNNNNNNNNNNNNNNNNNNNNNNNNNGACUAAAAAUAGCAAAUGAUGUCAGGAAGUGUUGAAAAUUGAUGACGUCACUUUGAAUGGUGCGUACGGAACGCAAAAAAAGUCUGGAGUUGUAAUAAGUUUAGAAAAAUGAAGUGCCAAUGUAACAGAUGAGUUCUCGUCAGAAACGGUGAUACUCCGAAAGAGAUUGUCCAGUUUGUACACGAAGUGCGUCCAGUUUUUGCCGUAAUCAUCUCUAUUCUUGUGCACAUGCUGUGUGGGUGAAAUGAUGAUACCAUGCCAAGUUUUGACAUUUUCAGAGUUCAUUUUGUAGUGAUUUUCAAUUUCACGGUCAUUUAGCUCUCUAAACAAAUCGGUAAAUGACUACAAAAGUGCAAAUAAUGUCAGAAAGUUUUGAAAAAUGAUGACGUCGCUUUGAAUGGUGUGUACGGAACGCAAAAAAGUCUGGAGUUGUAAUAAGUCUGAAAAAAUGAAGUGCCAAUGUAACAGAUGAGUUCUCGUCAGAAACCCUUAUACUUCGAAAGAGAUUGUCCAGUUUGUACACGAAGUGCGUCCAGUUUUUGCCGUAACCCUCUCUACUCUUUUGCACAUGCUAUGUGGGUGAAAUGAUGAUAUCACGCCAAGUUUCGACAUUUUCAAAGUUGAUUUUGUAGUGAUUUUCAAUUUCACGGUCAUUUAGCUCUCUAAACAAAUCGAUAAAUGACUGAAAAAUAGUAAAUGAUGUCAGAAAGUGUUGAAAAUUGAUGACGUCGCUUUGAAUGGUGCGUACGGAACGCAAAAAAAGUCUGUUGUUGUAAUAAGUUUAAAAAAAUGAGUUGCCAGUGUGACAGAUGAGUUCUCGUUCGAAACCCUGAUACUCCGAAAGAGAUUGUCCAGUUUGUACACGAAGUGCGUUCAGUUUUUGCCGUUACUCUCUCUACUCUUUUGCACAUGCUAUGUGGGUGAAAUGAUGAUACUAUGCCAAGUUUCGACAUUUUCAGAGUUCAUUUUGUUGUGAUUUUCAAUUGCACGGUCAUUUAGCUCUCUAAACAAAUCGGUAGAUGACUAAAAAAUAGCAAAUGAUGUCAAAAAGUUUUCAAAAUUGAUGACGUCGCUUUGUAUGGUGUGUACGGAACUCAAAAAAUCUGGAGUUGUAAUAAGUUUAAAAAAAUGAAGUGCCCAUGUAACAGAUGAGUUCUUGUCAGAAACCCUGAUACUUCGAAAGAGAUUGUCCAGUUUGUACACGAAGUGCGUCCAGUUUUUGCCGUAACCCUCUCUACUCUUUUGCACAUGCUGUGUGGGUGAAAUGAUGAUACUAUGCCAAGUUUCGACAUUUUCAGAGUUCAGUUUGUAGUGAUUUUCAAUUUCACGGUCAUUUAGCUCUCUAAACAAAUCGGUAAAUGACUGAAAGAUAGCAAAUGAUGUCAGAAAGUGUUGAAAAUUGAUGGCGUCGAUUUGAAGGGUGCGUACGGAACGCAAAAAAAGUCUGGAGUUGUAAUAAGUUUAAAAAAAUGAAAUGCCAGUGUAACAGAUGAGUUCUCGUCCGAAACCCUGAUACUCCGAAAGAGAUUGUCCAGUUUGUACACGAAGUGCGUCCAGUUUUUGCCGUAACCCUCUCUACUCUUUUGCACAUGCUAUGUGGGUGAAAUGAGGAUACCAUGCCAAGUUUCGACAUUUUUAGAGUUCAUUUUGUAGUGAUUUUCAAUUUCACGGUCAUUUAGCUCUCUAAACAAAUCGGUAAAUGACUAAAAAAUAGCAAAUGAUGUCAGAAAGUUUUGAAAAUUGAUGACGUCGCUUUGAAUGGUGUGUACGGAACUCAAAAAAGUCUGGAGUUAUAAUAAGUUUUAAAAAAUAAAGUGCCCAUGUAACAGAUGAGUUCUCGUCAGAAACCCUGAUACUUCGAAAGAGAUUGUCCAGUUUGUACAGGAAGUGAGUCCAGUUUUUGCCGUAACACAAGAAGUCCGGAGUUGUUAUAAGUUAUUAAAGAUAAAAAAGAGGCACAAUGCUCGUUAAUUAGCUUCAAGCCUUUCGGAAUAGUGCAAACUGCACUGCACAUAGCUCCGUGCAGUCUACACUAUUCCUCAAGGCUUAAAGCUAAGCAACGUGUAGAUGAGCAUUUCACGGUCAUUUAGCUCUCUAAGCUAAUCUAGUAGCCAUGUUAAGUCGAUAAUGACGUGGAAUUGUUAUAUGACAUGCAAAUACCUUCUGAGUUAAUGGCACUAGUCAUCAACCCGUGCAACUGCAUGGGCUAGUUUUUUAAACGGUUCAUAGUUACAAUACUUUUCAUGACCACUUGUUUCUUUGCAUCCAGCAAGAAUAUAAAUUUGUUGUGUGUGAACCAUUAAAUGAACAAUUAAUAUGAAAAUAGAAAACUUAUAUCCUGAAAGUUUACAAUCUUCAUAAAAUAUUUAUAUUUUAUUUUAAGACAAACGGGAAAUUAAAAAUCCUACUUAUAGAGAUCCUGAAACAUAAUUCAAAUGUCGCAUAAAUUACGUAAUUUUGAAUGAUAAGUACUAAAAAUGUAAUAAUUUGUUUAGUUAAUAUUAAUCCUUUUUUUAUUUGGGAGUCUACUUAAUCAUGGGGUAUUUUGCAUAAUGCUUAGGCUUGUCAAAUGAAAUAAGCAUUUCAUAACAACAGUGUACCUCCCUACAGUUUAAUAACAAACUUACUCUACAAACACCGAAAACCGAACCAAAGACUGAAGAAGCAAUCAUAAGUGUCAUACUUCUUAAAUUCUCCUUUUUUUUCCCGGCACCACCCAUGGAGUAGUCUUUCCACCGUGUUUGACUCUCGUUGUGGUAGCAAAUGAUGGGUCCAAGUUUUCGCAUAGUAUUGUCCGUUUGUUUUAUCAUGAUAGAGUACUCCAUUAGUUGGCACCGCUCUUAUAUUUGUGUGUGAUCUUUUAGCAGUUCAACAUUAUAGUUCUUCCACCCAUAUGUUCGCAAUGUUAAAUCUAUGGAGAAAAAGAUUCAAAUCUUCACUAUUGUACCACAAAAGCAAGUCACAUGAAUAGCUCGCAAUUAUUUAACUACUGGUGGUUGGUGCCAGGUAUAUUAGCGUUAGGAAAGUAAAUGUACAUACUGAACAUUUGACUGUGGAAGAAAAUGAAUUUUCUUAUUUACUCUUAUUGAAUUCUAAAUAUAUUUUGGAUAUUUGUUUUCAGUAAUACACCUAAUUUUGGAAAAUCUAUUUCAUAGCCUUGUAUUUUUGAAAUAUUUUACAAAACAUGACACAAAUUGUUGUGUUUUUUCACAUACAUAUUUAUAACAUUAAUACACUCUUUAUAUGUAAUGUGAUAUUUAUUAUAUAAUUUUUUAAUCAUACAUAACUAAAUUCUUAUUAUUUUCAAAUCACAAAUUUUAAAUGAUAUGAUAACUUACAUUUUAAAAGCUCUAUUUCGGGACAUUAUAACUAAAAACUAUCUGAGCGAAUCGGGCACCAUAAUGUAUUUGGUGUCUACACUUUGUCGCAUACAUAGCCUUUUUUAUUUUUAAUGUAAUUGCUAAAAUAUGUAAUUAUGUAGAACUUAAUAUUACAUUCUAUUACACAGAUUGGACUUAUAUAGGUUGGAAAAGAAUUAAAUCUAUGCUGUCAAACCUACCGAAUAGCAUUCCUCCGGCACAUUGUAUAUCUGGCAUUUAUUAGUAAUGUGUCUAAAUCAGUUCGGGAUAAAUUCACUCUACAUCGUCAUAAUGGCUUGUUGUUAAAAUUUGGCAUCCUGACGCAUUACUUGGAAUUUUUAUAAACUCAGUGUAAACAGUUAUGUUAUCUUUUUAAACAUAAGUUAUUUAGUUCAAUUCGGAGUACUAUAUAGUAAUUUUCAACAGUAAAUCUAGCCUAUUUCAACUCGGUCAUUAUAAACAAUAAAUCUAGCCUGUUUCAACUCGGCCAUUAUAUUUAACUUAUUUAAGACAUAAGGUAAUCUAACUUUUGAACAAUCUUUAGAAAUCUACAUAUGUAGAGGUCAAGUAGGACAUACAUAUGUGAAAUUCCUUAAAAUAAUUUGAUAAUUGUUAUAUUAAAGAAAAUAAUAUUAUAAUUUAUUAUCUGUACUUACUAUAAUUGCAAUACUUUUUGAUAGCAUGUUCCCGUUGCAUAGUGUCGCUUACUGCACAAUAUCUUAAUUUGUUAUGUGUCUCGGAUAGAAAAAUAUUGUAUUUCCGCGUAUGUAUAUGCAUGUCUAUAUAUGUUUCACACACAUGAAAUUUUUUUAUAUAUUAAAAAAUGAUUUCGCCUGAGUUACAUCCAUGCAUGCUAAUUUCCUGUCUAUCAUUGGAGUUUAGAUCUAUGCAUGUAUGUGCUUGACUAAGCUCUGCACAUAUAUACGUGCCGGUCAAAUCAUAUACAUGAACGUACAUCACUCUAUUCUACUAUUAAGGGAUUCGUUGAGCACCUCGUCAAAGAAACAAACCUUUCAGAUCAACUUGUAAAUUUUCUUUUUACAUAUUUGCAUUUUUUUAGCAUAUUUGCAUUUCUUUCCUAAAAUAUUGCAAUAUUUGCAAAUAUCUGAAUCAUAUUCUUUUGAUUGACAAUAACACAAUGGCUUACCAGCAGAUCAAAACAGAUAUCUAGCUAGUGCGAAGGUUGUGCCACCUCUUGAUUGUUUCCUCCAUGAGCAAGCAAGCUUCUGGUAACGGUAACAGUCAUGGCGACGGAACAUGAUGUGCCGGCGAGCCGCAGACAUUAGAAAGAUCUGAAAAGAAGCAGAUAGGCAUGAUGCAUAAAUCUGGAAAGGAAGAAGAAUAUGCAUAACUCAAAAGCAUUGAAGCCGUCGGUUUUUGCAUUGCUCUACGAUCAGUUAAUGUACGCAUGCAUCGUAUAUGUACGCAUCCAGCCGCCGGAAUUUACUUCUCCUGCCUUCGUUUGUCAAGGGCAAAAAUACUGGCCAGCAGCACAAAUUGAAGACCAGCUUUCGGCACCUCCAUAACGCUCGUAGAAAAGUUCUCAAUGACUUGCAUCGGGAAUAUCUCUCCAGACCAGGGCAUGCGCCAAUUAAUGCUUCUUGCCGUGUCAUGUAUGCCGGGUCAUGUAUCUCUACGGGGACAACAAAAUUCAACUUGUUUAUUUUUGGAUAAUCAUUGGGAGAUAGAGACCCAGCACAGGACGUCUCCCAUGCGUGGGACAACCGAGGUUUUUUUUUUCAAUCUUAGGCUUCAUCAACGGCUAAAAUAUAUUAUAUUUUAAUCUGACGGAUGUAAAUCUUUAACUUAUAAAAUUGACGUGAAUCCUCGUAUGGCUCUUCCAAUUAGUAAAUAUAUAAGAUAGUAGUAGACGUGAAGAAUAAAGGGGCAGUAAUGGGAUAUUAAAUGUGGCAGCUAACUUGCUAGGCCUUCGAGUUAUAUUUUGUUCAGCAUUAAGUGGAAAACAUAUUUUGGCAUCCUUUUCCUCCUCUCGACUCUGACAAAAUGUUAGUGAUAUUCAAAUGGAAAAGCUUAGGCAAGAAAUAUUCCGAGGAAAAAUAAUGCAUCUACUCUAAAAUAUAUUUUCAUCAAUAGUAGUCCACUACUACCAUGAGCCAAUGGCCAUGGUUCUAUUCAAAAUUUUAAUUUAUCAAGAUCAGGCGUAGACUUGAUGUUGACAUCAAUGGCUAUCUAGGCUUAGAGAGAUGAGAGGAGUGAAGAACAAAAAAGGAGCGCCAAUAAUGGUUAUAACCCAUAGGGGAUAAAAUAAGGACGCCGCUAGUUGGCAUGAAUUGAUACAGGUAGACAUCACUUACUCUGCGUCCCUGAAUAGAGGCCAUAAUUUGUGUUGCUCUAGGGACCCAUAAUUUAUGAAUUCUGCUCACAAGAGAUCCGACUGUUGUGGGGAUCAAACUUUAGCACGCUGCCCUUAGAGCAACUCCAACGCGUCAACCCAAAUGGACGGCGAUUUUGUUAUAUUUUCGUCUGUUUGUGUCGACCGUCCACUCGGUGUCCGCCUAAUUUUCUUUUUGGGUCAGCAGUGCGCCCAAUGCCAGCGACUCAUUUCAUGUCCGUGCACAAAUUUUAAAAAGGCCCGCGGCUGUAGAUCAUGGCAGCGGCCAAGCCGUCACCCAAAGUUCAUGCCGGCACCAUGCCAGCAGCCGACAUACAAUGCCAGCUCCAAAAAAGCACCACACAGUUUGUGUUGGCGCACUUGCCAGCGACUGGCAUAGAUGCCAGCAAACAAAAAAGGGGCGGGAGUUCGACCACGCCAUCGCGACCGUAGUCAUGCCAACACACUUUUCGGCAUGCAAAAAAGGAUGGCGCUUUCCGCCAUAAAUCACUCGUCGUCGAACUUGAGCAUGUCGGCUUGCAUCUUGUCGAACCACGACCUCUUCCUCGGCGACAUGGUGUUGAGGUCCACCUUCAUGAUCUCCACACCCGUCAUCAUGCUAGCGAGAACCACUUCUUUCGCCUUGGUCUUGACAUUUGCGGCAUCGAUAUCUAGCAUCUUGGCUUGCACUGGUGCAGAACCGGGCUUUAGCACCAGUUCGUAAGGCCCUUUAGUGGCGGUUCUUGAACCGGUACUAAGGGGGGGGGGGCUUUAGGGAUUUUGGUUUUAUUAUUUAUUUUUCCUUUAAUUUUGUAUUUCCAUUUAUUUUAUUUUUCAUUUGCUGGUAUUUUACGAACUACAUAUUGUACACGUUAUGCAUAUAUAUAAAUAUAAUUUCUCGUAGAACCGAUCAUAUANNNNNNNNNNNNNNNNNNNNNNNNNNNNNNNNNNNNNNNNNNNNNNNNNNNNNNNNNNNNNNNNNNNNNNNNNNNNNNNNNNNNNNNNNNNNNNNNNNNNNNNNNNNNNNNNNNNNNNNNNNNNNNNNNNNNNNNNNNNNNNNNNNNNNNNNNNNNNNNNNNNNNAGCUAAUCAUUGAUAUAUACUACAUACUAAACGUACAUACUCUCUAUUUUGACGGAUACUACAUACAACAUACAAAAUGCAAGUGGUGGUAAUUACCACCGCUUGGAGGAAGCAUUUGAGGCACCACCAUUUGAAGCACCGCCAUUCACACAUAGAGCAGAAAAGAGUACCGGUUGGAGCGACCAACCGGUUUAAAGGGGUGUGCUGGCCCAGGUGCGAUGCACAAAGUUUAGUCCCACCUUGCUGAGCGAAGGGCGGCCGCACUGGUAUAUAAACCCAGCCGCGGCUGCUCCUUUGAGCUCCUCCCUAACGCAGGCCUUCUGGGCCUACUUGUGUUGCGCUGCCCUGUUGGGCCUACUAGCCUUGCGGGCCUACCUCCUGGCCCGACUACAGGUUGGGUUUCUAGUCGCAUGCAGGCCGCUGUGGCCCAGUAGGCGGGCUUUUAAAAAAAUAUUGUUUGCUUUAUUUAUUUUCUUUUAUUUAUUUCUGAGUUGUUUUUCCUGUAUUUCGAAUUUCUUUGUGAAUAUUUUUGCUUUAGGUACAAAAAAUUACAAAAUUUCUGUUAGUGCCAGUAGUUUUCAAAUUUGAAUAGUUUAAAUUUGUCUCCUUUAUUUAUUUUUAAGUUGUUUUUUGCUGUAUUUAGAAUUUCUUUGUGAAUAUUUUGCUUUAGGUAAAAAAAAUUACAAACUUUAUGUUAGUGCCAAUAGUUUUCAAUUUUGAAUAGUUUAAAUUUGUCUGCUUUAUUUAUUUUCUUUUAUUUAUUUGUGAGUUGUUUUUUGCUGUAUUUAGAAUUUUUUGUGAAUAUUUUUCUUUAGGUACAAAAAAUUACAAAAUUUCUGUNNNNNNNNNNNNNNNNNNNNNNNNNNNNNNNNNNNNNNNNNNNNNNNNNNNNNNNNNNNNNNNNNNNNNNNNNNNNNNNNNNNNNNNNNNNNNNNNNNNNNNNNNNNNNNNNNNNNNNNNNNNNNNNNNNNNNNNNNNNNNNNNNNNNNNNNNNNNNNNNNNNNNNNNNNNNNNNNNNNNNNNNNNNNNNNNNNNNNNNNNNNNNNNNNNNNNNNNNNNNNNNNNNNNNNNNNNNNNNNNNNNNNNNNNNNNNNNNNNNNNNNNNNNNNNNNNNNNNNNNNNNNNUAAGUUGUUUUUUGCUGUAUUUAGAAUUUCUUUGUGAAUAUUUUUGCUUUAGGUACUAAAAAUUACAAACUUUCUGUUAGUGCUAGUAGUUUUCAAAUUUGAAUAGUUUAAAUUUUUCUGCUUUAUUUAUUUUCUUUUAUUUAUUCCUGAGUUGUUUUUUGCUGUAUUUAGAAUUUCUUUGUAACUAUUUUUGCUUUAGGUACAAAAAAUUACAAACUUUAUGUUACUGCCAGUAGUUUUAAAAUUUGAAUAGUUUAAAUUUGUCUGUUUUAUUUAUUUCUGAGUUGUUUUUUGCUGUGUUUAGAAUUUAUUUUUGAAUAUUUUUGCUUUAGGUACAAAAAAUUACAAACUUUCUAUUAGUGCCAGUAGUUGUCAAAUUUGAAUAGUUUAAAUUUGAAUUAUUUGAAAUUUUUGUGAAUAACUAGUUUCGGAAUAACUUUACUUUAAAAAUAGAUUUUUCAGUGAUUCGUUUUUCUUAUGUCUAACAUUAGUGUGUUUUAUCAUUAUAUUCAAUUUGGUAAUACUUAGGUUAUUUAAAAAAUGAAAUGCCAUUGUAACAGAUGAGUUUUCGUCUAAAAACUCUGAUACUUCGAAAGAGAUUGUCCAUUUUGUACACUAAGUGCUUCCAGUUUUUGCCAUAACCCUCUAUACUUUUUUGCACAUGCUAUGUGGGUGAAAUGAUGAUACCAUGCCAACUUUCAACCUUUUCAGAGUUCAUUUGUAGUGCUUUUUAAUUUCAGGGUCAUUUAGCUAAAAAAAUCAUUAAAUGCAUGAAAAAUAGCAAAUGAUGUCCGAAAGUGUUGAAAGUUGAUGACGUGGCUUUGAAUGGUGCAUACUGGACGCACAAAAAGUAUGGAGUUGUAAUGAGUUUCAAAAAUGAAAUUCCUUUGUAACAGAUGAGUUUUCGUCCGAAACCCUGAUACUCCGAAAGAGAUUGUCCAUUUUGUACACGAAGUGCAUCCAGUUUUUUCCAUAACCCUCACUACUUUUUUGCACAUGCUAUGUGGGUGAAAUGAUGAUGCCAUGCCAACUUCCAACCUUUAAGAGUUCAUUUGUAGUGUUUUUCAAUUUCAGGGUCAUUUAGCUAAAAAAUCAAUAAAUGCAUGAGAAAUAGCAAAUGAUGUCAGAAAGGUAUGAAAGUUGAUGACGUGGCUUUGAAUGGUGCAUACUGAAUGCACAAAAAGUUUAGAGUUGUAAUAAAUUUAAAAAAUGAAAUGCCUUUGUAACAGAUGAGUUUUCGUCCGAAGCCCUCAUACUUCAAAAGAGAUUAUCCAUUUUGUGCACGAAGUGCAUCCAGUUUUUGCCGUAACCCUCUCUACUUUUUUGCACAUUAUAUGUGGGUGAAAUGAUGAUACGAUGCCAACUUCCAACCUUUCAGAGUUCAUUUGUAGUGCUUUUCAAUUUCAGGGUCAUUUAGCUAAAAAAAAUCAGGAAAUGCACGAAAAAUAGCAAAUGAUGUCAGAAAAGUUUGAAAGUUGAUGACAUGGCUUUGAAUUGUGCAUACUGAACGCACAAAAAGUCUAGAGUUGUAAUAAGUUUAAAAAAUGAAAUGCCUUUGUAACAGAUGAGUUUUCGUCCGAAACCCUCAUACUUCGAAAGAAAUUGUACAUUUUGUACACGAAGUGCAUCCAGUUUUUGCCGUAACCCUCUCUACUUUUUUGCACAUGCUAUGUGGGUGAAAUGAUGAUGCCAUGCCAACUUUCAACCUUUGUAGAGUUCAUUUGUAGUGCUUUUCAAUUGCAGGGUCAUUUAGCUAAAAAAUCAGUAAAUGCAUGAAAAAUAGCAAAUGAUGUCAGAAAGUGUUGAAAGUUGAUGACGUGGCUUUGAAUGGUGCAUACUGAAUGCACAAAAAGUCUGGAAUUGUAAUAAGUUUAAAAAAAUGAAAUGCCUUUGUAACAGAUGAGUUUUCGUCCGAAACCCUGAUACUCCGAAAGAGAUUGUCCAUUUUGUACACGAAGUGCAUCCAGUUUUUGCCGUAACCCUCCCCUACUUUUUUCCACAUGCUAUGUGGGUGAAAUGAUGAUACGAUGCCAACUUCCAACCUUUUCAGAGUUCAUUUGUAGUGCUUUUCAAUUUCAAGGUCAUUUAGCUAAAAAAUUAGUAAAUGCAUGAAAAAUAGCAAAUGAUAUCAGAAAGGUUUGAAAGUUGAUGACGUGUCUUUGAAUGGUGCAUACCGAAAGUACAAAAAGUCAGGAGUUGUAAUAAGUUUAAAAAAAUGAAAUGCCUUUGUAACAGAUGAGUUUUCGUCUAAAACCCUCAUACUUCGAAAGAGAUUGUCCAUUUUUUUCUACACGAAGUGCAUCCAGUUUUUGCCGUAACCCUCUCAACUUUUUUGCACAUGCGAUGUGGGUGAAAUGCUGAUACCGCCAACUUUUAACCUUUUGAGAGUUCAAUUUUAGUGCUUUUUAAUUUCAGGGUCAUUUAGCUAAAACAAUCAGUAAAUGAGCUAAAAGUAGCAAAUGAAGUCAGAAAAGGGUUGAAAAUUGCUGAUGUGCCUUGGAAUGGUGCAUAUUGAACACACAAAAAGUCUGGAGUUGAAAUAAGUUAUUAAAAAUAAAAUCCUUUUGUAAUAGAUGAGUUUCGUCCGAAACCCUGAUACUUCGAAAGAGAUUGUCCAGUUUGUAGAAGAAGUGCAUCCAAUUUUUGCCGUAACCCUCUCAACUUUUUAGCACAUGCUAUGUGGAUGAAAUGAUGAUAUCAUGCUAAGUUUCAACCAUUUCAGAGUUGAUUUGUAGUGCUUUUCAUUUUCAGGGUCAUUUAGCUAAAAAAAUUCAUUAAAUGCAUAAAAAUAGCAAAUGAAGGCAGAAAAGAGUUGAACAUUGAUGAUGUGACUUUGAAUGGUGCACAAUGAACACACAAAAAGUCCGGAGUUAAAAUAAGUUAUAAAAAUGAAGGAGAGGCGCAAUCCUCACUGGCACAUUGCUUAGCUUCAGGCCUUGACAAACUACACAUAGCUCUGUGCAAUCUACACCAUUUCCUCCAGGCAUGAAGCUAAGCAACGUGCAGGUGAGCAUUGCGCCUCUCCUUCAUCGUUCCUCGUCUCUGCACUCAGGGCUUAUAAACCGCUGAUACGUCUCCAACGUAUCUAUAAUUUUUGAUUGUUCCAUGCUAUUAUAUUAUCAAUCUUGGAUGUUCUAUAAUCAUUUUAUAGUCAUUUUUUGGUACUAACCUAUUGACAUAGUGUCAAGUGCUAGUUGUUGUUUUCUGCAUGUUUUUUACAUUGCAGGAAAUCAAUACCAAACGGCGUCCAAAUUCAAUGAAACUUUACGGGGAUUUUUUAUGCACCAGAAGACACCUAAUGGGCCAAGGCUGCGCCUAGGGGGUGCUCCGAGGAGAGCACAACCCACCAUGGCGCGCCAGGAGGCCCGGGCACGCCCUGGAGGGUUGUGCCCACCUCGGGUGCCCCUCGGGCCGCCUCUUUGCUCUAUAAAUAUCCCAAUAUUCCAGAAACCCUAGGGGAGUCGACGAAAAUCAAUUCAAGCCUCCGCAGAGUCCAGAACCACCAGAUCCAAUCUAGACACCAUCACGGAGGGGUUCACCACUUCCAUUGGUGCCUCUCCGAUGAUGCGUGAUUAGUUCUUUGUAGACCUUCGGGUCCGUAGUUAGUAGCUAGAUGGCUUCCUCUCUCUCGCCAAACUCUCAAUACAAUGGUGUCUUGGAGAUCCAUAUGAUGUGACUCUGUUUGCGGUGUGUUUGUUGGGAUCAGAUGAACUUUCAGUUUAUGAUCAGAUCUAUCUUUUUAUAUCCAUGAAAGUUAUUUGAGUUUCUUUGAACUAUUAUAUGCAUGAUUUCUUAUAGCCUCGUAUUUCUUCUCCGAUAUUUGGGUUUUGUUUGGACAAAUUGAUCUAUUUAUCUUGCAAUGGAAAGAGGUGCUUUGUAGUGGGUUCGAUCUUACGGUGCUUGAUCCCAGUGACAGAAGGGGAACCGACACGUAUGUAUCGUUGCUACUAAGGAUAAAACGAUGGGGUCUAUCUCUACAUAGAUAGAUCUUGUCUACAUCAUGUCAUCAUUCUUAUUGCAUUACUCCAUUUCCCCAUGAACUUAAUACACUAGAUGCAUGCUGUAUAGCGGUCGAUGUGUCGAGUAAUAGUAGUAGAUGCAGGUAGGAGUCGGUCUACUAAUCUUGGACGUGAUGGCUAUAUAUUGAUCAUUGCCUGGAUAUCGUCAUGAUUAUUUGGAACUCUAUCAAUUGCCCAACAGUAAUUUGUUUACCCACCGUUUGCUAUUUUGCUCGAGAGAAGCCACUAGUGAAACCUACGGCCCCCGGGUCUCUUUCUCACAUUAUUUGCCUUCGCGAUCUAUUUUAUUUGCCUUUUGUUUGCAGAUCUAUUAAACCAAAAAUACAAAAAUACCUUGCUGCGUUUUACUCUUAUUUAUUUUAUUUGGUGUUCGAUCUAUCAAUCUACUACAAUUAUCUCACGUCUGUUUGCCAAUUUCUGGCGCCGCUACCCGAAAGGGAUUGACAACCCCUUUAACACGCCAGGUUGCGAGGAUUUGUUAUCUGUGUGCAGGGGCUAUUUACAUUCUAUUGCUAGGUUCUCCUACUAGUUCGAUAACCUUGGUUUCAUAUCUGAGGGAAAUACCUACCGCUGCUAUGCUGCAUCAUCCCUUUCUCUUUGGGGAAAUACCGACGUAGCUUCAAGCCGCAUCAAAAGGAAUUUCUGGCGCCGUUGCCGGGGAGGAUCUUCAACAUAUACGAGGUUCCGAAUCACAAAUCUCAUCUCCUUGCAAUUUACAUUAUUUGCCAUUUGCCUCUCAUUUUCCUCUCCCCCACUUCACAAAAAUUUGCCAUUUUAUUCGUCCUCUUUUUCGUUCGCCUUUUUCUCGUUUGAUCUUUUGUUUGCUUGUGUUGCCAUGUGCCUUCUAUAUGCUUGCGUCUUCGCUUGCUAAAAAUAUAUUGAUAUGGAUCCUCAUCCACUUGCUAAUCUUUUUAAAAGAUCCAAUCAUGUUGAACCAGUUGCUAGUGAGUUGAGUGCACUAGAUUAUCUUUAUGAAGUUUUUCUUGAGAUUCGUGAAUCUAAAAAUUGCGAUGAAGAAAUUUAUGAAGUGAUUCAUGAUAGCUCCUUGAAUGAAAAGCAUGAUUGCAAUGAUUUUACUAUAAAUCCUAUUAAUGUCAAUUGUGCUAAUAAUAUGCAAAACCCCAAACUUUGGGAUGCUAAUUUUGCUAUGUCCACUACUUGUUGCAAUGAUCAUGAUUGGGGUGAUUCUUCUUAUGAGCUUGAAAUUUUAUUUAAACCUCAUGAUGAAUAUGAUAUUGAUAAUAAUGUUUGCAAUAAUAUUGAAAGUGGGUAUGGAAGAGCGUCAACUUUAGGUAAAAAUAAUCCCACAUAUUUGGAGAGUGUUCAAUCUUAUGAUUUUUUUUAUGAAAGUGGGUUCGGAGGGGUCAUGACUUUAGUUGAUGUUAAUCCCACUAUCUUGGAAGAUUAUAAGACUUGUAUGCAUGUGGAUCAUGAAAAGAAAGUUUUAUAUGAUUGCUAUAUUGUUGAAUUUGAGUAUUAUCCUACAUGUAAUUAUUAUGAGAAAGGAAAAUAUGGUUGUAGAAAUUUUUAUGUUACUAAAUUACCUCUCGUUAUGUUGAGAUCGUCAAUGUUUUAUUCCUCUUCUUUGCAUAUGUUAGAUGUUUCUUGUCUUGAUAUUUUGUUUUCUUAUAAAAUUCCUAUGCAUAGGAAGUAUGUUAGACUUAAAUGUGGUUGUCAUAUGUUUCAUGAUGCUCUCUUUGUGUUUCAAUUAUUAUCUCUCAUGUGAGCAUCAUUGAAAUUUUAUGCCUAGCUAGGGGCAUGAAACUAUAGCGCUUGUUGGGAGGCAACCCAAUGAAUAAAAUUUGUUUUUACCUUUUGCUUUCUGUUCUUGAAUGUUUGCACAAUUAUGCUAAUGUUAUGAUUGUGUGUUUUGUGUUUUAAUUAGUGUUUGUACCAAGUAGAACCUAUAGGAUCUUCUUGGGUGAUAGUUGUUUGAUCUUGCUGAAAAAACAGAAACUUUUGCGCUCAUGAAAACAAUUCUUAUUUUUUACCAGAGCGUGAUAAAAUGCCAAUUAUUUUUGCAGAAGAUUAAUAUACAAAUUUCUUAGGUCUUCCUAUUGUUUUAGAAUUUUUGGAGUUUCAGAAGUAUUCGAACAAUUCAGAUUGCAACACAUUGUUCUGUUUUUGACAGAUUUUGUUUUCUUUGCGUUGUGUGCUUGUUUUGAUGGCUCCAUGGUUUUCUUUGUUGAGUUUUUGCCAUAGAAAAGUUGGAAUAUAUUAGAUAUAAUGCAAGAAUAAAAUAUGAAUAGGUUGCAACAGUACUUAUAGUAGUGAUUUAUUUUCUUAUACUAAUGGAUCUCACGAAGGUUUUGUUGAGUUUUGUGUGAUUGAAGUCUUCAAGUUUUGGGUUAUCUUACGAUGGAUGAAGGAAUAAGGAGUAAGCAAAGCCUAAGCUUGGAGAUGCCCCGGCAACCCAAGCUAUUAUCCAAAAGAUAGCAAGCAAGUAAGCUUGGGGAUGCCCCGAGUGGCAUCCCCUCUUUCUUCUAACGACCAUCGAUAUUUUACUCGAAGCUAUAUUUUUAUUCGUCACAUACUAUGUGUUUUGCUUGGAGCGUCUUGUAUGAUAUGAGUCUUUGCUUGUUUUAUUUUGUGUUUUAAGUCUUGAUUCCUUGCGGGACACACCUAUUUGAGAGAGCCAAAAUUAUGCAUGACUUAUUAGAAUUGCUCUCUAUGCUUCACUUAAAUUUUUUAUGAGCCAUGGACUUGCUCUAGUGCUUCACUUAUAUCUUUUUGAGCACGGUGUGCUUAGUUAUUUUUUAAGAAAUGCUCUCUUGCUUCACUUAGAUUUGUUUUAGAGGUAGUAAAUUUUUCAGGAAAUUCUCUCUUUCUUCACUUAAAUUAAUUUGAAAGAAAGAAAUAUUAUGCUCAUGAUCUUCACUUAUAUUUGUUUGAGCUUAUCAAAAGCAACAUAUGAAAAUUAGUUCCAAAGUGAUAGAUAUCCAAGAAGGAUAUAAUAAAAACUUUCAUGAAGAUCAUUGGACAAAAUAAACUUGAUUCUUAGUAAUAGUUUUAAGAUAUGAUGAUGUGAUAUGUGAGUCAUGUUGAUGAGUAAUUAUGCUUUACUAAGAAUAUUGGUGUUAAGGUUUGUGACUCCCUAUGCAAGCACGAAAGUCAAUAAUUAUGCAAUGAAAUUAUAUCCUACUUGUGGUGCAUUAUUCGGUGUUAAUUAUGCUUAAUGCUCGCUUAUGAGAUUAUUCGUUUCUUGGUUGGUUGCUUCUCAAUCUUUUGCUAGCCUUCAUUUUGCACUAAGUAUGAUCUCUACUUGUGCAUCCAAAAACCUUUAAACCAGUUUUGCCACAUGACUCCACUAUAUCUACCUAUAUGCGGUAUUCUUUUGCCGUUCUAAGCAAAUUUGUAUGUGCCAUCUCUAAUUUUGAAAAUAAACUUCUCUUUUGUGUGUUCGUACCGCUCGCAGAGCUGUGAGGGGUGGCUAAUAUUUUCCAUGCUAGAUGUGUUAUUCUCACGAUGAGUGUUUAUUCACUUGUCAUUGCACGAGAGUAAGGCAAAGGUAUUAGGGAUGCCCAGUCCCGAAAUGAAAAAUGAAUUUACUUUAUGUUGUCAAAUAAUAAAUUCCUUGGAAAGUGUUGGUACGGAGGGAAACCGUGGAUACGGCUAGCCAAGGAAAGUGAAAGUAUGGUUGAAAAAAGAAUAAACUUUAUUUUCUGUUUGGGAACCGCCUAUGAUAUAUCUAGCAUGGAAAGUGUUGGGAACUCUAAGUCGUUUUCGUUGGUGGGAAGGACACACCUCCUGAAAUGUUCUUAUCUCUAAGUUUUUUCGCUUUGAGCUUUGGCACGUCUACAAAUCCCUACUUCCCUCUGUGAAGGGCCUUUGUUUUACUUUAUGCAAUUUUUAUUAUUGAAUUUGAAUCUCCUUAUAAAAGCACCAACUCGGAGGCACUAUGAUCUUACUUGAGCAUUGGGUGUAGCUAAUAUGCAAGUGUGUUUCAUGAAUGGAUCAAUGAUUGAGCAUGAUGGGCUAGGGAUAACUUAUUUUAGCGUUGAUAUUUUGAAAGACAUGGUUGCUUGUUGGUAUGCUUGAGUAUUUAAGUUAUCAUAUCAAAACUAGACUAUUGCUUUGAACAAUAUAAAAGUCCAAAUGUCCAUGCUAUAAAGAAAACAAUAUGAUAUGACAUGUUACGCAGUAUUCCACAUCAAAAAUUCCGUUUUUAUCACUUACCUACUCGAGGACGAGUAGGAGUUAAGCUUGGGGAUGCUGAUACGUCUCCAACGUAUCUAUAAUUUUUUAUUGUUCCAUGCUGUUAUAUUAUCAAUCUUUGAUGUUUUAUAGUCAUUUUAAAUAAUUUUUUGGUACUAACCUAUUGACAUAGUGCCAAGUGCCAGUUGUUGUUUUCUGUAUUUUUUUACAUCGUAGGAAAUCAAUAUCAGACGGAGUCCAAAUGCAAUGAAACUUUACGGAGAUUUUUUUAUUGACCAGAAGACACCUAAUGGGCCAAGGUUGCGCCUGGGGGCGCUCCGAGGAGAGCACAACCCACCAGGGCGCGCCAGGAGGCCCAGGCGCGCCCUAGUGGCUUGUGCCCACCUCGGGUGCCACCCGGACCACCUCUUUGCUCUAUAAAUACCCCAAUAUUCCAGAAACCCUAGGGGAGUCGACGAAAAUCAAUUCCAGCCGCCGCAGAGUCCAGAACCACCAGAUCCAAUCUAGACACUAUCACGGAGGGGUUCACCACUUUCAUUGGUGCCUCUCCGAUAAUGCGUGAGUAGUCCUUUGUAGACCUUCGGGUCCGUAGUUAGUAGCUAGAUGGCUUCCUCCCUCUCGCUAAAUUCUCAAUACAAUGGUCUCUUGGAGAUCCAUAUGAUGUAACUCUUUUUGCGGUGUGUUUGUUGGGAUCAGAUGAACUUUAGUUUAUGAUCAGAUCUAUCUUUUUAUAUCCAUGAAAGUUACUUGAGUUUUUUUGAUCUCUUGUAUGCAUGAUUUGUUAUAGCCUCGUAUUUCUUCUCCGAUAUUUGGGUUUUGUUUGGCCAACUUGAUCUAUUUAUCUUGCAUUGGGAAGAGGUGCUUUGUAGUGGGUUCGAUCUUAUGGUGCUUGAUCCCAGUGAUAGAAGGGGAACCGACACGUAUGUAUCGUUGCUACUAAGGAUAAAAUGAUGGGGUCUAUCUCUACAUAGAUAGAUCUUGUCUACAUCAUGUCAUCGUUCUUAUUGCAUUACUCCCUUUCCCCAUGAACUUAAUACACUAGAUGCAUGCUGGAUAGCGGUCGAUGUGUGGAGUAAUAGUAGUACAUGCAGGCAGGAGUCGGUCUACUAAUCUUGGAUGUGAUGCCUAUAUAUUGAUCAUUGCCUGGAUAUCGUCAUGUUUAUUUGUAGUUCUAUCAAUUGCCCAACAGUAAUUUGCUUACCCAUCAUUUGCUAUUUUUCUCGAGAAAAGCCACUAGUGAAACCUAUGACCCCCGGGUCUCUUUCUCAUUUUAUUUGCCUUCGCAAUCUAUUUUAUUUGCCUUUCAUUUUCAGAUCUAUUAAACCAAAAAUACAAAAAUACCUUCUUGCGCUUUAUUCUUUUUUUUUUAUUUGGCGUUCGAUCUAUCAAUGUACUACAAUUAUCUCACGUAUGUUUGCCAAUUUCUGGCGCCGUUACCCGAAAGGGAUUGACAACCCCUUUAACAUGUCGGGUUGCGAGGAUUUGUUAUCUGUGUGCAGGGGUUGUUUACGUUGUGUUGCUAGGUUCUCCUACUAGUUCUAUAACCUUGGUUUCAUAUCUGAGGGAAAUACCUACCUCUGCUCUGCCGCAUCAUCCCUUCCUCUUUGGGGAAAUACUGACGUAGCUUCAAGCCGCAUCAACCGCUGCGAGUCCCUCUUGCUAGGCGAGGUGGGACUAAAUUUUAGCCAUUGCCAGGACAAGGCCUUUAGUCUCGGUUGAUGGCUCAAUUAAAAUAUUUUGUUAUGAUCCACUUAUAGAAAGUUAUAAUAUUCUUCAAUAGCAAAAAGAAUCAACUAAAAAUCUCUAGUACCGGUUCGUGGCAUGAACCGGUACUAAAGGUGCUGGUGGGGGGCCCAGCCUGACAACAGCCUGCCACCACCUCUUUAGUACCGGUUCGUGGAACGAACUGGUACUAAAGGUUCGCCACGAACUAGUACUAAUGAGCACCGCCCGCCUAGCUGUUGGAACCGACACUAAUGGUCACAUUAGUGCUGGUUCAGUUACAAACCGGGACUAAUGUGCUUCACAUUAGGCCCUUUUUCUACUAGUGUUGCUUCUCCGCCUCCAUCUCAAGCAUCCUCAUUUGCUUCUCUGCCUCCAUCUCAAGCCUCCUCCUUUAGAUCUUCAUGAAGGCGUUCAUUUGUUCUUCCUUGUCUUGUCGGCGCUUCUCCUCCCUUGAGUCCUUCUUAGUCAUCAUGCCCUCCAUGGUAGCGAUCAAGGCAUUGGACGCCGCAUCCCUCUUGUCCUACUUCUUGGAGUUGGUCUUCCCCCACGGCCGUGGCUUCUCGCCCUCCCCAACCUCCUCCACGACUUUCUCUCCCCCACGCAACAUGAGGGCGGCAUAUUGCACCUUGAACUUCUCCUCGUCUUUGAUGACCCUCCAACAAUGAGAGAGGUUGAAGGACUUACCAUCAUGUUGGACCUUGAAUGCCUCCAAAGCUUGGAAUGCCUACAAAUGAAAUGCAUGCAAGCAUAUUGGCAAAUGGAUAUGAAUAUGGACUUGCAAGAAUAAACGGAAGAGGGGCGCAUGCAUGCAUACCAUAUCUUGCAUGCCGAUGCCGCUCACCGGGCGUGACUUGAUGCUCUCAAAGGUGGCACAAAACUUGUCAUGCUCUUGUUGGAUCACCUUCCAUCGGUUCGAAAUGGACACCCACCCGCGCAUGCUUUAUAUCUGGUACGGCAGAAACUUCUUGCGUUCGUGGAACUCACGAUGGACACGAGUCCAAAAGGUUGAUUCCUUUUGUUCGGCACCGACCAUGGGGUCUUGCCCAAUGUCCCUCCAAAACUCACAAAGGAGCUUGUCCUCGACCGUGGUGUAUGCCUUCGUCCGCCUGCUCUUGUGCUUUGGCUUCAGCCCGGCGGCUUGGCUGGCGAGCCCGUCCUCUUCCUCAAGGCCGUAGUCCUCCGGAAACUCGUGGUCGAACAGGAAGUCGUCUAGGUCCAGGCCGAAGUGAUCUUGCAUGAAGGCGUCCUGCAUGCUAUCUUGAUCAUAGGUCGACGGCGUGAACGGCCCUCAGCCGUCCUGGCUUUGUGUCUCCUCUGAAUCGUAGGCAGCCGCGGCGGCACCACAGGCGGCCGACGUACCACCCUCGAAGAUGAUGCUCACCAUGAAACGGUCGGCCGUCUUGUCUUCGCCGGAUGACGAGGCACCGACUACCGGUGUGGCGUUGAGAUCGAUGGGCGCGGGCGCGGGCAUGGAAUGCGCCACCACGCUCACCUCCAGCGAGCAUUCCCUGAAGAAUUGGGAGGCUUGCAAGUAGACGUGGAAGCCGGGAAUCGAGUAAGACGCCGACGCGCGAGGCGACUCUGGGAGCACCAUCCGAGGAAACGCGGACGAGUCGGAGCUGGCCACGGCCACAGCGGCGUUGACGAGCCCGUGCUGGCCAGGGUUUAGCCCUAGGUAGAUUAGCGCCUCCCUCAUUGCCGCGGCGACGUGGGCGGCGGUGUCCUCCUGCUGCGCGGCGGCGGCCAUGGCGAUGGCAGCGGACGCUGCUUCGUCCCACGCGUCCGCCGCGUGCCUUCGGCCCUUUCGCUUCGGUGACUCCGCGGCCCGCUCCUCGGACGUCAGCUGCUUCUUCUUCUUGGGCACGGUGGCAGUCUUGCGGGAGGCGCGCGGCUUGCCUUUGCCGAAGGGGGCGGCUGUGAUGCUGGACGAGGCAAGGGCGACGAGGCCGCCGACAGUAUCGAGGUCCUCAUCCAUGGCGUGCGGCCGGGAGCGAGCACGGGCGGAAGGUUUUUGAGAAAGUGGACGAAAAUGUUGGAGGCUUUGCCACCAAUUGGCAGGUCAGGGGUAGUUGGCACGCAACGCGCUUCUCCGUCUCGUGUCGCGCGCCAACGCAAAUGAGGCUCAAAAUUGGGCUGAGAAUGGGUCGGCAGGCGAACGAAAAGCGGACACGCGUCCAUUUGGGUCGGCACAUUGUGCCGACUUUUCUGUCCGCACCGACCCAAAUGAACGCGCGCGAACGAAAUGGGUCGUCACGUUGGAGUUGCUCUUACGUGGCACUGUAACAAGAAAUGAGGACCAGUGGAAACCAGCAUAUGCACCUAGAAGAAUCGUAUGGAUCUGCAUAUGUAAUUGAUCUAUAUCAUACGGACCCAUAAAUGAUAGGAAGGUCCUAGCUACCAGGUACCAGCUAUCCUGGUUACUCCAUUUGCUGCCCCUCCAACCUGGGUUCCGGUCAUGUCCUCGGGGUCUGUCGGUGGUUCCGUGUUCUUGUUCUGGACGGACGCUUGUAAGAUCAGGUUUUCGAUCGGGAGCCUUCUGUUGACAUUAUAAAAGUGCGUGUAUUCAAAGGAGAUGUAUGCAUUUCUCCGUGACAAAGCAAAUUAAGUUCUGCUGCUAGCUAUUUUCAAAAAAGAGUCUUGCCCCACCACUUGCGUCGUUUGCAAAGCCCUUAAAUAUACUGAUAUGUUAUACACACACACAUAUACACAUGAGAUUUAAUUUUAAAGAGCACACGGACAUGUUCGUUCUCGUGUUAAUGAAAUCCUAGAAAAUCUCAUUAAUUAACCAUGGGAUCUAUAAUUCCGAGAUCUUUAGCUGUUGGAUGUAUGUAAUGCCUUAAGAUGCAUUAAAACAAAUAUACGUGAGAUUUAAUUUUAAAGGCCUUAAGGUGCAUAAAAAAUACGCAUGAGAUUUAAUUUUAAAUAGCACAAGGACAUGUUCAUUGUCGUGUUAAUGAAAUCCUAGAAAAUCUCAUUAAUUAACCUUCGGAUCUGUAACUCCGAGAUCUUUAGCCAUUGGAUUUACAUAAUGCCUCAACCUGCAUCAAAAAAAAUAUACGCAUGAGAUUUAAUUUUAAAGGCCUUAACCUGCAUAAAAAAAUAUACGCAUGAGAUUUAAUUUUAAAGAGCAGACAGACAUCUUCAUUGUCGUCCGCUGGCUGUAUGAAUUAGAAUAACAUAUAUUUACUUAGUUGGAUUAGAGAGAAGAGAAAAGAGAAGAGAAGUGGGCUCUGGAUUAAAGCAAGUACAAUAAAAUGACGUAGGCGGGCUAUAAAAGAUGUCAUCUUAAAUUUGUGCUUUUUUAGUUAACCUUAAAUUUGUGCUUAGUUGAAGGAGAGAGAAGCGGGCUACAAGUGUGACAAAAGCCUUUUUCAGUAGGCAGGCUACAAACUUACAAUCGACUGUAGCACGAGCUCAAACAACCUUUGUAAGAAGAUAUGGGCCAUAUAUUAAUUCACAGUGUGACUUAAUGUUGACAUGAAUUGAUACAGGUGGACAUAGUUAGAGCAACUCUAGCAGACCCCGCAUCCCGCCCCGACUGUUAAAAUAACCGCCAAAAUGCGGGUCGGGCAGGAAAACCAGCCCGAUCAGACCCCGCAUCCCGCCCCCGCCCGCAAAAAAAUUUAGGGGGCGCGGCAAAAUCCCAACCCCAACCCGGGAAAACGCGGGUUUCCCUCUCGCGGCUGCGGUGCCCUGCAUAUAGGAGGAAGCGGCUGGUGAGGGGACAUUUCAUGCCGCGCUUUCUCCCACCAACCACCUCUCCUCUCCCCCCUCGCGCCGCUGCCGGCCGCCGCCCAAGAUUCUGGCGAAAGCAGCCGGCAGGAGCACGCCGGAAGGCCGCCACGCACACGAGGCCUCCCCUUCCUCCCCCUGCGUCGGCGGGCCACCGGAUUUGCAGAUUUGCAGCACUUCAUCGCGGGUCGCCGGAUUUGGCUUUUUCCGGCCGCCGGUUGCUGUCCCAAGCUAUGGAGUGGUCGGGGAGCCUCUCCCACAGCCCAGGCAAGGGCGCAUUGCCGCAUGCAGGUACGGGUUCGUCCGCCCGCCGCCGCCGAAGGUUUGCGGGCUUGGACUCAUCCGGCCGUCCACCGGGCUCGGCGCUCACGCAGCGUCUUUGUGGCAUGCCGAUGCCGCUCAUAGAGUGUGACGACUGCACGCGGAAAGUGCUGCGGCUCACUUCGGGCACGCCGAAGCACCCUGGGUGGGUGUUCUUCAAAUGCGAAAAUGACGGGGUACGUGCACUUGCGGUAGCUCGUUUCAUAGUUCAUUCUUUAGUUCAACUGCGGUAGCUCACUUCGAGCUUGCUCACUCUUUUGUGUAGGACGAUGGAUGCUCAUUUUGGUUUUGGGAAGGCCAAUACAUUUAUUUGUUGAUAGAAAGAAACUUAAUAGAUGUUAGUGCACUCCUUAGUACAAUCGAAGGCAAUGAUGCGGCUGCAUGUGCAAAUAGAGGGGAAGCAACGUCUACUUCUUUCGAACCAAAGAUGAAGAAAGAAGAAUGCAAAAUCAAGAAUCCACAGAUCAACAACGAAUGCAUGGAGAAGAUAUUAGUCCAACUAGUGGGGGCAGUUAUGGAAGUUGGAAAUCUUCUAAAAUGCAUACUUGUGGUUCUUAUUUUCUUUGGUCUUGCUAUUCUAGCAAAGAUUUGGUGAUGUCUUUUGUAUCCAAUGUUGUUGAUAAAGCAAAGCAAUGCAAUAUGCUAGAUCAAAUUAAGGUGCAAAUUUAAGUUUUGCGGGCCGGGAGAAGUUGCACCAGAUCAGACGCGGCAACCCAACCCGUAAAAAAGCAUAUUCCAGGAAUAUCGUUUUUACGGAUCCAUUAUGCGGGGUCUGCAACUGCGGCCGUCCGCGCCGGCCCGCAAAGCCGUUUUCCCGCGAACUGCAAAAACGUUUAGCGGGUCGGGAGGAUGUGGGGUCUGCUAGAGUUGCUCUUACUCUGCGUCUGUAAAUAAAGGUCAUCAUUUUUAUUGCUCUAGGGACCCAUAAAUGAUAGGGACUGUCCGCUACCAGCUACCAGCUAGUAGCUACCCUGGUGACUACAUUUGCUGCCCCUCAAACAUGGGUUCCCGACAUGUUCUCAGGGUCUGUCGGUGGUUCCAUGUUCUGGCCUUUGGGGUUGGUUUAACUAGUGGUAUGGGGGUUCUUGCAUCGCCCUGUACUCUCGAUCGGGACCCUUUAAUUCUAGGUGACAUACAGUGCGUGUAUUUAAAGCCGAGGCAUGGAUCCUCCGUGCCAAAGAAAAUUAAUUCAGCGGCUACUCGGGGAGAGUUGUGGCAGCAUAUCCGGGAUGCCAGCUUUUUAUUUUGGGUUUUGAUUGUCAAAGUUUUAGAUCUUAAAAAAAACUAAAAUUAAGUGCUGUUUUCAUAUUCGUGUUUCUCGUGACCAGCGCCUUGAAAUAAUAUCCAUUUUGAAUAUAUUUUGACGACUUUGAAAAAUGUUAAGUUUCAAAUGUUGAAACUUAGUAUGAGCAACCAAUAAAAAUCAAUUAUUUUGUACCUACGCCUGACAGAAAAAUGCUUACAGUUAUAUCCCUGAAACUUGCUGAAACUUUGCAUUUUUCAUCAUUGAAACUUAAAACUGUUUAAGGGAUUUUCUUUUUUACUGUGCCCUCAUGUGGGAUUCAACUACUCUUUUCUCUCCGUGAGAUCCACAUAAAAAAAGCACAAAUUUAAGAUGAGUGCCCUGCACUUACAUGCCCCUGCGAAUUUCCGCAGCUACUAGCUAUUUUUGGAAGAAAAAAAUCUUGCCCCGCCACUCCCAUCAUUAGCAGAGCCCUUAAAUAUACUCACAUGUACCAAAUUACGAGUCAGAAUCAAACAUGCGUUGGCAUCAUUACCUACGAACUCUACUAAACAAUGUUCCAACUAUCCUGCGAGUCAAAUCUAAUAACUCUUGUCUUGCACGUUGCAUUGUCCAUUGGCAGAUCUUUUUAAGAAUUUUACGUCAGAUCUAAUUUUAUUUGAACGAAUGAAAGAUAAGCAAGUAGUAGUAAAAUCGACCCAAUUUGCACAGCCGAAAUGUGGACCAGACAAUUUACUCUUUGUUACGGGACUAAGAAAUUCGGACCGGCUAAUNNNNNNNNNNNNNNNNNNNNNNNNNNNNNNNNNNNNNNNNNNNNNNNNNNNNNNNNNNNNNNNNNNNNNNNNNNNNNNNNNNNNNNNNNNNNNNNNNNNNNNNNNNNNNNNNNNNNNNNNNNNNNNNNNNNNNNNNNNNNNNNNNNNNNNNNNNNNNNNNNNNNNNNNNNNNNNNNNNNNNNNNNNNNNNNNNNNNNNNNNNNNNNNNNNNNNNNNNNNNNNNNNNNNNNNNNNNNNNNNNNNNNNNNNNNNNNNNNNNNNNNNNNNNNNNNNNNNNNNNNNNNNNNNNNNNAUGUCUCCCAUUUCUCAAUCCCAUCCCGACGGUGUGUCUACCAUGUUUAGAGGGCGCAUGGGGGAGUUACUCCAUUGGUUCUCGCGGGAUUUGAUCGAUGAUGGUUUUCCGUGGAUUUCCUUGAAUCCAGUUUUUGUUCAUCCUCAUCCGUGCGUUUAAAUAUCCCAACAAGGCGAAGAUUUGGUUGUGCACAGGCAACUGAGGAGGUGACCUACUUCUUUACUGUCUCCUAUGUCCCUUGUUACCCACUGAUCCUAGAUCCACAGCUCGAGACCCCCUACCCUGAGGUCUACCAGUUUUACCACUGACAACCGGCCACAAGGGAGAAAUCCCUUUGAAUUUAGAGAUAAGAUCUUAUCUCUAGAUUUAACCCUUUAAAUUUAGAGAUAUGACCUUAUCUCUAGAUUUUAAAGACAUGGAACUUAGGGACGAUGCGGCCAGCCCAUGUGGGUUGUUGCCCCACCCCUCGGUCUAUGUGGGGACUUUUCGGGUCGUUGGGCCCCAUGGUGGAACCCCGGAACAUUUCCGGUACUCUACCAAAUAUUCCCAAACUUUUCUGGAACCCAUAAAACCACUUUCCUUACAUAACUCUUUACCUCCAGAGCUCCUCGUGAUGUCCCGGAUUCUAUCCAGGACUCUGAACUACCUUCAGACUUACCACUAUGAAUGUCCCAAAACUAUCCAAUAGUGGUAAGUCUGAACGUUAAGUGUGUGACCCUGCGGGUUCGAGAACAUGCAUAAAUGACCGAGACACCUCUCCAAUCAAUAAUCAAUGAACAUCUUUAUCGGUUUGAACCACGAUGUCAAUGAUUCAGUUAAUCCCGUAUACAAUUCCCUUUGUCCAAUGAUUUGUUAUUUGCCCGAGAUUCGAUCGUCAGUAUCGCCAUACCUAGUUCAAUCUCAUUACCGGCAAGCCCCUUUACUCAGUCCUUAAUACAAGAUCCACGUGACUAAACACAUUGGUCACAUGCUUCCAAUCUAUUCACGAUGUUGUAUUACCGAGAGGACCUAGAGAUAUCUCUCUGUCAUAUGGAGUGACAAAUCCUACACUCGAUCUAUGUAACCCAACAAACACUUUCUGAGAUACCUAUAGAGCACCUUUCUGAUCACCCAGUUACGAAGUGACGUUUGUUUACCCAUAAUGUAUUCUUCCAGUAUUAGGGAGUGGCACGAUCUCAUGGUCUAAGGAACAGAUUCUUGACAUGAAGAAAGUUGUAGAAAAUAAACUAAGUGAUACGAUCUGAUGCUAAGCUUAUGGUUGGGUCUGUCCAUCACAUCAUAAUCCUAAUGAUGUGAUCCCAUUAUUAAAUGAUAACUCGUGUCUAUGGUUAGGAAACCUUAACCAUCUUUAAUUAAUGAGCUAGCCUAGUAGAGGCUCACUAGGGACACGUUGUCUAUUUAUGUAUCCACACAUGUAUUUAAGUCUCUGGUCAAUACAAUUCUAGCAUGCAUAAUAAAUAUUUAUCAUGAACACGGAAAUACGACAAUAACAUCUUUCUUAUUGCCUCUAGGACAUAUUUCCUACAGAUUAGUAGGAUAAAAGAUCAAGGUGGCCUUGGCAUUCAUGGCAUGAAGGUCAAGAAGGAUGCCUUACAUAGGAAAUGGUUAUUCAAAAUACUUACUAGGGGUGGCGUUUGGCAAACCUGUUGCGAAAGAAGUAUCUAAUACUAUGCCAAAAACUUAUCUCUCACACAUAUUGGAAAGCUGGUGACUCACACUUUUCGGGUGGUGUCGUGGAAUUCUCACGGCAGAUGUCCUAGUGUGAGGACUUAGUCGUGAGGCCAACGCAUCUAUGUGGUAGCUUGAGAGGGGUUGAUUGGGACGAGAGACGCAACACACAAGACAAGAAUUUAGACAGCUUCGGGCCCCAGGAAACAUCAUCCAAUAAUAGCCCUACAUGCUGUUUGUGGCUAGGUCUCAUUAUGAUCAUGAGAGAGUCAUCGGUAAGCCGGCUCUUUGUGUCUAGCCCUAGAGAUUGUUUCUUGUUUCUUGUCCCUCUUGGGGUGCCCUGCCCCUCCUUAUAUAAGUUAGAGGGGCGGGUUACAUAUGGAGUCCUAGUAGGAUUAGGACUAGUCUAUCUUUCUUUACAAGUUGAAUACAAGUCCGGGUCUUGCUUCCUUGUGAAGGAAAUAAUCCUCACGCCUUUCAUCUUAAACCGGCCCACCAAAGUAUAAGCCAGCCUGCUGGGCCUUGGGCCUUGUCGUCCGUCUGAUCAGCCCGCCGGGUCUCCAGUGAAUUACAAUGUCCAGGCGGGUUACCCUGUGAACCGCCAUGUUCGGGCGGAUCGCCAGUGAGUCGCCAAGCUCCAGCCAGGUCUCUGGUGAGUCGCCAAGUCCGGCCGGGUCAUACCGCGGGGUAUAUCCCCGACAUUAGCCCCCAGUUUAAUUUGGAUUUAUCCAUGUUAAACUGAUCCUGCAACAUAAACACAAGAACAAAUUUGACAGGUUGUGCUCCGGGUUAAAUAUUCUUGUAAGCCGGCACCUGAUCAUCCUUAAGUCCUUGACAUUUUCUCCUGAAAUAUCCGGGUCAAUAUUGGUCUUGAAAUAUCCAGCUUCAUAAUCCAUUUGCUGACAUUGGCUCUUGUAAAGAAAUAUUAUAAGAAAUAAUCCAUUUGAUUCGGCCUUCAAUGCUCUGAUUUGACAAAAAUAUUGCUCUUGAAAUAUCCAACUGAUAUUCAGCCGGCUUAAAGAUGUAGAUUCUUGCCGACGAUUGCCACAAUUGUCGGGUUAGAAAUAAAUGAUGCCGGGUCAUGAUUGUUGCAGACACCGGGUUAAUCUGGUCUACUCCAAACUGAGAAUUUGAAGAUUUUUUUCUCCCUUAUAUGCAUAUUACCUGUAGCCCCUAAGUCUUAAGGGGAGAACAUAGUGAUAACUUAAGACUUGCUUCAAUAUAAGUGUUGCAACCUUGAAGAAAUCCGGUUUAUUCAUCUCAAUCAUUAGUCAUAAGCUGAAUAUUCCACAUUCCACAUAUGUAGCCCCCAAGUGCCGAGUUGUCAUGCUUGCAGCAACCUGGGACUUGUAAUUGCCUUAUGCUCAUAAAAACUUCAACUAGUGUAGCCCCCAAGGGCCGGGUCAUUAUGCAAUAAUGAGCAGGGACUUUGUAAAUAUGAUCAUGUAAACUUGACCAGCAACGUGUAGCCCCCAAGGGCCGGGUCAGUAAGAUAUUACCGAGCUGGGACUUUGUAUAUGAUUCAUCGAUAAUAACAGCAUAUGAUGUGAUCUCCACCAUGGGGUUUGAACCCACGUCCAUAAGGUUAAGAGCUUUGUACUCUACCAACUGAGUAGUGGAUCUUUCAAUAUAAUGGAUUAAGGCUUGUGUACCUUGAAUUUUCGACAAGAGCAAUUGGUAGCCCCCAAGGGCCGGCUCAUUUAGAAUGUGAUGAGUCGGGUCUUCAAUAAGUUGAACAAAAAAUGACUUUGCAUUAGCCCCCAAGUGCAAUGGUACAUGCUGGCAGUAACAUGGGACUUGCAUAUUCGAUGUAAUAUCAAUUUGAAUAAUGUAGUCCCCAAGUGCCAGGUCGUAAGCCUGCAGCGACUCGGGACUAUUCCUUACAUUAUAGAAUAAAUCAUAUCCAUCGAUAAAAUAAUAGCCAUUGCGCCAAAGCGACUUUGAAUACCUCAUCUGUUGAUAAGUAAAUCCGGAGUUUAAAUACCCGGCGGCUCUUGGCCGAUGGCGAUUUAAUACGCCUCCAUUGUAAGCCGGAAUUUUUAUAAUCCGGCGGCUUAUAGCCUUUCAGAACAUCAAGAAUUGAUAACCCUUCUGAGACUCCAAUUUCAAUCUAUGAUGAUGGGCUUGAACUUAAUCAUUUAUGUAAGUCAUAGCUCUGCAAAUCCUGCAUAGAGUUUAAACAACAUAUGCCCUGGCGACUUAACGUCAAGCCAGGGCGGGUAACCACCCAAAUGUAGUAUCCUGCACACAAGUAGAUCACAAGAUCCCUUGGCGGUUUACCGCAGGGCGGGUCAUAAUAUCUCACUGUUGGAAAUAUGCCCUAGAGGCAAUAAUAAAAUGGUUAUUAUUGUAUUUCCUUGUUCAUGAUAAUUGUCUGGUGUUCAUGCUAUAAUUGUAUUAACUGGAAACCGUAAUACAUGUGUGAAUACAUAGACCACAACAUGUCCCUAGUAAGCCUCUAGUUGACUAGCUCGUUGAUCAAUAGAUGGUUAUGGUUUCCUGACCAUGGACAUUGGAUGUCAUUGAUAACGGGAUCACAUCAUUAGGAGAAUGAUGUGAUGGACAAGACCCAAUCCUAAGCAUAGCACAAGAUCGUGUAGUUCGUUUGCUAGAGCUUUUCUAAUGUCAAGUAUCAUUUCCUUAGACCAUGAGAUUGUGCAACUCCCGGAUACCGUAGGAAUGCUUUGGGUGUACCAAACGUCACAACGUAACUCGGUGGCUGUAAAGGUGCACUACAGGUAUCUCCGAAAGUGUCUGUUGGGUUGGCACGAAUCGAGACUGGGAUUUGUCACUCCGUAUGACGGAGAGGUAUCUCUGGGCCCACUCGGUAAUGCAUCAUCAUAAUGAGCUCAAUGUGACUAAGGAGUUAGCCACGGGAUCAUGCGUUACAGUACGAGUAAAGUGACUUGCCGAUAACGAGAUUGAACAAGGUAUUGGGAUACCGACGAUCGAAUCUCGGGCAAGUAACGUACCGAUUGACAAAGGGAAUUGUAUAUGGGAUUGAUUGAAUCCUCGACAUCGUGGUUCAUCCGAUGAGAUCAUCGUGGAACAUGUGGGAGCCAACAUGGGUAUCCAGAUCCCGCUGUUGGUUAUUGACCGGAGAGUCGUCUCGGUCAUGUCUGCAUGUCUCCCGAACCCGUAGGGUCUACACACUUAAGGUUCGGUGACGCUAGGGUUGUAGAGAUAUUAGUAUGCGGAAAUCCGAAAGUCGUUCGGAGUCCCGGAUGAGAUCCCGGACGUCACGAGGAGUUCCGGAAUGGUCCGGAGGUAAAGAUUUAUAUAUGGGAAGUCCUAUUUUGGCCACCGGAAAAUGUUCGGGAAUUUUCGGUAUUGUACCGGGAAGGUUCUAGAAGGUUCCGAAGUGGGGCCCACCUGCAUGGGGGACCCACAUGAACGUGGGUAGUGGGGGCAAGGCCCCACACCCCUGGUCAAGGCGCACCAAGAUCCCACCUUAGAAGGAAUAAGAUCAUAUCCCGAAGGGAUAAGAUCAAGAUCCCUAAAAAAGGGGAUAACAAUCGGUGGGGAAGGGAAAUGAUGGGAUUUCUUUCCCCCACCUUUGCCAACGCCCCAAUGGACUUGGAGGGCAAGAAACCAGCCCCCUCCACCCCUAUAUAUAGUGGGGAGGCGCAUGGGAGCAGCAACCCAAGCCCUGGCGCCUCCCUCCCUCCCGUGACACCUCUUCCUCCCCGCUUGCGCUUGGCGAAGCCCUGCCGGGAUCCCGCUACUUCCACCACCACGCCGUCGUGCUGCUGGAUCUCCAUCAACUUCUCCUCCCCCCUUGCUGGAUCAAGAAGGAGGAGACGUCCCCGCUCCGUACAUGUGUUGAACGCGGAGGUGCCGUCCGUUCGGCGCUAGGUUCAUCGGUGAUUUGGAUCACGACGAGUAUGACUCCAUCAACCCCGUUCUCUUGAACGCUUCCGCUCGCGAUCUACAAGGGUAUGUAGAUGCACUCCUCCCCUCUCAUUGUUAGCAUCUCCUAGAUUGAUCUUGGUGACACAUAGGAAAAUUUUGAAUUUCUGCUACGUUCGCCAACAGUGGCAUCAUGAGCCAGGUUUAUGCGUAGAUUCUAUGCAUGAGUAGAACACAAAGUAGUUGUGGGCGACGAUUUGUUCAAUUUUCUUACCGUUACUAGUCUUAUCUUGAUUCGGCGGCAUUGUGGGAUGAAGCGGCCCGGACCGACCUUACACGUACUCUUACGUGAGACAGGUUCCACCGACUGACAUGCACUUGAUGCAUAAGGUGGCUAGCGGGUGUCUGUCUCUCCCACUUUAGUCGGAUCGGAUUCGAUGAAAAGGGUCCUUAUGAAGGGUAAAUAGCAAUUGGCAUAUCACCGUUGUGGCUUUUGCGUAGGUAAGAAACGUUCUUGCUAGAAACCCAUAGCAGCCACGUAAAACAUGCAACAACAAUUAGAGAACGUCUAACUUGUUUUUGCAGGGUAUGCUAUGUGAUGUGAUAUGGCCAAAAGGAUGUGAUGAAUUAUAUAUGUGAUGUAUGAGAUUGAUCAUGUUCUUGUAAUAGGAAUCACGACUUGCAUGUCGAUGAGUAUGACAACCGGCAGGAGCCAUAGGAGUUGUCUUAAUUUGUUGUAUGACCUGUGUGUCAAUGAAAAACGCCAUGUAAUUACUUUACUUUAUUGCUAACCGUUAGCCAUAGUAGUAGAAGUAAUAGUUGGUGAGACAACUUCAUGAAGACACGAUGAUGGAGAUCAUGGUGUCAUGCCGGUGACGAAGGUGAUCAUGCCGCGCCUCGAAGAUGGAGAUCAAAAGGCGCAAGAUGAUAUUGGCCAUAUCAUGUCACUUUAUGAUUUGCAUGUGAUGUUUGUCAUGUUUACAUCUUAUUUUCUUAGAACGACGGUAGCAUAAAUAAGAUGAUCCCUCACUAAAAUUUCAAGAGAUGUGUUCCCCCUAACUGUGCACCGUUGCGAAGGUUCGUUGUUUCGAAGCACCACGUGAUGAUCGGGUGUGAUAGAUUCUAACGUUCGCAUACACCGGGUGUUGACGAGCCUAGCAUGUACAGACAUGGCCUCGGAACACAAGCAAAACACUUAGGUUGACUUGACGAGCCUAGCAUGUACAGACAUGGCCUCGGAACACAAGAGACCGAAAGGUCGAACAUGAGUCGUAUAGUAGAUACGAUCAACAUGGAGAUGUUCACCGAUGAUGACUAGUCCGUCUCACGUGAUGAUCGGACACGGCCUAGUCGAUUCGGAUCAUGUAUCACUUAGAUGACUAGAGGGAUGUCUAUCUAAGUGGGAGUUCAUUAAAUAAUCAAAUGAACUUAAUUAUCAUGAACAUAGUCAAAAGGUCUUUGCAAAUAAUGUCGUAGCUUACGCUUUAGUUCUACUAAGAUAUUUUCCUAGAGAAAAUUUAGUUGAAAGUUGAUAGUAGCAAUUAUGCGGACUAGGUCCGUAAACUGAGGAUUGUCCUCAUUGCUGCACAGAAGGCUUAUGUCGUUAAUGCACCGCUCGGUGUGCUGAACCUCGAGCGUCGUCUGUAGAUGUUACGAAACAUCUGACAUACAUGUUUUGAUGACUACGUGAUAGUUCAGUGUGUGAUGCUAACGGUUUAAAAUUGUGGCACCAAAGACGGUUUUGAAAUGUCGCAGAACAUAUGAGAUGUUCCAAAGACUGAAAUUGGGAUUUCAGACUAAUGCCCACGUCAAGAGGUAUGAGACCUCUGACAAGUUUCUUAAGCCUGCAAACUAAGGGAGAAAAGCUCAAUCGUUGAGCAUGUGCUCAGAUUGUCUGAGUACUACAAUCACUUGAAUCGAGUGGGAGUUAAUCUUCCAGAUGAGAUAGUGAUGGUUCUCCAUAGUCACUGCCACCAAGCUAUUAGAGCUUCGUGAUGAACUAUAACAUAUCAGGGAUAGACAUGAUGAUCCUUGAGCAACUCGCGAUGUUUGACACCGCGAAAGUAGAAAUCAAGAAGGAGCAUCAAUUGUUGAUGGUUAGUAAAACCACUAGUUUCUAGAAGGGCAAGGGCAAGAAGGGAUACUUCAUGAAACGGCAAAUCAGUUGCUGCUCUAGUGAAGAAACCCAAGGUUGAACCCAAACCCGAGACUAAGUGCUUCUGAAAUGAGGGGAACGGUCACUGAAGCAGAACUACCCUAGAUACUUCGUAGAUGAGAAGGCUGGCAAGGUCGACCGAAGUAUAUUGGAUAUACAUUAUAUUAAUGUGUACUUUACUAGUACUCCUAGUAGCACCAGGGUAUUAGAUACCGGUUCGGUUGCUAAGUGUUAGUAACUCGAAAUAAAAUAUGCGGAAUAAACGAAGACUAGCUAAAGGUGAGAUGACGAUAUGUGUUGGAAGUGUUUCCAAGGUUGAUGUGAUCAAGCAUCGCAUGCUCCCUCUACCAUCGAGAUUGGGGUUAAACCUGAAUAAUUAUUAUUUGGUGUUUGCAUUGAGCAUAGACAUGAUUGGAUUAUGUUAUCGCAAUACGGUUAUUCAUUAAAGGAGAAUAAUGGUUACUCUGUCUAUUUGAAUAAUACCUUCAAUGGUCUUGCACCUAAAAUGAAUGGUUUAUUGAAUCUCGAUCGUAGUGAUACACAUGUUCAUGCCAAAAGAUAUAAGAUAGUAAUGAUAGUACCACAUACUUGUGGCACUGCCAUUUGAGUCAUAUUGGUAUAAAACGCAUGAACAAGCUCCAUGUUGAUGGAUCUUUGGACUCACUCGUUUUUGAAAAGAUUGAGACAUGCGAACCAUGUCUAUUAGUAUAUAUGCAUGAAGAAAGUCCAUACAGAUGGAUCAUUUGGACUCACUUGAUUUUGAAUCACUUGAGACAUGCAAAUCAUACCACAUGGGCAAGAUGACUGAAAGGCCUCGUUUUCAGUAAGAUGGAACAAGAGAGCAACUUGUUGGAAGUAAUACAUUUGAUGUGUGCAGUCCAAUGAGUGCUGAGGCACGCAGUGGAUAUCGUUAUGUUCUUACUUCACAGAUGAUUUGAGUAGAUGCUGAGAAUAUUUACUUGAUGAAACACAAGUUUGAAUUAUUGAAAGGUUCAAGUAAUUUCAGAGUGAAGUUGAAGAUCGUCGUGACAAGAGGAUAAAAUGUCUGUGAUAUGAUCAUAGAGGUGAAUAUCUGAGUUACGAGUUUGGCACACAAUUAAUAAAUUGUGGAAAUUGUUUCACGACUAAUACCGCCUGGAACACCAUAUUGUGAUGGUGUGUCCGAACAUCAUAACUGCACCCUAUUGGAUAUGGUGCAUACCAUGAUGUCUCUUAUCGAAUUACAACUAUCGUUUAUGGGUUAGGCAUUAGAGACAACCGCAUUCACUUUAAAUAGGGAACCACGCAAUUCCGUUGAGACGACACCGUAUGAACUAUGGUUUAGAGAAACCUAAGCUGUCGUUUCUUAAAAGUUUGGGGCUGCGACGCUUAUGUGAAAAAGUUUCAGGCUGAUAAGCUCGAACCCAAAGCGGAUAAAUGCAUCUUCAUAGAAUACCCAAAACAGUUGGGUAUACCUCCUAUUUCAGAUCUGGAAGCAAAAGUGAUUGUUUCUAGAAAUGGGUCCUUUCUCGAGGAAAAGUUUCUCUCGAAAGAAUUGAGUGGGAGGAUGGUGGAGACUUGAUGAGGUCAUUGAACCGUCACUUCAACUAAUGUGUAGCAGGGCACAGGAAGUUGUUCCUGUGGCACCUACACCAAUUGAAGUGGAAGCUUAUGAUAGUGAUCAUGAAACUUCAGAUCAACUCACUACCAAACCUCAUAGGACGACAAGGAUGCGUACUACUUCAGAGUGGUACGUAAUCCUGUCUUGGAAGUCAUGUUGCUAGACAACAAUGAACCUACGAGCUAUGGAGAAGCGAUGGUGGGCCCGGAUUCCGACGAAUGGCUCGAGGCCAUAAAAUCCGAGAGGAUCCAUGUAUGAAAACAAAGUAUAGACUUUGGAAGAACUACUUGAUGGUCGUAAGGCUGUUGGGUACAGAUGGAUUUUAAAGGGAAGACAAACAAUGAUGGUAAGUGUCACCAUUAAGAAAGCUCGACUUGUCGUUAAGAUGUUUUCCGGCAAGUUCAAGGAGUUGACUGCGAUGAGACUUUCUCACUCGUAGCGAUGCUAAGAGUCUGUUAGAAUUAUAUUAGCAGUUACUGCAUUAUUUAUGAAAUCUUGCAGAUAGGAUGUCAAAACAUUGUUUCCUCGACGAUUUUCUUGAGGAAAGGUUGUAUGUGAUACAACCAGAAGGUUUUGUCAAUCCUGAAAGAUGCUAACAAGUAUGCAAAGCUCCAGCAAUCCUUCUAAGGAUUGGAGUAAGCAUCUCGGAGUUGGAAUGAACGCUUUGAUGAGAUGAUCAAAGAUUUUGGGUUUAUACAAAGUUCAUGAGAAACUUGUAUUUCCAAAGAAGUCAGUGGGAGCACUAUAGAAUUUUUGAUGAGUAUAUGUUGUUAACAUAUUGUUGAUCAGAAAUGAUGUAGAAUUUCUGGAAAGCAUCCAGGGUUGUUUGAAAAGUGUUUUUAAUGGAAAACCUAGAUUAACCUACUUGAACAUUGAGCAUCAAGAUCUAUAAGGAUAGAUCAAAAAUGCUUAAUAGUACUUUCAAAUGAAUACAUACCGUGACAAGAUUUUGAAGGAGUUCAAAAUAGAUCAGCAAAGAAGGAGUUCUUGGCUGUGUUACAAGGUGUGAGUAUUGAGUAAGACUCAAGACCUGACCACGGCAGAAGAAAGAGAAAGGACGAAGGUCGUCCCCUAUGCUUUAGACGUAGGCUUUGCAAUAUGCUAUGCUGUGUACCGCACCUGAAGUGUGCCUUGCCAUGAGUUAGUCAAGGGGUACAAUAGUGAUCCAGCAACGAAUCACAUGACAGCGGUCGAACUUAUCCUUAGUAUCUAGUGGACUAAGGAAUUUUCUUGAUUAUGGAGGUGGAAAGGGGGUUCGUCGUAAAGGGUUAUGUCGAUACAAACUUUGACACUAAUCCGGAUGACUCUGAGUAGUGAACCAGAUUCGUAUAGUAGAGCAGUUAUUUGGAAUAGCUCCAAGUAGCGCGUGGUAGCUGCAUCUACAAGAUGACAUAGAGAUUUGUAAAGCACACACGGAUCUGAAUGUGGCAGACCCGUUGACUAAAACCUCUCUCGUAAGCAUAACAUGAUCAAACCCUAGAACUCAUUGACUGUUAAUCACAUGGUGAUGUGAACUAGAUUAUUGACUCUAGUAAACUCUUGGGUAUUAGUCACAUGGCGAUGUGAACUUUGAGUGUUAAUCACAUGGUGAUGUGAACUAGAUUAUUGACUCUAGUGCAAGUGGAAGACUGUUGGAAAUAUGCCCUAGAGGCAAUAAUAAAAUGGUUAUUAUUGUAUUCCCUUGUUCAUGCUAUAAUUGUAUUAACUGGAAACCGUAAUACAUGUGUGAAUACAUAGACCAGAACAUGUCCCUAGUAAGCCUCUAGUUGACUAGCUCGUUGAUCAAUAGAUGGUUAUGGUUUCCUGACCAUGGACAUUGGAUGUCAUUGAUAACGGGAUCACAUCAUUAGGAGAAUGAUGUGAUGGACAAGACCCAAUCCUAAGCAUAGCACAAGAUCGUGUAGUUCGUUUGCUAGAGCUUUUCUAAUGUCAAGUAUCAUUUCCUUAGACCAUGAGAUUGUGCAACUCCCGGAUACCGUAGGAAUGCUUUGGGUGUACCAAACGUCACAACGUAACUCGGUGGCUGUAAAGGUGCACUACAGGUAUCUCCGAAAGUGUCUGUUGGGUUGGCACGAAUCGAGACUGGGAUUUGUCACUCCGUAUGACGGAGAGGUAUCUCUGGGCCCACUCGAUAAUGCAUCAUCAUAAUGAGCUCAAUGUGACUAAGGAGUUAGCCACGGGAUCAUGCGUUACGGUACGAGUAAAGUGACUUGCCGGUAACGAGAUUGAACAAGGUAUUGGGAUACCGACGAUUGAAUCUCGGGCAAGUAACGUACCGAUUGACAAAGGGAAUUGUAUACGGGAUUGAUUGAAUCCUCGACAUCGUGGUUCAUCUGAUGAUAUCAUCGUGGAACAUGUGGGAGCCAACAUGGGUAUCCAGAUCCCGCUGUUGGUUAUUGACCGGAGAGUCGUCUCGGUCAUGUCUGCAUGUCUCCCGAACCCGUAGGGUCUACACACUUAAGGUUCGGUGACGCUAGGGUUGUAGAGAUAUUAGUAUGCCGAAAUCCGAAAGUCGUUCGAAGUCCCGGAUGAGAUCCCGGACGUCACGAGGAGUUCCGGAAUGGUCCGGAGGUAAAGAUUUAUAUAUGGGAAGUCCUAUUUUGGCCACCGGAAAAUGUUCGGGAAUUUUCGGUAUUGUACCGGGAAGGUUCUAGAAGGUUCCGAAGUGGGGCCCACCUGCAUGGGGGGACCCACAUGAACGUGGGUAGUGGGGGCAAGGCCCCACACCCCUGGUCAAGGCGCACCAAGAUCCCACCUUAGAAGGAAUAAGAUCAUAUCCCGAAGGGAUAAGAUCAAGAUCCCUUAAAAAGGGGGAUAACAAUCGGUGGGGAAGGGAAAUGAUGGGAUUUCUUUCCGCCACCUUUUCCAACGCCCCAAUGGACUUGGAGGGCAAGAAACCAGCCCCCUCCACCCCUAUAUAUAGUGGGGAGGCGCAUGGGAGCAGCACCCCAAGCCCUGGCGCCUCCCUCCCUCCCGUGACACCUCUUCCUCCCCGCUUGCGCUUGGCGAAGCCCUGCCGGGAUCCCGCUACUUCCACCACCACGCCGUCGUGCUGCUGGAUCUCCAUCAACUUCUCCUCCCCCCUUGCUGGAUCAAGAAGGAGGAGACGUCCCGCUCCGUACGUGUGUUGAACGCGGAGGUGCCGUCCGUUCGGCGCUAGGUUCAUCGGUGAUUUGGAUCACGACGAGUACGACUCCAUCAACCCCGUUCUCUUGAACGCUUCCGCUCGCGAUCUACAAGGGUAUGUAGAUGCACUCCUCCCCUCUCGUUGCUAGCAUCUCCUACAUUGAUCUUGGUGACACGUAGGAAGAUUUUGAAUUUCUGCUACGUUCCCCAACACUCACAUAUAACCACUAUGAUAUUGAAUUUGUACUGCCGGUUUACAUGACCUGUGCAAUAAGGGUGAUAACCCAAUCUUUAGAAAUCAAGACUUCCAAAUGUUUAUGAUUGUCAUAUGAUGGCGACUUAUCAACCAAAGUCAAGCCGGGUUAAUCGAAGCCACAUAUAUACUUCAGAUAUGAUCAAAAGAACUUCAAAUAAAAUACAAAAUUUUGUUUGCAAAAAGAGACUUCAAAAAUUUUGAGGCUUCUGAUUCGAAUACUAUCAGAAAACCGUCCCAAAGGGGUUAAGCUAAGAUUCGAAUACGAUCAUAUAGCCCCCAGUGGCUUUGGCGUUGCCGAUCAAGAGGGUACCGACAGCUAUGUUCUCUUUGGUUCGAAUACGACCUAUGUUUGAACAGGAAGCCCCCAAAUGACCUGGAGAGUUGUUUAACGACGCUGAUUCGAAUACGAUCCAUGUCGGUUCCCAAAAGGGGUUGAGCUAUGAUUCGAAUACGAUCAAGAAGCCCCCUAGUGAGCUCAGCAGUGUGCCGAUCAAGAGGGUACCGACAGCUAUGUUCUCUUUGGUUCGGAUACGACCUAUGUUUGAACAGGAAGCCCCCAAGUGAUCUUGAGAAUAUUUAACGACUCUCAUUCCAAUACGAUCAGGGUCACACCAAAAGGGUUAAGCUAAAUUUGAAUACGAUCAGCUCCCAACGGUCAUUAAAGCAGGUAGUUAUGUUUGAGUUGUGCUUUGUAACAGACUCUCCUUGGUCCCUUUAAUUUUUCUUGAAAACUUGAACUUUGCGAGAGAUAAAAUCUUUUUAAAACCGGAAGUUCUUAAACCGGAUAUUAAGAGUUUCAAAGCAUGGUGAUAGACAAAUUUACCUUGAACCGGGUUUUGAACCGGAUUUGAGAUCUUCAAAGCAUUGUGGCAGAUAAAUUUCAUUUGAACCGGAUUUUAAACCGGACAUUAAGAGCUUCAAUGCUUUGUGGGAGAUGUCAAGUCUCUUGAUAAGGAUCUAAACCGGAAUCCUUCUUUUUAAGCCAGAUAUUUUUCUGACGGUCUUUAAAUUUUUACCAAUAUGGCGGUAGCCUCCGGGACCGGGUUAUUUUUUUCCUCCAAUGACCCAGAGUUCUUGAAUGCAUUGAAACCGACCAAUGUUGCCGAGUCAUAUCAUUGUAACCCCUGAGUCUCAAAACGACUCAAGGAGUUGGCUUUGAGAUUCUCCAUAUUGACCAUAGCAUAAGGUGUAUAUCAUUGGUGUUGAUAGUGCGAUGUGAAUCCACAGAAGGUUGAGGUGACUGCGGCGGAUUAUAAAUGAUCAUGUAUGAGCCGUGUCAGCAACUCGGCCAAUGGUCCCUUCCAACUGGCUGUUUGAAGUUAACCAAACUAUAGUGGCGGCGACUUGUGCGCCUGCCCAUUUAAACCAUCCAGUGUAGACGGCGGCUGAUAAUACAUGAUAAUUUGCCUCCAAUUUUGUUGGAAGAAAAACCAGGCUUCCCAAGCAGUGACUUGCUCAUACUCGAUGAUCAGCUCACGCAGACAGGUGCGGCCCGGUAUGUUGAUAUAGACCAGGCCGCAAGAGACAGAUGGUAAAAACAACCGUGGCAUCAAAGGUGGUACAGACAGAUGAGUUGGUCACGACGUUGUAAACCGGUGUGGUCGGGCGAGUCAAUCGCCGGCGCGGUAAGCCGCGCGGAUGGGCGAGUCAACCACGUCGUGUUGAUGUAGUGAACAAUUGUCCUACAUCAAAAACAUCGCAAGCAAGAGUAAUUGCUCUUUUUUAAAGAAAACAAUAUAUAAUAUAUAAAAAUUUACUGGAUUGAUUUCACCUGAUAUGUUAGGCCAGAAAAUAUCCACCGCGGAGUUGAUCAUCACGACGGUGAAGCUGAAAUCAAUCACGGCCGAGUCGGCCGCGGGAACAGACAGACGGGUCGGCCGCGGCGUUGUAAGCCGGUGCGGUCGGGCGAGUCAAUCGCAUGAGCGAUAAGCCACGCGGACGCUGAGUCGGCCGCGGGGGCGGACAGGUAAGUUGUCCGUCACAUUGUAAGGCGGCGCGUUGAUGUAGACCGGACCACAGGGGCGGUGGCUUGCGCCCACCUGUUGACCAGUAAGCGGUCGCAGAUGCCGUUGCAUGAUGAUGCUACCGCACACUCCAUGGAUACGGCAUUACACCAUCUUUAUGAUGAAUCCUUGUCCUGCACAUAAAAGUGUACAUAGCAAAGCGAUUGUUUUUUGACAAAAAACAAUAUGCGCUUAAUAAAAUAAUCUUAGAUGGAUAUCACCUGAUUUGUUCGGAUGACCGAUGAUCCAUUCAAUGCAACAAAAAACGGCUCUGGUAGACCGGUAACCCAUGGCGAGUCAACACAGCAGAAGCGACUCAACGCAGCCCCGGCAGCUCGAGGCACGGCGGGUCUCAGCUCACGGCGGGUUGAGGUGUGGCGGUUCAAGGUCACAGCGGGGGGACUCGCAGGCUCAGGCGAGGCCGUUUUGAAGAUGGUUGGCAGCGGCGCGGUGACUCGCCACGGUGCGCCGAAAUAGCAGCAGCGUAGUGGGAGAAACAGCCGGUCUGUUGAUUUUGACCGUGAUGUGAAGCUCGCGGGGCAGCCACGAAGGCGCUGGGACGGAGUGGCUCCGAUGUGCGAGACGUGCCACCACAAGGACGCACGUAGGAGAAGACCAGAGGGGCAUCGAAGUCGGGUCCGCGGCGGCUCUGGAGAUGACAAGUGUGCGGGAGGCAAGGCCGUGCUGGCCAGCAGAAAACGGCGAGGUGCCGGCGACUUAGCGUAAAACCGCGGGUCAGAGGCGGCUCGGAGUUGAGUCCAUGUCCUGCUCUGGUCGUUGUUGGUUUGACAAUUCCCUUUAAGUGCUCCUUUAAAAUUUCCUUCAUCACACGUGGUGUCGUGCCAGGCAACAGCAUGGCCGGACUAAAAAUCCACUAGACCUUGAUUUUUAAUGCUCCUGUAGAUCUUGGGGACUGCGUGUGAGCUGACUAUUAAAACCUUCAAAUUCAUGCACGUACAGUGGCUGUACUAGUUGAUGCUACGUGCAGAAGGUAAGGUAAUCUAUCAGGCUUUGUUUUUCGCGUUGAUCAGCACUUGGACCCUUGAUCAACAGUUGGCUUGAUCCGGAGACUUCACAGGGCUGAAGCAAACUGUCUUGAUCGCCGCUGUACCAACAGAUGGCGCUCGUGACGCGUGUUUGGCUGUCUUUGAUCACCUCGGACUUGGACAGCUAUAUAUGGACCAGCAGAAGCGACCUGGCGAAUCGGACACGGCGGCUAGAUUUGACAGCGGCACAGUAGAAAUUCGAGUCGGCCUCGGUGUACUGCUGCAGCAGAAACUAACCCGGACUCGACGGAUCAUCUAAUUGUGGCGGCGCUCACCAUGCAACUCUAAUCUUUCUUGAAUUCAGACCUCGUACGAGUAUUAGAUCUGACUGCUCGCUUUGGAGACAAUGUAAAUCCUUCCGCGACGAUUCUUCUUUCAUCCGAAGAAAUUGUCAACUUCUCGACCCUUGAAAGAGAUCCCUCCAAGAACUCAUCACCACCGUGCGCAGCCCCACGGUGGGCGCCAACUGUCGUGGAAUUGUCACGGCAGAUGUCCUAGUGUGAGGACUUAGUCGUGAGGCCAACGCAUCUAUGCGGUAGCUUGAGAGGGGUUGAUUGGGAUGAGAGACGCAACACACAAGACAAGAAUUUAGACAGCUUCGGGCCCCGGGAAACAUCAUCCGGUAAUAGCCCUACAUGCUGUUUGUGGCUAGGUCUCAUUAUGAUCAUGAGAGAGUCGCCGGUAAGCCGGCUCUUUGUGUCUAGCCCUAGAGAUUGUUUCUUGUUUCUUGUCCCUCUUGGGGUGCCCUGCCCCUCCUUAUAUAAGUUAGAGGGGCGGGUUACAUACGGAGUCCUAGUAGGAUUAGGACUAGUCUAUCUUUCUUUACAAGUUGAAUACAAGUCCAGGUCUUGCUUCCUUAUGAAGGAAAUAAUCCUCACGCCUUUCAUCUUAAACCGGCCCACCAGAGUAUAAGCCAGCCUGCUGGGCCUUGGGCCUUGUCAUCCGUCUGAUCCGCCCGCCGGGUCUCCAGUGAAUUACAAUGUCUAGGCGGGUUACCCUGUGAACCGCCAUGUUCGGGCGGAUCGCCAGUGAGUCGCCAAGCUUGUCCGGCCGGGUCAUACCGCGGGGUAUAUCCCCGACAGGUGGUCUAAUACGGGUAAAGAAACGCAUUUUUCGCUUUGGAUCCUUUACAAUAAAAGAUGGGUCAAAAAUUCGAUUCUGGGAAGACAAGUGGCUAGAAAAUGCUUGGAUCCAAUAAAAAUAUCUAUCUUUGUACUGCAUCAUUCAUCACAAUAAUGAUACUCUUGUGCUAGUGCUUAUUUCUUUCAUGCCAGAUAUUUCUUUCAGGCGAGAUUUGAUUGGCCUAUGUCUUAUGUGAUGGUAAAAUCAUUAUCCUGAUUGGAUUUAAUUAACCUGACACAAGGGCGGGGAUGUGUUUCAUUGGAAUCUCUCUACAUAUGGGUCCUUCAAGUCAACUUUAUGUACCAUGCACUAACGCAUUCAGAGGUCCUAGUGGAUAAUAAAAUAAUAGAAGAAGAUAUGGGCCAUACUCCCUCCGUCCAGUGAAGAGUGAAAUCUAGAGAUUUUAGGACAAAUUAUGGAGUAAAAUAGAAAAUGCAUUGGAAAGGUGCAAGCCACCAUCUUUCUUCUCUUUAAUUAUCCAAUCCCUAAUGUGUUUAGUGCAUGUAAAAAUUAAGAAGACCAUGUGUAGAUUGUUAUUGGUCUUGGUUACCAUGUGAUGAGAGAGAAAUAUAUUUUUUUCUACUUUAAAGUGCAUUGAGAAGAUAGAAGUACACUCUUUUGUGGACAAAUUUUAAAGCCAAACGUACACUCUUCACCGGACGGAGGGAGUAUAUUAAUUCCUAGUGUGACUUAAUGUUGACAUGAAUUGAUACAGGUGGAUAUAGUUACUCUGCGUCCGUAAAUAAAGGUCAUCAUUUUUGUUGCUCUAGGGACCCAUAAAUGAUAGGGACUGUCCGCUACCAGCUACCCUGAUGACUCCAUUCGCUGCCCCUCAAACAUGGGUUCCCGACAUGUUCUCAGGGUCUGCCCGUGGUUCCAUGUUCUGGCCUUCGGGGUUGGUUUAACUAGUGGUAUGGGGGUUCUUGCAUCGCCCUGUACUCUCGAUCGGGACCCUUUAAUGCUAGCACUUCUGGUGACAUACAGUGCGUGUAUUUAAAGGCCAGGCAUGCAUCCUCCGUGCCAAAGAAAAUUCAUUCGGCGGCUACACGGGGAGAGUUGUGGCAGCAAAUCCGGGAUGCCAGCUUUUUGUUUUGGGUUUCGAUUGUCAAAGUUUUAGAUCUUAAAAAAACUAAAAUUAAGUGUUGUUUUCAUAUUCGUGUUUCUCGUGACCACUGUUUUGAAAUAAUAUCCGUUUUGAAUAUAUAUUUUGACGACUUUAAAAAAUAUUAAGUUUCAUAUGUUGAAACUUAGUACGGGCAACCAGUAAAAAUCAAUUAUUUUGUACCUACGCCUGACAGAAAAAUGCUUACAUUUAUAUCUCUGAAACUUGCUGAAACUUUGCAUUUUUCAUCAUUGAAACUUAAAACUUUUUGAGGGAUUUUCUUUUUUACUGUGCCCUCAUGUGGGAUUCAACUACUCUUUUCUCUUCCGCGAGAUCCACAUGAAAAAAAGCACAAAUUUAAGAUGAGUGCAGGGCUUGGCAGAUGAGUGCCCUGCACUUACAUGCCCCUGCGAAUUUCCGCAGCUACUAGAUAUUUUUGGCAAAUUUAUUGUUUGCUCUUUUACAGGUGUGCCACUUAAGUAUUUAAACCUAUAAGGAUUUCUGCACUGGUGCUAAACUCACUUAUGAGAGCAUACCGGAUUUUCUCAUAUGAGCUAACAAAGAAUCAAACAUAGUUAUAUCUUGUAUUAUUUUCUCAUUAAUUACUUACCCACUGGGCUGAAGCAGUUAUUGUAGCAUAUCAUGCAACACUCAUGGUUUUCCAACAUGUUUCCUUAAGGGGUCUUAAUCAAGAUGAUUUACAUUCAAAAACAAUCAUUGAGUAUGGAUCAUUAAGAAUAAUUUGAUCCUACUUAAUCCAUGCUUAGGAAAUAAGAAAAUGGUUACUCAAUGAGCAAACGCUGCCUGUUGCUGCCUCCUCACCAACAAACUUUGGUUCUUCACAUCCCUUACCGAAGAGGCACCUUUACAUUGCAUCCCUUGUAUACUACUAUAUAUAUGUGAUCUUCAUAAAGAGUUCAGCGAUUUCUCCAUUGUUGAGUUCCUUACACUCAAUAUUCAAUAAUAGUUAUUUCCAAAUUCACAUAAUCAGUUGGCAGGAUGGUCACCAAAGUACAUUCAUCCAUCGAAAGAAACACACAAAAGAAAACAGUAACAGCACCAAAAAAACUACACGUUGUCCAAUUAUGAAUAAUGUUUCGUCCGUGUAACAAGAGCUUCGACGGUCAUUUUCUUAAGCAUAAUUAAAUAAAAAACUAAUCAUAGACUCUGAUUGUAAAGCAUUCCAAAAGAAAUUCAUAUGUCAGUUCUUCAACGCUUAUUGUGUUGGAAGCCUGUCCUCAAAUAUUCUCUCCUUCGCCUUGUCGGCCUGCAAAUAAAUAUCAGUUAUUUUUUCUUACUAUCCUUGGUACCAGUGCUUAGGGUUUUGAUAGACAGGUCGCUAGUUAUUGAAAUGAAACAUUUAAGACAAGGAGAAGCAUGCAUUAGGGCAACUCCAACUAUGUGCAUCAAAUCGGACACAUCUAACAUUCAUGGGCACGUCCGGACGUGUCCACAAAGAGCAUAUAGGGGGCGGCCAUCCAAGCCUAUGCACCAAAUGUCCGCACCUUUUCAAAGAAAAUAAAAUAAAGCUAGACCAAAUGUUGGCUCACUUUAAAUCAUCGAUCGAUAGCAAUUCAAAAGUGUUGGAUGAAAGUACUUCUCGAAAGCAGCCUUCAUUACAUACUUUCUCUCCUCGAGUUUGCACUUCUUCAUUACAAAUGUUGUUCAUCCAGAUGUUGUGCCCUUUGAGCUUCAUCCAACAGUGCAUAAAUGCGAAGAACUUGCCCUCCGUCCUUUGGUAUAGCAUGGGCUGCGCGUCUGGGCUAUACAAUGACGUGAUCAUCAAGUGUAACAUUGAGCAAUUUGCCAUUUGUGCUUGCUUCAUGUUAAACAAGGAGAAAGUCAAAGAAAUUCUCAAUGGUAUUUGGCCGAACACUUGCCGGGGUUGGCCUCCAUUAUGGAGGGCAUCGGCAAGGGGGCGGCCAAUGCAUGGGCUGCCGCCGGAUACUGGGUGCAACCGCGGCGAAGUACAAUGCGCCUGGUGGAGCAAUGGAGGUCUAGCAAGGCCUAGGCGCGGGACGGAGUGGUAUAGCAGCGGCGGUCUUGGUGGGUGCGGAUACAGAUUAAGAGUGGGACNNNNNNNNNNNNNNNNNNNNNNNNNNNNNNNNNNNNNNNNNNNNNNNNNNNNNNNNNNNNNNNNNNNNNNNNNNNNNNNNNNNNNNNNNNNNNNNNNNNNNNNNNNNNNNNNNNNNNNNNNNNNNNNNNNNNNNNNNNNNNNNNNNNNNNNNNNNNNNNNNNNNNNNNNNNNNNNNNNNNNNNNNNNNNNNNNNNNNNNNNNNNNNNNNNNNNNNNNNNNNNNNNNNNNNNNNNNNNNNNNNNNNNNNNNNNNNNNNNNNNNNNNNNNNNNNNNNNNNNNNNNNNNNNNNNNNNNNNAUAGUCCGACCAGGCGGGCGUCCGGACUCCCAAACCUCCAAUGAGUUUGCUUCCGGUUUGGCUGAUGUUGGACGUCCGGAUUAGGCCGCGGGCAUUUGAUGCAUGGCAGUGGAUGGCAAAAAAUGUACAGGCAGCGCAGUCCGGACCUUGCGGGCAAUUUGAUGCAUGGCAUUGGAGUUGCCCUUAGCAAUACCUAAGGCAUGUUCUGAUCACGAAUCAUCAGGCAUAAAAACUGAGAAAGGACUUACCAUCUUGUUCCAGUUUGUGGUAGCCGUAAUAACAGACAGGAGAGUGACCUGUGUGGCUCCACCAGCCAGUAUGCCAAUCCAAAACCCCUUUGCUCUUAGUUGCAUUGCAAAACCAAAGUAGAGUGCAACGGGGAUACCAACAAGAUAGAAGGCACCCAGGUUAACAUAAGCCCCUAGAUGCUGCCAUCCACAGCCCCGAGACACACCUGAGUGGUGCAAUGGAAGCAUUCAGUCUAUUAGUUUAAUUUAGUUUAUGAUGCUAUAUGCCAAAAGAAAGACAUGUGGAUACCUUGAAGGACUGCCAUGAGGCUGUCUGUAAUUGCUGAAAUGGAAAGUAGGGGUACCAUUCUUGUGACAUAACGCCUGACCUCUUCCUCAUUGCUGAACGCAAUUCCAAUAAAGUGGCGCAGUAAUAGAAGAGUUGUGCUCACUAAGAAUGCUGAGCAGACCACAAUAGACAAGGCAACACACACCACCAAGCGGGGACCUUGUGUGUUGCCGGCGCCUAAUUCAUUUGAGACGCGCACACUGGCACACGGACAACAUAUAUACGUAGCAUGUUAAAUUCUGUAGAAACAGGUGAUACUGACGAUAUAUAGCAACAAAUGCACUAGCUAGUAGCUACCCACCUGGUAGCUAUUCCAAUGCCGUAAGGAAGGUUGGCCAACAGUAUCAUUGUAGAUACGCUGUUCCAAAAGGACAUCAGUAUGGUAAACUUCAUAGAAUAUGAUGGAUUCAAGUAUAAUCUUAUUUAGGGUUCUACUAAUGCAUACCAUAUAGAAAGCACAGAGGUUUCCAGUGCAGGAUUUGGUAACAUCCCGGAAAGCAGAACAAGCAGCUCGUAAGACCACCACUCCAGACUGUGGUCAAGGAAAGCUAGGUUAAUAUUCAGAGGUUUCCGGGAUGUUUUGAUGCUAGAGAAUACAUAAUUAGAAGCUAAACUUAAAGUAAUAUAUGUGCAGAAAUUAUCCAGUUCAUUUCAAGAGGAGAGGGAAGAAUAUAUCCAGUGGUAUUGCGAGCGGGUGGCAAAAAAACAAAAGGUAUCUGAUCAGGAUCUGCUCACAACAAAGGCGAAGACGAAGACGGACUUUCUUUUGUUGAAAGAUGUCUUCACAACAAAGACGAAGAGGAAAACAAACUUGAUUUGGACAAUCAAUCCGAGACGAGCCGACAUUUCAAAUUUUCAAAUGGUUUGUAAAAGACCAUCAUCCUUUUCUGACAGUAUUCUAACAGACCAAUCAAGUGUGCAAGGGUGCUGUGGCAAGAACAACAGAAAAAUAGUAUUUCCUCCAUCCGAAAAUAAGUGUCGCUCAAAUAGAUGUAUCUGGACGUAUUUUAGUGCUAGAUACAUCCGUUUGAGCGGUACUUAUUUCCAGACGGAGGGAGUAGGUAUGAACGAACAUAAGUAGAAAGAGAUAUAAAAAAUAGCAACAAUGCUUGGAUCUUAUGGGCUGCAAGUGCACCACUAUUAAAAAGGUUUUGCCACGUACUUGUUAUUAUUAAUAUAUUUUUUGAGAGGAACGUACUUGUUAUUUUCCAUGCUGACACCUUUAGAAACGUUGGCUACUGAUACACAAACUAUAUAGAUUUGUCACAUGAAGAUACCAUUAGUGUUAUGAAUGAUCACAUCAUUAUAAUUAUAAUCUUAAUUAUUUGCCAAAAGGUGCACGUUGGAAACUAUAUUAAUGUCCACAAGAACAAGUAAAAGUGAAUGAAGAGUGCAUAAGAGUUUGCUGUAUUGGACAAUAUUUUGCUUGCCAAAAUAUGAAAUACUAGAUAAAAUAGCAUAUGUUAUUUUUUGUGCUAGAGGUUAAAACAACAUCAUUAUAGAAACAUGGCAAAUAACAUUUACUUACCAAAUCAUAAGAGCCGAUGGUACAGCCAAACGCAUGAAACUGCCAAUCCCUCUAAAAGCUUCCCACGAUGGUGGAGCGCGUGUUUUCUCACAAGAGGGUGAGAACUUAAUGUAAAGGCCAAGAAAAGUCACUUCAACCCAAUCACAAAUGCUAACGGAUAAAGCAGCUCCAGCAUUACCCAUCCCAACUUUGUAAACCAUGAACCAGCAAAGAGGAAGAAAUACCGCAAUUGUAAUCAAGGAGCUAAGAACCAUUGGAAAUAUUAGGCUUUGACAUUGCAGAAACUUUGAAAAGCAUUGAGUAACACCGAAGGCAAAUAAACCAGGGAUAAGCCAUAAUGCAUAUUUGCCAGCCUCAUUUGCAAUUUGUGGUUCCUGGCCCAUGAGAGGAAGUACUUCCGGGAUGAAACACCAAACAAUGGAGAUGGGCACACUCACAACAAGAAGUGCAAUGAUGGACCUGUAGGUACAUAAAGAUAAUGUAUGAUAUUGUUCUGCUCCAUAGGCCUGCCCACAAAGAGUUUCCAAUCCGCCUGCCAGUCCAAUCUAAAAGGGAAACUGCAUCAGUAACAAAUUAUACAUAUUGUUGCUGAAUAAAUGGAAGUUAAACUAGGAUAAAGUGCAUCGACAUUACUGAAAGAAGAGUUUUGCUACACCUACACAUUAAUCUUAUGGAAUUAAAUUUACAGGAUGAGGUGGCAACAUCUGAUUGGAAGGGAGGAGACUCAUAGUAAAUUCGGGGAAGACGGGUUACUUGGAGGUUAGGGGGGAGGGGUGGCAGUCCAUACGGGUCGCUCAUAAGUUUGGAUUUUCGCUGAAAGAAUAUCAAGAAUAACAAACGUGGCUUGUGCAAGGUGGGCAACAGUUGCUAUGAAGAUUUUGUUUCAAUCAUCACUGCAAAGAAUGCGAACAUCACCCUGGCCGAAUUUUCUCAACACCCAACUCAGUCGGAUCAAGUGACUGAUUAUAUUUUUCGCGGGAAUAUAAUAGAUCGAUAUUGCCCACCGAAACUAGCUAUAUGUACAGCGGGGUGGGGUGAAUCAAGCACCACAGGUCCAUUGUAAAAAAGAUUAAUCGAACGACCUAGCUAGCCGCGUGCGGUCGGCGCUAAUCAGAAAGGUUGAGAAAUGGAACCAUCUGAUUUGAUUCAUUCCCAGUAGUCAUGAGAUGAUCAUUUUUUUUUAGAAAAGAGGGGAGAUCCUGAAUGAUCCACACAACCUUUUGUUUAUCAUAUCAAAGUACAUCAUCUGACCAUAACAAAGUUCAUCUUGCCAACGGAUGCUUCUAUUACACUCGUGGUCUCUAAAAGAUGAGAACCCACUAUGUAGCAUCCACAUCAAUAAUUCAAGCAUUUAUGUCCUUAGUACGAUUCUUUGUAGGAACUAUCCGUAAUAACAAAGAACAUCAGAAGUAGCAGAGAUCUCCGCACGAUGCAACUGGAUAAAUGGCGGUCGCAUGGAGGGAGAAGACACUGAGACAUCUGGACCGGUCGCCGAUCUUGUACACAUCCGGAUGGGAUUCAGGGGCUGCUCUAACGGAAUUGAAAGUACCAAUAGCUAAACAUAAACGAAAUAAAUUAAUGUGCGCUGCAUGCUUGCUCACAAGGACGCUGAAGCCGGAGACGUUGGUGAGGGAGUUGGCGAUGGCCGCACCGGCGAGCGCGACGUCGCCGAGGUGCCCCACCAUGACGGUGGAGAUGAACUGCAUCGUGACCUGCAGCAGCAUCACCACCACCAUCGGCGCCGCAAGCCCCGCCAGCUGCGCGGCUUCCCUACACCAGCGCCGGCUGGUACUGCCGGGCUCUUCCCACCUCGCGGCCAGCAGCGGCGCAUCGGAAGAAGAGUCCAUGGAUCCCCCCGACCAAAGCUCUGCCCAAGCAACGUGGGUGUGGUUAAUGAAAAUGGUAAAUGCGGGAGCUACCAUCCGUCUAGCUGUCUCCCUUUGCACAAUGCAUGGAGCUCGAACUAUAUAUAGAGUAUUACUCCAGUCGUAGUAGCUACGGAAACUAUUUCCUCUGUCCAGAUUUAUUAGUUUUGUCAGAGCAUCGGUAAUUGAGGAGCUAAUUUGAUUUCAUAUACAUCCACUGACCCGUCUUGGCGCUGUUCAGGCAUAUUCACUUAAGCCCACAUUUAUCUGUGCACGCAGUGGUAACCCCACUUUUCUCCCUAUUAUAUGCCCGAUUACAUGCAUAUGAAUGGUAGGGACAGAACCUCAAAAAAAAAAGAAUGGUAAGGACAAAAAAAGAAAAUAAAAGAAAAUAGUGAAGGUGAAAAAGUGGUCCGGACUCUGGAGUGUGCCAAAUUCGACGUGGCAGACUGCUCAGACAUACCACAACAUCUCAUACCCUUUCCACGUAUGGGCUCGGUAUAAGGGGUGCCAGAAAGCCCGCGCCCAUGUAUAUAGUUUUGAGUUAAUGAUACUCCCUUUCAUCCAUAUUACUUGUCACACGGACGUAUUUAGACGUUUUUCAGUGCUAGAUAAAUUCGUUUGAGCGACAAGUACACUAGUAGAAAAAGGACCUUACGUGAGACACAUUAGUCCCGGUUCAAUUUUGGCUCGGUACUAAUGGUAUUAGUCCCGGUUCAAACGGCUAUGCAUUAGUCCCGGUUCAUGUUGAACCUUUAGUACCGGUUCGUGCCACUAACCGCUACUAAAGGGGUGGUGGCAGGCUGGCGUCAGGCCGGGGCCCCACGAGCCCCUUUGACUAAAGGGGUUUAACCUUUAGUCCCGGUUGGAGACACAAACCGGGACUAAAGGGCAAUUAUCAAACUCUACCCCCCUCCCCUCUCCCUGUCUAUCGCCAUUUCAGUUUUGAAAAAAACAAAACAAAAUGAUAAAAACUUCAAAAAUUAAGAUCCUUCGAGAUGUAGUUAUGUUACUACAUCUACUAGUUAGGAAAAUUUAAAAACUUAAAUUUGGACAUGUUUUGCAAAAAAAUAUGAUGAAAAGGUAAAACAACUAUAUCUUUUGCAUCCGAUAUCGGAAAACAACGUAUAAUAUAUCAAAAUGUUCAGCACGAAAAUACGCAUCCGAUUUUGACGGCUGUAGGCCGUUUUGCAAAUUUUUAGAAUCCUCAAACUCUAAAAGGAAAAAAGUUAUGCUCACAUUUCAGUUUUUUUUUUGAAUUUUGGUCAAACUGUGGUCAAACUACUUAUUCAAGAAAUAUUAGUGUUACUAAAUAAUUAUUUCAGUUUUUUGAAUUUUGGUCAAAUCUGGUCAAACUAUGGUCAAACUACUUACUCAAGAAAUAUUAAUGUUACUAAAUAAUUAGUGUUUUUUAGAAUAAUAGUUUCAAACUCAAACGAUGAACGUGUGACUUCAUGCUCAAGCUAAACUCCUGAGGGUUAAUAGGAUUGACAGCUUAAUAUUGUUAGGAAACAACAAGUGCGGACUUGGAAACUAGGGGGAAUAGAACUCAGAAGUUAAGCGUGCUCAGGCUGGAGUAGUAAGACGAUGGGUGACCGGCCGGAAACUUAGGUGAUUUGGGAUGAGUGAUCCACACUUGAGCAGUUAUGAGUGGUGAUUAGAGACUAAAUCGUCAAAUAAUUAAGAAAAUUGAAAAUCGGGAAAAAAAUCAAAGUUUUUUCCAAAAAAUUCAAAAAAAAAACCUUUAGUCCAGGUUGGUGUUACCAGCCGGGACUAAAGGUCCCGCAUACCACGGCGCGGGCUCGUGCCACGUGGUGGGCCUUUACUGGCGGUUCGUGUUGAACCGGGACUAAAGGGGGGGCCUUUGGUCUCCAACCUUUAGUGCGGGUUCCGAACCGGCACUAAAGGCCCUUAAGAACCGGCAUGAAAGCUCCGUUUUCUACUAGUGGUAAUACAUAUCAGAUGGAGUAGUGGAUUUAACUAGACGGGGAAGCAACGGAUGGGCGGCGGCUUUCAGAUAUGACGAUGGUGGUCCUACCGGGGUGGCUUGUUCGGCGGAGCGGGUUGGGAUGGCACGGGCCAGAGGCUGCUUCGCUGCCUCCCAAAGGUGGUGGUGGGCUGCGGGUGUAUGCGACAACUCAGAUCCGUCGUGGAUCAUCUGGUUGAUGCGGGAUCGACUCUGGCCUACCUUGGCUUCUCUGACGCGGCUCUGGUGGGCGGAGGGCUAGGUCAUGGCAGGGAGCUCCCCCUGCCUUGGUCUUGUUCGGCCGUCAUGGCAGCGAGCUCCCCCUGCCUUGGUCUUGUUCGGCCGUCAUGGCAGGGAGCUCACCCUACGCGUUUUGGCUCACGGGCUCAGAUGAGUCCGGGAAUGAACAAAAAAUCAUUAAAAAUUACUAAAUAAAUUCAAAAAAAAUCUGAAUUUUUUUUGUGCAGAAAUAUAACUGAGUGUCUGAUGUUCGUACCGAAUUUCAGAACACUUGAAUGUUUGAGUAGCUCUCAGCAAAAAAGGACGAAUUUAAUGUAUGUGAAAAAGGUUACUAUUUGUGCAUUGUCUGGACCCUUUUUUUACUGAGAGCUAAUCCGAUGUCCAAAUGUUUUGAAAUUUGGCACGCACUUCACACACUAAAAUAUCUUCCAUUCAAAAAAAUAGAUUUUAAAAAAAAAAUCUAUUUUUGCUGAAUUUACUGUUCACCAGGUGGAGCAGCGUCGAAGACCACAGACAUGGUGUCGGGCGAGCGCGCUCGGAGACAGAUGUCUGUAGUUGUGUCUCCCCCGGUCCACCGGGACUGGCUGGAGAUGCAGGCGUGGGUGCCUCCUACCAUGGAGGCAUCGAUCCAGACUAUGUGGCUGAUGUAUGGCUAUGAUUGUAAGGGGACGCCAUUUGCUUCUCCUACCGUGGUGGGUGCACCGUGAUGUGGGCGGUUGGUGGUGUCUCUGAUAUGGAUGUCGAGGUGGCAACCCUGGAUGGCGGUCUGAUGGUUCGCUCUCUAGCGGGCCCCAUGGCAGCAGUGAUAGGUGGAGCGACGGGUGGCUCGGGUGUGCUCUUUGUCUCCGGCAGUGGUGACACCUAGAUCCAGAUCUGGAGGUCUGAACUCGUCGUGCUUACCCUGGAGACCUCGUGGUGUCAUGGGGGAGCUGUCGAGUAAAGCCCCAUGCUUUGCCGUCAACGAGGGUGAUGCUCGCGGGUGCCGCUUUGCUCUUAAAGAUAUCACCGUGGUGCUCUUCUUCUUGUCUGGGCUCGGAGUAAAAACCUUUGUUCGGUGUGGACUCAACAACGCUGACACUUAGGGCUAUUCGCUCUCCUAAGAGUGUUGUCGUUGAGCUUAGAUGUUAUAGGGCAUAGUGUGACGUUGCUAUCGGUUCUUCCUAUGCUCACUUUGGUAGUAUAGCUGCAUGCGUUCUGUGUGAUCCGGUUAUCCUGGGAUCUAUUAGAAUAAUCCGAGGCAUACCGUUGAUCAUCCGAGGACCAAGGAACCACACGAGCACGACACCGAGAUUUGUUAACGAGGUUCACCUUGGCUACAUCCCCGGGGCUUGACUAUGGGCGCUCCUCCCCAUGACAUCGCUACAAUACCGCACCCCGUCGCCCUGCACGCCGGCACAUGCCGCCGGCUUCCCUUGCGUUCCUAUGCUAUUAUGUUGGCAUGGGUUACAUCGUGUGUCUACCCCCAUUAUAUAUGAGAGGCCUAGGAUACAAGUGUCCUAUUAGGACACGACUCUAUAUCCUAUCUAAACACAAUACUACUCAAAGUCCAACUCUAACCUAUCUUAUACGCAAUAUUCGACACAACUCUAACAGGAUCUGCAUUGUAUGAGGACUACCUCAUCACCUUGUAUUGGUCAGCCAUGCACUUUGUUCGGUUGUUGCAUUAUACUCUCUCUGUUCAGAAUUAUUGGUCGCAGAAAUGGAUGUAUCUAGUUAUAUUUAUAUAGUUCUAUAUACAUCAAUUUCUAUUCAUUUUUGAGACAGGUAGUCCCGGACGGAAGGAAUAUAUAAAGCGGGGCGCCUGGUUCAAACUUUAAAGAGAGACAUAACCACAAAGGAGACGUAAGAAGGCAAAUAACUACAGCGCAAUUGAUGUCAUGUCAGCAAGAAAUGUUCUUAAGGGCCACUCCACAGCUUCCCACUACGAACCUAAAUCUUCAUGAAACUUGAGAAAAUCAUACUCGACGAAAAUCAUACGCUUGUUUUAGAUGCCUGUCGUCGUUGGUUGCUACAGAAGAUGGAUUUAAAUAAUUGAAAUUAAGUUUUUUUUUAGCACUCUCUCUGAGCCAAAUUAAUUAACAUAGCUCUAGUACAACUUUUUCUUUUUGAGUUUGGACUUGGUUUGGCUGUGUGCAUCUUUUUUUUUGAAAUGUUGGCUGUGUGCAUUUUAGUUAUGCAGAAGCCAGAUAAUACUUAAAAACUUUGUAAGCAAUAAAGCGCCCCUUAUCGAACAAUAGAAUUAUGCAGAGGACUAACACUUAACUCUCGAGUAGUAACUGGUUGAAACUUACCAGCUCUACGUGGUUGAUGUUGACAUCCAAUUUCGAAUACAGAACAUAUUUCCCAAACCAUUCAAAAACAUCACAUUGCCAUCUUGGUUAUUACCCUUUAACCUCCUCACAGCAGAUUCCAUCUGCAUACACUCAGUGUAAGAACGCAGCAGAUCCAUUAAAACAUGUAGUACGAAUUAUCACGUUAUACUAAAAUUUUAGAAUCAACAAGACAUUAGCUACAUAUUGACUUCUUUAAUUAUUUAUGAAGACUGCCUCUAGAGAAUUGUUGGCAUGUCUAUGACGGUAAAUUUGCAGCUCAGUUAAAGUGUGCUUGGUUGGUUAAACAAGGUAUACUAGAUGAUUUUCCCGCGCGUUGCUGCGGGAUUUUAAAGAUUAAUUUUGGAUAUAUUAUAUAAGAAUGAAAUGAUCUAAAUCAAAAGCUAUUAUUUUCAAAAGUAAUUAUAUGUGAACAAAGAGUAUGCAUGUACGUUGGACCAUUGGAGAUGGAACAAUUAAAUUGGAGUAUGCAUGUGCUACAAAAUAAUUCUAGUGGGUGAUGAUAUGUGGAGGGCUGCAUGUUGAGAUAAUUAGACUUAAUGGGAUCAACUAUAUAUUUAUUAUAGAUGGGAUAGGUUGUUUGCUUGGUUGGGUGGAUGGGAGUAUCAAAAAAGAUUAAUUAGCUAAAUGAUACCUCCUAACUUCUACAUUAACACCAUCAAGACCUAGUGAACCUACUUAAGUCAAACCAGAAAAACAUGUACCUGUUUCAGAUAAUCAUCCAUGAACAUGAUUGCAUGGUCAUCAUGCCCAGUACUGAGUUUGAAAACAUGAAGUACAUUGUCUUUCUUCAAUGACUGCAAAAAUGAUUUCUAUAUAUGUUCAGAUUUUCAUCAAAGCAAGGAAAAUUUUCUCUGGUGCAGUUGAAGAUUACUACACAUUGGUAAACAAUAAUCACCAACAGUUUAACACAAGAAUAGCUAGAAAAGAAUCCAAAGGUAAAACACAAACUCAUCAUUGCAUUACAACAGUUGUGUAUACAUAAAGAAUUAUUGCAUAAGUUCAAAACAAUACCUUGAAAUCUCUGGCAGCUUGUGUCCUGUCCUUCACGCUAUUAUAGUUUGGGACUGCAAAAUGAAUGGUUGUGUCACAGCCUACAAGUGAACACAAGAAAAAGGUGAAUUUCGGAUCUGAAUCACCAUUAAAAAAGGAAACAGUUAGAGAAGAAGCACACACUGAGUUUAUAUAACCAUCUUUAUUAUAUAACAACAUGUUACAUGGGAGUAUUGUUACAUCCCUCCAUUAAGAGGAGGAGCAAACAUAAGUACAAGAGUUUAAUAGUGGCCGUGUCCCCCAACCCACAAAUAACUUUGGCACAUGCACGCACAGACCAGAAUUUUGCAACAGAAAACAUCACUAACCUAUGCACACGGUGGCUCUCGCAGCCAGUGAUGGUAGGCCUGAAUCGUCGCUCCACCUCUGCCUUGAUGUUGUUGGCCAUUGUCUGAAGGUCCUGGUUCUCUCCCUCGAACACCAGGUAGCUAUGUUCUCUCCAAAAUCCCUACGGGCCAAAUUUGUACAAUCACUAUCGAGUCCAGGUCUUUUUGCCGAUCUUUUGGCAGUGCUUUUCACCUAGACAGCCACCAAAUUCACCUGAAGUGGCGAGCUGUUCAUUUUAAAAUGACUUGCCACAGUUAUGUCAACCAGGAUCAUUGCUCUCUUUCUCGGCCUCCCGCAGAACUUCACAAGUUAUGAGUUUGCUGUAUGAGUAUAUAACUGAAUGAAGUAGUCUUUGAACCUGCAAACAGAGCACUUAAUCUACUUCUCAACGCACUGGAAUUUUUUGCAAUGUCUCUCUGUACUAAUUGUCCACUGCUACCCUACCACGAAGAAGUAGCGAUUUCUCCACCAAUCCAGCUCGCAAUCGGAUUAAACACUAGGCAAAGAAAUUCCUCUCUGCAACUAUAUAUCCAUACAAAAGUACCAUUUACUCCUGGAUCGAGCACUAAGCCACUAACUGACGGACGGAGAAUGGAUGACUAACCUUCUAGUUGCAACCGCAUGACCUCUGACCUGCCCUGCCGGCGGCUCACAGCGAUGGAUAGCGGACUAGCCUGCCAUCUAGGGUAAUUGCAGACGGCCAGAGUUGCAACGGAGGCCUCAUCGUGAUACACGACGACCUCCGUAGCUGGGAUCAGAUGUAUUUUCUAAUUUGAAUUGAAUAUGUAGUGUCACCAUUCCAGAUUUUUGGUACAUAUGAACAAAAAUAAAUUUAUUCAUGGGCCAUUCAACACUUUUCAACUCAUCGGAUACUGGCUCAGAUCGAGUUCACAUAUCAUUAACAUAUUUCGAACCAAAUCCAUAAUCAUAAAAUCCUCUGGUUUUAUUCAAACAAGCGGUGGAGAUGCCCCAUCCCUCCUAGCAUUGUUUUUCCUUAUCAUUUAGGAUCUCUUCAUUCAGCCUUUAAUAGAUUAAUAACAAAAAAACAUAAGUAUGGCCUAGAUAUAUAAGAUGCUUCAGAAUAGCUGGGCACAAACAAGUUGGCAUGAAACGGUCUAGAACUUCUUUUGCGGGAAAAAAUCUAGACCUUCUCAAAAUCCAACAAAUAAAAUAUGCUCGUUGUCCAUGAUCUAGGAGGGUAUCUACGAAUAGGUACUUAAGGUUUGUUCAUGAAAAGUAUUAAAAUAUUUGGCAAUUUUCCUUUUGGGUAGACAAAGUACCUAGAAAUAUGUAAAUUCAUGCUUAUACACCUGAACAUGCACCAUAGUAGACCAAAUUAUGUUGCCAAAGUAUAACGAACAUAUUAUAUUUUUGAAUAGGUUAUCUGUGUAAAUGGUCUACACAAUUCAAAUAAGUAUCAACUUCAUGCCCAAAAGAUUUAGUAAAAGGUACCGGGUGGUCCCAAUGAAAUAUUUACAUAACAUUACAAACUUAGUCCACCAAAAGAAUGAUUUGAUCCAGAAAAAUCCUUCUUCACACAUAGAUCGAACUGAUGAUGACGUAUCUAGAGUUAGGACCGGAUAUAUGCUAGUAACUUGUAAGCAAUUACCAUCCUUUACAUGUAAGGGAAUUCUAUGAGUCAUGUCAUGAUCUAUACCUCUCAGUUCAUCUUAUCAUCUUAGAGAACAAUACAAAGUUAGUUUUAUAAAAAAGCAACCGAGUCUAGACGAACCCUCCACAUACAAGGCUUUAAUAAUCGAGCAUAUCUUAACAGUCCACACACGAUUGCAACUUAGUCCUACACAGGUUUUGCCUUUCUUGUUUAUGGUUGACAGCCUAUACAAGGUUCCAAACUCGGUUGCAAAAGUGAUACUAUCCUGAUAAAUGUGUGACAUGUAAAGUGAAUAAGGCGAGUCAUAUAUACCACACAUCAGGGUUUCUAUAAUUUGUGUGUGAUCAUAUGCACAACUAAAAAGCAACUUUGAUGAUCAAUCCAAAAGUACGCUUGUAGCUAGUGCAACCUAACACAAUGUACCAAAAAAUCAUUUCUGAUGCAUCCAAAUAGAAUUAUUUAAGUUGAUGCAAAGAAGGAAAGAGGUGGUGCCCGGACUACUAUAAAUAGGCAUGAAGUAUAAUGAUCAUCACAAGCACAAGCAUCAAAACCAAGCAAAAGUAGUUAGCACCAAUCCAUCAUGAAGACCUUCCUCGUCUUUGCCCUCAUCGCCGUUGUGGCGACAAGUGCCAUUGCACAGAUGGAGACUAGCUGCAUCUCUGGUUUGGAGAGACCAUGGCAGCAGCAACCAUUACCACCACAACAGUCAUUUUCACAACAACCACCAUUUUCACAACAACAACAACAACCAUUACCUCAACAACCAUCAUUUUCGCAGCAACAACCACCAUUUUCGCAGCAACAACCAAUUCUAUCGCAGCAACCACCAUUUUCACAGCAACAACAACCAGUUCUACCGCAACAAUCACCAUUUUCGCAGCAACAACAACUAGUUUUACCUCCACAACAACAACAACAACAACUUGUGCAACAGCAAAUCCCUAUUGUUCAGCCAUCCGUUUUGCAGCAGCUAAACCCAUGCAAAGUAUUCCUCCAGCAGCAGUGCAGCCCUGUAGCAAUGCCACAACGUCUUGCUAGGUCACAGAUGUGGCAGCAGAGCAGUUGCCAUGUGAUGCAACAACAAUGUUGCCAGCAAUUGCAGCAAAUCCCCGAACAAUCCCGCUAUGAAGCAAUCCGUGCCAUCAUCUACUCCAUCAUCCUGCAAGAACAACAACAGGGCUUUGUCCAACCUCAGCAGCAACAACCCCAACAGUCAGGUCAAGGUGUCUCCCAAUCCCAACAGCAGUCGCAGCAGCAGCUCGGACAAUGUUCUUUCCAACAACCUCAACAGCAACUGGGUCAACAGCCUCAACAACAACAACAACAGGUACUACAGGGUACCUUUUUGCAGCCACACCAGAUAGCUCACCUUGAGGCGGUGACUUCCAUUGCACUCCGUACCUUGCCAACGAUGUGCAGUGUCAAUGUGCCGUUGUACAGCGCCACCACCAGUGUGCCAUUCGGCGUUGGCACCGGAGUUGGUGCCUACUGAUAAGAAAAGUUGU
rnacentral:lncRNA from 1 species